rnacentral:lncRNA from 1 species
GACUUCGACGCUCUUGAUGGCUUGCGGGAGCACCUUGGGGAUGAGGUUAUCAGCAUCGAGGACAGCGGCCUUGAACAUCUUGGCCGGAGGGAUUGGGGUCGUGACCUCGGAGUCGUAACUGACGACACCCAUGAUUUGGAUCCGAAUGGAGUUGCCGAAAUAGAGAAGAGGGUGAUCAGGAAAGGCUGAUUAGCAGUGAUGAAGUUGGUCUCUAGGACUCGGUAGUGAAGAGAAGAGGAUGAACCAAAGCUGACAUAUAUAGAGAGACCGAGUUUGAAGGGUUCUCGUUAUUGGAUAUUUUCUUCAAGUGUGUUCGUUUGGUACAAAAUAGAGAAGAGGAUGAACCGAAGCUGACAUAUAUAGAGAGACCGAGUCUGAAGGGUUCUCAUCAUUGGAUAUUUUCUUCAAGUGUGUUUGUUUGGUACAAAAUAAAUAAUUAAAUAACUAUUUGUAUCAUUUGGUAUAAUUAUUUGAUGAGAAAUUUUUGCAUUAUUGACAGUAAUUUAUAUCUAAAUAUUCCCGUGAAUGAUGAAAAUAUUUUUUAUUCAUUCCUUUUAUAAGUUAUAUGAAAAAAAAUAUUUUUUUACAAAACAAACGAAGCUUAAUAAAAAAAAUCUUAAUCAGUCUGUGGGUUGUUCAAUCAUGCCAUGGACUUUGUUCAUAAAAUAAAAUUUGUCUAUAUGAUAAUGGAAUAUUAGUCAGAGAAGGCACCAUCCUAGAAUGAUACCAAACGUUCUUCCAUUUCCCUUUCAUGUAUAGACUUGACUUUUGAUCCAGGAGCAUUUGCUCAGCAAACUCUCUUGGCUGAGCUUCACUGAUUUCUUACAUAGUGUUACUAUCAUAGAAAAUAUCAAGCCCUUAGCUGCAUAGGUCGCGAUCCACCCAGAUCUCAUCCUACUUCUUUUCAAUCCGUUCGGUAGAGGCCUCGGGAAGAAUUAUCAUCAAUUUCAUACUCAUAAAUAAUAUUCGCUUAACUCUGUGCAGUAGAAAAACUCGAAAAAUCGAGGCACAAUUUUUCCUGCUGGGUGAUCUCGGUGCUUCAUGUUUCUGUUGAGCUUCCAUCGAUAAGAAAAAGUACAGAUUGAUCUCAAUGUUGCACUAAUCCAAUUUAGCAGAAAAAAAUGGGAAAGGUAGUUUGGUAAUUACAAGGCUUUGUUACUUUUAGUCAACAAAGGCUGCUCUGAAAAUCAAGAUGGACGUCUAUAGAUUUUGAAUUUUUCUACUUGCUUUCAUGUGUCUAGUCCUUUUAAAUAAUAUUAUUGCGAACCAUUUUCUGCUAAUUGUCUGGUGGAAGUGUGGUGGAUCAAGCGAGAUUGGCUCACGGGUCACUUGCUCAUUAAACAUUUUUUUAAUUUUCCUUUUUAUCUAACGGUAUAGCGACGUAGAUUUUUAGAAACGCUUUCUUCGUAUUUAAUUUUCUUCUUUUGUCUAGUUCAUCUUGUCGUAGUCACGGACCAUGUGAACGUAUAGGAGAAUGUCCAUGGGUGUUAGAUCAGAUUAAUUAAUGAAUUUCGUCGUAUUGAGACAAAAUUGAUUAAACUUGUCAAUCAUCUCACUGCGACGGAAGAUUCGGAAAAUAUUAAUGCAUAACAACAGCAUAUGUUUUGGGAGAAAAGUAUUGGAGAGGGGCAUGGAUGCAUUGCUGAAGUUAUUUGAUGAGCAUGUCAUAUGUACUAAAUUAAUCUAAAUAGCUAAAUUUGAUGGAAUUCAUAUGAAACCUAAAUGGAACAUAUAGAAAUUAAAAGCCGAAUUUUGCUUUAUAUAAAUACGACGCUAGCUCAUUCUCGAGUCUUUGUCAAAAUUGUGUUGUAGGCAAUUGAAUGUGAACCUCCCUUCCCUUUCACAUAUGAUCGACUCAAAUUUCUCGUACUUCAUUGACUUCCUUGUUUCGCUGUUGAAGCAACAAAAUCACAGCAAUUGAAGUCACCAGAAGUAGCUCGCAUCAAUAAGGACCUUUUCCCUAUGGUCGGUCGAUUUACUGUUCAUCCCACCCCACAAGGAGAUAACCUCGUCACAUUUUCACACAAGCCUGGAUUUGCGAUAAAAGCGCUUUUUGGUGCUUAUUGGAAGAGGCGACCACUAGGAACCGCACCUGUCAGCUCGUUGUACAAUAAGUCUACGGAGCUUAAACAAGUUAUAUGUCCAUUUUUUUCAAUGUUCAUUAUAAUGUUCCGUAAGGUUAAAACCACCUUGAUCGAGAGCGAUCCUAAGUUCCUAAUAUGGAUGGACUAACCUUUGCCGAAAGUGAUCAAAUUGGUGGUCCCGGGACCUUCAUCGCCCUCGAGGACUUCGACGCUCUUGAUGGCUUGCAGGAGGACCCUAGGGAUGAGGUUAUCGGCGUCGAGGACAGUGGCCUUGAACAUCUUGGCCGGAGGGAUCUGGACGUUAUCGCAGAGUCGUAAGUGAUGACACCCAUGAUUGGAUCCGAACUGAGAAACUGAGAAGGGGGUGAUGAUCAGGAAAGACUGAGUAGCAAUGAUGAAGUCGGUCUCUAGGACUUGGGAAUGAAGAGAACAGGCUGAACCGAAACUGAUAUAUAGAGAGAGACUAAGUGUGAAGGGCUUUGAUCAGUGAAUAUCUUGCGAAACAAACAAAGCUUAAGAAAAAAAAAUUAUUCCGUGGAUUAUUCAGAGUAUGACAUGCCCCUUGUUCCUAAUAUAAAAAUGUCUAUAUGAUGAUAGAACAAAGCGUUGGACGAUCAUAUUGGGGAGAAUCGGGCAACAAUUUACUAAUAACGAAACACAAUUUAGCAUCAAUUUCUCCUCUAAAACUAAACCAACCGAAACCAACUCAACCCCAGCAACCACCAGCAAUAUGUAAUACCAAAAUGACAAUAAGACAGAGCCAACAAUGACACUAAGGUUUUAACAUGGAAACCAAUACAUAAAAAAUCACAUACCCUACUCACUAACAGUAAUAGGAUACAAAAAGUGUUAUUUUAUAAUCACACAUUAGAGACUCAACAUCAAUGAUAUAACCAUAUUUCCUCACUCCAAAGAUAGAUUAACAUAAACGGAGCAAGAAAACCCUAAUCGGUUGGAGAAUCUGGAGGGGGUUCUUAUCUAACGAAAUCAAUCAAUUUGUAGUCCUUGAUUUUACAAAAUAACAUUCAAAUUUGAGCAAAUUCCAUCGGCAUCUUGCAUUCCAAUCGGGACCAAAAAGAUUAUGCCCUUUCUUUCGGAACGCUAAGAAAGAAGAGCCCAGACACAGACAACAAUUACCUACUCACUAAGUGUAACAUUAGGCUAGUGGGCCCCAAAAGAAGAAAUAGAAAACGAAGUUUUAAAGGCCCCAAAGAAGAAACUGAAAAAGAAACCGAAAAGUCAUUAAAGCAAAAAGGAGAUGGGAGAGGGCUCGGCUAAAUAGAAGCUGAGAGUUUCCUCGACCAAAAAGAAAAGAAAGAAAAGAAGAAGAAGAAGAAGAGAAAAGGGAAGAAAGGAAAGAAGUUUUGGCACGUGCACGCCUCGGAUGCCUUGCCAAGCCAAUUUGACUCCAUAACCCGGUAAGAGAUCAAGCCCCUCGUUUGUCCGAUUGAAGUAAUUUUUGGAUUUAGGACUCAAAUUCGGAAUUUUUGGAAAAUCGAGCGGCGAAGUCUAAUUUUGGAGUCGUUGAGCCACACAUUUUUGUAAGAAUGGUAAUUUAGGGUGUUGUGGAACCGUGGGAUUUUUCGGAUCGUGAUUUGAGCUUAUGGUUUGUCCAAAACAAAAUUCCAAAGUUUCCCGCGCGCAGUGAACAGUACGCGUCCAGCAGCUUUGGGCCCGUAUUUUGUCAUUUUUUCGGCUUGAUUUUGGGAUGACCAAUUUGGGAUUCUUGUAAUAUGUGUCAAGGGCUCUCUAUUGACUAUAAGUACGUUCGGAUCGGGGUUCGGAAGAGAAAGUUAAGGCUCGAUCAAGUUUUGCGCUUAAACUUCAUGUUGCGAAUGGCUUAAACAAUCAAUUUGGAUAUGCGACUUGUUAGUGCACAGAAGUCCUUUUGUUAGAGUUAAGGCGUAACUUAGUCAUUUUGUAGUCGAGAUAGAAUUUUAUUAGAUUUUAACAUUAUUCUUCGAUUAUUUGAUAGGGCUUUGAGUUCGAAGAUACAAGUAUCAUUUGUCGUUUGGUCGUAGACGAUAAGGUGAGUGGUACUAUAUCUUCUUUGGUUUUAUAAAAUCAUGUCUUGAAGUAUGUAUGUAUAUAUAUUGAAUCAAGAAGAGCAUUUUUAUUGCAUAAAAGUCAGAUCGAGCAAUUGCUACCCUUUGGUUGAUUGUGAAUCUUUGAAAAGCACAUUAUACAAGGUUUGUGGAGAAACAUAUAUGAAAUUGCUUUGCGACUGAUUUAUGAAAAGGUUUAUGAUGAUUUGAGAAACGAGUAUGAAAUGGAUGAUGGGCUAUGUUGCAAAAUAUUAUUUGUUUGGUUUAAGAUAUUGAUUUUUGGAUUGAAUUUCUGGUAUUGGAGAAUGGUUAUUUAUGCUCAAUAUGACUGUGAACCCAGUGAGGGGUUUUUGGGGUAUGCAUACCAGGUUUAGGAUAUCCUUCUGGGCCGAGCCACCGGCUUUGUAGGUGGAGACCUUGCCAAGGGGAGAAUCUUGGUCGCCUUGUCACAGGACGUUGUGUCGUGACCAUGGUUAGUUAUUGAGCAAAAGAUUGAUCAAUGGAUAGACCAUUGAUACUUGAAUUUUGAUGGCGAUUCAAAUGAGUUUUCCAUAUUACUAUAAAUCUUGAUGAUAAGAAAUAACUCAUAAGAUUCAAUACUUAUUUUAUAUAUUGAGUUGGCUUAUGAAAUUUGGUAUUGUUUUGUAUACAUGCAUAGUGGUUGUUCGAUCUGCUUAAAAGAUAUGUACUACUCACUGAGCUGUGGUUGCUCAUCCCAUUCCUCAUUUGAUCUUUUCAGGUUCCUCAGCUAGUGGCAAAUAGAGCGAGUGCGCCGUCGUGGGAAACUUUUGGGGAGUUCUAUUUUGUUUUUGGUAUGGUUUAGGGAAGUGGUGCAAAUGAUCUUUACUAGUGGUUGAAUCGUCUAAGUUUUGAAGUAUAUAUUUUCUCUUUUUGGUGGAUUAUAGAAAUUCUAAUGUUGCAACCAAUUUGAAGGUUUAUCUGAUAUUUAUACUUGUAACAUCCUGGACCCCACUGUGUAAUAUUGUCCGCUUUGGGUCACCCGCCCUGGCACGGACGAACCGCCAUCCCAGCCGCGAUCUUUUCCCUCACGGCUUUAAAACGCGUUACACAGGUUAGAGGGAUCCAAGCCUUAUAAGCUGACCAAUAUCUCCCUCCCUAGGCGAUGUAGGACAAGAGAGGAGGCUGUCACACUCUCCACCUCUUAACAGAAUAGCGUCCUCGCUAUGGCCCCACGGGUAUCAGAACAACAUUCAAGCUGUGGUCCCACACGCGGUCGGGAGUCGGCUCUGAUACCACUUGUAACAUCCCGGGCCCCAUUGUGUAAUAUUGUCCGCUUUGGGUCACCCACCCUGGCGUGGACAAACCGUCAUCCUAGCCACGGUCUUUUCCCUCACGGUUUUAAAACGCGUUACAUAGGUUAGAGGGACCCAAGCCUUAUAAGCUGACCAAUAUCUUCCUCCCUAGGCGAUGUAGGACAAGAGAGGAAGCUGUCACAUAUAUAAGUUAAUAUCAGUUUGUAGGUUAUGUUUGAGGCUGCGUCCUUUGUAAAGAAGGAUGGCCGUGUCAUCCCCAUUCUUUGUAGUUUUUGGGGUGUGACACUAAGUUCCGAAAAGCAUAGACGAGCGAAAUGCCUCACGAAUUAACCUAAGAGCAACAUAAACACGCCGAGAUAGAAAACGGUAGAAGCCGACGCCUCAAAUUGCAAACUUCUUCGACCCAAAAAAAAAAAAUAUUGCAAACUUCGAGCUACAAAAUGGCGAUUAAGCACGGAGGGCCGGAGAUGGGGUGGAGGGAGCACCUUGAUGUCGAAAUCGACGCCGGCGGUGGCGAGGAGGGGAGAGGGGGUGGAAAUCUAGGGUUAGGACAGGUUUGGUCUCGUGCCAAUUCAUCUGGACCGUGCCUCCCUUCAUAUCUCCUCUGCCCGCUCCGCCGCUUCCUUCCUUCCCCCUCUCUCUCUGAAAUCGAAGCCUUCUUCCUUGAUUUCUUAGCGAACGAAAUCGAUCAAUUCGUGGAAUUCGUGAGAUUCGUGCGCUCUCCCCAUUCCGCGGAGAGAUUCCCGACAAAUAGAGAUUAGAUUGUAGGCUUGUCCAUCGUCGUUUCAGUAAAGCGAGUGUAAUGCCAAAAAAGGGAAAUAAGGACGACACAAUUGGCUCUGACAUUGAAUUGACAGUUUAUUCCUGGCCUCCUACGUGAGCAUAUCACGUGGCCCACCCAUCAUGGCUCAAAUUCAUGAAAACAAACUAAUAAAAAAAAGAUCCAAAAUAGACUCCACCACCAUCCUCUCGGAAAUCCAAUCAAAAAAAGGAAAAGAUAAAAAAGGCAAAUCAUCCCAGACAAAACAAGCAUGGCAUUCGCCACACGCUACUAAAAAUUAACCACACACAGAUUCACAAGUCUCAGGGUUCGCGAGGCAAGCCUCGAUGGCCCCAAACAUAGUGAAAGCCUUCUCUCUCACGGCCUUGAUCUUCUCCUCGGUGUUGUCCACGUUGCCCCUGGCGAAGUAUUUGCUAUCGUUCAUGCACACCGUGUUAGACAAUUCAUAUAAAACUUGAUGCGGAAAUUCAUAACAAAUCAUUGAUCUUUGAUCUUCAUGAUUUUCACAAAUAGAUUCAGACAAACCUUUAUCCAUAGCGCUACGCUUGAUGAUGAUCGUUGUAGAAAACCCAAUGAUCUCGAACCAAAAGGAGAAAUCCGAUUUCUCUCCCUUAACCCACUAAACCUUAAUGUAUUCAAUUGAUGGAGGAGAGAAUAUGUUCUUUUCAGUUAUUGUUGUUCGUAUGUGGGUGGAGAGAGGACCGGACUCUUUUAUACGUUCGUUGAAAAUGUGCCUUCCAUCAAAGCGAUAUACCCUUUCGUUUUAUUAGAGUCGUACCUUCUCAUAACCAAUAUUAUUUAUAGCAUUUCAAUCAUUAUUAAACCAUAUAAUAAAUCACAUAAUAUGGGCCACAAUAAUUCUUACAUUCUCCCACUUGGCCCAUAUGAUUCUCCUUUCAUGGUUUAAUGAAGACUAUAAUGUGCACAAUAAGAUUAUGCUAUAAAAUUUCAUUAAAUUGGCAAUCACAUAAUAAUCACAAUUAAGUAAAGAAAACUAAUGCGAGUCAUAGCGGUUAUAUGUCAUUAAUCGACAUAGUCCCUUCUAUGUACUACAACUAUAGCACUUUACUUAACAUGAUCCAUAAAUGAGAAGUACAGUAAUAGUCCAACCAUAAUGUUUCUUUAGAAACUAUCCUGUUUAAAAUUAAUCUAUUUCCAUAAUGUAUACUAAAUAGAAAACAGGAAAUAUCAUAAACAUGUAAGUGAGCUCAAAGUGUCAAAUACAUAAACUUAAUACAAUCAUAAUACAAACAUUAAUGACGUCCAAUAAUGCCCAUCCUUUCAACAUGCUCAUUAAAUGUUUUGGGCGGCAAUCCUUUUGUUAAGGGAUCUGCUAUCAUAAGAUUGGUGCUAAUGUGCUCAAUUGACACUCUUUGUUUCUGAACUUCUUUUUUGACAGACAAGUAUUUGAUCUCCAUAUGCUUAACACCCUUAGAAUACUUGUCGUUCUUAGAGAAGAAAACUGCUGCAGAGUUAUCACAAUAGAUUUUCAGCGGCUUGGCAAUACUGUCGACGAUCACAAGCCCUGAAAUAAAAUUCCGCAGCCAUAAUCCAUGAAUUGUGGCCUCAAAGCAUGCCACAAAUUCAGCUUCCAUAGUGGAUGCAGCAAUAACUGACUGCUUCGCACUCUUCCAUGAAAUUGCCCCUCCAGCCAGAAGAAACAAGUAACCAAAUGUUGAUUUUCUUGUAUCGACACAUCCGGCUAAGUCUGAAUCUGAAUAUCCAAUCACCUCGAGAUGAUCAGAUCUUUUAUAAGUGAGCAUAUGAUUCUUUGUUCCUUGCAAGUAUCUAAGAACUUUCUUUGCGGCUUUCCAAUGAUCCAUUCCAGGAUUACUUUGAUACCUACCUAGCAUUCCGACAGCAAAAUUGAUGUCUGGUCUGGUGCAAGUUUGUGCAUACAUUAAGCUUCCCACAAUAGAUGCAUAAGGAAUAUUAUUCAUUUGUCCUCGUUCCAAUUCACUUUUCAGACAUUGCAUAAGGCUAAAUUUAUCACCUUUCUGAAUUGGAACUAUUCCUGCUGAACAUUUACUCAUAUUAAAUCUCUCUAAAAUUUUCUCAAUGUAGGCUUUCUGAGACAAUCCUAAUAAUCCUUGUGAUCUAUCACGGAAUAUUUCUAUUCCUAUCACAUAUGUUGCCUCUCCCAUAUCCUUCAUUUCAAAAUUCUUAGAGAGAAAUUUCUUGGUUUCAUGUAACAAACCAAGAUCAUUAGCAGCAAGCAAAAUAUCAUCAACAUACAGAACUAGAAAAAAAAAACUUGCUCCCACUAAUCUUCAUAUAUAUACACCGAUCAACGGUGUUUUCCUUAAAUCCAAAUGAAGUUAUGGUAUCGUUAAACUUAAGAUACCAUUGUCGAGAAGCUUGUUUAAGUCCAUAUAUUGACUUCUUUAAUUUACAUACCAUGUGUUCCUUUCCUAUAACUGAAAAGCCUUCGGGUUGGUCCAUAUAAACCUCUUCCUCUAAAUUCCCAUUAAGAAAUGCGGUUUUUACAUCCAUUUGGUGUAACUCCAAGUCAUAAUGAGCCACCAAAGCCAUAAUGAUUCUAAGUGAGUCUUUCUUAGAGACCGGUGAAAAUGUCUCUUUAUAGUCAAUGCCUUCUUUCUGAGUAAAACCAUUUGCAACAAGUCUGGCUUUAUGUCGUUCAAUAUUGCCUUUUGAGUCGCGCUUGGUCUUAAAGACCCAUUUACACCCGACCUUCUUACAUCCUUUAGGCAAUUCAACAAUAUCCCAAACUUGAUUUUCAUGCAUGGAUUUUAACUCUUCUUCCAUGGCAUUAAACCAUUCAUUAGAAUCUUCACAUUCCAUGGCUUGGGAAAAUGAAUCUGGAUCAUUUCCAAUUCCUAAGUCAAUUUCUGACUCUUGUAGAUAAACCAUAUAGUCAUCAGAAAUAGCCGACCUCUUUUCUCUUUGAGAUCUCCUUAAUGCUAUUUCUUGUGACUCGGUUAUUGGAGGUUCAUUAUUGACAUCUCCAUUAUUUGGUGUUUGUUGUUCUCGAUUAUUGUUAGAUUGUACUACAAUAUCAGAAACAACAACUUUAGAAGCUUUAGGCAUAGGAACUUCUACCCUUACUUCUUGAAUGCAAGCAUCACGCAUUCUUUCACUCCCACUGAUGUCACCAUUCUCAAUGAACCUAGUAUUUCCAGAUUCAACAAUUCUUGUACUAUGAUUAGGACAAUGAAAUUUAUACCCUUUGGAUUUCUCUGCAUAACCAAUGAAAUAACCACUGGUCGUUCUUGAAUCCAAUUUCCUUUCAUGUAUUGUAAAUUCUUACUUCUGCUUGACAACCCCAAACAUGCAGGUGUCGUAAACUAGGUUUCCUUCCCGUCCACAAUUCAAAUAGAGUCUUUGGAACUGCCUUACUAGGAACCCUAUUUAAUAAGUACAUAGAAGUCUUUAAAGCAUACAUCCACAAAGAUAAGGGUAAAGAUGAAUGACUUAUCAUACUCCUAACCAUUUCCAUUAAAGUACGAUUACGCCUUUCUGCUACACCAUUUUGUUGUGGUGUACCUGGCAUUGUGUAUUGAGCACAUAUGCCAUGUCUUUCAAGGAAUUUAGCAAAUGGACCUGGACAUUGUUCCGAUUCAUCAUACUUUCCAUAAUAUUCACCACCUCUAUCCGAUCUUAUUAUUUUCACAUUUCUAUCUAAUUGCCUCUCAACCUCUUUAAUAUACACUUCAAGUACAUUUAAUGAUUGAGACUUAUCAUGCAAUAGAUAAAUGUAACCAUAACGUGAAAAAUCAUCAAUAAAGGUUAUGAAAUAGCUUUCCUUACUAAAAGAUGGAACAUCGAAAGGACCACAUAUGUCAGUAUGUAUAAUCUCAAGAAGCUAUGUGCUUCUUGUGGCACAUUUCUUAGUGUGCUUUGUUUGUUUACCUUUAAUACAAUCAAUACACACUCUAAAGUCAGUAAAAUCCAAAUUUGGAAUAAUUUCAUUCUUCACUAAUCUUUGCAUUCUUUCUUUGGAUAUAUGACCCAACCGUUUAUGCCACAAGUAAGCAGAAUUUUCAUUCACCAAACUUCGUUUAGUGCCAACAUUAUGAUGCAAGGUCAUUAAUGUCUCAACAAAAGUAUUAUCAAGUCUAAAUUUGUAGAGACCAUCACAUAAAGUUCCAGUUCCAAUAAGAGCAUCACUCUUAAAUAGACUGAAAGAUUCAGAUCCAAACUUACAAUAAAAUCCCGCCACAUCAAGUCUUGGCAAAGAAACUAAAUUGCGAGAAAAUGUAGGUACAUAAAGGGUUCGAAAAAAAUCCAAAUAAUGCCCAGUAUCUAAUAUCAAACGAUAAGUGCCAAUGCCUUCAACUGGAGCUUUGUCUCUGUUCCCCGUAAUCACAUAACUUUCAUUUGGAAAAUGUAGGUACAUAAAGGGUUCGAAAAAAAUCCAAAUAAUGCCCAGUAUCUAAUAUCAAACGAUAAGUGCCAAUGCCUUCAACUGGAGCUUUGUCUCUGUUCCCCGUAAUCACAUAACUUUCAUUUGGCUUUAUAGUUUGGAUCUUAAGAAAUCCCUGCAUCGUAUUUGACACAUGAGUGGUGGCACCAGAAUCAAUCCACCAAGUAUUAUAAGGAACUUCAGUAAAAUUUGAUUCAAAACAUACUAAAGCACAAGGCUUACCUUUCUUUUCGAACCAAGCCUUACAUUUCAGACAAUCUUUCUUCAAGUGUCCAAUUUUGUUGCAAAAAUGACAUUUAAUAAGAUUGUGUUCCUUCUUGUGGAUUUGAGAAGCCUUUGAAGAGUCAUUCAGGACGUGUAGUCCUUUCUUCUUGCUCCUUCCACCUUUCCUCUUAAAAUUCUUUCGAACUUCUUGAUGACUUGAGAGAUGAAUAGAAUGAGCAUUUUGAUUCUUUAUCCUUAUUUCCUCUUGAACUAGCAUACUGGCCAAUUCGUUUACAUUCCACUUAUCCUUUAUAGUGUUGUAAUUCAUUUGAAAUGGCACAUAUUGCUCAUGAGGUAAGGAAUUAAGUAUAAAUUGUACUAAAAAGUACUCAUCCAUAUUCAUUCCCAAAGUCCUUAACUUUGCUGCUAAAUUGGUCAUCUCAAGUAUAUGCUCAUGCAUGGUACGCGAACCAUCAUAUUUCAUGGUGGUCAGUGUGCUCAUCAGUGUACCAGCAAGUGACUUAUCAGCAGUUUGAGAACGCUCUUCCACAAAUUUCAUAAAUUCCUUAGCAUUGUUAGUCUUGGGAAGAGAAGUUUUUAAGUUGUUUGCAACUGUCAUUCGCAUGAACAUUAAGCUCAGUCUGUUCGAUCUUUCCCAAGCUUUAUGGAAAGACUUUUCAUCAUUGCUACUUUCAUCAGUAAUAGCAGCUGGUUUCUCAGCUUGAAGUGCUAAAUCAAGAUCCAGGACACCUAAGUGAAACUGGACUUGUUCACUCCAAUCAGGAAAAUUUAUCCCAUUGAAUAAGGGAACAGAUGAGGCGUGCGAAUGGAGUGAAACAGGUACAGAUACUACAAAUGUGCAAGAAAAUACUCAUACAUUAAUGCUUUGAGAAUAUCAUAUAAUCAGAUUAAACUAAACUACACAUGCACAUCAUAGUUCUCCUUUGAGCGAUCCUAUGAUAUACAAAUAUAUAUAAACCAUAAUGAUGCUAAUAACUUUUAUUUGAUAAUUGUAAAUAUAUCUUAUUAAAAUUUAUUUGUUAUCUUUGGAUAUACAAACAAAUUUAACAAAUCAUAUUAAUUAUCAACCAUCAUGUUCAUGGAUUAUAAGAAAAUAAUUAACCUUUGGGUUAAUCCCUAAGUUCUUAUAAUAAAUGAACUUCAAUAUACCCAUAACUCCAAUAAUGAUAUAAAACAUAUCAAUUUCAUAUAUAUAGCAUCAAUUAAUCAUGGGUAAUUGAAUAAAAUAAUUUACGAUAUUAAAAAAAUUCAAAAGACUUCAAGGUUCGGCCACUUUGGUGACUAACAAACCUUUCAUAAUAUGAAUUUUUAAUAUUGCAAAAUACAAAUAUUUACCAAAUUGCACACAAGGACAUAAAAUGCAAUCAAAGCAUAAGGGCAAAAUCGUAAAAUCAUAAUUCCAUAAGGGUAGAACCAUAAAAUUAUAAUCCAGGGGCAAAAUGGUAAAUAAUCAGCAAUGGCAGAAUCGUAAUUAUAAAUUAAACAGGGGUAGAACAGUAAAUAACCAUCAAAAGGACGGCAAAACGGUAAUUAGGAGCCUCGGGAGGGGCAAAAGCGUAAAAGUCCGCGCGGGGACGUCAGGCGCGUGCCUCGCACGCGCCUGCAACCGCGCGGGAAGCCCCGCGCGCGUGGAUCCCACGCGCGCAGCGCUUGCGCGCGCGUGAAGGCGCGUGGCGCGUGGGUUCCACGCGCCUGCAACCGCAGCGCGCGCGUGGAGCCCACGCGCCUUCUUCCUCGCGCGCAGACGCGAUUCUUCGCCGGUUUUUCGCCGUUCCACCGCCGUUUCGCCGCCCGUUUCUUCUCCGACAGCCCAUUACAGACACAAAUAAUUAAUGGGUUUUGAAGAGCAUGCCGGCACGACCACAUGGGUCCAAAUUUCGGAGAAAAUGACCAAAAAUUGGCCCCAAAUCAAACCAAAGUUUCAGAACACAAAAACUCCACCACCGCCGCUUCCGCCGCUCGAUUAGCCGCCGGCGAACACCAAUAUACGGGAAAAAUCAUGGCUAAUGUUCCUCAUGACAGUGCGACGGUGUGGGUCCGAAAUCAAGCGGUGGGUUGCCGGAUUUUACCCGGAACCGGCGAGUUUCUUCCUUGCCCUCAAAAUUCCGAAUUCCACCAUUUUUGUCAUUUUCCACUCGUGCACACACAGUAACUUUUCUUCACAAUUUUAGUCCAUGAAAAACGUUCUAUCAUUCGGAUUUUCUUUAACAGAACCUUCCAAAACAUUUCAACAACAACAAAUGCUAUAAACAUGAUCGUUUAACAAAUCAUCAAACAUCAACUAUAAUAUUUCUUUAAACGGAAAAAUCAUGAGAUCAUAAACCAAACGCUCUGAUACCAACUGUUAGACAAUUCAUAUAAAACUUGAUGCGGAAAUUCAUAACAAAUCAUUGAUCUUUGAUCUUCAUGAUUUUCACAAAUAGAUUCAGACAAACCUUUAUCCAUAGCGCUACGCUUGAUGAUGAUCGUUGUAGAAAACCCAAUGAUCUCGAACCAAAAGGAGAAAUCCGAUUUCUCUCCCUUAACCCACUAAACCUUAAUGUAUUCAAUUGAUGGAGGAGAGAAUACGUUCUUUCAGUUAUUGUUGUUCGUAUGUGGGUGGAGAGAGGACCGGACUCUUUUAUACGUUCGUUGAAAAUGUGCAUUCCAUCAAAGCGAUAUACCCUUUCGUUUUAUUAGAGUCGUACCUUCUCAUAACCAAUAUUAUUUAUAGCAUUUCAAUCAUUAUUAAACCAUAUAAUAAAUCACAUAAUAUGGGCCACAAUAAUUCUUACACACCGAACCUCCCUCCGGUGAUGCACUGAUCUUCAGCUCGUAGCUAGUGUUCUCCAAGGUGUUGGCCAGCAUGUUGCUCUCGAUGAUUGAAUUGGAGUAGGAGUAGCUCCCAUUGUCCAGGACCUCGAGCUUGUGCUUCACUACCUUGUUCCGAUGGCCUAUAGAAAACGCAAGUCACAUUUGAGACGCCACCGGUUUCGAAAAUCGCAAGCACUGCUUUGAAACACCAUUGACUCACGACAUCGUCAUGUUAAUGGUCAGGAACAUUUGAAUUAACCAAGUAAAUUUACUAACCUUCGCUGCCAGUGGUCUCCUCGACAAGCUCGGCACUCUUGAGGAAAGGGAAGAAGACUCUGGAGAUGAGGUUUAAGGCCCUAACGAUGGCCUCGAACGCCUGGGCUAGGAGGAUGGAGGACUUGAUCUCAGUCCUGAAGUAUUCCAUGAUUCUCUGUCCGAAAAAAAUCUGCUAAAAGCUGAAAGGGAAUGAUGAGAAUUGCGAGUACUGAGUAGGAGUGAAGUCUUGAUCUAAAAUUUCGGAGCGCAGUUCUAUAUAUUUAUAGAUAGGGUGCGAGAGUGAGAUGUAGAGGAGUCCGUGUGUAUCUAAUGACUCUUUCGGGACGUUUGGGUGGACAAGGGGAACUUUUUUAUGUUUUUUUCUAGUUGCUUUACGGGUUACUUUUAUCGGCACAGAUCAGCCGGGGUUUCUUUCCGGAUUGGGCGCUUUCAAGAAUUUUGGGUGGACUCGGGGUUUAAACGAGAGGUAGAAAAAGCCAAGGGAACAGGAGGCAGGUGGGACCCUUCAGCCCGUGCUUUUUCCUUUUUUCCAUUGAGAGGACGGAGACGAGGAAAGCAUAUCCGGCCCGCUCGACUUUUGGCAAUGACAGAAGCUCUCUCGUUGAUAAAGCUAGGCCGUGAGGUGAGUUGAGUCAUGCACAAGUACACCAAAUUGAAACUCUUCCGCACGUGGAGAUAGCUUCAGACAACUUAGAUGCCGUGAAUUGUGUCAUUUCCUUGGAACUUCUAGGUCCGUCAUCCAGGAUUGUGAUCUUCUAUUGACCCAACUAGAAGCAUAAAUUAAACUAAAAUAAGAACCCAAAGAAGCAAAUCGUGUUGCGGAUUGAGUAGUCAAAGACCCACCGAGUUAGAACCCUUCCAUCCAAUUGGGUUGUUUAUCCCCCUCAUUUCCAUUGGUAAAUUUAAGUCUUGAAUUUGGUACUAGUUAUAAUUCAUCUUUGAGUUAGUAAUCAAAAGUUAUUUUCGACCAAAAAAAAAAAAACCACCGAUGACGUACUAAUUCGAUGUUGUUGAUUUUGUGCGUACAAAGUCCAAAUCAACAUUAAUGACGUCAUAUAUGGCGUGCUAAAAGUUGUUCAUGAGUUGAAUUUUUGCAAUUACGUGCCCAAUGAAUUUUGACGCUCUUGAGUGGGAAAUCACUAAAUUGUUAACUUUUUCCAAAUGCCUGACGGGUGUCAUAGGAUUAGUUUGGCGAGUAGAGAUAAAAAGUUAGCACGCAAGUAAUUUAAAAGCGCAGUGUAAAUUCGAUUCUCCCAAUCAAUGAGCAUAAACGAGAACAUGGGGGCGAAAAAGGUUGUUACCAGCAUUGAAAAAGUGGACUUUUGAGAAGCUCCAAUCACUAAAAUGUUGCGUAUUCGGCAAGAUGCAAGUAAGUCUAUCCAUCGAGAGUUAGUUUUUAGAGAAAUGCAUAAACAGAUAUUAAAUCAAUAGAUAUGCUUAGAAAAAUGUCAUACAUAGCUUUUUUAGCUUUUUUAGCUUUUUUAGUAAGCAAGAGGUCUUGACUUUGAUUCUCAACGAGAUCCUUUUUCUUUUGACUUGUAAUAUUUCCUUUUUUCACAUUCAAUCUUCUUCCUAACAAUUUUUUUGAUAAAAAAAAAUUCAAUCGAGCCAAAAAAUGAAUUGCUUAAUACAUGAUAGAGCCAACAUAUAUACAUACUAUAUAUGUGUUUUUUCUCAGUACAAAUGGUUAUACGAGGACCCAAUUAGUAAGAGGGAGGUCUUGAAUUUGACUCUCAACAAGAGCAUUUGUCAUUCAAACUUUUUCAUAACAACUAUUUUACUAAAGAAAAAAAUCGAUUGAGCCAAAAAAAUUGUCACUUAAUACAUCAUAAAGCCAGCAUACACAUAUAAUUCAUUUUUCUCACUACAAAUGGGUAUACGAGCACCCAUUUAGUAAGCAGGAGGUUUUAAGUUCGACUUUCAAUGAGAGCAUUUAUCUUCUGACUUAUAAAUUUUCCUUUUUGUAAAUUCAAACUUCUUCAUAAUAAUUUUUUUAAGAUAAAAACCACCAAAAACCCCAAACUUUGCUCAAAGUGACAAAUUUAUCCCAACCUUUAUAUUUUGAUAUGAAAAAUCCCGAAUUUUGCCAACUGUGACACAUUUAUCCCAAACUUUUUUUUAUGACACAAAAAAUUCUGAACUUGUAUUUAUGUGACACAUUUACCCUAAAUUGUAAGGUAUUUUGGUCUUUUACUUUUAAAAUAUUUUUUUUACUUUUUUUUUUCUUCUUCUCUCUUCCCUCCACCAGCCAUGGCAGAGCCGAUGGAGGAAGCCAUAGUUAGGCGAGGGCUACCCUCACCGGCGUCAAGCGAGGGUCGCCCUCAGCUAGGCUGGCUAGGGCCGCCCGACGCCAGUGAGGGAGGUCCUCGACCGACCCAGUCGAGGGUGGCCCUCGCUUGAUGACGCCGAGUGCAGCCCUCGCCUGACUCCAACUUCCCUCCGCCAUGGCCAGCGAAAGGAAGAGAGAAGAAGAAGAAAAAAGAAAAAAAAAGAGAAUAAGACGAAAAUGCUAUUGGUGGGUUAAAUGUGUUACAGUUUGCAAAAUUUGGGGUUUUUAUGUCACAAAAGAAGGUUUAGGAUAAAUUUGUCACUUUAGGCAAAGUUAUGGUUUUUGGUGGUCUUUUCCCUUUCAAUCGAGCCAUAAAAAAAGUCACUUAAUACAACAUAGAGCCAACAUAUAUAAUAUAUUUUGUUCCUUUUCUUGGUAUAAAUGGGAUACCAGCACUCGUUUAGCAAGCCUAAGUCUUGAGUCCGACUCUCAAUGAGAGCACUUGUCUCGUGACUUAUAAUCCUUCUUUCUUCUACAUUCGAACUUUUCCGUAACAAAUUUCUUGACAAACAUUCAAACUUCUAUCUUCUUGAUGCCGUUAUAAUAAGGGAUACGGAACUCUAGUGUGAAUGGAACUCAUUGCUGUGAUGCUAAAGGGAAGGCGAUGCUGACGAAUCCUACUGGAAUAUGCGGGGGACAGAAAAUCUUAGAGCUGGCGGUUAGAUCUAGUUGAGGUUACCAAGGGUUGAUUAUUGCUUAUCGCCCCGGAACUGACUUACCUAGGUCAUGCUCAGCCCUCACCCUUAGAAAAAGGAACUCAAGAAAAAAAAUUCAGUCACUGCUCCAUAAUGAUUAAUGUCCAUCAUAGUUCAAGUAAGGAGAUAUAAGCAAACGUUCAAACAAUAAAUAAAUAGAUCAACAAAAUAAAUUGGAUACCAGACUUAUAUGAUUCAAUCGCAGUGACCUACCUCUAUAAGAAAAGUAAUAACAAAUUUUAUUGUAGAUCAAACAAUAUGACGGAAAUUAUAAUCACAGUCGAGUUACUUUAAUACUCUUAUUGUUUUCCAAUUUCUAAUUACAUUCAAUAAUUCAAGUAAUAUAUAACCUCACAAUUUCUAACUAAAUAAUCCUUUAAUCUCAAGAAGAAAUUAACAAAUCGCGAAUUAAACCCUAAUUUCGCUAUAUGUAAUUCAAGGAGAAUAUCCAAUGUCAAGCACGCCAACGGCACUACUUGCGGCUGAAAAACCCGUGAUAAAGUCACCUCUCCACACGAGAGAGAGAGAGAGAGAGAGAGAGAGAGAGAGAGAGAGAGAGAGAGAGAGAGAGAGAGAGAGAGAGAGAGAGAGAGAGAGAAUGUGUGCAUGUCUGUCUUUUUCCUUCGGCAUUUUUGGCGGCUUCUUUUGUGGCAGUCAUCUAAGGCCUCGCAUGGUAAUGUUUCUGUUCCUUUUCUGUUCCCGGGAACAGAAACAAAAAAAAAAAAGUGUUUCUGUUCCAGGGAACGGUUUUUGAACAAAAGAACGUGUUUGGUAACGUUUGUUCCGGGAAUAAAAAAUGAAUAGAAACACGUUUGGUAAAUUUUAUUCUUUUUUUGUUUCUUUUAAUUUUUUAAUAUUUUUAUUUUAUUUUCCAUUUUUUCCUUUCUUUUUUAUUUUUUUCUUCUUUCGGCCGGUCGCCGACCUCCGGCGACCAGCCGACGAGGCCGGCAGCCUCGCCCGGCCACGGCAAGGCUCGCCGGCCCCCGGCAAGGCCGAGCCUCGCCGUGGUUGGGCGUGGCUCGGCCUCGCCGGAUCUAGGCGAGCUCGAGCUCGCCCAGCCAUGGUGAGGCUCGGCCUCGCCGGAUCUAGGCGAGCCCGAGCUCGCCCAGCCAAGGCAAGGCUCGGCGUCGCCAGUGCGGGCGAGGCCGAGCCUCGCCGCCCUGCCGUCGGAGCCAAGCACCUGCGCCCCGAAGCCCGCAGCUCAACGCCGUCCUGAUCUCACCACACCAUUCGCGACGCCGUCCACCGGCAAGGCCCGUGUCGCCCCGUGUCGAUCCCGAAGCCUCUAGUACGGCGCUGCCGUCGCACCGUCCUCCGGAGCCCCUCGCCGGAACCCUAGCCGAAGAUCUCCCAUCGAGCGAGGCCGAGCCUCGCCUUGGCUGGGCGAGCUCGGCGUGGGCGAGGCUCGGCCUCGCCAGGGGCCAGCGACGCUCCGGCGAGGUCGUUGACCCUCGAGGGCGUCGCCAGCCCUUGACGGCCGGUCGUCGGCCAUGGCCGAGGCCGGCGACCGGCCAGAAGAAAAAAGAAGAAAAAAGAAGAAGAAAAGAAGAAGAAAAGAGAAGAGAGAGAAGAAGAGAAGCGUUUCUUUUUGGCUUUGAAGAAGUUUUUCUUUUCUCCAGAAACAACUUUUUUGUGUUUCUUUUUUUUUGUUCCAAUUUUGUUCUGGGAACAAAAAAACAAAAAAAGAACAUAAACGCAACCAAAUGCGUUUCUGUUCUUUUUUUGUUCCCGGGAACAAAAAAAGUACAAAAGUGUUCCAGAAACACUUUUUUGGAGCGUUUCCAUGUAGGGCCUAAGUGACCGGUGAAGAAAGACCGAUAAAAAGAAGAAGAAGAAGAAGAAGAAGAAUACUUUCUGAGAGAGAGAGAGAGAGAGAGAGAGCAAUCAAUAUUGUCAGUGCACUGUUCGGGGUACAAAGCAAUGAUUUCAUCAUUCUUGAUUAGGGUUUUGAAAAUAUGGCUUUUCAAUCCGUUUCAUACAUUCUCCGGUUCCCUUUUGGGAGUAGUCGUGCACUACUCCCCGCCCCCUUCUCUCUCUCAACCGUCGUCUAGUUGAACAAUUCGUAACAGUCCCGACUCGUGCUUUUGCCGUCUGUCCCUUCUGCCUGAGAAUCUUGAAACGGUGCCGAUGUGGACCUCUUCCUCAACGGCAUCGCCGGCCCUCAACGGCCAUGGCCGAGGCUAGCGACCGGCCAAAGAAAAAAGAUAGAAGAAAAUGGAAGAGAGAGAAAAAAGUGUUCAUAAAUUUUGUUCCAGAAACAAUAAACAACUUUUUUUUUUCUUGUUUCCGUUCCAGAUGUGUUUCUGGAAACAAAAAAAUAAUUUUGGAACAAAAACGCAAACAAACGCGUUUCUAUUUCAAAAAACAAAAAUUUGUGUUCCUGGGAAUAGAAACACAUUUUAACAAACAGGCCAUUAGUAACUGUCCAAAAUUUCAAUUCCCAAAAUAGAAUUGCGUUUAGUAAUAUGCUCAAAAUUUCUACUCAAAAUCAUUUUCUUUUAAUUUUUAAAUAAUUUUAUUACUUUUUUCCUUUUUUUUCUUCUUUUCUUUUUUCCUUUCUCUCUCAUGUUCUUCUUCUUCAAGUGGCUAGUCGCCGGACCAGCGACCGGCUAGACGAGGGCUGGCAAUCUCAUCGAAAUGUUAAUAGCACUUAGCGAGGCUCGCCUAGCCUCACCGGUGCCUAGCCAGGCCUCGACGAGGCUGGGCAAGCCUCGUCGGUGGCCAGGCGGGCCUCGCCGAUGGCCGAGUGGGCCUCACCAGGGCUGGGCAAGGCCCCCCUGCUGGUGGCUAGGCUUGCCUCCGGCGAACUCGCUGGACCUCGCCCUGGCUUGGCAAGCCUUUGACAAGCUCGCCAGACCGGUUGUCAGCAACCAGCAAUAGUGGGUGGCGGACGGCAACCGCAGCGAUGGAUGAAGAGGAAGGAAAGGGAAGAAGAAGAAGAGAAAAUAUGGACUUGAUUCUUGGAUUUGUUCUCAAGAACAAGAAUCAACUUUUUCUUUUAAUUCUUGAUUAUGCUCCAAAUCCACUUCCCUAAAAAAAAAAAAUCCCAAAAACAAAAAUUUUACCAAACACGAUUCCGUUCCAAAAUUACUCCUGGGAACAAAAGAAUAAAAUUUGACACCGUUUGGCUGGUUACCAAACAGGUCCUUAGCAAGCUAAAGUUUUGAGUCCAACUCUUAACGAGAGCAUUUGUCUAGUGACUUAUAAUCUUUCUUUCUUCUACAUUCAAAUUUUCGUAACAACUUUUUUGAUAAACAUUCAAACUUCUGUCUUCUUGAUGCUGUUAUAAUCAGGGAAACGGAACUUUAGUGGGAAUGGAACUCAUUGCGGUGAUGCUAGAGGGAAGUUGAUGCUGACGAAUCUCACUGGAACAUGCGGAGGACAGAAAAUCUUAGAGCUGGGGAAAAUGAAUGGGUUUGGGAUUAAAUCUGGCUAAGUUAUUGCCCCGAAACUGACUCACCCAGGCCAUGGUCAGCUCUAAAGGGAACUCUAGAAAAAGAAUAAUGACUAAUGUUCUUUAUUGUUCAAGCAAAGAGACAUUUUCUAUCGGCUAAACCUUAUGCUUCUCACAUUCAAUGCUUGUGUUCCAUCUGAAGUUAUUUUUUACCACAUAAUUGUCGAAUGAUGGUUUUAAUUAGUGAUGGGCCUAAGUUGGCCCGUCUGCCCAUGCUGGGCCCAAAAGGCCCGGCCCACGGGAAUAGGGCCCGUAGAAGGGGAAGGUAUAAAAGGGAGGAGAGAGAGAGAGAGAAGACAACGCUUGGCUGAACGUACGUACGUUCUCUCCCUCGCUCUCUCUCCAAAAGGACAACAAGAACAGUAAGGCAAACGGCACGUUCUUCUUCCCUUCAAGGCGCCAUCGGAUCGAACAGGACCAGAAUUUCUUCUCGAUCUUUAGCAUUGGUGUCUAAUCUGUGGCUAACAAGGUACGCUCGAAUCCGUGGUGUGCUUUAUGAUCGGUGAUACGUGUUUUCCCGGGCUUCGUCUUCCGCAUUGAUUUAGGGGUUUGAUUGAGUGUCGAAUCCGGUUUUCGGGGAUCAGUCAUUCCCAACAUUGGUAUCAGAGCCCUAGUUCACGUUUUUCCCGAUCAAUUUGAUGUUUUUGAUUGAUCUUUCGCGAAAGAACUUCGGCCGUACGGAUCGGGGCGAAAAAUCCCGACACCCGAGCGCUGUUCGGCCAUUUUUCUGAGUUUUCGUAAGUCGAAAUUGAAUUCUGAAAGCACUGAGUGAAAGAGGUCGUCGAGACGAGUCCGGCGACAUGUUGUGCGUCGCCGAACGACGCCGCACGCACACACAUGCGCGGCCACAAGCCUCUGCGCGUGGGCGCCACGCGCCCGAAGCGCUGGCAAUGGCCAACGCGUGCGCCACACGCGCCGGUGACGAACCGGCACGUGCGUGCCGGCGACCGGCGAAACGGCACACGCCGGUCCGCGGACCAACGCGUGCUGACGUCACGUGAUGACGUCACCGUGACGUCAUCCAACGGUCGGUAACCGCUCGGAUGACGUCAUCGCCGACGACGUUUCGCCGGGCGGUUACUGGCCGGCGACCCGACCCAACGACGACCCGACCCGAACCGCGACGCCCGGCACGCCCGCGGCACGUGCCGGGUGACGUUUGCGUGACGUCAUCCCGCGCACGCGUGCGGCACGUGCGGACGGUUCGCCCGAACCAGCCCGACCGGUCUGCCCGGUCCGUCCGGCGACCGUUGACCCGUUGACCGACCGUUGACCGUUGACUUUGACUGUUGACCGUUGAUGAAAAAAAAAAAAGGAAUUUGUUUCUUUUUCAUAUAUGCCUAUGUGGUUUAUAUGUAAUCCAUUAUUUAUUCUGCAUUUGUUGCAUGAAUUUUGGAAAAUUAUGUGUUUUCCCUUAUGUUAAUUAUGGAUUAUAAGUGAUCCAUUUUUUAAUUCUGCAUUUGUUGCAGGAAUUAUGAUGCGUCAUGCACGAAUACCUACAAUCCCGAGAACGGACGAGGGAAAUGCAAGACUUAAAAGGCUGAUGACAGAGUUGGCUGAUUAUCGGUGGCAUAACGGUGAUUUAGUAUCACAUGUGGUCAAGGUCAAUAAGAUGAUACAGGAAAUCAUCAAUAAUGGUUAUCUUAUGCCGGAUUUUUAGAAGGUGCCGGCUUUGUUGAACACUCUUCCACCUGAAUGGCAAGCAGUGUUAGAUCGGCUAUGGGAGGUCAACGUGGUCCCGGGUUAUAGGAGGCUGGUGGAAGCUUUUGUAAGAGAGUACUAUAAGAUUGAGUUUGCCAAAACUUCAACCCUUAGAUUGUGCGCUACGUGGCGCAGAGUGAAUGCGCCUUGGUGGCGACAUGAAUGCUCUCCAAAAGUUUUUCCAUGGUUGGCAAAUGUGCCUUCAGUUUUCUCAGAUGUUUUGACUAAUAGAUUAGAAUGGACAUUCCCUAAUUAUUUCUUAGAUUAAUUGUGGGAUUUUUUUUUAUGGAUGUAAAUAUCUCUUUCCAUGUUGAUAUUUUUCUCUGUAUAUAUUGCUUAGUGUAAUGUAUAGUUGUAUUAUGUGAAAGCACUAUUAUUCUAUUGGAUGUUAGAUAAUAUUUGCUUUCUGUUACUGCUGAUUGCUGUGGGUAGUUAGCUGUGGGUAGUUCAUAGAAGUUUUUGUAGCUUCAUAGAAUUGUUUUUGCAUAUGACAAUCAUAUUAAUGAUAGUUUUAAGUUAGGAUUUUUGGAGGAUGAUUGGAAACGUAGUGACCUUUUGAUUCUGAAACCUUACUUGAAAUUAUUCAUUAAUAUGAUGGGUCUAUGCAAAUAGGGAUGCAUAAAUGAUAGGCAUUAAUUAUUCGUGCACAUAUGUCUGAUGUGUUCAGAUUGAUGGAUUCAGCAACUAAGAACGUAAUUGCUGAUGUGAACGGCAACAAUUGUGAAAUAUUGAAUAUGAAGAUUCAAUAUGUGCUGGAAAAGCAAGAAGCACUAGAAGCUCUUGACCAUGUUAUGGAAGAUCUUGAGGAUGCUGUGCGCCACCUUGAGUUGGUAGAGGACCGCUUAACGGCAUGUGAGCUGAAAAUAAAUAUUUGCAAUGCUGGUUCUAGCUCAGAAAGGGCUUUGAGCUCUAAGCGCAAGCGUAUUGAUUCGUUCAAUAUGUGGGAAUGCAAAGGAUCAAGUCCUUAUUGCAAGAGAUAAAGAGUUAACCAAUACAAGAGAGGAAAACGUCCUCAAGUUAAGAAAAUGUCAAGGGUGAGGUGUUACAAUUGUGACAAGAAAGGUCACUAUGCUCGCGACUGUCGUGAGCCAAAGAAAGUAAACACCUCUUGUACAUUUGAAAACUUUACUUUUGUGUCAAAUUCUGUAUUAUUAGCUGAAUUCAAUCCUUUGUGAACUGUAGAUUCAGGAGCAACAGACGAUGUAGCGAAAGAUAAAGGAUCCUUCGUGGAAUUCCGACGAAUACCAACUGGAACUAAGUGGAUCUAUGUGGGAAACAGCUCCAGAGUUGAAGUUAAAGGGAUUGGCACCUGCCAACUGAACAUGUGUGGUGGACGCACCUUGUUCCUACAUGAUGUUCUAAAUGCUCUGGAGAUUUGUCGAAAUUUAAGUGUCUGUUUUGAUGUUGGUUAAGCUUGGUUUUGAUAUGAACUUCCAUAAAUAAAGUGUAGAUUUGUGUUUAGAUACAAACUACUAUGGUUGUGGUCACUUUCUAGAUGGUUUUAUUGUACUAAAUGUUGACUGUGGUGAUGUCAAUAUGUUAUUCCCUUGUUUCACGUCUUUUACUUCAUGUGAUAAUGAUGUGAAUGUGUGGCAUGCUAGACUUGGUCAUAUUGGCCAACAACAUAUGAAUAGACUUGCCAAAGAGGGCUUGUUGGGCAAUAUUGAAUAAGUCGAUUUGUCCAUAUGUAAGCAUUGCUUAGAAGGGAAAACGACAAGGAAACCAUUUGGAAAAGGUAAAAGAGCUGACAUUCCUCUGCAUUUAAUCCAUUAUGACGUUUGUGGUUCAAUGAAUGUGAGAGGAAUGCAUGGGACUGUUUACUUCAUCACUUUUAAUAGAUGAUUAUACUCGAUUCGGAUGUGUCUAUUUGAUUUCUCAUGAAUCUGAAGCAUAAGUUGUUUCAAAAGGUUUAUGAACUUGGUUGAAAAUCAAUUAGACAAGAAAAUAAAAGCAUCGAGAUCUGAUCGAGGUCGAGAAUAUUUAUCUGAAAAGUUCAGAAAAUUAUGUGAUGAAAAAGGAAUAGAAAGACAGUUGUCUAUUCCAUAUACUCCUCAACAAAAUGGUGUUGCGGAGAGAAGAAACAGAACCCUACUGGAAAUAGUUAGGUCCAUGAUGGCGCAUGCUAACUUAGAUAUCACUUUUUUGGAGUGAUGCGUUGUUAACUGCUGUCUAUAUACUUAACCGAGUGCCUUCCAAAUCAGUUAGUUCCACUCCAUAUGAGUUAUGGACAGGUAGAAAACCAGACUUAAGUUUUCUUAAGCCAUGGGGUUAUGCUGCCUAUACUCAUGAGUCCUCUCACAAGUUUGGGAAAUUGAGUCCCAGAUAAAAGAAGAGUAUUUUCAUGAGAUACUCCGAACACUCGAAAGGGUAUAUGUUCAUAGGUGAGCAGGAAAGUGGGAGUAUGACUAAAUUUGAAUCACAGGAUGUCACAUCCUUAGUGGAUGAAUUUCCUAAGAAGGGCGAAAUAGGGGAAGAUUAGUCCCUAUUUGAAACCUUGGAUCAAGAUAAUGAUAUUAAUGGAGUUCGUCCAAGUGGGAGUAAUAUGAGAAGUGAUGAAUUGAAUUCAACUCAUUCUCAAUUACAACCACAUGAUGAGAUGAUAUCGUCAUUAUUUAAUCCGAGUGGGAGCAUAAUGGGGAAUGAUGUGCUAAAGUGUACAAUCUCCCAUAUAGCGAACAAGUCGCCAAAGGAUUCCCCGUCAACGUUUUGACAUUGAAGGGGAAACUUCUAAUGAUUGCUCCACAAAAUGAGGAUGAGCCAAGAAAUAUUAAUGAGGCUCUGAAUUGCCCUAGUAAGAAAAAAUGGAUUUAUGCAAUGAAAGAGGAGAUGGAGUCAAUGAAGUCAAACCAAGUCUGGGAACUGGUUGAUCUUCCAAAAAGGGGACGCAAAGCUAUUGGGAACAAGUGGGUUCUCAAAAUAAAGCAAAAGGCUGAUGGCUCGAUAGAAAGCAUAAGGCUCGCCUUGUGGCGAAGGGGUAUAAUCAACAGAAAGGAAUUGAUUAUGAAGAUACAUUUUCUCCUGUAGAGGGAUUUACCUCGAUUCGCAUUAUUCUGGCAAUAGUGGCUAGUAUGGAUCUUGAGUUACAUCAAAUGGAUGUAAAGACUGCUUUCCUCAAUGGAGAAUUAGAGGAAUAAAUAAAUAUGGAACAACCUGUUGGUUUCAUAGUGAAAGACCAAGAAGAAAAGGUAUGUCGACUUUGGGGGUCGAUAUAUGGCCUUAAGCAGUCGUCAAGACAAUGAUAUAUACGUUUUCAUAAUGCCAUAAUAGCAUAUGAUCUUACAAUGAUAGAUGAGGAUCAUUGUAUAUAUAUCAAAAGAUCCAAGGAUCAAUUUGUGAUCAUAUCAUUAUAUGUUGAUGAUAUAUUAAUUGCCGGAAGUAAUAUGGAGUUUGUUCAUACUGUCAAAAGUUGGUUGUCUUCCAAUUUUGAGAUGAAUGAUAUGGGAUUGUAAACACAUAAACACUCCUAUUGCAAAAGGUGAAGGAUUGAGCCAUAGACUGUGUCCAAGGACUCCACAAGAGAAGGAACAAAUGAAACAUGUUCCUUAUGCUAGUGCUGUUGGGAGCUUGAUGUAUGCUAUGAUGUGUACAAGACCUGACAUAUGUUAUGUAGUUGGAAUGGUGAGUAGAUACCAAUCCAAUCCAGGUCAAGCACGUUGGAAAGCCGUUAAAAAAAUACUAAGGUAUCUAAAGGGGACUGCUGAUUAUACGCUGAGUUAUUAUGGAAAGGAUCUGCGACUCUAAGGCUAUUCUGAUGAUGAUUGGGGAGGAGAUUUAAAUAAAAGGAAAUCUACCUCUAGGUUUGUUCUCUUACCGAAUAAUGGCACCAUGUGUUGGAGCAGUAAGAAACAAAAGUGUAUAGCCUUGUCCAUGAUGGGAAUUGAGUUCGUGGCAUUAUCAGCAGCAGUAUAAGAAGAUGUUUGGCUUAAGAGAUUUUUUGGAUCAUUUAGGUGUUAUUGGAAGUGCUGCAGAUUAAUUGUUGGUUAAUUAUGAUAGCCAAGCAGCAAAAGUGUACACCAAAGAUCCAAAAUAUCAUGACAAUACCAAACAUAUAGAUACCAAGUAUAAUUUUGUCAUGGAUAUGAUUGCACGAAAAGAUGUGAACUUAUAGUACAUACUACGCAUAGAAUGGUAGCAGAUCCUAUGAUAAAGCCAAUACCUAGAGAUGUGUUUUGUGGCUAUAUGAAAUCUCUAGGAUUGCGUAGAGGCUGAUGUACUGAAUAUUGUAAUUUCCCUAAGUGUUCACAAUUUGAUGAAUUUGUGUUUUCAUCAUUAAUGCCUAUGAAUCUUUGUUUGAUCUUUAUGCAUCUUAAUGCUCAGUGCAUUACUUUAAGUUAAGAGAAGUAUGUCGGACAGAUAUAAGAUUAGCCCACUCACACGGGUAAUCGCCUCUAUUUACUGUGUGAUAAAUAGAGAUGAGACUGUUUUUAAGCUUAUUAUCUAGGUGAUAAUCGAGAGCUCAAGCUUAAAACACGUAUGUCACCUUAACUAAGUGUUAAGAUGGGGACAUAAUACUUACUAUGUCCGAAAGUAAAAUACCCCACAUAUUUUACUUUAUCUGUUUAAGAUGCCAAAUGUGAGUUCUGAUGAAUUUUGUAAAUGAGUAGAUACGUGAACUCAAGUUAGACAUUGGGUAUGUCUGAACUAUCAUCUGUACGGUAUUGAAAGGUGUAGACAUACGCUCCAUGGGAAAGGAGUUGAUACCGUAAUACGUAUUUCAUACUACGUAUGCAUGAGACGACUAAUAAGAGUGGCAAAAGUUUGAUCUCAACUUUUUUUUUAUGUCGUGUGAGACUCUUGAGGAAAAGAGUUCCUCAAUUUUUUAGUCCCCUCAUGACUCUUACUUAUUCUCAAGAUUUCUAUUUAGUGUUUGCUAUCUUAGGAUGUUGCCAAUGGUCAUGAGUUUCAUUCGAUCUAAUGGGGCAUUUCUAGAAAAGCAAGCUGAACUGAAAUUGAGAGUUUGAAGGAAAGAGGAAGAUCGAUUUUGGAGAAUCACAUUGUAGUUUUGUAUUCACCGGUUAACCAAUUAUGACUGUCUUUGGGAUAAUCAUAAUUGUGAAUACAAUAUAUAUAUAUAUAUAUAUAUAUAUAUAUAUAUAUCAUUGUUUAAAAGAGAUCAAGAGAGAUAUAAAUGUGAUCAAUCGAUCUAGGGAACUGCAUACUAAAUCUACUCGGAGUGUGAUGCCCAUUAUGAGCUGCUAUAUAUUCCUAACAGAUGUAUGGCAACGAGCUCUCAAAGUAUGCUAGUCGCACGGAUUAUUCACUGGUAUGAAUGUUGAAGAGAGGUAAAGAGAAUUCUGUUCGGCCCACCAUGUGCGAGUGGGAGAUGAUGGUUUUAAUUAGUGAUGGGCCUAAGUUGGCCCGUCCGCCCAUGCUGGGCCCAAAAGGCCCGGCCCACGGGAAUAGGGCCCGUGGAAGGGGAAGGUAUAAAAGGGAGGAGAGAGAGAGAGAGAAGACAACGCUUGGCUGAACGUACGUACGUUCUCUCCCUCGCUCGCUCUCCAAAAGGACAACAAGAACAGUAAGGCAAACGGCACGUUCUUCUUCCCUUUAAGGCGCCAUCGGAUCAAACAGGACCAGAAUUUCUUCUCGAUCUUCAGCAUUGGUGUCUAAUCUGUGGCUAACAAGAUACGCUUGAAUCCGUGGUGUGCUUUAUGAUCGGUGAUACGUGUUUUCCCGGGCUUCAUCUUCCGGAUUGAUUUAGGGGUUUGAUUGAGUGUCGAAUCCGGUUUUCGGGGAUCAGUCAUUCCCAACAGUUGACAACCUAAUUUGACCAAUAAACGCAGUACAUCUAUAUAGUAUCUGGAGAGCAGCUGUUGUUGCUAGCUAAGGAUUACAUCAAGUAUCUUUUUAGUGGAUGUUUGAGUGUUAGGUCAACCCGUGCGAUACCCCAGUGAGGAAGAUUUUACAACGAGCUAACAGAGAAGAAAGAGGUUGAUCAGUAUUGGUUAGUGUUGAAAAUUGAGAUCCAUUUUCUAAAACUAGCUAAUUUCUUCUAUUGUAAUCUAGAAGCUCCUAAGUAAAGGUUUUGGUAGUGGAAGUUGUGGUCUAACAAUGUCCAAGUUAAGAGAUGUUUGGAUGAAUGGCCGUGGACAGUUGUAAAGCAAAAAUAUCUCUGACAAAAGCAGGAAUCUUUCCUUGAAGAAUACGGUGGGUGGCUUUAUGAGUAAAGCAAGAACUAGUUUGUGUAAGGUGGUGGAAGCAUCAGAUAAACUCCAGCCACGUGAACAUCCCGUCCUACAAUUAUGUAACGCCACAUUUCUAUCAAAUAAAUAAACGAUAUUCUUGUCUCAUAAAUCUUUUUCUAUAUUCCUCAGAGUAUUCAUCCUUGUCCAUUCCCCUACAUCAACUAUACCAUAAACAUAUACAUUUACACAUACAAACAAAAAAAUAUCAUUGAUAUCAAAGUCAUUCUUCGGCACAAUCUCACAAUUUCCAACAGUUAGAGAAGGCGAUAAUUAAUAUCCCGACCUAGUGGGACGGUCCUGAGAAGUAGAGGCGCAGGGAGAGAAUAUAGACAAGAUUUGUCUUCCAGCUAUGAUAAUGACCUCUGAACAAUUCAUCUUCGUCUUCCCCAGUCAUUUUAGAUGGAACAGCGAUAUCAUUCCACGGUUCUAGUUUUGCAGUGAUCCGAAGCUUGAUCUUGGUAGACGAUGAGAAAGCUGUCUUGUGUAGUUGUUACACCAUCCGUCAUGGAAUUUUCGUGCAAAAUUUAACAAGAACAAGGUCAGAUGAAUGAAGGAUUGAAGUCUAUGUCAUUCUGUUUUGUUGCAGUAUGAAUGACUGAGUUCAAGUUGAUUCAAAGCGUUAGAGCAAUUGGGACUUGAUAGGCUGCUUCAUCGGGUGAGGACUUCUUCGUUCCAACUUUUUCUGUCCCUUUUGAUUCGUUUUCAUUUCUGCUAUUGAUUUCGUCAUUUUGAGCUUAGGUUGCUACCUAAUAGGCAGAAUUUUUGUAACAUUUGAUAUGAUAUGCAAAUACACAUUACUUGUGUAUAUCUCGAAAAUUCCCACAUUUAGACACUGCUUUAGGCUGGCUUCCAAAAAAAUGCCCUUCUAUUAAUCUUCCGAGCGUUAAAAACUACAAAUACAAACUAAAAAAGUCAGAUUGUGAGAGCAACUUCCGUUUGCUCUUUCUUUUGUUUUGCAUUGCAUAUUGGUCCUUCCCCUAUUUUUGCAUGCUGACAGCUAAUCAUAAACACCAAGUUGCUUCAAAGGUUAUGGUUGAAACAAGCAUAUACUGAAAUGUAGAGGCAAAAGAAAUUAUGUAGGUUCUCGAAACUCUGGUGGUUGACCGCAGGGACAUCACCCGAUCCCGGUAUGUUGAGCUUUUUGAUGGCAAUGAUUUGGCUGCUGGCCAGUUCAAUCCUGUAAACGCUCCCGAACCAGCCCUUCCGAUGCAGUACUUUUCACUGCAGUCAUUGGUAGCCUUGGCGAUGUCAUUGAAUGUGAACUUCCCUUCCCUUCCCCAUAUGAUCGACUUGGAUUGCUCUUGCUUCACAAGACUCUUGAUCUCUUCAUCGAAUUCCUUGUUUCGCCACCAAAGUGCCAGAAUCACAGCAAUUGAAAUCACCAGAAAUAGUAAGCAGCAGAUGCCCAGGGUCACACCAAAAAAAACCUUUUCCCUAUGGUCGGUCGAUUUACGCUCAUCCCACAAGGAGAUAAUCCGGUCGUGUUUCCACACAAACCUAGAUUCGCGAUUAAAGCACUUCCCUGUGCUUGUUGGGAGAGGCGACCACUACGAACCACACUAAUUGGCUUGUUGCACGAUAAGUCUGUUGAGCUUCAACUCCUCAUGUUGGUGAGAGGAGCUGGGAUCGUAACCGACAAUUUGUUAUGCAAAAGAUUGAGAUUUUCCAAUUCAGUGAACUUUGCUAAAUUGGAAGGAAUUGAUCCUGCUAGAGAAUCAUGGCUCAGGUUCUCCUCUGUAGCGUGAACAAGUUCCCCAGCUCUGGCGAUAUGACAUCCAACAUAUUGUUGUUGCUCAAGUUCAAGCUCAGUAAAUUCUUGCAAUUCGCUAGCUCUUCCGCUAUGCUACCGCUCAAUGCCUUCUCCCCGACAAAUCAAGAUAUUCUAGCUUCAAUAAGUUUCCUAACUAGGUGGGAAUAUCUCCAGCCAAAUGGUUGUAGCUCAAGUUCAGCCUAAUCAACGCCCCCAGACUUACCAAAUCAUCAGGAAUUUUCCUGGUCCAUUCAUUGCCAUAUGGAGUCAGAUCGUGCAAUUGAGACAAUUUAUUAAUCUCCGGCAAGAUGCGGCUGGGGAUUUUGUUACCAUCUAUCUGCAAAUUCGUGACAUUCGUGCACUCUCCCCAUUCUGCAGAGAGAUUCCCGACAAAUCGGUUGUUGCUGAGGACCUGAGGCUUAUAAAGUCCGGAUUCAGAUAAACUCCAAACGCACUCAUGACAUCUGCGGUGAACCGAUUGCUGUCCAGACGGACUCUCGUUAGCCCCGGACAAUUCCUAAGCAGUUGGGCAGCGGCUAGGUGAAGUUAUUCCCAUCGACCACGAGAUAUCAAAGAGCAAAGCCGCUGCAUAUAUCUGGCGGCAGCUCUCUGGUGAAGCUGUUGUUCGAAAAGUUAACAUUGCCCAGAGAAUGGCUGUACUUGCCAAAAUCACGGGGUAUGCCUCCCGAGAAAGUGUUCAUGAACAAAGAGAUGGACUGUAAGUGAUGCUACAUCAUGGCUUUUUCCUUCCCAGCCCUGAUCUCCUCUUCUUCAACUUGAAGUGCCUCCUUGGUGGUAUACUUGCUGGUCAUCUUGCAAACCGACCUUCAUCACUGACAGCCUCUCAAACUUGACCUCGUAAUCAAUCGACUCGAGUUUGUCCUCUAAUGUGUCACCUUCGAUUAUCGUCUACCUACACACGAAGUUCUCCUUGUCGAGCUCAUUGAUCCGGUGCUUCACAUUCUUGAAAUGACUAGCUGCAUUUGUGACCAAACAAGACUUACAUUAUGAAACUCCCGGCUUGACGAGUGUCUGUUGAGUGUUCGUACCUUCGGCGAUAUUAACUUGCUCGAUGCUCCCGGCUCCUCCGUUGCCUUGCACGAGCUCCACGCUCUUUAUGAACUGAGGCAGGAGCUUUGGGAUCAGGGAAUUCAACCCGACGAUCAAGGCCUUGAACAUGUGAGCUGGAGCAAUCGGGCACGUGAGCUCUUGUGUGAUGCUGGUUGCACCCAUGGCUAUUGGCAAUGAGAAAGAAAUAACCCCAGAGAAGUUCGUGCUUCUGAGUCCUGUCAAUGCCUCCUAUUUAUGGUUAGAAUUAUGCGAAUAGGUAGGCUUGGUUUGGCAAGAGUCACGUUUGAGGAAAAUAGAAGAGUCGAGGAUUCGCGGCCUAAAGAAAUAUAUAAUAAGAAUGUACUUUUCCUUAAUGAUUUUACUUAUUGCGGUUCAUGAAAAAUUGUGCCACCUUGAUAUGUUUCGAUGAUCGAUCCGGAUCGAGCGGGAUCGAUAGUCCAUAUUCGAAAUAUUAGGCCACAGUUUACCAUGAAUUCAUUUCACUCAUGUAUCCUCUCCAUGUAGCGCAGUUUACCAAAUGCCAUAAAAACCACUACACCAGAUUCCUGUCACAUCUUUCAUUCUCUUAUUCUCAGCAAAGACUGGAACAACAACAAUCACCAGCCCAACAUGCUUUAACUUCGAACACCAAGUGACUCAAACGCUUCUUGUCUUCUAUUUAGUUUUGCCCAACCGGACAAUAAAAGAUAGCGACGAGAUCGGCGCAACAGGCAUCAGCGUUUGCCACGACAGAAGCCUCUAUGGCCUUGACCAUCGCGUCCACCUUCUCUUUCCCGGCCUUGAUCUCCUCCUCGGUGAUAUUCACCUCGCCAAUGGUGAAGUACUUGCUCAUGCACUUCAACACCGAGCCUCCCUCGGGCGACGCGGUGAUCUUCACCUCGUAGCUGAUCUUCUCAAAGGCGGUGCCCAGCGCAUCACCCUCGAUGAUUGAGUAACAGUAGGUGAAGUUCUCCUUGUUCAAGGCCUAGACCUUGUGCUUUGCCGUCUUGUACCGACUGCCGAUCAGAGUAACAAAAAGUAACAUUCACAUUUAGAACUUGCCGGUUUCAACAUUGUGAGCACCGAUCUUGAUGGUGUAGAAUCGGCCAUUCAGGAAUUAGCCCCCAGCCACAAUCCAAUACUAUUAACUUAGACAUGGCCUGAUUUUGCCUUAUCGAAAUCAGGUCACAUGAUCACAUGUGUAAAUUUAAACAGUUAGAAACGUCUUAAUUAAUCAAGUCAUAUAUCUAUAUUUUUCAAUCAAGUCAUAUAUCUAUCAUUAAGGAAUUAGCCCCCAGCCACAAUCCAAUACUAUUGACUUAGACAUGGCCUGAUUUUGCCUGAUCGAAAUUGGGGCACAUGAUCACUUGUGUAAAUUUAAACAGUUAGAAACGUCUUAGUUACUAUCUAUCUUUUUUAAUGUCCAUUAUAGUGUUCCAUAAGGUUGAACCCGCCUUGAUUUGGAGCAAUCCUAAGUUCCUAAUAUGGAUGGACUAACCUUCGCAGAAAGUCAUCAACUUGAUGGUCCCGGGACCUCCAUCGCCCUUGAAGACUUCAAUGCUCUUGAUGUCUUGUGGGAGGACCUUGUUGAUGAGGUUAUCGGCGUCAAGGAGAGUGGCCUCAAACAUCUCGGCCGGAGGGAUUGGGGACGUAAGUGAUGACACCCAUGACUGGAUCCGAACAAAGGUGCAGAAACUGAGAAGAGGGUGAUGAUUAGGAAAGACUUAGUAGUGAUGAAUUUGGUCUCUAGGACUUGGGAGUGAAGGAAGGAGGCCGAAUUGAAGAAGACAUAUGUAGAGAGACUGAGUGUGAAGGGUUAUGAUUUCUGAAUAUUUUCUUCUUUCUCAGGUGGGUUUUGCAGAAAAUAAAUAAUUUAAAAAAUAUUUUCCUAAAAUUAAUCGUCAAAUUUGGAUAGUGUUUCCAAGCAAGAGUUAUUUGGUGAGUGUGCUGCAUAUUGUAAAUUGAUCUAAAUCCAUAUAGAACUCACAAGAAUUACAAGCCUAUAUCUCCUUAAUAUAAAUACGAUGAAAAAAUGCUACCUCAUUUCCGAAUUUUCGUCAAAAUUGUGCUAUAUAUACUAUGUUAAUCUAAAUUGCUAAAUUCAAUGGGCUCACGUGGGAUCCAUACAAAACUCACCAGAGUUAAAAGUUUUGAUUCCGCUUAAUAUGAAUACAGUGCACUUUCGUCAAAAUUGUGUUGUCUAUACUAAAUUGAUUUAAAUCACUAAAUCUGAUGGGUUCAUGUGAGACCCAUAUGGAACUUACUAGAAUUAAAAAUCCAAAUUCAGCUUAAUAUAAAUACAACCUAGCUCAUUUAUGAGUCUUCAUUAAAAGUGUGUUGUAUGUCCUACAUUGAUCUAAAUCGCUAAAUAUGAUGGGUUUGCGUGGGAUCCAUAUAGAACUUACUAGAAUUAAAAGUCCAAAUUCCCCUUGAUAUAAAUACGACACUACCUCAUCUCCAAGUCUUCGUCAAAAUUCUGCUAUAUGUACUAAGUCAAUCUAAAUCGCUAAAUUUGAUGGGUUCACGUGGGAUCCAUACGAAACUCACUGACAUUGAUUCCACUUAAAAUAAAUAUGAUGCUCUUUCAUUGAAAUUGCGUUGUAUGUACUAAAUUGAUUUAAAUCACUAAAUAAGAUGGGUUCAUGUGGGACUUAUAUGGAACUCACUGGAAUUAAAAGUCCAAAUUCCACUUAAUAUAAAUUUGACCCUAGCUUAUUUUCGAGUCUUCGUCAAAAGUGUAUUGUGGGUUCAAGUGAGAUCUAUAUGAAACUCAUUGGAAUUAAAACUCCAAAUUUCUCUUACUAUAAAUAUGAUGCUAUCUCAUUUCCGAGUUUUCAUCAAAAUUAUGUUGUAUAAGCUAAUAUACGGGUUUGUUUUAUUAUUAUGACUUUUGAGAUUCCCUUUCAUGGAUCAGUUUGAUAAAGAAUCGAAAUUUCCUUUUGACCCAAAAAAAAAAAAAGUUAAUCUAAAUCACUAAAUUUUAUGAGUUUACAUGAGACCCAUAUAAAACUCACUAAAAUUAAAAGUCUAGAAUCCACUAGAUAUAAAUACGAUGCUAGCUCAUUUCCAAAUCUCCAUCAAAUGCCUUUUUAUCAUCAUUUUGAAGCUUCUGAUCGCACCCCACUCUGUCACACGUGAAUUGGGAAUGAUUUUCGACGCCAAAGUCUUCGUUAAAUCUCAUAAAGAUUGAGCCAACGUGGAACAACAACUCAAUUGUAAGCAUCGGGGUUUUGCAAGAGAUGGGCUCCAAUGGCUUUCAACAUUCCCAUGGCCUUCUAUUUGCUAGCCUUGUUCUCGAACCUGUCCUUGGCGAAGUACUUGCUCGUGCUCUUGCACGUGCACCCUCUCUGUCUGGACUUGAUCUCGUUCGAGAUCUUCUCUAGCACGUCGCCCUCCACAAUGAUGUAAGCGUGCGGGAGCUUUCCUUGUCCAGCUUGUCGACUGGUGCUUCACCGAGUUGAACCGUGUAGCCGCGACACAGAAAACUGUAGUCAGCUCCCACGUUAGUCUUAUCUAAGAAUGUCAGGCAAAUAUGUUGACAUCACAUGUUGAUGUGUGAUCAAAAUGAGUGAAAUUAGAAGACGCGCAGGUACUCGCCUUCGCCGAAAACGAUGCGAUGGUGACGGGACCGCCGUCACCUUCAAGGGUGACAAAAUCCAGAUUGGCUUGUAGGAGGAGCUUGGGGAUGAGAUUUUUAUCAAGAUCAAAUGCCUUGAACAUUCGUGCAGGUGGGAUGGAAUGCGUCUUAGCCUAAGAUUUCCAAGUCCCAGGGCAAGAGAUGUGAGAUUAUGUUGAAAUGCCCUUUAAAUGAUUCUCAAUCUCCUCGUUUAGUAAUCUAAAUCAGCAUCACAAUGUUCUUAAAUAAUACAAUAAAAAAAGAGGACAAAAGGCAUGGAUCUCAAGCCCAAAUUAUACUUAUUAGCAUGCGAGAGACCUUUGAAUGCUGACACCCUUGAGGGUGGGAAUUCACUAAAUUAUAAUUUAAAUAUUCUAACGGCGCCAACGGCUCGGACAGGAAAGCUUGAGUACGUGCGGAUAAUUCUUGCGCAACGAAAUGCAUGGUAAGUCACGAAUCGAGACUCAUCCGCAUACACGCUAUUGCGACCAUGACCAUGAAUACCACUUCCUUGACCAGUUGGCCAGUCGGAGGAGGAAGAUGUGGGUUGAGCAUAUCCUAUAGUGGCACAUUUGAGUCUUUGAAUAAUGUCGACAUUUGUGUCAUUUGUAGGGAAGAGAGAAGAUUCCGGGAUGCUUCCUCAUCAUUCUCUAGCAUCGGUACUUUUACUGUUGACUCUGUUUCAUGAAAGAAGAAUGAAUCAAUGUUUUGAUCACAACCUCAAGUUGCCUACAAAUUCCAAAUUUUUGAGAUUCUGUUAAUACAUACCACUUUUCAAAAUCUGUACUUGCUCUUCCUAAAAGUCUUGUUAGAAGUAUUGGAUGAAUCCAAAUUCAAUAUGUCAAUUGAAGGUAUUUGAUCAACCCGAGACCAUAGGUACAGGGGGAAUGUACUGAUUAGAUUUGAUCAUGUAGCUUACCAGGAACCAUGUAGCCAUAAGAUCCAGCCACUGGGAUCCAAUUCGACGAAUCCGAAUUCAAGAGCCUCACUGUCCCAAAAACCAAAAGCCAAGGCUCGAAGUCCGACUCGAGCAAGAUGUUGUUCAACAUCAUGUUCCGAUGGACAAUAGGCAGUGAGCAAUUGUGAUGCAAGUAGGCGAUCACGGGAGCCACGCAUUGAACAAUCUUCACUCUCUUAACACAAGUCCAAUUCAACUGCUCCGCUUCCUCCAUGCAAGACCUUUGCCAAAGUUCACAAAAGAUUGGAUGAUGUCCCUGCGGUUAACCACCACUUUUUUUUACCAUGACGAUGUGGCCGCUGGCCUAUUCGGCCUUGUAAACGCUUCUGAAUCCACGUUUUCCGAUGCAGUACUCUCCAUUGAAGCCGUUGGUGGCCUUGGCAAUAUCGUUGAAUGCAAACUUCAUUCCCCUUUCCCAUAUGAUUUCACGUACUUCAUAAGAUUUCUUAUCUCUUCAUCGAGAUGCUUGUUUCACCGCCAAAGCACCAAAAUCAGAGCAAUAAGAGUCACGAGAAGUAGUAAGCAGCAAACGCAACAAUCACAUUAAUCAGAACCUUUCUCCGAUGGUCAGUCGAUUUACUGCUCGACCCACAUGGAGACAUUCCGUCGCGUUUCCUCACAAGCCCGGAUUUGCAAUAAAAGUACUUCCUAGUUAUUGUUGGAAGAGGCGACCACCAAGAACUGCGCCUGUCAACUUGUUGUACAAGAAGCCCAUGAAGCUUAAACUGCUCAUGCUGGUGAGAGUAGCUGGGAUCGUACCCAACAAAUCGUUAUGCAAAACGUUGAGAUUUUUCAAUUUAGUGAGCUUUGCUAAAUUGGAAGGAAUUGAUCCUACUAGUGAAUUGUGGCUCAGGUCUAGUGGUUCUGUAGCGUGAACGAGUUCCCCAGCUCUGGCGACAUGACACCCAACAGAUUGUUGUUGCUCAAGUUCAGGCUCAGUAAAUUCUCGCAAUUUGCUAAUGCUUUUGGUACGAUCCAUAGAGAAGGGAUGUACUUGCCGUAUUGUGGUUUAUGAAAGAUUGUGCCACAUUGAUAACUUUAGAUGUUAAUCCAAAUUCGAAAUAUCAGGCCAAAUUUUGGUAUUUUAUUGGCCAUUUGGCAUUUCAUUUGUAACUCAUGAAUUCUCUCCUCGUAAAAAAAUUACUAAAUUAGAGAAUUUCAUUCUACAAGCCUUGUAUAAACAUGUAGCAUAGUUUAUCAAAUUCCACAAAACCACUGCACCAGAUUCCUAUCACACCUUUUAUUCUCUUAUUCUCAGCAAAGACAAGAACAACAAUACUCACCAGCCCAACAUGCUUAGCUCCAAACAGAGUGACUCAAACUCUUCUUGUCUCCUUUUCAGUAUAGCACAACCACACAUAUUUAACGCAUUACGUAAACAAUACAAGAUAGCGAAAAGAUAGGCUCAGUAGGCAUCAGGGUUUGCCAAGAGAUAAGCCUCGAUGCCCUCGUACAUCGCGGACACCUUCUCUUUCCAGGUGUUGAUCUCCUCCGCGGUGAAGUAACUGUCCGUGCACUUCAACAUCGAGCCUCCCAAAGGCAACGCGUUGAUCUUCACCUCAUGGGUGAUCUUCUCGAAGGUGGUGCCCAGCAUUUCGCUCUCGAUGAUUGAGUAGCGGUAGGUGAAGUUCUCCUUGUCCAGGGCCUCGACCUUGUGCUUCGCUGUCUUGAACGGAUUGCCUAUCAAUGUAACAAAAAGUCACACUCACAUUUAGAACUCGCAGGUUUCAAUAUCACGAGCACCAAUCUUCAUGGUGUCCAUCAGGCCAUUUAGGAAUUAACCCAAUUGUUCCGACCGCAAUCCAAUACAAUUGACUUAGACAUAGCCUGACUUUGCCUGAUCAAAAUUGAGUCACAUAAUCACUUGUGUAAAGUUAAACGGUUAGAAACAUCUUAAGUAAUCGAGUCAUAUUUCUAUCUUUUUCCAUAUUCAUUUUAGUGUUCCAUAAGGUUGAACCUACCUUGAUUCAAAGCAAUCCUAAGUUCCUAAUACGGAUGGACUAACCUUCGGCAAAAGUCAUCAACUUGAUGGUCCCGGGACCUCCAUCGCCCUCGAGGACUUCAACGCUCUUGACGGCUUGUGGGAGGACCUUGGGGAGGAGGUUAUCGGCAUCGAGGAUAGCGGCCUUGAACAUCCUGGCCUGGGGAAUGGGGGAUGGGAUAUCGAAGUGAAAAGUGAUGACACCCAUGACCGGAUCUUACUAGAGUUGCUGAAACUGAGAAGGGGGUGAUGAUCUGGAAAGACUUGAGUAGUAGUGACGAAGUUGGUCUCUGGGACUUGGGAGUGAAGAGAAGAGGCUGAAUUGAAGUUGACAUAUAUAGAGAGAGGGAGAUUGAGUGUGAAGGGUUCUGAUCACUGCAUAUUUUUUUCUUACUAAGAUGCAUUAUAUUUUGCGGAAAAUAAAUAAUUUAGAAAAUAUUUUCCUAAAAAUAAUCACUAAAUUUAGAUAGUGUUCUGAGCAUAAGUUAUUUGGUGAGUGUGCUGCAUGUUCUAAAAUGAUCUAAAUUGCUAAUUUAAUGGGCUCACUAGAAUUAAAAGUCUAGAUUCCCCUUAAUAUAAAUACGACACUACCUCAUUUUCAAGUCUUCAUCAAAAUUGUGUUGUAUAUAAAUAUGACCCUAGCUCAUCUCCGAGUCUUUAUCAAAUGUGUGUUGUAUGUCCUAAAUUGAUCUAAAUCUCUAAAUCUAACAGGUUCACGUGGGAUAAAUGUGGAACUCACUAAUUAAAAGUCUAGAUUCUCCUUGAUCUAAAUACAAUGCUAUGUCAUUUCGAAGUUUUCGUCAAAAUUGUGUUGUAUAUACUAAGUUAAUCUAAAUCGCUAAAUUUGAUGGGUUCAUGUGGGAUCCAUAGGAAACUCACUGAAUUAAAAGUUUAGGUCAACUUAAUACAAAUACAGUUUUCUUUCAUCAAAGUUAUGCCGUAUGUACUAAAUUAACCCAAAUUGCUAAAUCUGAUGGGUUCAUGUGGGACCUAUAUAAAACUCACUCGAAUUAAAAGUCAAGAUUCUCCUUGAUAUAAAUACGAUGCUAUGUCAUUUCAAAGUUUUCGUCAAAAUUGUGUUGUAUAUACUAAGUUAAUCUAAAUUGCUAAAUUUGAUGGGUUCAUGUGGGAUCCAUAGGAAACUCACUAAAUUAAAAGUUCAGGUCAACUUAAUAUAAAUACGGUUUUCUUUCAUCAAAAUUAUGCCGUAUGUACUAAAUUAACCCAAAUUGCUAAAUAUGAUGGGUUCAUGUGGGACCUAUAUGAAACUCACUCGAAUUAAAAGUCAAGAUUCUCCUUGAUAUAAAUACGAUACUAUGUCAUUUCUAAGUUUUCGUCAAAAUUGUGUUGUAUAUAAAUAUGACCCAAGCUCAUUUCCGAGUCUUUAUCAAACGUGUGUUGUAUGUCCUAAAUUGGUCUAAAUCACUAAAUCUAAUAGGUUCACGUGGGAUCCAUGUGGAACUCACUCAAAUUAAAAGUCUAGAUUCUCCUUGAUAUAAAUACGAUGCUAUGUCAUUUCUAAGUUUUUGUCAAAAUUGUUUUGUAUAUAAAUAUGACCCUAGCUCAUCUCCUAGUCUUUAUCGAACGUGUGUUGUAUGUCCUAAAUUGAUCUAAAUCGCUAAAUCUAACAGGUUCACGUGGGAUCCAUGUGGAACUCACUUGAAUUAAAAGUCUAGAUUCUCCUUGAUAUAAAUACAAUGCUAUGUCAUUUCUAAGUUUUCGUCAAAAUUGUAUUUUGUAUAUAAUAAGUUAAUCUAAAUCGCUAAAUUUGAUGGGUUCAUGUGGGAUCCAUAGGAAACUUACUAAAGUUAAAAGUUCAAAUCAGCUUAAUAUAAAUAUAGUGCUCUUUCAUCAAAUUACGUCGUAUGUACUAAAUAACCCAAAUCGCUAAAUCUGAUGGGUUCAUGUGGGACCUAUAUAAAACUCGCUGGAAUUAAAAGUCUAGAUUCUACUAAAUAAAAAUUAGGCCCUAACUCAUUUCCGAGUCUUUGUCAAAAGUGUGUUGUAUGUCCUAAAUUGAUCUAAAUUGCCAAAUCUGAUGAGUUCACAUAGGAUCCAUAUUGAAUUCACUAGAAUUAAAAGUCCAAAUUCCACUUAAUAUAAAUAUGACGCUAGCUCAUUUCUGUUUCUUCAUCAAAAUUGUGGUAUAUGUACUAAGUUAAUCUAUAUCGCUAUAUUUGAUAGGUUCAUGUGGAACCCAUAUGAACCUCACUAAAAUAAAACGUCCAAAAUCGAUUAAAUAUAUACACUACUUUAACUCAUUUCUAAGUCUCCAUCAGGCGCCUUUUUCUCAUCUCUUUGAAGCUUCCGAUCUCGUGCCAUUCCGUCACAUGUGAAUCGCGAAUGAUUUUCCACGCCAAAGUCUUUGUUAAAUCUCAAGACUUAAAAAUACGAAUGUGAAGUAACAACUGCGUGUCAAAUGCAGAAAAUUCAUAUGUGAAAAAGUUGACCGUCCCUUCUUGAGUCAACUGUUCUCUUCCUCGAUAUGCUUUUCUGAUCUGGCCUCACAGAUAGAUGGGCAAAGCGGCGCAUUCAUAUCUAUAAUCUCGCGGCAGUUUCAACUCUGUUAAAAGAAUGCCGAGAUCUUUACAAGAUGUUUGACAAGUGUCUUUGAUGACAGCAUGCAGCAUAUCUACCGCUUCAAAACAUAGUUACGGUUCAGUCUCGAUUGUUAUUUUUCUUGAAAGAGACACGAAUGAAGACAUAAAUUAUCGUGGGAGAUAGAAAGAUCCAGCCAACAUGUAACGACAACUCAAUCGUAAGCAUCAGUGUUUUUGCAAGAGAUGGGCUUCUAUGGCUUUCAACAUUCCCAUGGCCUUCUCUUUGCUGGCCUUGUUCUCGACCCGGUCCACGGCGAAGUACUUGCUCAUGCUCUUGGCCAUACACCCUCUCUGUCUGGACCCGCCUCAAACUUGAUCUCGUUCGGGAUCUUCUCUAGCGCGUUGCCCUGGACGAUGGCGUACGCAUGCGCGAGCUUUCCUUGUCCAGCUUCUCGACUGGUGCUCCACCGAGUUGAACUGUCUAGCUGCGAGACACAGACAACUGCAGUCAGCUCCCACGUUAGCCUCAACAAAGAAUGUCGGCAAAUGUCCUCUUUGACAUCACAUGUUAAUGCGACGCAAUCAAAAUAAAUUAAAAUAGAAGACAGCGCAAGCACUGGCCUUCGCCAAGGAUGGCGCCGGGACCCCCAUCACCUUCAGGGAUGACAAAAUCCUUAAAGGCUUGUGGGAGGAGCUUGGGGAUGAGAUCAUCGUCAGGAAGAACGGCCUUCUUGCAGGUGGGAUGGAAUCGUCUUCACCUAAGAGUUCCAAGUCCCACGGCAAGAGAUCUGUGAUAUUAUGUUGAAAAUGCCCUCUAAAUGAUUCUCAAUCGCCUCGUUUAGUAAUCUAACUCAACAUCACAUUGGUCUAAAUCAUAUAAUAAAGAAAGAGGACAAACGGCAUGGAUCUCAAGCCCAAAUGAUACUUGUUAGCAUGCGAGAGAUCUUUGAAUGCUGACAACCUUGAGGGAGUCACUAAAUUAUUAUUAAAAUAUUAUAAUAGAACCCAAUGGCUUAGACAAGCAAGCUUGAGUGCAUGUGGAUAAUUCUUGCUUGAUGAAAUGCAUGGUAGGUCGCGAAUCGAGACUCGUCCCCAUGCACAUCCACUCCCUCGGCUAGUUGGCCGGUCGGAGGAGGAAGCCGUGGGUCGAGCACAUCCUUCAAUAGCACAUUUUAGUCUUUCAAUAAUGUCGACGUUUGUGUCAUUUGUAGGGAAGAAAGAACAUUCAAUGGAUGCUUCCCAUCAUUCUCUAGUGUCACUACUUUUACUGCUGACUGUGUUUCUUGAAAGAAGAACUAGCCAGGGUUUUGCUCACAACGUCAAGUUGUCCACAAAUUCCAAAUUUCUGUGAUACUUUAAAACAAACCACUUUUCAUAAUCUAUACUUACUCUUCCUAAAAGUAUUGUUAGAUUUAUUGAAUGAAUCCAAAUUCGAUUUGUCCAUUAACCGCGGAGUUACUACUAAUUUUAUUUUUCAAGAAGAAGAAUGAAUCAAAGUCAUGAUCAUAAUGUCAAGUUGUACCCAAAUUCCAAAUUUGAACGACACUCUUAACACAAACUACUUUUCAAAACCGGUACUUGCAAGAAUCCUAAAAGUCCCGUUAGAAUUAUUUAAAUGCAAAUUAUCGAUCUGAGACCAUUUGUACCUGCGAAAUGUUCGAUUAGAUUCCAUCAUCUAACUUACCAGCAACCAUGUAGCCAUAAGAUCCAGCCUCAAAUAAGGCCGGAAACUCGCAUGAACCGGAAAGCAGCAGCCCAGUCCGGCGAGCCCGAAACAGGGCAUGGGCAAAAAAAAGCGCGGUCGGCCGAGAGUCCCUACCCAGCUCGCGGCGUCGGACGGCGGACGAGCUCGAUAGAUCGGGCUAUGCCCGUCCGCCUCGCUCGUCUCCUAGCCGGGAUCCUCGGGAAGCCGACCCCGAAUCGGGAAAAACCAAGACCGCCCGAAGGGGUACCUACCAUGGCCUCGAAGUGGACAAGGAGCGGCGGCGGAUCAUCAGUUUUGGUUCGGAAGUGGAGCCCAACAGCAGCUCUCUCAGUCGCGUCCUCGGAUCCGAAUCCCUCUCGCCUCGUACUUGACCCCCUCCGAUUUCUCCCUCCUCCCCCCGACCUCUGGCCUUCGAUUUAUAGGCUGAGAAGGCCGGUCGGCGGAGGCGCUUCGGCCGCCGGUCCUUCGCGCGCCGACCGGCCCCCCUUGGCUGAACCAGCAUCACAUCACCCGUCGCCUCCAGCGCCGCCUGCUCUGCUUUGCGCCUGCUCUGCUCUGCUCUGCUUCUACUUCUGAUUCCGUCCUCGCUGGCGUGAGGAAGAAGCGGGAAGGAGGAAGGAGGAAGGAGGGGCCGGGCCGGGGUGAGAAGCACAAGCAGAGUGGGCCCUGGGCCCACUCGGGGAACAAAGGAGAAAAGAGGGGGGCUAAGGCGAAGGCCCAGCCGCCGUGGGCCCUUUUUUUAUAAAUAAUAUUAAAUAGGGCUAAAUAAGAGAAAAUAAAAUGCAAAUGAUAUUUAUGCUUAUAUGAUGUGAAAAUCGUUUUUAUUAGUGUCAAAUUGAUUCCAAAUUUUUUAUAUAAUUUUAAUUAUAGAUAUUUAGUCAAAAUUUAAGUAUCAAUAAAUAUAAAUCUCAAACUGCAAGAGUAAAAAUAAAAAAAGAAAAGAAUUAAAGAAGAGACAAGUGCGGUUGCACCUUUAUCCCAUCAUGUGACUGAAAUUGUUUAAGAAAGUAAAAAAAAUUGGGAUAAGUGCAUUAGAAAUCUUAAAAAUUAUCAUGAAAAUGCAAUUGAGUCAUAAAACUUUCAAAAAGUGCAAUUAAGUCCUAAAAAUUGGUACGAAAGUUCAAUCAAAUCCUAAAACUUUCAAAAGAUUCAAUAAAAUCUAAAAACUUGUUUCGAAAGUACAACCGAAUCCUAAAACUUUCAAAAAUGCAAUCAAUUGAAGGACUUAGAUUGAACCACUUUAAUAAGUUUUAGGACCUGAUUGUAUUUUUUGAAAUUUUUAGGACUUAAUUGCAUUUUAUAACAAGUUUUAUGACUUAAUUACCUUUUUUAAAAGUUUUAGAACUUAAUUACAUUUUCAUGACAAAUUUUAGGACUUCAAAUGUACUUAUCCCUAAAAAAUUCAAUGAACAUCACAUGCUCUAGCUUUAAUUGAAUUAUUGGGGGAGGGGGGUUAUUUUUUCCCUAUAAAAAGAACUCGCCACACGACGAUAAUUGGGGGUUUUAAUUUUUUUGGAGGACCUCGAAGGGAUUUUAUUUUCUCUCCCAGUUUCUAGGUGAAGAAAUUCAAGAAAAAGAGAGAAAAAUUCCCCUUCGUUGAAGGGAAAGUCAACCAAAGGGUUUUUCCCUUGUGGUUUUUUCCUUUUGCUGAAAGUACAAGGGCAGUAGAAUUGAGAAAAUAUUGGGUACCUUAAAAAUGCCAUGUAAUUUGUGCUCUGAACCAUUUAAAGUGUGACAUAUGUUUGUGUGUCAAUCCAUGUCGUCCCACUUCUCGAUUUCAAACCAACGCACGGGAGGUUCUCUCUCUGCUCUCUCAAGCAUAAGCCCUGGCCCACCUCUUUGCAUGCUCUAACGCUCUCUUUCCUUUGCUCUCCUUUGCAGAUCAUCUCUCUCCUCUUUCUCCUCUCUGUCUCUCUCCUCAUUCUCUGUUCCGUUGCGAGGAGAACAAAAUUGUGGAGGGUUAAAGGAAAACAUAAAAGUUGAGCCCCUCCGCCUCCACUAGUUGCUUCCAUCGCCUCCCUCUCACGACAUUUGCUCUGCUCUGCUCUGCUCUCUCUCCCCUCCAUGAAGUCGUGCCUCUCUUCCAGCGAAAUGUGACGCCGAUGGUCCUCCACCUCCACCUCCACCGGUUGCCUCCAUCGCCCUUGACUCCGACGCCGAUGCCCCUCCGCCUCCCUCUCACAACCUCUACUCCACUCUCUCCCUCUUUCCUCUACGGAGCGCCCUUAUUGGCCAACCCUGAUGCCGACGAACCCCUGCUCACGUUUUGGCCUCCCUCUCAGCGAGUGAAGGUCGCUUGCUCUUUCUGUCUUUCCUCUGUGAAGCACCCCCCAUUCCUGAACGUGGACGCCGCUGACACCGAUGCCGUCGCCUUCCUAAGCCCCACCGAUAGCCACCCCACUGGCGAUUCCCGUACGUCCAAAGGUUCUUUUUUCUUUUCUUUUCUUUUUGGAUUCUACUUGGUAGAAUUCGGUAACAUGUUUAAGUUUAUAGAUACAUUUGCAUUAGGUACUGCUUUAUCUUACUUGUUGCUGACUUGCUGUGUUAUUCAGAUAGUGAAGAUUGGAAGAAAGUGAAACGGUGGUAUCUUUUGAGAUUGUUUGCAUAUAGUCCUCCUAAGGGAUUAGAGGCUUCUGAGCCUAAAUUGGUCACUCCAUGCUUUUAUUUUCUCCCAAAAUCACAUGUCUGUUGGAGAAGUUGAUCCUUGCGUGCUUCUGAAUAGUCAUUUGCGUUGCAAUUCCAAAGGUGUAACUCAGUUGUGAAGGAUAAGAUCAAAAUAUCUCUCUAAGAUCUACCUUCUUGGUCCACUGAUCUAUUAGAAAUAGGUAGUUUACUUAGGCAAAUUCAUUGCAGCUUGGGCUGUUUAAACCAACAAGUACCUCUUAUUUUGUUCAUGUGCCAACGAGAGAUAUGGUGGGACAUCCUCACAAGCAUGGAGCCAGAAGCUUAUCUCUCUGUUUGCUUUGCGAGAGAGCCAUUGAAAAUUGCAGGUUUCUUGUGUUUAGCUGAAUUUGACAUACAGAGACUAACCAAAUUUGUGAAGAUGACUAAUUUCACGUUGUUGUUUUUUUAAGCAUAAACAAAGGUUUGAUUUGAUGUUUAUGGUUUUAUCCUAAUUCCACUUAUUUAGAAUCUCUUGGAUAUUGGACAGGGUUAGACUUUCUUGCUUUAUCUCGUCAUAGUAGAUGCCAUGCACUGGAUUAUAUUAUUUAGCAUGCGCCGUUUCUCUGUAAUUAGAGCUGCCUUUUGUUCAUGCUAAACUUUUGAACAACUGCUUUGCCUUACCUAUAUGAACUACAGAUCCUGAUAGACCUAAGAAUGACAAGGGAACCAUUCUUACGGACACAAUCCAGGUGCUGAAGGAUUUAAACACGGAAGUUAACAAAUUGAAAGCUGAAUGUGCAGCUCUUACUGAAGAAUCUCGUGAGGUGAUCACUUAGUUGGCAUUUGCUUAGCUCUUCUCACCGCAUCGGCUUGCUCGCGAAGGAAAAUGUUAUGAAAGGAAAAUGCAAAUCAUGCUCUUGGGCUGUCUCUAUUCUUUUAAGCUUUUAAAGCAUUUGUCUUCGUAGUUUGUCCUCUUCAAACAAGUUCUUAACAUCUACAUCUACAUAAACAGAGUAUCCUAGAAGCAUCCAUUUCAUGAUCAGCAUUCCAUGCUAAAUGCAAAUCAAGUGGUGCAAUUCUCAGCAACCCAACAUCAGGGGAACCAACUAUAACAAGUAAAUUCUCUAGGCUAUGCCACAAAUGAGCACGCGACUUCACCUGUGUCCACAAUUAUUGGUAUCAACGGAGCCGCCGCGCAGACCGACCUCGCAGUCACUGCCAUUUCCGGCGGCCUGAAGACAUUCAGAAGAAACGGCUCAAAGAUUCGAACUUUAGCAUUCGAAACUCACAUACCCACUUCACAUGCAAAAGCGGGGAAUCGCAACCGGGCAUCAGGACGACGCCCUGAUCCUCUAUCAGCCGGUGCACGCGCGUCUGCCGCGUCGUCAUCCUGACCGUCGGGGAAGAAUGAGAAGUGAGAUGGGGCAUGUUUGUUGCCGAGCGCAGCUUGAGGACAAAUCAGUGAGAAAAGUGUCGGAAGAACAUUGAAGUUGUUGACAAAGGUGGAGUGUGAAGAGUUGUUGUCUCGUGGGACAGAAUACCCAUGAGAGAGAGAGAGAGAGAGAGAGAGAGAGAGAGAGAGAGAGAAGAGAAUCAAGACCCGUGAAGCACAGACAAAAAGUAAUAGAGCUUGUACACAAAUCAAUAAUGUAAAUGAAAAUCAUGAGGGAUGGAUGAUAGCAAGGGGAAAAAGCCUAUGAUGUAAUGCUUAAUGCUUGAUCAUAUAGCACAUGGUGAUGCUAACACGUUGUCAAUUUGUUUUUUGGAUUGCAUAUAUGGCAUUCGGAACGCUCAAAGGCAAAGAAUGCAAAAUCAUUUAAUUCAAGUGCAUCAGGUUCCGUAUAAAAAGGCACCUGACGUUGUAUCUAAAGUUUUUUUAGGAGGAAGACAUAAUUCCAACAAGAAAAUAAUUAUCGCAUUUGCAUGAAGCGUGUCUAAUCAUUCAGCCAAUUAUCAUACCAUCAUGAUUGAGGAUUCACAAGAUUCUUUGCUGUAUUUAGAACUUCGCCGCAUUUGUAAUCUCGUGCAAUUAAUAAAGGAGAGCAUUCUUCUUCCAACAACCAUGACAUAAUUGAUUGGAACAUAUGCCUGAAACUUGAACAAUGAGGGCACAUUCAUUACUUUUUUAAGGGUUUAGCUCCAGCAGCCAUGACAUAAUUGAUUGGAGCUCAGAUUUUGCAUCCAAACUAUCUUGCGACUUUUGACCUGCCAUGAGGCAUAAGCCAGGUUGUACUCCUGCAUGAGUCACUCGCAUCGUGUAGUAGUGAUGCCCUGGUGGUUAUUAGAUAAAAAGAGUCUCCAGAGAUGCUGUCGUCAAGAGGUAACGAAUCAGUGUACCGAUGGAGAUGCGAGCUAGCAUACGCUUUUGGGUGUUCCCAUCAUCAUUGACCGGAGCAAAAAAAGGCGAAUUCCUACAUUCGCUAUUCUAUUGGCCAUGAUUCAACGCGAUGAUGAAUGGCUCUUUAAACCAAGAAGCGUCACCCUAAAUAAUAUGAUCAAUUUAUCUUCGUUAAUGGCUGCUCAGCAUACAUCUCUAAAUCCUUCACAGAAAAAGCAGGUGCAUUGCUCAUCUCUGAGAGAGACUGAAAAAUGUUUACACUUGAUUCAUUUGCGAUGCCAAAAAAAUUGGGAAAAGAGAAGGCCUUACAAGUAAAAAAGCAUUGCCCAUUCUGUAAUAGAACAAACCCUUCAUGAAUGCUGUCACCAGCGACCUCCUCGAUCAGCACGGCAUCCGAUAUCUCUCUCACAUCAUCCUCCGCAAGAUGGGGUUCACUUCACGUGAGACGAAAUCGGCUUCUCCUUUCUUCACCGCCUUGUCAGCAGCUUCCAUUAUUAUGUGUCCCAAGCUCGCUCCGAGAGAGAAAGAGAGAGAGAGAGAGAGAGAGGGAAAGGGUCAGGAAAGGGGGAGGAAGUUAUGAAGGUAUGGAGGAAGGCAGGAGGGGAGGGGAGAUGGGCAAAGAUGGUGGAGAGUGUGGCCUGCCCAGAUACGCGCAGAAAGAAAGAGAGAGAUGGUCAGCUGCAACCAAAACGGCAAAAAAAGACCACGAUCUAUUAACCCCUUGCGGAACAUAAACAAAUCAGCGAGUAGGAAAACGGGGUCGCAAUCCCCGGAGAAAGAUCUCAUUCAAGACAGACCGACGGGCAAGAAAAAGGGGUCGCGGUCCUCGAAGGGAGAUCUCCACCAGGUCAAAUCGCACCUCGUGCUUCUGUUCGGGUCGCCAUCGCGUCCCUUGAUGGCCAAGGUCUGUUGCUGCUGGUUCUGCUUACUCUGAGCGAGCUUCUCGCUUGGGUCGUUGCUAAUGAGGAAGGAAGACGAAGGAAGGAAUCCCCGGAGGGAGAUCUCCGCCAGGCCGAAUUGCACCCGGUGCUUCCGCUUAGGGUCACCAUCGCGUUCCUUGAUGGCCGGGGCCCGUUGCUGCUGAAUCUGAGCAAGCUUCUUGCUUGGGUCGUCGCCGAUGAGGGAGGAAGACGAAGGAAAGAACGUGAGGGGAGAGAGAGAGCCCUUGAAAAUUGAAAAGAGGAAAGAGGUUUUUGUUGAGCGGGAGUGCGAAGGAAAGAACGUGAGGAGAGAGAGCGCCCUUGAAAAUUGAAAAAAGGAGAGGUUUUUCUUGAGCAGGAGUGCGCUUUUACUGUUCUGUCUUUUCUCCGUGCGUUCCCCAGAGGAGAGAGAGGGGAAGAAGGCUAUGGGUCCCAUGUGGACACGUGUUGCGCUCCCACCAUCUUCUUGUUUGCCUAGAGCGUAAGACGAACGCAAUAUUAUUCUCUCACCUCUCACGUCUCCAAAAAGGAGAGGAAGCAGAGGCAGCCAGCCCCGAGCGUCGACGCCGUUGUUUCUGCUCCGCCCCCCAGCCGCGACGCUUCCGCCUGCCGGUCUCCGCUGCACCGGUUGCCACAGUCGCUCCUCCAGCAACCCGCAGGCCACCCUCACGCCGUUCACCGCGCCGGCUACCACCGCUCGUCUCCCCGCGAAGCCACCGUUCCCUUGCCGAUCGCUGUUGUUGACCCGCGAUACCCCUGCUCGACUCCAUACGUCGCUCUGCCGGCCAACGCUGCUCCGCGCCCCCGAAGUCGCGACGCCGCCUCUGCCGGCCCCGCCUCUGUCCAGAUCUUCCGUGCCGGAACGCGACCCCGAGUCAUCGCGCGUCCGCGCGUCGCCACUGCUGCAAUCCGACACCAGAAGCCGCCUCUCCCGCGCCUGAGCGACCUGCAGCACCCAACGUCCCCCUCUCCUCUGCUGCUCGUGCCGCGUAACCAACAGGGUUACCCCUCGCCCGCGAGCUCGCACCGCCGCCCCGCCGUGCCGAUCCGCGACGAUCUGACGCCUCCGCGUUGCUGCUUCUGGCCACGUCUCCGCCAGCCACUGCCGUGCACCAUCGCCGACCUGCAGCUUCUACCCGAGCCCUCUGCCGCCAGCCUCCGCCUUCGAUCGACGCAGUUGCAGCCCAACGCCAGAAGCAGCAGCUCCCUGCUCCGUCGUACCUCAGUCACUGUUCUGCCUCGCCGUUCCCGUUCCACCCCAGCCGCGACGCAGCCUCUGCCGGACCGACGCCUGCUGCCCUGCCUCCUGCACCAGCGCCGACGCCCGAGCUCUAUCGCCGGGACUGCCGUCGCACCUCCCCGCCGCCGGUCUCCUCGCACACCGUGCCAGCGCUAGCCCGCCGAGCCGGUCCGCCUGCACGCCGGCUGCCGCCCUUCGCCGGAGCUCCGACCGCCGGCAGCUCCACCGCCCUUGGCCGCGCACCACCACAGCUGCCGAGCCUUGUUUGGAAAAAAAAGAAAAAAUCAAAUUAGGUAGGUUUAUUUUAUUUUAUUAGGUUGAUUUAUUUUAUCUUAUUUUAUUUUUUGAAAUAUUUCUCCAUGCAUAAUUAAAAUUCCCGGCAUACCACCUAAUUCGUAUAAAGUUUUAGAUGGGAUAAUUGAUUGAUAUCUUGAUGUUUAAGGUUUAAGAUCAAUUUAUUAAUUUUAUUAGCAAAAUAAUCAGGUUUAAUUAGAUAUCGUUUUUAAAUUCGAAUGAUGGAUAAUAUCUUUGAUGCCAUGGAUGAUUCGUUGUUUAUUUUUUUUAAUUGCUUUGUUUAUUGCAAAAAAAUACAAAAAAAAAAAUUUGUAUUUUGCAUAUCAUGUGGAUUAGAAUUGUUUUCUUAGAUAGAAUUGCAUGGUAGAAUAGUUAGAUUCUUUUCUAGUUAUAUUAAAAUGCUUGUAGUAUCUAGGUUAGAUAAUAUUUUUUGGAUUAAAUUACAUGACGAGAUAAUUUUCUAAGUUAAGAUAGGAUUCAAAUUGGUCUAUUCUUAACUUAAAAUAGAUAAUAUCUCACUUUAGUUAGAUUUUAUAUUUUAGUACUUUUAAUUACGAAUUUUUAUUUAAAAAAAUGCCAAAAAAAAAUCAUACGCAUAUCAUAUAGAAUUAGGUUCAUGAAAUGCACAUCAUUUAGUGUUUGUUGCUAGGUUCAUUUAAUUAGAAAUUAACCAUCAUUAGAAUUAAAUCAUUUGGUUAAUUUAGAUUGCACAUUUAAUUAUUGCAUUUUUUUAAUUUCGAAUUCAUGAGAAAAAUCCAAAAAAAUUGUCUUUGAAUAAAUUAAUUUCAUUUUCUAGGAUAGAUUGCAUGCUCAUUAAGCAAACACAAAAUAUUUCACGUCAUAUAGUUUAGGUCAUGUUUCCAUGUUAUAUCAUUUAAUGUUAGAUUAGUGGCAUGUAUUGCAUAAAUAAUUCUCAUUAAAUAAGUAAGAACAAAAAAAAAUUAAUUGCGUGUUAAUUAGAAAUCAUAUGUAGAACUGUCGAUGUGAAUUCUAAUCUAACCUUGCAAAUGCUUUUGAUGCCAUGAGAUAAGUCCUGAAAUUUAUUCAUUGCUUUAUCUGGGUAUUAAAUUAAUGGUUUGCACACUCGCAUGAUCAUUGAGAUAAAUUAAAAUCAAUUCAAGCUACUUGCCAAAUAUUUUUUCAAAAUAAAAGAAAAAUGUACCGAAAUUGCAUUAAAGAAAUCUAACGUAAUCAAGUCUCCGAACUCAUAAUCUCUAGUUUACAGAAGUAAAGUAAAUCUCCUAUUACUUUACUUGGAAUUCUAAUUGACUCAUCGAAAAUAGAUUAGUGACAACUCCUAAUUAAAAUUUGCAUAUUAAGAACUUGAACUUAAGUAGCGAAUUAGUAUGGGCUAGGGAGAGCCCGAGCUAUGUUUAGGCUUAGUAAUCUAUUAGCCAAAUCCUAGGUAGUGCAUCUGAAAUUUUGGUCGCGACAAAUGUCGUCAAUCAACUAUGAGAUGCCGAUGUCAAUGGAGAAGUUACUGAUAUUAAUGGUUGUCAAUGCCGAUAUUCCAGAAUUGAUACCGAUGAUUUUGUUUGGUGAAUUGAUACCGUUGACUGUUCGAUGCUCGAGUUAAUUAGAUUCUUUAUUGUAGCAUUGUUUUUGAGAAGUCUGUUCGUAUUUUUAUUUCAUGACUGUUCAUGUUUCUAAGUGUAAUCAAUGUUUUGUAAGUUCUUAGGAUUUUAUCACCUCAGAACAUUAGCUAUAUUUAUUAGUCAUUAGUUUAAGAGUUAUGUGUGAAGCAUAUAAAAGUGGAGGCCUGUAAUUGUUUUCAAUAAGGUGAAGAAAAGGUGAAAUAAACAAGAAGGAUAUAUGUCUCCUUCUCUUCUCUGUGUUGUGUUAGUGGGUGUUUCAGCUUUAAAUUAUCCCAUCAAGAUGUAGUCUGUAUUUGUCUUUUACAAAAACUCGAAAUUUUCUAGUUUUGAUGCCAUAUGAAAUUAUGAAGGAGCACUAUUAGCUAUUAUAGAAGUUUAGAUAAUUAGAUGGAUGCAUUAUUCAAGACUUAAUUGAUAUAACGUCUCUUUCACGACCUAUGUUCCUUUUCAACAGCUAGAUUACUUGCACAGCUUGGGAUCAAUGGAAGGAGAGCUAUCUAUAGAAGUGGAGGAUGGUGGAAUGAACAACUUGAUCGAAAUCUGGAGAGGUCGACGGGAGAUAAUGAAGAAUGCAUUGGCGGCUUCCGCGGGGGGACAAGAUCCGGCAAAAGCUUACGAAUAUGCUCGAAAACUGGCGCGUGUCAUCGAAGGCGGCAAGGUUGACGAGUUCCUUUCCAAGAUCAAUGUAAAUGAUCCAUUGUUGCGGGACAUCGAUUGGUCUGCCGUUUUAAAUUCCCGAUCUGAAGGCAACGAAUCACUGCUCCACAUGGCAGCAGCAAUCGAGAACGACGACAUCCUAAGGCUUCUGGUUGAUUAUGUUGGUGACCACCUCAUAACCGCCCAAGAUGAUCGGGGAAAUACCCCACUCCACUGGGUCGCUCGGUAUGGGGGAUCUACUGGAGCUGCAGAGAUGUUGAUUCACCGGGCAAGAGGCCUCCCCAACGUCGAGGACAAGAACCUCCUAUUGAGGAUGAAGAACAAAUGGGGAAACACCGCUUUGCACAUAGCCGUGCACGAAGGUCACGCCAACUUGGUGCGCUAUUUGUUGAGCGAAGAUUUGGAGCCCGUGUACUGGAAGAACGCGAAUGAGAAAUCUCCCCUGUACCUAGCCCUCGAGACUUACGACUCCGCUGUACAUGAGGCUUUAUUUUCACACUCGUUGGAACCAUCAAGGAUAGAAGGCUUGCCGCCCAUUCAUGGUGCCAUUAUACGUUCACGACACGGUACGUACCUAAAUCUAUUUACGUGGAAAUAUAUUUAUCUAUUUCUGGACUGACUCAUCCCAAAUCUGUGCAAUAACUUUUUGCUCUUACAAAAACCCCUUACCGGUUUUUACUUAAAAUUCCCUACCCUGCUUGUUAAAGUGGUUGGAUACCCAUCGGUUUAGCCGCAUUAUAAACGAAUUAUUCACAUUAGAGCAUAAUAGAUCGGCUUAAAUAUUACAAAUACAACCAUUUCACUAGAAACUCAUGUGUUGUCGAUCUUUGAUUAGAAAAGCUAUAAAGUGCAAAUAUUUAAGAUUGAUGACCAUGAAAAUCUGGAAUCUAACAAUGACGCUGUGUGCCAUGAACCAAAAUGAACAAAUGAAAGUUUAGGGCAUGAAUUAUAAACUGGUAGCAAACCUGUAGGCUGCGCAGGCGUGAUUUUUUCAUUGGAAAAAAAGGAGGUGAAGAUUCCAUCACUCUCAGCAAAUUGAUGGAACAUCGUAAACCAUUAAUUUGUUUGUGACAAACAAUCAAUAGGUUUUUAAGAAAUUAAGAAAAGUGGAUCUAAAUAAAGAAAUAUAUUUUUUAUUUUUUAUUUUUAAAUUAAUACAGUUAUCAUAAUCUUUGCAGAAAAAGCUGAUACGGUAGUGUAGCCUAUAUUACCUUGACCAUUAAAAAUAUUGAGAUAAAAUUCAUCAGACACAUGAUAAUCAAUUAUGUGAAAUUUUUUGGCUGCUAAUGCCACGUAUCCCAAGUUUACUACUUGAAGUGCAGCUAACGUUCAUUGAUCAUCAGAUUGGUAGAUGGCAUUUAGGUGUUACAGUCAUAUCGAAUAGAGAGAAUUGUCCAAAAAGUUAUAAAUGUGUCAAUUGUGUCAAUUUAACCUCUAUUUUAGUCCUAAACUUUUUAAGGAUUUACCAACUUAGUCCCUUCUAAACAAUUUCUAUUGGAAAUCGCUAACAUGGCGGUCUAGUCAAAGCUAGCCAUCCUACGUGAUGUUGAUCGCUUAUGUGGCUUUUUUACAAAAUAUUUUUUAAUUUUUUGCAUUUUUUCCUUUUCUUUUUUUUUAAUCCUUUUUUCCCUCUACCAGCCUCAGGCGAGGGCUACCCUCUAACCCUUGCAUAGAGCAACCCUUGCCCUUGCUCGACCUCCAUUAGGUGUCAACUAUGGAUGGUUAGAGAAGAGAAAAAGGAAAAAAAAAAAGAAAUUAGAAAAAGAAAAGGAUAAAGGUGGGCCCGGCGGAUCCUAGGUCACCAAAAAAAUAAAAGACAAAGGAAAUGAAAGGAAAAAGGAAAAAAAUUGCAAAAAUUAUCCGCAUUAGCAUUGGCUAUGCCAUGUAGGAUAUUCAGUACUACUAGACCACUAUGCCUAUGAUUUUCAACAAAAUUGGCUAGAAUGACUAAAAUGACAUAUCGUUAAAAUGUUUAUGAUUGAAUUGGCAAGUUAUUAAAAUUGUUAUGACUAAAUUGACACAACUGAAAGAUUUAAGACUAAAUUAAUCAUUAUACAAUAUAUUCAAAACUUUUUGGACAAUUUUCCCUAUCAAGUAUAAUUACAACCCUAGAUGCAGUAACUUUAUUUUUAUCCUGUCCCAAUUUAUUAAUCCGAGCACAUGUUAUUAUUUACAUUGCACGACGUAACAUGUUUGAGGCUCUCUUUUUGAACUGAACAUGCAAAACAAUUUCAAAUAGACAUAAAGUGAAAAUGCGUAACAAUGUAUUGUGUGAUGCAAAUAUUAAAUUAGCAUACCCAAUAAACGUAUGUGUCUAAACUUACGUUGCACUCAUUGAAUAGAUUAUAGAAGUCGACCUGCACACAUAACGUUCAUAAUCCAUUUAUAAAUGGCUUAACUUAUUUGUGAUAACACAAUUAAACCUAAUGCUACCAUAUUUAACCACGUUCCAUGUAGUGAACAUGCAUGUAGAAGGGCUGUUUCAUAGUUUGUCAGCUCAUAAUUCUAAUAAGCACUUUAGAAACUUUACAAAAGAUCCCAUUGAAAUUGGAUUUACUAUAUAUUUCUUAUUCUUACUGUCCAAUAUAUAAAAAUCCUUUUAUGAAGUACUACUGAUUGAAAUCUCGUAAUAAUAGUUCAGUUUGUUCUUCAUUGAAUGUAAAAGUAGAUGACAUUGUGGAAUGAAUCGAGCGUUGACAUGGGCUUUUGUAGAUAGGUACUUUAAUUAGGUUAUCAUGAUAGGCACUUUUUUUAAGGUUCAUAUCAAUUAAAUAAGGUAAGGUUAUUUCUUUAAAUCUAGUAAUAUUCUUUCACUUGGGAAAAUUAUCCAAAAAGUCCUAAGUCUAUUGCACUUUUGCCAAUUCAAUCACAAAUCAUUCAAUUUUGUCAAUUCAAUACUAAACAUUUUCACUUUUUGCCGAUUGAGUGUAUCCGGCUAAUUUUGACUAGAAUUUAUUGACAGGGAUAAUUUUUAAUAAUAAUUUAAUUCCUUUUGAAAUUUUUUGUACUUUUUUUCUUUUAUCUUUCUUUCUUCCCCCCUUUCUUCUUCCUUUCAUCGGUGGCUAGCUACCAACCACCGGUGAUGGCUAGCUACCGGCCAUGGCUGGGUGAGUUGACCUUGCUCGCCGUAAGUGAUGCCUAGCCAGGCAAGGCCAGGCCCUAGCAAGGGUUGGCCUCACCUAGGUUAGGCAAGACAGCCUCCUAGGUUAGGCAAGACCAACCCUUGCCCAAACUAGGCGAGAUCGCCUAGGCGAGGGUGAGCCCCCUUGUUCGGCCACAUCUUACCCGAGGCAUGUGAGGCUAGCUGGCUCGGCCAUAGUCGGUGGCUGGCACAAAAGGAAGAAGAAAGGAAAAAAGAAAAUGAAAAAAUAUUUUUAAAAAUUGUUUACAUUAGUGCCGACCAUCUUACAAGAAACCGCUAGUGUCCACGUCAGCGAAUUCCUAUCAAAAUUGGUUGGAUUGACUCAAUUAAUAAGAAGUAAACAUGUUUACGACUGAAUUGGCAUAAGUGCAAUAGAUUUAGAAUUUUUUGGACAAUUUUCACUCUUUCACUAAUGUAUCUAGAAUGUAACCGGUUACCCAUAUUGAAAUUUGUGGCCUGAAUUGCUUCGUCAAUUUCAAGAAUGACGGCAUCUGUCAUGCGAAUAGAAUAAAGGUGAAAUUCUUAAUUCAUGUUAUAUAUUAAUGUAAAAUAUAGGGGGCUCGACGACAAUUAGAAAAUUCCUAAUUAUCGUUGUUAGAUGACUCAUGAAAUUUGUAUAUGUACUUAACAAUAUUAUUAGAGUAUAUUUUAUAGGAAGUAUUAUAGAAAUGUAAGAACUUUCAAUAAUUGCUCAUUUGCAGUUUUUGAAACUCAUUAGAACUAAUUUCAAUAAAACUAAUGCCUCUUUUGUUGAACAAAAGUCAUGGUAUAAGAGGCAAACAUAAAUCCUAAUUUGAAGCAAAAUAAAAGGAAAGUGGAAGAAAAACACUCUUUGUGAGGAAAAUAAUCAAUCCCUUACAAAUUAGAGCCCUAUAAAUCACUUUUAGAGACAAUUCUUAAAGAAAAAAUCAUUAUUUAUUUAUGUAGAUGUUACAACGGUCUAGAUUAAUUUGCAAAGUUCACUGAACUUUUAUUAGUAUUAUGGAUGUAAUUUUUCUGGUGGUAAAAUGAGACUCCUUUUGUUUUGUGUUGUGUCAUCACAGCUUAAAUAUGUGGUCGUUAUAGCUAGGAUAUAUAUGACUCCAUGCAAUGCACAUAUAAGAUAGAACAUAUAAUGUGAUUUUUUGAGUAAAAAUAUUUUCCCAGAAUCACUAAAAUUUCACAAAAUAUAUUUGGUCCAUUCACAAGAUAUAAUGGGAUUGAGUAGCACAAUCCCCAAGGAUGAGGUUAUCUCUAAAGCACUCUCGCCUGUCUUUGAAGUCCAAUGGCCACCCACAAUCCUCAAACACCGUUGGAAUAUUCUCAAACAAUUGAAACACCUCUCUCGCAUUAUUGAACCUCUUUACUAGCACCUCUGAAUUUUCAUAGUUGGGGCCAAAAUAAAUUUUCUUUUGGUGGAGCCUUUCCUUUCUGUAAUUUGUGAUUUAUAAGCUCUACUAUCUUAGAAAUAGAUUCUGGUCACAAAUUACUUAGAUUUUACUCACAAGUUUUGGUAAAUACAUAAUCUCUUAAUUGAGCUGAAUAAGUGCCAUAUACCUUUACGAAGAAGAUGACGUUCAAUCUAGAGAGGGUGGAACAACUUUAAGGGGGAUUUCGAUACGGUGCUGUGGAGGCUAUUGCAAUGUUCUCGACAAUUAAAUAAGUUUGCUUGAUACUUGCUAGAAUUCGACGGACAUAAUAUGAAAAGAUCAUUUUCCUUUUCUUGAUCUUGCCUUAGCCUGCAUUACGCCUGCCGACUGUAUAAAUAAUUCAUGGCGUGGAAAUGCCAUAUAAAUUGCUAUGUCAUUUAGUAAGAUUUUUACAGUGAAAUCUUAAGCACCUGUCGAUGUCAUUAACUAGUUUUGGUAUUGCAAUCUAAUCUGUUAUUGUCGACUAUCAAUACUAGUAGUGAUUAAGGCACGUCAAAGAUGUCCUUACUCCAAAAUGGUUUUAAAUAUAUUGAGACCAACCAAGCUCCAACCAUCCUAAUUUGGAGCUCCUGAUCCCAGAUUUAUUCGACCUGAUGCUCAAGAAAAACAUGGAGCUAUUUGCAAUGACCGACUCCAACGGGGGCAAUGUAUUCCACUUAGCAGCUCACCUGAAUCACGCCUGGGUAUUCGAAUUCUUACGACCAGAAACUGAAUAUUUGACCCGAGAACCGGACAUGAAUGGAGAUCUCCCCAUUCAUAUUGCAAGCAAGAUGGGUUAUGUUGAACAUAUUGAGAAGCUAAGGGAAGUAUCACUUUUGCCAAAUGGGCAAGGGAAAAACAUUCUUCAUAUUGCCGCAAAAUAUGGUAGAGUCUCCGUAGUGAGAUAUAUACUCAGCCAUCCAAUUCUAGGGAAGAAUCCAAUUCUAGGGAAGAUGUUAAAUGCAGCAGAUGAUGAUGGAAAUACAGCUUUGCACUUGGCUGCGAUGCAUUCACAGCCCGCUGCUUUGAUUGAUCUUUUGCGGACUGACGGAAUUCUACCAAGCAUUUUCAACAAUGAAUGCUUGCUUGCUGUUGACAUUGCUCGACGACGACACCAGGCAGAGGGGUAUAACAUUCGGCAUGUAGGUAACAUGAACAGUCACUAUUUUAUUUAUUAACUUACUGGAGAUUACGUAGACUAAUGCAUUAGUUAAGGCUGAUCUUGUAUUCAAAUCAUUAUGUCUCCUAGCCAACUAGAUAGUAGAAGUAUUGAUCAAAUUUCUAGAAUAGCCGAGACUCCUCUCGGAUAAAUGUUCUACAAGUCCCUAAUUUAGUCUUGAUAGGAGGUAAUUAAAAUUUGUGAUCAUGAAUUUCUCUGCAGUUAGAAACAAGUAACGUGUCUUUCAUAACACGGAGAUAACAAUUUAUAUAUAUCGUUUAAUUGAGCCUCUGAAUACAGUCAUGAAUAAAAAGGCAGGGUUUGCCAAGGUUGCAUUCUGUUUUUCAUAAAAGGCCAGGGGUCAAUGUGACAAAUUUGACCGCUCCAUAUGUAGCACAAUCUCAUAACAUUAUCAUUUUGUCGACCUAUGAAAUGAUCGCCCACAUAAAUUCCAUUCAUGCCUCUUUUUUCAUCUAAAAUGAACUUGGUAGUUUUGUGCUAAUUCUUCAAAAAGAGCAGAAACUGCAUCUUUAGAAGCAAACGUUUCCAGAGUUCAUUCCCGUUAUCAAUAUGGAAUAAUUUUGUUCUUAUUUUCCUUUUUACAUGCUUCCGAUCUCAGCAAUUGGCAUACCUGGCGUUGGCUUGCUCGCUCGCGGGAAAAGGUCCACUUGGAAACCAAGAGUUACUCCUACUUAGAGCGAAAGCUCGAGAUGAAGAGUUAUCAGUAGUCCGCUCGCGCAAAAGCAUGCCGAGCAGGGACAUCGUCAAGGAUUACAUCAAUUCCCGCAUGGUGGUGGCAACGCUUGUGGCCACAGUGAGUUUUGCAGCUGGUUUUGCAGUUCCUGGAGGAUUUAACGGCUCGGACACAGCCUCCAAAGAUGAGCGGGGCAUGGCUACGAUGCUGGACAAUCGAAUGUUCCAGGCUUUCGCGAUUUGCAACACCAUCGCGAUGUUCUGCUCAAUGACUGUGGUCGUCAACCUCAUCUGGGCGCAGACAGUUGAUGUCGACGUUUUAGUCGCUGCAUUCGAGCGCACAACGCUACCACUACAAAUUGCACUCCCGGCGAUGUCCACCGCUUUCUUAACUGGUGUCACCUUGACCGCUGGCAAACUCCCAUGGCUUGCUAACACCAUAUUUUAUUUGGGACUCGUUUUCCUCCUCAUUAUCUCAUUUGCUAAAUUGUUAGGGGGGCCUAUCUUCUUAGAAAUCUUCGGUCAUCCUCUCCGUCGACUAACAUUCUGGCUUAUUCUCGCUUACAUUUAUUUGGGGAGAGUUGAGACGUACAUUUAUGAUGACGAUGACGCCAAAGAUAACAGAAGGGAGAAGAAGACCUUCGCUAGUCCGCCUGUGGAUGUUGCCGGUGAAUCGAGGACCGAUGACUCGGCGAAAGCAAAAUGUGAGGAUGCGUUACAUCCUCCAAGUCGCUGAUUUGAAUUGAUCAUUCCAUAUUAUCUGUAAUAUGUAGUAAUAAUAUAUGUUUUCCUUGGUGAGUGGGACUCACUAUACGGUUGCUUUCCUUUAUGUCAGAUCAAACGUGAUUGUUAAUGAAUGUAAGCUAAACCAUGUGUUUCUCUAAUAACUUAACUUAUUAGAAUUGUUGGAUAUAAUUCCAUCAAAUUUCAUAUGUUAUUAAAGCAGAGGUUCUAAGUUCAAACAUUUUCAGGUCCUAUUUGCUUCAUCUAUUAUAUGUUUUCAUGUUUCAUUCUUAGAUCAAGUCAAGCUUACGAGUGAAGAUGAGUAUAAAAGUAUUUGUAUUAAAGUAUUUGAAUUAAACAUCCCAUUUGUCUAAUAAUUUAAAUUUUUAGAACGAGUAAUUGUAGUUCCCCGAAAUUUCAAACCGAUACACACUUCAUGUAAAUUAAAUGGAUGAAUGGCUCAUUUCAUCCGUUUCAUCGCCCUGGAAUCAAAUUGUUAACUUUGAACAUGUGGAAGCUCGUGGGUUUAUGAAAUCACUCGUCUAGAGUAGCCAUGUCCGAUUUACUUUGAACUAGUCCAAUUUGCGGCAAUCUCGAGUCACGAAAUCCUAAGCACUCACUUACCUGUCUAGUAAGGGUGUGCAAAAUAUCCGAAAACCGCUCGGACUGCUCGGAACCAAACCGAAAUCGCCAAGUACCGGUGGUUCUUGAGGGAACCGGUCCAGUUCCUGGUUCCAAUUUAUGGGAACCGGUGGGUACCAGUCCAGUUCUUGGUUCCAUUGGCGGAUCCGCCCGCCCACCCACCCGGACCAGAUCGGAACCUUUUUAAUAUUUAAAAAAAAAAUUACUAAAAGAAACCCUAGAUCUCAUCUCACUCCCUUCAUCUUCGGCUCCUAAUCCUAUUGUCAUUUCGCUGCGUUUACUUCUCUCGCUGUUCGCAUCUCCACGUACUUAAAUUUGAUUUUUCUUUCUUUGGCUUGCUUUGAUGUCACGUAGUCCUUCUAUGUUGAAAAUCAAAAUUGUUUCGCGUCAAGAUCAGUUCCAUGGAUCCACUCGGGAAUCGGACCGCUCCGGUCAGGUUCCUGGAUGGAUCCAUGCAACAAACGAGUGGAUCCUGGUAUCAAUUUUUGGGAACCGGUUCUUAGCGAGUGGUUCCCAGUUCUAGAUCAGGAACCGCCCACCCAAACCAUGCACACCCCUACUGUCUGGUGUGCAAAGAAAAUAAUUCUCAAAUUCUCAUCGCCUACUCUCUGAGUCGAGAGUUGGGUGAAGAAAACCGGAACAAAAUAAUUCUCUUCACUACUCACAAAAAAAUAGAAUCAAACACCGAACUCAUUUCCAAUGACACCCCUUUCAUUUCCCCACUUCUCCCUCCUAGGCGCACAAUUUCUGUGCAUGCAAAUGAGUUUUGGUGUUUGAUUCGUGGCGGGGUAUAAUCUAGUGAGCAGCGGGCAGAAGUCAAGUCAAGGGACGAGAUAAAAAGGAGUUGCAAUACGCAACCCAAGGAGAAUUGUGGAAAAGUCUGGAUAUGUGAUUUUCCUCCUCCGAUCUCUGAUUUUUAUUUCAAAGCUAGUUGGUAUUGACACGUAGAAUAUAACUCUAAAGUGAUUCUGGACCUAUCUAUUCAACAGUGAAUGUAGAUAAUUACAAAAAAUAAAAAGGAUCCCCUUGUACGAAUGUCUAUUGAGUUAUAAACUAUUAAAAUUAGCCGAUUUAAUUUUAAACAUCUUGACGAUUUGUUAAUAUAGUCAUUUCAAUCAACUUUGACCGAAAAUCGUUGACGUAGACGCUAGCCAUCCUAUGGCACAUGACUAGUAUUGAGGUGGACAAUUUUUGUAAUUUAAAAAAAAAAAUUCUCAAUUUUUUUUUUUUUUUUCAUGUUUUCAUUUUCUUCAUUUUCUUUUCUUAUAUUUUCCUUUUUUCUUUUUCUUAUUCCCCUAUGCAGCCAUUGGCCGGUCCAUGGCUUCAAUGAUUGAUAGUAAGGGCCCAGAUGCCCUCGCCAACUGGCAAGGGCUGAUGGAUUUGCUAGGGCCACGUACUAAUGGAGGGAUAAAGGAAGGAAAAAAAAAGUUUUGAAAAAAUUGUAAAAAUUAUUCACAUUAGCAUCGGCACCUAGAUCUGGGCGAGGCCAAUCUCGUCAUGGCUUGGCCUAGAUCUGGGUGAAGCCGCCUCGCACACAGUCCUUAGGCCUCGCUCAUGGCCGACGAGACUUGUCAAAGAAGCAAAAGAAUAAAGAAGAGAAAAAAAUAAAAGGAAAAAUAAAAAUAUAUAUAUAUCAAAAAAAUUAUUAAAAAUUGCCACGUUAGCGUUGACCAAAUGGCCAGUGUCCACAUCAGCGCUAGCCAAUCAAAAUUGAUCGAAUAGAUUGAAUUGACAUAAUCACGAAAAGUUUAGAACUAAAUUGGCACAAUUAUAAUGGAUUUAUAACUUUUUUUUGGUAAUUCUACCAAUUUAUUUGUUAUCUCCAUCUUUAGAUUGCGACAUGUGUCCAUCCAAUUUUAGUCCUCACUGCACCUCAUCUAAAUACCAUCAAACCUUAGCAGCGAGGAUGGUACUUGGAGAUCUAUGCAAAUAUUUAUAUAUAAAAAUUACAUUGAGAUAGUAGAGUGUGCUCACCAUCAUCAUAUCAUCAUCCAUCAAGUCGAUUCCACAUAAUGAUCUAUUUGUCACUUUCAACAUCCUGGGACCGACCCAAAAAAACAUCCUAGGGAUUAAAUGUUUCAAUUAAUUACGGUAGGAUAGAAGUAUUUUUCAUCAAGAACGGACAUUCAAGAAGUCUUGCUAGAUUGAUAGAUUGAUGUUGCAAAUGGUUCUCUUCUCAAGUAGCAUGAAAAAUUAUGCUACUCAAAUGUAGAGCCUCCUUUUUUCUAUUUUUUCAGCAGAUCUUCCAAAUCAAAUUACAGGGUUACAACUUUGAAAACUCACAGUACAAGUACAAAAAAUACCAAAUCAAUCAUCUAUUGACUUCUCGAUGCUCAUUAAAUCUGAUUCACAAAAUAGGUUGGGACCCAUUUUGCUAGCCCUACUAAAAUCUAAACAUUUUAUUAAAUUAAGGAUUUAUACAGCAUCCUAGUUCACAAAGAUGUGUUGCUGUUGACAAAUCGACAUUGAUUGAUUUUCAUGAACUCGUCGUCAUAUUGUCGACAUUCCCAUUAUAUACGAGCAAAGAGCGAACUUUGAUUUUUGAGCAUCAAGAGAUAAGACAGACUUAAAUAGAAUGCCAAAUAGCCCAAGUGUCACGUCCAAACCCCAAACACUUUUUUUUUUAACCCCAAACACAUUCAACUAUUGUUUUUUUUUUUUUUUUCCUUAUAACUUUCUUCAAAUAAUAUAAGAAUGUACUUUAUGGUUAAUGAUCAUAUAUAUCGCGGUUUAUGAAAGACUGUGCCACAUCGAUAGUUUUAGAUGUUAGUCCAAAUUCGAAAUACCAGGCUGAUGUUCGAGAUUUUAUUGGCCAUUCGGCAUUUCAUUUAUUACUCAUGAAGUCUAUCAUUGCAUGAAAUUUACUGAAAAUUAGAGAAUCUCACAAUACCAACAAAACAUCAAGUUUAUUCAACUUUUUUACCCUUGAUACACUCCACAUGUAGCCCAAUUUACAAAAUUCCACAAAAACCACUGCUUAGCAAAGACGAACAACAGCACCCAUCGGCCCAACAUGCUUUGCUCCAAGCAUAGAGUGACUCGAACUCGUCUUGUCUCCUUUUCAGUUUACCACAACCAGACAUAUUUAAUACAGUACCGUGAACAAGACAAGAUAGCGAUGAGAUCGGCUCAAUAGGCAUCAGGGUUUGCCAAGAGAUAAGCCUCGAUGGCCUUGAACAUCGCGGACGCCUUCUCUUUCCCAGCCUUGAUCUUCUCCUCAGUUAUGUCCGCCUCGCCAAUGGUGAAGUACUUGCUCGUGCUCUUGCACACCGAGCCUCCCUCGGCCGAUGUGGUGAUCUUCACCCCGUAGCUGAUCUUCUCGAAGGUGGUGCCCAGUGCGUCGCCCUCGAUGAUCGAGUAGCUGUAGGUGAAGUUCUCCUUGUCCAGGGCCUCGACCUUGUGCUUCAUUGUCUUGUACUGACUGCCUAUCAAGGUAACAAAAAGUAAUAUUCACGUUUGGAACUCGCUGGUUUCAACAUCACGGGCAAUGAUCUUGAUGGUGUCAAUUGGGCCAUUUAGGAUGUUCCAACUGCAAUCUGAUACGAUUGACUUAGACAUGGCCUGAUUUCCCUCGAUUGGAGUCAAGUCACGUGAUCACUUGUGUAAAGUUAUUCCCAUUGACCGCGAGAUAUCCAAGAGCAAAGUCGCUGCAUAUAUCUUGCAGCAUUUCUCCGAUGAAGCUGUUGUUCGAAAAGGUAACGAUCCCCAGAGAAGGGCUGUACUUGCCGAAAUCACGUGUUAUGCCUCCCGAGAAAUUGUUCUUGAACAAUGAGAUGGACCAUAAGUUAGCAAGGCGAGAGAUGGUCUCACAAGAAAAUAUUGUGUACACAAGCGAUGCUACGUCAUGGCUUUUCCUUCCCAGCCUAGAUCUGCUCUUCUUCAACCUGAAGUGCCUUCUUGCUGUUGUCCUUGCUCGUCAUCCUGCAGACUGACCCUCCGUCGCUGGUGGCCUCAAACUUGACCUCGUAAUCGAUCGACUGGAGCUUGUCACCCAGCGUGUCGCCCUCGAUCAUCAUGUUCCUACACAUGAAGUUCUACUUGUCGAGCUCAUCGAUCUGGUGCUCACAUGAAGUUCUACUCGUUGAGCUCAUCGAUCUGGUGCUUCACAUACUUGAAAUGACUAGCUGCAAUUACAUUAUGAAACUCCCUGCUCGAUGAGUGUUGAGUGUCCAUGCCUUCGGUGAAAUUUAACUUGCUCAAUGCUCCCGGCUCCACCGUCGCCUUGCACCAGCUCCACGCUCUUUAUGAACUGAGGCAGGAGCUUCGGGAUCAGGGUAUUUGACUCGACAAUCAAGGCCUUAAGAAUGCGAGCCAGAGCAAUCGGGCAUGUGAGCUCUUGUGUGAAGCUGGUUGCACCCAUGGCUAUUGGCAAUGAGAAAGAAAUAACCCCAGAGAAGAGUGCUUCUGAGUCCUGUCAAUGCCUCCUAAUUACGGUUGGAAUUAUGUCAAUAGGUAGGGUUGGUUUGGCAAGAGUCACGCUCGAGGAAAAAAGGAGAGUCAAGGAUUUGCAGCCUAAAGGAAUGGAAAAGAGGAAUAAAGGUGGUCUCUUUUGUUCUUUUGGUCAUGAAAAUGAUUUCGGUCCCUUUCGGAUUCAUGUUGAAAUGUCAAAGUUUAUGUUCCAAAAGAUGAACAUUCUAGUGCUCACAUGGGCGGCCAUCCCUUUGAAAUGAUUGUUGUGGAGUUCGAUCUAACAAUUUGCCGAUUAAAUAUUAUAACGAAAAUGUCCUUGUUUGAAGAAAAGUGUAUUAAUCAAAUUCUGUCUCAUUUAAUAUGUAGCAAACGAGAAUACUUUAUUAGUUGGUGAUAUCACGUUAACUUGUCGCGCAAUAUAAACAUCACAUAAUAUAUUUCUUCAUUUGUAAUGCCCUAAUGUCACGGUGGAUCUAAUUCAAAUGUAUGAAGUAAGGCCUUUUGAAAUCAUUUUCGUAACUUAGGGUUGAUUCAAACUUCACUAGCACCGACAGUUUGACUCAGUCAAAAUUGGGUCGGCAAUCGGGGUGUCCCAAGAUCAGCUCGUCGUCUAAGUUUUGGGGGAGGUGGAGGCUGCGGCUUUUCCGUUAUAUUUUGCUUCUCUUUCUCUUUUUUAUCAUUAUCAGUGUUGAAGCAUUUGAUCUCUAAUCCAAUGUCCCCAUCAAAGAUGUCCCCAUCAAAGAGGUAAGAUAGGAUUAGCUUAAAUAGAAUUUCAAAUAGCCCAAGCGUUACAAUAAGAUAAGUCCAAAACCUGAACACUUUAACUUUAUUUUUCGAUAGCGUUCUUGACAUAUAAUAAGAAUGUGCUUUUCUUUAAUGAUCAUAUGCAUAACAAUCUCUGAAAGAUUCUACCACAUCCAUAGUUUUAAGUGUUAAUCCAAAUUCAAAACAUAAGUUUGGAUUUAUUCAUUUGUUACUCAUGAAUUCUAUUCUUUUAUGAAAUUUAUUGAAAAUUAGAGAAUCUCAUGAUACCAACAAAAUAUCAAGCUUAUUCAACUUUUAUUCCCUUGAUACGCUAUUUAUGUAGCACAAUUUACAAAAUUCCACAAAAACCACUUCACCAGAUUCCUGCCACACCUUUCAUUCUCUUAUUCUCAGCAAAUACAAGAACAGCUACGCUCACCAGCCCCCACAAACUUUACUCCAAACACAAGAGUGACCCAAACUCUUCUUCUCUCCUUGUGAAUUUAGCACAACCAGACAUAUUUCACACAGUACAGUGAACAAUCCAAGAUAGCGAUGAGAUCUACUCAACAGGCAUCAGGGUUUGCCAAGAGAUGAGCCUCGAUGGCCUUGAACAUCUCGGACGCCUUCUCUUUCCCGGCCUUGAUCUUCUCCUCAGUGAUCUCCACCUCGCCGAUGGUGAAGUACUUGCUCGUGUUCUUGCACACCGAGCCUCCCUCGGGCGAUGCGGUGAUCUUCACCUCGUUGCUGAUCUUCUCGAAGCUGGUGCCCAGCAUGUCGCCCUCGAUGAUCGAGUAGCAGUAGGUGAAGUUCUCCUUAUCCAGGGCCUCGACUUUUUGCUUCAUUGUCUUGUACUGACUGCCUAUCAAAGUAAGAAAAAAUAAUAUUCACGUUUAGAACUCGCCAGUUUCAACAUCACGAGCAACGAUCUCGAUGGUGUCGAUCGGGCCUUUUAGGUUGUUCCAACUGCAAUCUGAUACGAUUGACUUAGUAGACAUGGCCUGAUUUCCCUCGAUUGGAGUCAAGUCACGUGAUCACUUGUGUAAAUCAAUGGUUAGAAACAUCUUUAAUUGAUCAAGUUACAUAUCUAUCCUUUUUAAUGUUCAUUAUGAUGUUCCAUAAGGUUGAAACAGCCUUGAUCCAGAGCGAUCCUAACACGGACGGACUAACCUUCGCCGAAAGUGAUCAACUUGACGGUCCCGGGACCUCCGUCGCCCUCGAGGACUUCGACGCUCUUGAUAGCUUGCGGGAGCACCUUCAGGAUGAGGUUAUCGGCGUCGAGGACAGCGGCCUUGAACAUCUUGGCCGGAGGGAUUGGGGUCGUGAUCUCGCAGUCGUAACUGACGACACCCAUGAUUUGGAUCCGAAUGGAGUUGCCGAAAUAGAGAAGAGAGUGAUCAGGAAAGGCUGACUAGCAGUGAUGAAGUUGGUCUCUAGGACUUGGGAGUGAGGAGAAGAGGAUGAACCGAAGCUGACAUAUAUAGAGAGAUCGAGUGUGAAGGGUUCUGGUCAUUGGAUAUUUCCUUCAAGUGUGUUUGUUUGGUACAAAAUAAAAAAUUCAAUAACUAUUUGUAUCAUAUGGUAUAUUUAUUUGAUGAUAAAUUUUUGCAUUAUUGACAGUAAUUUAUAUUUAAAUAUUUUCGUGGAAGAUGAAAAUAUUUUUAUUUAUUCUUUUUGUAAGUUAUACGGAAAAAAUAUUUUUUUACAAAACAAAUGAAGCUUAAUAAAAAAAAUCUUAAUCAGUCUGUGGGUUGUUCACUCAUGACAUGGACCUUGAUCAUAAAAUAAAAUGUCUAUAUGAUAAUGGAAUAUUAGUCAGAGAAGGCACCAUCCUAGAAUGAUACCAAACGUUCUUCCAUUUCCCUUUCAUGUAUAGACUUGACUUUUGAUCCAGGAGCAUUUGCUCAGCAAAUUCUCUUGGCUGAGCUUCACUGAUUUCUUACAUAGUGUUACUAUCAUAGAAAAUAUCAAGCCCUUAGCUGCAUAUGGUCACGAUCCACCCAGAUCUCAUCCUACUUUGCUUCAAUCCGUUCGCAAAAGUAGCAAUCUUUAAGGUUGGUAGAGGCCUCGGGAAGAAUUAUCAUCGAUUUCAUACGUACAAAUAAUAUUCGCUUAAGCCUGUGCAGUAGAAAAACUCGAAAAAUUGAGGCACAAUUUUUCCUGCUGGGUGAUCUCGGUGCUUCAUGUUUCUGUUGAGCUUCCAUCUAAGAAAAAGUACAGAGUGAUCUCAAUGUUGCACUAAUCCAAUUUAGCAGAAAAAGAUGGGAAAGGUAGUUUGGUAAUUACAAGGCUUUGUUACUUUUAGUCAACAAAGGCUGCUCUGAAAAUCAAGAUGGACGUCUAUAGAUUUUGAAUUUUUCUACUUGCUUUCAUGUGUCUAGUCCUUUUAAAUAAUAUUAUUGCGAACCAUUUUCUGCUAAUUGUCUGGUGGAAGUGUGGUGGAUCAAGCGAGAUUGGCUCACGCGUCACUUGCUCAUUAAACAUUUUUUAAUUUUCCUUUUCAUCUAACGGUAUAGCAACGUAGAUUUUUAGAAACGCUUUCUUCGUAUCUAAUUUUCUUCUUUUGUCUAGUUCAUCUUGUGGUAGUCACGGACCAUGUGAACGUAUAGUAGAAUGUCCAUGGGCGUUAGAUCAGAUUAAUUAAUGAAUUUCGUCGCAUUGAGACAAAAUUGAUUAAACUUGUCAAUCAUCUCACUGCGACGGAAGAGUCGGAAACUAUUAAUGGAUAACAACAGCAUAUGUUUUCAGAGGAAAGUAUUGGAGAGGGGCAUGGAUGCAUUGCUGAAGUUAUUUAAUGAGCAUGUCAUAUGUACUAAAUUAAUCUAAAUAGCUAAAUUUGAUGGAAUUCAUAUGAAACCUAAAUGAAACUCAUUGAAAUUAAAAGUCCAAAUUUUGCUUUAUAUAAAUACGACGCUAGUUCAUUCUCGAGUCUUUAUCAAAAUUGCGUUGUAUGUCAUUGAAUGUGAACCUCCCUUCCCUAUGAUCAACUCAGAUUUCUCGUACUUCAUCGACUUCCUUGUUUCGCUGUUGAAGCACCAGAAUCACAGCAAUUGAAGUCACCAGAAGGAGCUCACAUCAAUAAGGACCUUUUCCCUAUGGUCGGUCGAUUUACUGUUCAUCCCACAAGGAGAUAACCCCGUCACGUUUUCACACAAGCCCGGAUUUGCGAUAAAAGCGCUUUUCGGUGCUUGUUGGAAGAGGCGACCACUAGGAACUGCACCUGUCAGCUCAUUGUACGAUUAGUCUACGGAGCUUAAACAAGUUAUGUGUCCAUUUCUUUCAAUGUUCAGUAUAAUGUUCCAUAAGGUUAAAACCACCUUGAUCGAGAGCGAUCCUAAGUUCCUAAUAUGGAUGGACUAACCUUUGCCGAAAGUGAUCAACUUGAUGGUCCCGGGACCUCCAUCGCCCUCAAGGACUUCAACGCUCUUGAUGGCUUGUGGGAGCACCUUGGGGGUGAGGUUAUCGGCGUUGAGGACAGCGGCCUUGAACAUCUUGGCCGGAGGGAUCUGGACGUGAUGCAGAGUCGUAAGUGAUGACACCCAUGAUUGGAUCCGAACUGAGCUGCUGAAACUGAGAAGGGGGUGAUGAUCAGGAAAGACUGAGUAGCAGUGAUGAAGUUGGUCUCUAGGACUUGGGAAUGAAGAGAACAGGCUGAACCGAAACUGAUAUAUAAAGAGAGAGAGACUAAGUGUGAACGGCUUUGAUCAGUGAAUAUUUUGCGAAACAAACAAAGCUUAAGAAAUAAAAAAUUAUUCCGUGGAUUAUUCAGAUUAUGACAUGCCCCUUUUUCCUAAUAUAAAAAUGUCUAUAUGAUAAUAGAACAAACCGUUGGAUGAGAAUAUUGGGGAGAACUGGGCAACAAUUUACUAAUAACGAAACAUAAUUUAGCAUCAAUUUCUCCUCUAAAACUAAACCAAUCGAAAUCAACUCAACCCCAACGACCACCAGCAAUUUGUAAUACCAAAAUGACAAUAAGACAGAGCCAACAACGACACUAAGGUUUUAACAUGGAAACCAAUACGGAAAAAAUCACAUACCCUCCUCACUAACAGUAAUAGGAUACACAAAACAUUAUUUUCUAAUCACACAUUAGAGACUCGACAUCAAUAAUAUAAUCAUAUUUUCUCAUUCCAAAGAUAGAUUAACAUAAACGGAGCAAGAAAACCCUAAUUGGUUGGAGAAUCUGGAGGGGGUUAUUAUCGAAUGAAAUCAAUCAAUUCGUAGUCCUUGGUUUUACGAAACAACAUUCAAAUUUGAGCAAAUUCCGUCGGCAUCUUGCGUUCGAAUCGGGACCGAAAAGAUUGUGCCCUUUCUUUAGGAACGCAGAGAAAGAAGAGCCCAGGACACAGACAACAAUUACCCACUCACUAAGUCCCGAAAAGCAUAGACGAGCGAAAUGCUUCACGAAUUAACCUAAGAGCAACAGAAACACGCCGAGAUAGAAAAGAAGCCGACGCCCCAAAUUGCAAACUUCUUCGACCCCCCCCCCCCCCCCCCCCAAAAAAAAAAUUUCCAAAAUGAAACCUGAAAAGUGGUGAUUAAGCCCGGAGGCGGGAGGGGGGGGGAAGGGAGCCCCUUGAUGUCCAAAUGGGCGUCCCCGGUGGCGAGGAGCCCCGAGGGGGGGGGGGGGGUGGAAACCUAGGGUUAGGACGGGUUUGGCCUCAUGCCAAUUGAUCUGGACCGUGCCUCCCUUCAUAUCUUCGCCGGCCGCUCCGCCGCUUCCUUCCUUCCUUCCUUCCCUCUCUCUUUGAAAUCGAAGCCUUCUUCCUUCAUUUCUCAUGGAACGAAAUCGAUCAAUUCGUGGAAUUCGUGAUAUUCGUGCGCUCUCCCCAUUCUGCGGAGAGAUUCCCGACAAAUCGACCAGUGCUGAGGUUCAUAAAGACCAGAUCCGGGUAAACUCCGAACGCACUCGUGAGAUCUGCAGUGAACAGAUCACCUUCUAGACGGACUCUCGUUAGCCCCGGACAAUCCCUCAAGCAAUCGGGCAGCAGCCCGGUGAAGUUGUUCCCAUAAACCGCGAGAUACCGAAGAGCGAAGCCGCCGCACAAAUCCGGCGGCAGUUCUCCGGUGAAGCUGUUGUUGGAAAAGCUAACAUAGCCCAGACGAUAUGGAUUCGCAGAAAUCACACGGUAUGCCACCCGAGAAAUCGUUCGUGAACAAAAGAGAUGAACUGUAGGUUUGUCGAUCGUCGUUUCAGUACGGCGAGUGUAGAGCCAAAAAAAAGGGGAAGAAAGAUGACACAAUUGGCUAUGACAUUGAGUGACAGUUUAUUGCUGGCCUCCCCCACGUAAGUAUGUCACGAGGCCCACCCUUCAUGGCUCAAGUUCAUGAAAACAAACUAAUAAAAAAAAGACCCAAAACGUCUGCACUACCAUCCUCGCGGAAAUCCAACCAAAAAAAGGAAAAGAUUAAAAAGGCAACCAUCCCAUACAAAAGCAUUCGCCACACGCUACUAAAAAUUAACCACACAGAGACUCACUAGUCUCAGGGUUCGCCUGGAGGCAAGCCUCGAUGGCCCCGAACACAGUGAAUGCCUUCUCUCUCACGGCCUUUAUCUUCUCCUCGGUGAUGUUUAUGUUGCCCCUGGCGAAGUAUUUGCUGGCGUUUUUGCACACGGAGCCUCCCUCCGGUGAUGCGGUGAUCUUCACCUCGUAGCUGGUGUUCUCCAAGGUGUUGGCCAGCAUGUCGCUCUCGAUGAUCGAGUUGAAGUAGGAGAAAUUCCCAUUGUCCAGGACCUCAACCUUGUGCUUCACUGUCUUGUUGCAAUGACCUAUAAAAGACGCAAAACGUGGCAAAUCACAUCUGAGAAGCCACCGGUUUCAAAAAUCGCGAGCACUGCUUUGCAACAUGAUUGACUCACGACAUCACGGUGUCAAUGGUCAGGAACAUUUGAAUUAACCAAGUAAACUUACUAACCUUCGCUGGAAGUGGUCUCCUCGAUGAGCUCGGCACUCUCGAGGACUGGCAAGAGGACCCCGGAGAUGAGGUUUUCAGCCCUGACCAAGACCUCGAACACCUUGGCCGGGGGGAUGGAGGGCUUGAUCUCGGUCUUGUAGCUGAAGUGUCCCAUGAUUCUCUGCUCGAAAAGAAUUUGCUGAAAGCUGAGAGGGAAGUCUUGAUCUAGGAUUUCGAAGCUAAGACCCCAUGUGUAUAUAUAUAUGCGCGGGAGAGAAAACUUUGCGGACCUGCUUUGGGUCCAUUUCAGAGGAAAACCAAGCAAUCGCGUGCUUUGGGUUGAAAUUCUUCUACCUACAUGAUCGAGUCACUGUCGAGUCUCGACUUUUGGAAUGUGUAAGAAAAAGCAAAACAAUGGUUGAAAUUCUUCUACGCACACGAUCGACUCACUGCGAAGUACUCGACUUUUGGAAUGUAUGGGAAAAAGCAAAACGAUACAGAGGCUAGAGUUUUUUUUUUUUUUUUUUUUGGUCUGUUCCAUAGGAAAACCAAGCAUUCGCGUACUUUUGGUUGAAAUUCUUCUACGCACAAGAUUGGAACGUGUGGGAAAAAGCAAAACAAUGGUUGAAGUUCUUCUACGCACAAGUAACUGUCAAGUACUUAACUUUUGGAAUGUGCGGGAAAAAGCAAAAAGAUAGAGGCUAGAGUUUUUUUUUUUUUUGGGUCCGCUUCAGAGGAAAACCAAGCAUUCACGUACUUUUGGUUGAAAUUCUUCUACGCACACGAUUGCAAUGUGUGGGAAAAAGCAAAACAAUGAUUGAAAUUCUUCUAAGCACAAGUAAUUGUCAAGUACUCAACGUUUGGAAUGUGUGGGAAAUACCAAAAUGAUACAGAGGCUAGAGUUUUUUUUUUUUUUUGGUCGGUCAUAUUUUAAUUCUUAAAUUUUUACUUUGCUUCAUUGUAGAGCGUGAAAGUCGAAACCCACACUUGAAACUAAAUCGUCAUCUGAAAAUGUGGGAAUUUGAACCCCCACAUUCCCUUUCUAUAUUGAAAAUGUGGUCACAAAGACAAAUCCUAGUGUUUACAGGCUAGAGUUGGAAAUAUGUUAUUAAACACAUUCCUUUUAUAGUCUCCCUUCAAAAAUCCCGUAAAAUAAAUAUGCAUGGUCUAAAAUACUCUUAUCUUGUAAUUUGAAAGUCAAAACUCAACAAAAAUCAAAUCAAAUCGAGUACUCAACUUUUGGAAGAAACAAAGUAGGUUACGUCUAGUACUGAAAGGGAAGUCUCGAUCUAGGAUUUAAAAGAUAAGACGCAUAUGUAUAUAUAUGUUUUCGGGUCCUUCUAAGGGGAAUACCAAUUAUCGUUGUUGAGUAGCUCUGCGGGGUCCUUUUGAGGCCAAGAUUGGGUCGGCUUUUCUCUUAAAAAGGCAGAGAACAUGCCAUCCCAAGUCAUAGCGCACUCAUUACGACUGGAUUUCCAACCCAUCACUCCACUUCUGGAUGGAGGGAAUCAAGACUUUUGGAAGAAUGUGUGCACUCGACUUUUGGAUGGAAGAAAUGAAGAAUUUUGGAAGAAUGUGUGAUGGGGAGCGUGUGCAAUUGCCCACACGUGAUGGGAACGUGAGGCAUGGAACUUGUUGCCAAACAAGUCAAUCAAAGAUGCACCAAUUUGAGAACAAGUAAUAAAAGAUAAAAGAAAAUCAAAAUCACAUGAGACGCAAAACUUACGUGAAAAACUCAAAACGAGAAAAAUCAUAGGAAGAGAGAAGAGUCUCAUUAUUUUCAAUAAAGAGCACGAGAAUAUAAUCCAAAAAACUCUAAAACCACUUGAUGAGCCACGAGAUUUGAACAUCUAGCAAGAAGAUAGGAAAAAACAAAACAGGAAACUAUACAGACGCUAGAGUUGGAGAUGUGUUAUAAACACGUUCCUUUUAUAGUCUCCCUUUAAAAAUCCCUUGAAAUAAAAAUGUAUGGUCUAAAAUAUUCUUAUAUCUUAAUUUGAAAGUCAAAACUCAACAGAAAUCAAGUCGAAUCGAGGACUCAACUUUUGGAAGAAACAAAGUAGGUUACGUCUAGUUCAACUUUCUCAAGUAGCUUGGGGGAAAUGUAAAGUAAUGUAAGCCUAAAGGGUUUUGGCAAAAUGUAAAGAUUGUUUGAUAAAAUAUGUUUUGAGAAGUAGCUUUGACAUAAAUGUUGGUUGAUAUAAAAUAUAUUUAAAAAAACUCAUUUGGAUGAUUAAUUUAAACUGUUUUAAUUAAUUAGGGGUUGGAUUUUUUUUAUUUUUUUUAUUUUUUGGUCUGAGGGGUUGGAUACUUUGGGUACUAUUGUGUGGUGUUCUCGAGUGCCCGAGAGUACCUGUAAGUUUUUGUCCAUAGUUAAAGUCUAGAGAGAGAAAUAGAGAGUGCAUCUGCCUUUUAAGGCUUCUGAUGAUUGGAGAUUUUCUCUAAUCAAAUAAUUCAAUUUAAUAAUUUAAAUAGAGAGAGAGAGAGAGUUUGUGCAUAUCUUUAAUAGGCGUCAUAAUUAGAGAGAGAGCAGAGCAGCGCAGAGCAGAGCAGAGCAGAGAUUUUCUCUAAUUAAAUAAUUCAAUUUAAUAAUUUAAACAGAGAGAGAGUAUGUGCAUAUCUCUAAGAGGCAUGCCAUAAUGAGAGAGAGAGAGAGAGAGAGCAAUAUGGACUAAGCAUCCAAUCUCUUCUACUUCUACUAAUGAAGAAAUAAUUUGACCUCGUCACUUCACAACACAUUCCGGGCUGAAUAAUGGAGCUUUGGGGACAUGGUGGUGAAUAACAAGUGAUAUAGAAGAGAUGAUACGCUAUUAAAUUAUUGUCUCAAGUUUAAGUCCGUGUACAAGAUUCGACUUGAUUUGAAUAUGUAGAAAACCGAAUCUAUUAGGAAAAAAAAAUACCAAUAUCACAUUUGGUAUUUGAAUUAUAAUUUAUCUUGAAAAGAAUAUUCACGUUAUAUAUACUGAGACGAGUUUUUUGUGCAUUCCCCCAAAAGUCAAACCCCCACAGUAACCCCCUUUUUCUCUAACUCCCGCACCCUAUUUCCAUAUAUAUGGAUCUUCACUUCCAAAUCCGAUCGAGAUGCUGAUAAAUACUAAAUAGUGUUCGAAUGGGGGGGGGGGUGGGGGGUGGGGGGGUGGAGACAUUGCUUGCUGAUUCAUGUUGUGAAAUGCGUGCUCUCUUCUUCUUUUCGCUAAGAAGCUGACGAGUAACAACAGAGAAAGGAAUAUGUCCCCGUAUCGAUAAACUCUCGGUAGAUAGGAAGAUACAAUUAAGACGCAAUCAAAACGACAAGGAUGAAAGCGAGGUGAGAGAUAAAAUUAAGGCGAAAAGAUAAAACAGACAAAGGCGCGAAAUACUGCAGCAUCUUAGCGUAAAGAAGAAAGAAGAGAGAAGUUGGCACCCAAUUGAGGUAUGUUGUCCGUGAGGAGAUGAGUGUUUCAAGACUUGAGGUAAUUUUCCAUGAGAUUGAACACUGUGAGCUUGGGUGCAAUUUAGGGGUGAGAAACAUUCAAACAUUUAGUCGAUUGUAACUCUUUGAUUCUCCAAUUGUUAGUGGAUUAUUUUCUCUUCCCCAACUGACACUUAGACCGAAUUACGUAAAUCUUAUUAGUUUCCGCGUUAUAUCACAGCAACAACAACUGGUUUGAAAAGUGGCGUCAAAGUGUUUAUGCUAGAAAUCUUGGGGUGGAACAAAUUGUGCUAAAGUGAUUUGAAAAAAUUAUGCCAUGAUUUUUACAAGAUGUUUGACAAGUAUUUUUAAUUACAACAUUCAGAAUUUCUACCACCUCAACUGUUGUCUCACCCACUUUGAAGGAGUCGCAUGUAUUACUGAACACAAAUUAUAACACUUCAUGCCAAAAUAUAGUUACAGUUCAGUCACGAUUAUAAUUUUUCUUAAAGAGAUGGGAGAAUGUAAACAUAAACCAUGAUGGGAGACAGAAAGAUUGAGCCAACAUGCAACAUCAACUCAAUUGAAAGCAUCAGGGUUUUGCAAGAGAUGGGCGUCAAUGGCCAUGAACAUUCCCAUGGCCUUCUCUUUGCCGGCCUUGAUCUGCUUCUCCGUGAUCUCGGCCCCGUCCUUGGCAUAGUACUUGCUCGUGCUCUUGCACAUGCAUCCUUGGCUAGCUGCAAGGCACGGAAAACCACAAUCAACUCCUAAGCGUUGGUCUCAUUUAAACUGUCGGUGAAUGUCUUGAGACCCAUGUUGAUGCGGUGCGAUUAAAAUGUGCGAAGUGGGUGAAAUUGAAAGAUGCGCGAGGACUAGCCUUCAUAGAAAGCGACAUACUUGAUGAUUGAAAUGCCCUCUAAAUGAUUCUCAAUCGCCUGUUUAGUAAUCUAAAUCGCCAUCACAAUAGAUAAAUCAUAUAAUAGAGAAAGAGUACUAAAGACAUGGAUCUCAAGCCCAAAUGAUACUUAUUAGCAAGCGAGUGAUCGUUUGAAUUUUGAUGCUCUUGAGGGUGGGAAGUCACUAAAUUAUUAACUUUUUUCCAACACCGGUUGGGUUCCAUGGGAUUGUUUCCACUAUAGAGAUAAAAAGUUAGCAUGCAAGUUGUCGCGACCUAUCCCUCGGGGGGAGGGAAUAGGUUUAGAGAUAUUGCCUAAAAGAUGGACUUAAGGCUCAAGAUUGGGUGAGAGCUCUCCCAAACCUAUACUUCGCGUGACAUUAGAGUGUUUUUAAGAAUUUUUCAAUGAGUCACCACCACUAGCCUAUUGGGGUUAGCUAAAAACCAAGUAAGGCAUGUGAGUAGAUCUCGCUUCCUACACAACUAGAGAAUCUAGGGUCGAUAACUUGAUUACAUUAAUUAAUCAAUUAAUGCUCUUUCGAUACCUAAUCUUAUUUAUUUUAAAAGAAAAUAUUUUUGUCAAGUAGUGGAUUAAUUUUAUACUUAUCCACUAACAUGUGAAGUGAUCAUGCAAAUACACAAUCAUUAAAGUAACGGUCAAUAACCAAGAAAGUAUUAAAUAAAUUACAAGGAAAAGCAAUAAUCUAACAUAAAUAAUAAUAAUAAUAAUAAUAAUAAUAAUAAUAAUAAUAAUAAUAAUAAUAAUAAUAAUAAGAAAAAUUGACAUUCCUAACUAGGUUAAAGGGAAAUCACAAUCAAUAUAUUGAAAGUGCACCAUCAUUUGAUAAUUUGUCUCAAGAAGGGAAAUAUUAGAACCCUAUUGCAAGGCCUUAAGAGUUUGUUCAAUUUUGAGCCCUAUUUUGGUCGAUGAUUUUCCCACACUUUAAGAGAAAACUGUUCAAAAACAAAUAAAAAAAUUCGAAAUUUUUUUAAAUAUAUAUUUUUUUGCAAUUUUUUUAUUCCGAAAUAGCAACUCGGGCCGGGCCCUCGGCCCGAUUCAAAAGUGGGUCGGGUAAAGAUUCAUGGGUUUGGGCAAUGAACACUAAAAGCCAAAUUGAAGAAGUGGGUUCAAUGACUUAAAUGCAUUCGAAAAAGGGCCAAGAUCAAGCCCAAAUUUAUCAAAGGAAAACACUUAAUCCCCUUUACACUAAGAUCACUUUAAAACAACUUCCAGCACAUCCUAAAUAAGCCCAGCUCCGAAAUUAGCCCACUUACUUGACCUAUCCACAAACUCCUUCUUAGGCACCAAAAUAACCCCUGAACAGCAGCUUCUCUUUCUGCGACUCCUCCUUCCCGAAGUCAUUUUUACCUUUUCAUAGUUUACUUUUUUUUUUUUUGCUUGUUUUCUUUUUUAUUCUUUAUCCUUUUUUUUUUUUUUUACUUCAUCCCUUCCCCUUCCCUGCACCUAUCUUCUUCCUCGACGACUCCCUCCGAAAUGGGUUCCCUUGCCGAACCAUAACCAAAAUAAAACCACGUCCGACGAGCCCUCACCAAUGUUUGGGAUCGCCGCCAAACCACCAUCGGGCGUCGGUCGUUCAGUCCGACCGAUGCCGGCCACGGCCGUUGGCCGAGACACGGCUCGGCCCCCACCGAGGUUAGCCGAGGGACGAAACUCGGCCUGAACGACCGGGUACCAUUCAACAUAGCCCUGAUACCGACAUCCUCCAAUACCUAACGGUGCCAUCACCGGUCACCGUCCCUUUCCCGGCACCAUCCACGACCAACCCAUAGAAAGAACAAAGAAAAUAUAUGCAGACCUAGCCUAGACAUAAUGUCGAGCACCUGUGUGCGUCGACUGAAAAGCUAACGAAAACUCAACUGGGAGAUGAAUCAACAGUCAAGGCAGAAGCAACAACCAAGCAAAGUCUAAGACAACAAAAUCGCAGCUCACCGGGAUCGGAGACUCGUGCGGGCCAGAGAACCGCGAGCUCCGGUCUGGUGAACUAGAAAAAUCUGAAUAAAAGGAGGUGCUCGGGUGACGGGGCCCUACUCGGCUCGAUAACGGCGGCCUGCAAGCAGGUUCGAAAUGGCACGAACCGUGGCCGACCACCCUAGUGUCAUCAAGACGAGAUCAUCGGGUUAAAGGGGACUGAACUCGAAAGGAGACUUACCGGAAGAAUGGAUGCCGGGAGGCGAGGUCACGGGCGCGGCCGAGCUUCUUUCCCGCUCUCUCCUAUCAAUUUCUCGCUUUGCUCUCACUCACGAUGCUCUGUCCCUCCGACUUUCUCCUGGUUCGGUCUCUCUCCAGCUCUCUCCCCUUCAAGCUCUCUCCCUCUGUCUUGCGGUGCUUCUGUUCUCUCCUCCCCCCCCCCCCCCCCCCCCCCCCAAAACCCAUUUUUUGCCCCUGCCUCCGGCUGUUCCCCCUGCUCCGCUCUGCUGUUCUGCUUUUCUUCUUUUUUACAGGCGCGCGAGGAAGGACUGCAGGAGGAGGACGACCAGCUGGCGGGCCGCGAGGAAGGCGGAGCUGGGCCUCCGUGGGGGAAAGAAAAGGAAGAGAUGGACCGCGCCCAGGCCCGCGCGGGGGAAGAAGAAAGAGAGGCGGGCCGGGCUAAGGUCGGAUCCGGCCCGACCCGGCCUCUCUUGUUCGUUUUUUAAUUAAUAAUUUGUUAAAUAAUAAUAAUUUUAAUUUUUUUAAAUUUUUUUAAAUUAAUUUUUUUUUACCAAUUCCUAACUUUUAAUGCUUUUAAGUCUUAAGUAAAAUUGGCAAAAUUUAGGUGUCAACACAAAUAAUAUAAAAGCACAGUAUAAAUUUGAUUCUCCUAAUCAAUGAGUAUAAAUGAGAAUAUGGGGGUGAAAAAAAUGUUACAAGAACUAAAACGUGGACUUUUCGAGAAGCUCCAAUAACAGAAAUGUCGCAUAUUCGGCAAGAUGCAAGUACGUCCAUCCAUCGAGAUGUAGUUUUUGGAGAAAUUCACAAACAGAUAUUGAAUGAAUAAAAACGUUUAGAAAAAUGUCAUAAAUAGCUUUUUUAGCUCAGUUAAAUAGAGCUUACUUUAGUAAGCGAUAGGUCUUGACUUUGAAUCUCAACGAGAUCCUUUGUACUAUGACUCGUAAUUUUUUUUUUUUUUCACAUCCAAUAUACUUCGUAACAAUUUUUUUGAUAAACAAAACUUCGACCGAGCCAAAAAAAUUAGUCACUUAAUAUAUGAUAGAGCCAACAUAUACAUACUAUAUGUGUGUGUGUGUGUGUGUGUUUUCUUAGUACAAAUGGUAAUACGAGCACCCAAUUAGUAGGGGGGAGGUUGAGUUCGACUCUCAACGAGACAAUUUGUCAUUCAAAAUUUUUCAUAACGAUUUUUUUUAUAAACAAAAAAUUCAAUUGAGCCAAAAAAUUUGUCACUUAAUAUAUCAUAAAGCCAACAUAUACAUGUAAUUCAUUUUUCUUGGUACAAAUGGGGAUACGAGCACCCAUUUAUUAAGCAGGAGGUUUUGAGUUUGACUCUCAAAUAAGUUUUCUUUUUUGUAAAUUCAAAAUUCUUCAUUACAAUUUUUUUAUUAAAAAAAAGAUCGACCGAACCAAAAAAAUUGUUAGUUAAUACAUCAUAGAGCCAACAUAUACAUACAAUAUAUUUUGUUUCAUUUUCUUGGUACAAAUGGGAUACAAGCACCCGUUUAGGGCGCGUUUGGUAACGCUUUUAUUCCCGGGAACAAUUUUUUAUCAUAACUGAUUCUUUUUUAUUCUGUUUCCGAAAGCAAUUUCUAAGCAUUUUAAGCCGUUUGAUAAUUGUUCAAAAUUUCAAUUCUCAAAAUAGAAUUGCGUUUGGUACAAUGUUUAAAAUUUUUAUUCCAAAUCAUUUUCUUUUAAUUUUUAAAUAAUUUUAUUACUUUUUCCCUUUUUUUCUUUUCUCUCUCAUAUUCUUCUUCUUCAAGUGGCCGGUCGCCGAGUCGAGGGCCGGCAAUCUCACUGGAGCGUUGCCAACCCUCGGUGAGGCCUGUCCUUGUCAGCCGAGCCUCGCCAGCAACUAGGCAAGGCUUGCCCAGCCUCGCCAGUGGCUAGGCAGGCCUUGACGGGGCUGGGCAAGCCCCACCGGUGGCUAGACGGGCCUCACCUGUGGCUGAGCAGGCCUCGCUAGGGUUGGACGAGGCUCCUCUCACUAGUGGUUGGGCUUGCCUCCGGCGAGCUCGCUAGACCUCACCCUGGCUUGGCGAGCCUCCAACAAGCUCGCCAAAUCGGUUGUCGGCGACCAGUGAUGGUGGGUGGCGGACGGCAACCGCAACGAUGGAUGAAGAAGAAGAAAAGGGAAGAAGAAGAAGAGAAAAUAUGGGCUUGAUUCUUGGAUUUGUUCUCUGAAACAAAAAACAACUUUUUAUUUAUUUUUUAUUCCGUUCCAAAACCACUUCCGGGAACAAAAAAAUAAAAAUUUGUUCCCAGGAACAAAAAUUUUACCAAACACGGUUCCGUUCCAAAACUACUCUCAAGAACAAAAGAAUAAAAUUUGGCACUGUUUGGCCGAUUACCAGACAGGCCCUUAGCAAGCCAAAGUUUUGAGUCCGACUCUUAACGAGAGCAUUUGUCUUGUGACUUAUAAUCUUUCUUUCUUCUACAUUCAAAUUUUUUCGCAACAACUUUCUUUGUAAACAUUCAAACUUCUGUCUUCUUGAUGCUGUUAAAAUCAGGGAUACGGAACUCUAGUGCGAAUGGAACUCACUGCGGUGAUGCUAACGAAUCCCACUGGAAUAUGCGGAGGACGGAAAAUCUUAGAGCUGGGGAAAAUGAAUGGGUUUGGGAUUAGAUCCGGCUUGGUUAUUGCCCCGGAGCUGACUCACCCAAGCCAUUAGAAAAGAGAACUCUAGAAAAAGAAUAAUGACCAAUGUUCUUUAUUGUUCAAGCAGAGACAUUUUCUAUCGGCUAAACCUUAUGCUUCUCACAUUCAAUGCUUGUGUUCCAUCUGAAGUUAUUUCUUACCACAUAAUUGUCGACAACCUAAUUUGACCAAUAAAUGCAGUACAUCUAUAUAGUAUCUGGAGAGGAGCUGUUUCUGCUAGCUAAGGAUUACAUCAAGUAUCUUUUUGGUGGAUGUCUUAGUGCUAGGUUAACCCGUGCGAUGCCCCAGUGAGGAAGAUUUUACAAGGAGCUAACAGAGAAGAAAGAGGUUGAUCAGUAUUGGUUAGUGUUGAAAAUUGAGAUCCAUUUUCUAAAACUAGCUAAUUUCUUCUAUUGUAAUCUAGAAGCUCCUAAGUAAAGGUUUUGGUAGUAGAAGUUGUGGUCUAAAAAUGUCCAAGUUAGAGAUGUUUGGAUGAAUGGCCGUGGACAGUUGUAAAGCAAAAAAAUCUCUGACAAAAGCAGAGAUCUUUCCUUGAAGAAUACUGUGGCUGACUUUAUGAGUAAAGCAAGAACUAGUUUGUGUAAGGUGGUGGAAACAUUAGAUAAACUCCACCCACGUGAACAUCCCAUCUUACAAUUAUGUAACGCCACAUUUCUAUCAACUAAAUAAACGAUAUUCUUGUCUCAUAAAUCUUUUUCUAUUUUCCUCAAAGUAUUCAUCCUUGUCCAUUCCCCUACAUCAACUAUACCAUAAACAUAUACAUUUACACAUACAAACAAAAAGAUAUCAUUGAUAUCAAAGUCAUGCUUCGGCACAAUCUCACCAUUUCCAACGGUUAGAGAAGGCGAUAAUUAAUAUCCCGACCUAGUGGGACGGUCCUGAGAAGUAAAGGCGCAGGGACAGAAUAUAGACAAGAUUUGUCUUCCAGCUAUGAUGAUGGCCUCUGAACAAUUCAUCUUCGUCUUCCCCAGUCAUUUUAGAUGGAAUGGCGAUAUCAUUCCACGGUUCUAGUUUUGCAGUGAUCCAAAGCUUGAUCUUGCUAGACGAUGAGAAAGCUGUCUUGUGUAGUUGUUACACCAUCUGUCAUGGAAUUUUCGUGCAAAAUUUCACAAGAACAAGGUCAGAUGAAUGAAGGAUUGAAGUCUAUGUCAUUCUGUUUUGUUGCAGUAUGAAUGACUGAGUUCAAGUUGAUUCAAAGCGUUAGAGCAAUUGGGACUUGAUAGGCUGCUUCAUCGGGUGAGGACUUCUUCGUUCCAACUUUUUCUCUCCCUUUUGAUUCGUUUUCAUUUCUGCUAUUGAUUUUGUCAUUUUGAGCUUAGGUUGCUACCUAAUAGGCAGAAUUUUUGUAACAUUUGAUAUGAUAUGCAGAUACACAUUACUUGUGUAUAUCUCGAAAAUUCCCACUUUUAGACACUGCUUUUGGCUGGCUUCUAAAAAAUGCCCUUCUAUUAAUCUUCCGAGCGUUAAAAACUACAAAUAAAAACUAAAAAAGUCAGAUUGUGAGAGCAACUUCUGUUUGCUCUUUCUUUUGUUUUGCAUUGCAUAUUGGUCCUUCACCUAUUUUGUAUGCUGACAGCUAAUUAUAAACACCAAGUUGCUUCAAAGGUCAUAUUUGAAACGAGCAUAUACUGAAAUGUAGGGGCAAAAGAAAUUAUGCAGGUUCUCGAAACUCUGGUGGUUGACCGUGGGGACAUCACCCGACCCUGGUAUGUUGAGCUUUUUGAUGGCGAUGAUUUGGCCGCUGGCCAGUUCGGCCUUGUAAAUGCUCCCAAACCAGCCCUUUCCGAUGCAGUACUUUUCACUGCAGCCAUUGGUAGCCUUGGCGAUGUCAUUGAAUGUGAACUUUCCUUCCCUUCCCCAUAUGAUUGACUUGGAUUGCUCUUGCUUCACAAGACUCUUGAUCUCUUCUUUGAAUUCCUUGUUUCACCACCGAACUGCCAGAAUCAUAGCAAUUGAAGUCACUAGAAGUAGUAAACAGCAGACUCCCAGGGUCACACCAAAAAGAACCUUUUCCCUAGGUCGGUCAAUUUACCGCUCGUCCCACAAGGAGAUAAUCUGGUCGCGUUUCCACACAAACCUGGACUCGCGAUUAAAAAACUUCCCUGUGCUUGUUGGGAGAGGCGACCACUACGAACCGCACUGAUUGGCUCGUUGUACGAUAAGUCUAUUGAGCUUCAACUCCUCAUGCUGGUGAGAGGAGCUGGGAUCGUACCCGACAAUUUGUUACGCAAAAGAUUGAGAUUUUCCAAUUCAACAAGCUUUGCUAAAUUGGAAGGAAUUGAUCCUGCUAGAGAUAUGUGGCUCAGGUCCAGGAGAUUCUGUAACGUGAACAAGUUCCCCAGCUCUGGCAAUAUGACAUCCAACAGAUUGUUGUUGUUCAAGUUCAAGCUCAGUAAAUUCUUGCAAUUCGUUAGCUCUUCUGGUAUGCUACCGCUCAAUGCCUUCUCCCCGACAAAUCAAGAUAUUCUAGCUUCGAUAAGUUUCUUAACGAGAUGGGAAUGUCUCUGGCCAAAUGGUUGUAGCUCAAGUUCAGCCUAAUCAAUGCCCCCAGAGUUACCAAAUCAUAGGGAAUUUUCCUAGUCAAUUCAUUGCCAUAUGGAGUCAGAUCGCACAAUUGAGACAAUUUCCCAAGCUCCGGCGAGAUGCGGCUGGGGAUUUUGUUACCAUCUAUUUGCAAAUUCGUGACAUUCGUGCACUCUCCCCAUUCUGCAGAGAGAUUCCUGACAAAUAGAUUGUUGCUAAGGGCCUGAGGCUUAUAAAGUCCAGAUUCAGAUAAACCCCAAACACACUCAUGACAUCUGCAGUGAACCGAUUGCUGUCCAGACGGACUCUCGUUAGCCCUGGACAAUUCCUAAGCAGUCGGGCAGCGGCUCGGUGAAGUUAUUGUUAAAGCUCAUAAAACAACAAUCAAAACAGAAAACAUAUAUGUUGUUUGAGGGAGAGAAAGGAUAAAAAAACAGAGCAUAACACUUCAUACGUUUUGUGCAAAAGAAAAAACUGUCAAGUACCACAACUAAAUACAAAGCAAAAACUGCUCACAUACGUGCUAUUAACUUCCUAGAAAAUAGCAAAAACACUAAAUGCAUAACUAAAUGAACUUGGCUAUUAAAAAAAUAACAAAGGAAAAUAGAGGAAAAAACACGACCGAAAACAGCAGCACUGAGACAAUUCCAACAAACUCCUCCUUGGAUCACUUGUUGCUGCAAAUUCCUAUUUUCUCUCUUAACAGCUCAAAUUUUCCAGCCUGAAGUGGUUUUGUGAACGUAUUUGCAAGCUGAUCUUCAGAUCUGCAAUAGAUCAACUUAACUUCACCACUUUGUUACACCUCACGCAGAAAGAAAAAUUUGACUUUAAAAUGCUUGGUUUUGCCAUGGAAAACUGGAUUCUGUGAUAUUGCUAGAGCAACCUGAUUGUCCACAUUGACUUCGAUACAAUCACUGGAAUUCAACCACAAAUCCUUCAUUAUCUUCUUUAGCCACAAAGCUUGAUUUGCAGCUGUAGUAGCUGCUAUAAACUCAGCCUCUGCAGUAGACUGAGCUACAAUCUCUUGCUUUUUAGAACAUCAGGAGAAACAAGCAAAACCAAAACUGAAACAAUAUCCAGACGUACUCUUCAUGUCAUCUAUUGAACCGGCCCAGUCACUAUUAGAAAAUUCUUGCAAAUUAAACUUCUGACAUUUCUUAAACUUCACACCAAAGAACAAUGUUCAUUUGAGAUAUCUCAAGACCUUUUUUACUGCAAUCAAAUGUAACUGACUAGGACUAUUCAUAAACCUGGAUAAAAUACUUACAACAAAUAGAAUAUUUGGUCUGGUUGCUGUAAGAUACAUGAGACACCCAAUCAGACUUCUAUACAUAGAAGUAUCUACUGCAUCUGUUCCAUCAUUCUUGUGCAGCUUCUCUUUAGCAACCAUAGGAGUGCUUACACUUCAACAAUCUUCCAUCUGAAACUUCUUUAGAAUUUCCUUCAUCUAUUUUUUCUGACAGAUGAAGAUCUCAUUUGAAGCUUGUUUGACUUCCAAACCCAAAAAAUAAGUCAUUUUUUCCAAGUCCGAUAUCUCAAAAACUGCAAAUAGAUCUCGCUUCACCUUCUCUAUCAAUUCCAUAUCAUUCCCUAUCACUAAUAGAUUAUCUACAUAAAGUGACAGAAUUAUAACAUUGUGAUUCACCUUCUUGACAUAAAGAGUGAACUCACUUAAGCUUUUUACAAAGCCAAAAUCCUAUAAAUAUCGAUCUAUAUUCCCAUACCAAGCUCUUGGAGCCUGCUUCAGUCCAUAUAGAGGUUUCCUUAACCUAUAUACACUCUCUUCUUGCCCGUUGAUACUGAAGCCUUCAGGUUGUUCAACAAAAUCUCCUCCUCAAGCUCUCCAUUCAGGAAUGCAGACUUGACAUCUAACUGAAAUAUAGGCCACCCCUUCUCUGUUGCAAUAGCUAACAGUGACCUUAUUGUAUCAAGUCGUGCAAUAGGAGCAAAUGUUUCAGAAUAGUCUACUCCCCAUAUUUGUGCAUAGCCUUUUACCACCAGUCUAGCUUUGUGUUUAUUGACAGAACCAUCAGGAUUAAGUUUUAUUAUAAACACCCACUUAACCCCAAUCACAUUCUUAUCAGAUGGUCUAUCAACAAGCUCUCAUGUGUGGUUUUUCUGGAUCAUUGCAAUCUCCUCCUACAUUGCUGUAAUCCACCUCUAAUCCUCCUUAGCUUCCACAAAGUUAGAUGGUUCGAGCAUUGCCACAUUGCUUUUUUCAUAGAUUUCAGCAAGUGACCUUGUGCCUCUCAUGUGACACCCCGAACCCUUCGCAGGUCGUCACCAGCGCCGGUGUUACAUCUUUUACCAUCUCUAUCUCUUGGCUAAAUUAAGCCUUGCCAGAUUACAGGCAUUUUUUUUUCUUUUUCUUUUAAAGCGGUCCCAUGCGCGACUCAUAACGGAAGCAAAAUUCACAUCGUCAUCUAUCUCCCUUCUAACCCAUGAUACAAAUACACACCAGCUAAACAUCAUGAUUUUAUAAACGAACAUCGACACAUUAUUUACAUAUAUUUUCAAGAUGGGAUUACUCUCGGGUCGGUACAUAACAAGGAAAAGCUAGGACUCAGCCAUGUCCAGCCUAAAACCUCAAAAAGAAACCUCGACCCUUAACAUCAUGUGAACAAAGAACCCUCCCAUCGAAAGCGUCGGUUUUCUACAUCAAAAAGUGAUCUAGCUCCUACUCCUCGCGUACAGGUCUCACACCCAACCCGGUGUGUCAGGUGGUGGCGGCAGCAGCAUCCCUCGCAUCGCUCCAUCCCGUCGAACGUGCACAGAUAGGAACUCUUGUAUGAUAGGGCCCCCAGCCAGGCCGAUAUCAUACAUAACUAAGCAUCGCACUCGGAUAAACGUCAAUCCGGGCACAGAGGGACAAUCUAUCUCCGUACACUCCACCUCAACAUCAGACGGUAGACCGUAAAAUACCCCACGCAAAACAGCAGGUAGCGGCAUAGUGCUAAUCUGAAAUGUUAUCCCCAAAAGGGGUGAGUACAACCACUCAGCAGAUAGGGAAAUCUAAUGACAACUCAGUGCACCAUGCAUACCAUCAUACAAUGCAGGCAUUGCUUACCUUUUUUAUGUCAAGCGUAUUCAUGCAUCAUCAUAGCAUAUAUAUAUCAUCAUCAUGGCGUCUCAUAUAUCAUUAUCAUCACAUCAUCAUUAACCAUGCAUCACCAUGCAUAUCACAUCAUAUCAUCAUUAGCCAUGCAUCACCAUGCAUAUCACAUCAUCAUUAGCCAUGCAUGACCAUGCAUAUCACAUCAUAUCAUCAUUAGCCAUGCAUCACCAUGCAUAUCACAUCAUAUCAUCAUUAACCAUGCAUCACCAUGCAUAUCACAUCAUAUCAUCAUUAGCCAUGCAUCACCAUGCAUAUCACAUCAUCAUUAGCCAUGCAUCACCAUGCAUAUCACAUCAUAUCAUCAUUAACCAUGCAUCACCAUGCAUAUCAUAUCAUCAUUAGCCAUGCAUCACCAUGCAUAUCACAUCAUCAUUAGCCAUGCAUCACCAUGCAUAUCACAUCAUAGAUCAAUUUCCACUUUUAUUUAUCAAUUGAUCCCCACAUUAUCUUUUCUCAAAUCAUCAAAUUCACCAUCAUCACCAUCCCUUCGGGCAGAAACCUCCGACAGGGAUCCCAGUAACCCAGCCAUCUCAUGGCCACUGGGCUUCCGGCCCCCCACAUUCCGGGCAUCUCGCAUCUCAACUAGCAUCACGAGGCAUUCCCUUCGGACAGAAACCUCCGACAGGGCUUCCGGCCUUUACCCUUCUAACCGGGGAUCUCGCACCCUAAUCCUGGCAUCGCGAGUCACUCCCUUCGGGCAGAAACCUUCGACAGGGCUUCCGGCCCCCCACAUUCCGGGCAUCCUGAAACUCCCAGGGAAUCUCUGGAAUUAUGCCACUCGGCCACCAGAUAUCAUCCUCCGCCACAACCUCUUACUCACAUACCAUUUUCCACUUUUUAUCAUCCUUUUCAUCUUGUUAUUUCAUGGCAUAUGAUUUACAUACAUGCAUCACAAUUCAUGAUCAUUCAUACAUCAAUGCCAUAUAACAAUACAUCAUAAUUCAUGAUCAUACAUGUAUCAAUGUCAUGUAGCAAUGCAUCAUAAUUCCAUAGGACUCAUGGCCAAUAAAAUAAUCCACCUUUUAUUUUAUUAUUAUUUAUUAUUAUAUUAUUAUAUUAUUAUAUUAUUAUAUUAUUAUAUUAUUAUAUUAUUUAUUUUCAUAAAUAAAUAUUAUAUUUAAUAUUUAUGAUUUUCCAAAAAUCAUAAUCUUCAAUCAAUCAUUAAACAAACAAUUAGAAUCAAAUUUCACAUAAAAUCCAUGGCUAAUUUGCAUUUUACAUAAUUUCCCAAAUUUCCACAAAAUACACACAACAUUCGGAUCAUGGCCAGAUUGCACAGUUUUCGAAUUAAUUCAAUUAAAAUACUCAUAUGACCUCCGAAAAUUCCCAAAUUUUACAGGAUGAUAGCCAACACAUUUUCGUGCAUUUUUCAUGAAUAACUCUAAGCAAAAUUCUUUAUAUAUUAAUUUAUAUAACUCCACGAAGCUUCUGGAACCUCUACCGUUUCGUCCAGAACGUACAUCACCGAAAAACUUAGGUUCGACCCAUCAAAUCUCUUUCGUUUCUCCUGAAAUUCGAGUAUGUUAUAUAUCAAUGUGUCCUUUACAAGUUUCAUGAAGAGAUCUAGGUUAAAUAACCAAAGCAUGAUCCUCUUUUAAGUCCUUGAAGUCUCGGGUGUCUCGGUUCACUUCAACAGAACCAUCCGUCUCAAAGAUCUAGCUGGUUAACUAGGCUAUACUCAUUUUUUCUCCUAAAAUUUGAGUAUGUUAUAGUUUAUGAUGUUAUCUACAACAUUCAUGAAGACAACAAAGUGAGAUCUCCAACAGAAAUCAACAUGCAACCAAGAAAUCAACAAAAGGUCAGUAGGAAAUUCGCAGAUCUAAAGCCUCCGUGAAAUAGAACUUUUGACCCCUCAUAUCACCAUAGUUUUCCAUGAAAUUCGAGUAUGUCAUACCUCAAGAUGUUAUCUUCAACUUUCAUGAAGACACUGAAGCCAAAAUCACACUUCAAAUACACAUGCAAGCUCGAAUAAGAUACUGUCUACCACCAACCGAACGGAAACAGCCACAUAACAUGAACACAUUCAACCCUUACUUCGGUAUUUCGCCCAAAUCACCCCUAAACCCGAACAUGCAACCAUCAAAACAACAUGCAAGAGAAGUUAAGGACCCCCCACUUGCCUCCAAAAUGAACGAACAGCAAGCACAAGGCGGCGUAGGAUGGUCGGACAAGGUGGCGACGGCGAGACACGACGGCGGCAACUCUCGGCUCCACCUCCUCUCUCUCGGUCUCUCCCCUUUCUCGAACACUCUCUCUCUCUCUCUCUCUCACCUUUCUCGGCCAAAAUGAGCUAGAGGAACCGGCCACUCUCUUUCCUAAUCCCCUUUUUAUAUCCCCUCAAUUGCAAUGAUUAACUCACCUCAACCAUGGCCAAUGCAUGAGGGCUUGUCUUGCCACUUGUAAUUCUUGUUUUUAAAUUUGAAUUUCAAUGGGCUUGGGCUUAGGCCCAACCGGCCAUUUCUCCUUCUUGGGCUGGUCGAACUCCCCUCUUGGGCCCAAUGGGCCGACUAGCUUGGCCCACCAAGCUCUAGGCUAAUGGGUCCAAGGCCCAUUUCGAAAAUAACCCUAUUUUCUCUUCUUUUUUUUUUUGAAUUCCUAUUUAUAAAUAUUUCUAAAUUCAAAUUUCAUCUUGGCCAAAGUCUUGGGAUAUUUCAAUUAUUGAAAUUUAAAUCAUAUGGCCAAGCAUUUAAAUUUAAAUUUCCACAACACAAGCAAAAUUCAUCAAAUUAAAAGACAAAUUGGCUAAAGCAUAAGCCAUAAAAUUCUAUCACCUAAUUAAAGACAUUUAACACACCUUAAGGCUUGGCUUUGAAUUUCCGGGAUGCCACAUCUCACUAGUAAAUCAUCCAUACUGUCUUCUAAUCCAUCUAUAACUUCAUCAACCUCUACAUCUGUUGCAGGUUGUUUUUCGAACUGCUGUUGUUUUGCACUCUUUCCUUCCAUCCAAUUCCACUCAUCUUCCCCUAGAAAAAUAACAUCUCUACUCACAAUCACCUUCCUUGUCAUGGGAUGGAAAAUCCUAUAAGCCUUUGAUUGAAGAUUAUACCCAAUAAAGAUUCCAAGCUCUACUUUCUUAUUCAGCUUGUCCCUCUUGACCUCAGGAACAUGAGUGUAACACAAACACCCAAAAACCUUCAAAUUCUUCAUAGAAGGUCUAACACCAUGCCAGACUUCAAAAGGUGUUGACUUCUCUAAGGCCUUUGUGGGCAAUCUAUUCAAUAGAAACACUGCAGUAUUAGCUGCCUCAACCCAGAACUUCUUAGGUAACUUCUUCUCCUGCAUCAUACAUCUAGCCAUCUCCAUAAGGCUUAUGUUUUUCCUCUCACUCACCCCAUUCUGUUGAAGUGAAUAGGGAGCAGUGAACUGCUGUACAAUUCUUGCUUGCUCACAAUUCAACUUAAACUUGUGAGCUGUAUACUCAGAACCAUUAUCAGACCUGAGCAUUUUAAUUUUCUUCCCACUCUGAUUCUCAACUAAGGCUUUGAACUUCACAAACACAUCAGCAACUUCAGACUUGGCUCGCAGAAAAUAAAUCCAACUCAUCCUAGUCAUAUCAUCAGUGAAAGUAAUGAAAUACCUACUACCAUUGAGAGAAGACUCGGACAUAGGUCCACAUAAAUCUGUGUGGACUAAUUGUAGCUUCUCACAUGCUCUCCAGCCUCCUCCUUUGAAAGGAAAUUUGGCUUGCUUGCUAAGAAGACAAGUUAUGCACCGUGGAAAUUCCUCCUCCAAACUUGGCAAGUCAUCUGCCAAGUUAUUCCUCUGCAUAAACGACAUGCUCUUCUUGUGAACAUGCCCAAGUCUUUUAUGCCAUAGCUUUGCAUUUUCUUCUUUGCACUUUAAAGCCAUUUGUUGCAUCUCUUGUGGCUUGAACAUGAAACUCUUGUCCUUCAUUGGGAUUCUUAGCACUUCUUUGCUAUAUGCAUUAUUAAUAAGAUGUUCCUUCUCUUCGAACUUCACUUUAUAGCCCUUCUCAACUAAUUGACCAACACUUAACAAAUUCUAGUCAAUAUUUGGCACAAAAAGAACAUCACUGAUCAGCUUCACCUCCCGAUUUCCUUCAAUAACCACUGUACCCUUCCCUUACACUUCGAUAUACUGUCCAUUUCCAAUUCUAACUCUGGACCUGACUGACCUGUCUAGACUCCUAAACAACUUCGAAUUGCCAGUCAUAUGAUUGGUACAGCCACUAUCCACCAGCCAUGCAUCAUUCCCAACAGAAGAUCCAGGAAAUGAAGCUACAAACAAGUGCUCUUCCUCAAUUUCAUUCACUGCAACCUGUGCUUCUCCUGCUUGCUAGUAAUUUUUCUGUUUGUAGAUGGUUUCCAUGUGACCCAACUUGUGACAUCUUCUACACCUAGCAUCAGGCUUUCUCCAACAUCUAAAAAACUGAUGAUUAGUUCCACCACAAUAUUGACAAGGUUUUUUGUUCUUCUUCCAUUUGCUAGACUCACCAGAAUUUCCUUCUUUUGCUAUAAACUUGGAAUCACCAGCAUUUCCUCUCAACUGAAUCCAUUUCUUCCAUUUGCCUCCAUCAUUGGACUUCACUCUAGCUUGCAGUGCACCCUCUACAUGCUCUUCUCUUUUCAUCAGUCUUCUGUGCUCCUGUGCCUGCAGAGCAUUUAAUAAUUCUGCAAGCUUUAUAUCAGCUAAGUCUCUUGUAUUUUCCAAAGACGCUAUGGUGGCUUUGAACUUCUCUAGAAGAGACACCAGGAUCUUCUAAACAAGCCUUUCAUCCUUCAAGUUAGUUUCUAAAACUUUGAUUUUUUCAGCUAUCUCAACCAGCCUAUCAAAGUACUCCUUCACUGACUCUGAAUCCUUCAUCUAUUGUCUCUCAAACUCCCUCAAGAGAUUCAGCACCUUCAUGCCUCUUAUCUUCUCAUCUCCCUCGUAUUCAUCCUUCAAGAAGUUCCAUAUUGCCUUUGCAGAAUCACAUCUCAUGAUCCUUGUGAAGACAGUGGGUGAAACAGCAGCAUACAUGCAAGACUUUGCCUUAGCCUUCUUUGGGAUUCUCUCUUUAUGGUACUUUAUCUGAUUUAAGGUCGGAUUAACUGGAAGUGGAGCAACCUCAUAAUCAUUCUCCACAGCCUCCCAUAGAUUGUGACCCUCCAAGAAUGCUGUCAUCUUGACAGCCCAAGCUUGAUAAUUUUCCCCAGUAAAGACUGGAGCAACCAUUGUAGAGAAUCAACUCGAUCUUGCCUCCAUCAGCUUUUUCUUUGCAAAUUGGAAGCAAUCUUCACUCACUUACCCUCACUUCACAGUCCCUUAAGAUCCUACAAACGCUCUAAUACCAAUGUUAAAGCUCAUAAAACAACAAUCAAAACAGAAAACAUCUUUGUUGUUUGAGGGAGAUAAAGGAUAAAAAAAAAAAAAAAAACAAAGCAUAGCACUUCAUAUGUCUUGUGCAAAAGAAAAACUGUCAAGUACCACAACUAAAUACAAAGCAAAAACUGCUCACAUACGUGCAACACAUAACUGCACACAAACGUACUAUUAACUUCCUAAAAAAUAGCAAAAACACCAAAUGCAUAACUAAAUGAACUUGGCUGUUUUUUUUUUUUAAAAAAAAAAAAGAGGAAAACAGAGGAAAAAACACGACCGGAAACAGCAGCACUGAGACAAUUCCAAUAGUUAUUCCCAUCGACCGCGAGAUAUCAAAGAGCAAAGCCGUUGCAUAUAUCUGGCGGCAGCUCUCUGGUGAAGCUGUUGUUCGAAAAGCUAAUGUUGCCCAGAGAAUGGCUGUACUUGCCGAAAUCACGUGGUAUGCCUCCCGAGAAAUUGUUCAUGAACAAAGAGAUGGACUGUAAGUGAUACUACGUCAUGGCUUUUUCCUUCCCAACCCUGAUCUCCUCUUCUUCAACUUGAAGUGCCUCCUUGGUGGUAUACUUGCUCGUCAUCUUGCAAACCGACCUUCAUCACUGACAGCCUCUCAAACUUGAUCUCGUAAUCAAUCGACUCGAUUUUGUCGUCCAAUGUGUCACCUUCGAUUAUCGGCUACCUACACACGAAGUUCUCCUUGUCAAGCUCAUCGAUCCGGUGCUUCACAUUCUUGAAAUGACUAGCUGCAUUUGUGACCAAACAAGACUUACAUUAUGAAACUCCCGGCUUGAUGAGUGUUUGUUGAGUGUACGUACCUUCGGCGAUAUUAACUUGCUCAAUGCUCCCGGCUCCUCCGUCGCCUUGCACGAGCUCCACGCUCUUUAUGAACUGAGGCAGGAGCUUUGGGAUCAGGGAAUUCAACCCGACGAUCAAGGCCUUGAACAUGUGAGCUGGUGCAAUCGGGCAUGUGAGCUCUUGUGUGAUGCUGGUUGCACCCAUGGCUAUUGGCAAUGAGAAAGAAAUAACCCCAGAGAAGUUGGUGCUUCUGAGUCCUGCCAAUGCCUCCUAUUUAUGGUUAGAAUUAUGUGAAUAGGUAGGCUUGGUUUGGCAAGAGUCACGUAUGAGGAAAAUAAAAGAGUCAAGGAUUCGCGGCCUAAAGAAAUGUAAAAGAGGAAUUAAGUUGGUCUCUUUUGUUCUCUUGGUCAUGAAAAUGAUUUCGGUCCCUUUUCAGAUUCAAGUUGUUGAAAUAUCAAAGUAUAUGUUCCAAAAGAUGAACACAAGAGAGCGCAUUCUCAUGCUCACAUGGGCGGCCGUCACUUAGAAUUGAUUGUUGUGGAGUUUGAUAUGACGAUUCAGCGAUAUCGUAAUCAAAUGUCCUUGUUUAGACAAGCGAGUGUUCAUUGAAUUUCAUUCAAUAUGUAGCAAACAAUAACACUUAAUAAAUUAGUGAUAUCACAAUAAUAUGUCGCACAAUAUAAACAUCACAUAAAAUAUUUCUUCACACUCGAUGCCUUAAUGUUGUGGUAAAUCCAUUUCAAUUCAUCCAAUAAGGCCUUUCGUAAUCAUUUCCAUAAAAUUUAAAAGAAAAAGGUUAAGGUUGAUAAAGCUUCACUGACACCGGCGGUUUGACUGGGUCAAAAUAGGGUCGGCAACGGGGUGUCCCAAGAUCAGCUCAUCAUCUGAGUGGGAGGGGAUGUGGAGGCUGCUGCUUUUCCGUUAUAAUUUUCUUCUCUUUUUCUUUUCUUUUUUUCUUUUUCUAUUAUUGUUGAAUCGUUUGAUCUCUAAUCCAUUGUCCCCAUCAAGAAUCAAGAUAGGAUUAGCUUAAAUAGAAUUCAAAUAGCCGAAGUGUUGCAAUAAGAUAAGUCUAAACCCUAAACACAUUCAACAAUUUUUGUAUAGCUUUAUUGAUAUUUAAUAAAAAUGUACUUUUCCUUAAAAAUUUUACUUAUUGCGGGUUAUGAAAAAUUGUGCCACAUUGAUAUGUUUAGAUGAUCGAUCUGGGUCAAACGGGAUCGAUUGUCCAUAUUCGAAAUAUCAGGCCGCAGUUUACCAUGAAUUCAUUUGUCACUCAUGAAUUCUCUCCAUGUAGCGCAGUUUACCAAAUUCCAUAAAACCACUACACCAGAUUCCUGCCACACCUUUCAUUCUCUCAUUCUCAGCAAAGACGAGAACAACAACAAUCACCAGCCCAACAUGCUUUAACUUCAAACACCGAGUGACUCAAACGCUUCUUGUCGCCUAUUUAGUUUAGCCCAACCGGACAUAUUUAAUACGUUACAUGAACAAUAAAAGAUAGCGAUGAGAUCGGCGCAACAUGCAUCAGGGUUUGCCACGACAGAAGCCUCGAUGGCCUUAACCAUCGCGUCCGCCUUCUCUUUCCCGGCCUUGAUCUCCUCCUCGGUGAUAUUCACCUCGCCAAUGGUUAAGUACUUGCUUGUGCUCUUCAACAUCGAGCCUCCGUCGGGCGACGCGGUGAUCUUCACCUCGUAACUGAUCUUCUCAAAGUCGGUGCCCAGCGGGUCACCCUCGAUGAUUGAGUAGCAGUAGGUGAAGUUCUCCUUGUCCAAGGCCUAGACCUUGUGCUUUGCCGUCUUGUACCGACUGCCUAUCAAAGUAACAAAGUAACAUUCACAUUUAGAACUCGCCGGUUUCAACAUUGUGAGCACUGAUCUUGAUGGUGUAGAUCCAGCCAUUUAGGAAUUAACCCCCAACCCCAAUCCAAUACUAUUGACUUAGACAUGGCCUGAUUUUGCCCGAUCGAAAUCGCGUCACAUGAUCACUUGCGUAAAUUUAAACAGUUAGAAACAUAUUAAUUAAUCAAGUCAUAUAUCUAUCCUUUUCAAUGUUCAUUAUAGUGUUCUAGGUUGAACCCGCCUUGAUUCGGAGCGAUCCUAAGUUCCUAAUACGGAAGGACUAACUUUCGCAGAAAGUCAUACCUCCAUCGCCCUCGAGGACUUCAAUGCUCUUGACGUCUUGUGGGAGGACCUUGUUGAUGAGGUUAUCGGCGUCAAGGAGAGUGGCUCAAACAUCUCGGCUGGAGGGAUUGGGGACGUGGUCUCGAAGUCAUUAGUGAUGACACCCAUGACUGGAUCCGAACAGAGUUGCUGAAACUGAGAAGAGGGUGAUGAUCAGGAAAAGACUUGGGCGUGAUGAAGUUGGUCUCUAGGACUUGGGAGUGAAGAAAGGAGGCUAAACUGAAGAUGACAUAUAUAGAGAGAGACUGAGUGUGAAGGGUUAUGAUUACUGAAUAUUUCCUUCUUACUUAAGAGGGUUUCGUAGAAAAUAAAUAAUUUGAAAAAUAUUUUCUUAAAAAUAAUCACUAAAUUUGGAUACUGUUUCCAAGCAAAAGUUAAUUGGUGAGUGUGCUACAUAUUCUAAAUUGAUCUAAAUCCAUAUAGAACUCACUAGAAUUAAAAGUCAAGAUUCUCCUUAAUAUAAAUACGAUGAAAAAAUGCUACCUCAUUUCCGAGUGUUCGUCAAAAUUGGUUUGUAUGUACUAUGUUAAUCUAAAUCGCUAAAUUUGAUGGAUUCACAUGGGAUCCAUACGAAACUCACUAGAAUUAAAAGUUCAAAUUCCACUUAAUAUAAAUACGGUGCUCUUUCCUCAAAAUUGUGUUGUCUAUACUAAAUUGAUUUAAAUCACUAAAUCCGAUGGGUUCUUGUGAUACCCAUAUGGAACUCACUAGAAUUAAAAAUCCAAAUUCAGCUUAAUAUAAAUAUGACCAUAGCUCAUUUCCGAGUCUUCAUCAAAAGUGUGUUUGAUGUCCUACAUUGAUAUAAAUCACCAAAUCUGAUGGGUUUGCAUGGGAUCCAUAUAGAACUUACUAGAAUUAAAACUCCAAAUUCCCCUUGAUAUAAAUACGACACUACCUCAUCUCCGAGUCUUCAUCAAAAUUCUGCUAAAGGUACUAACUUAAUCUAAAUCGCUAAAUUUGAUGGGUUCACGUGGGAUCCAUACGAAACUCACUGAAAUUAAAAGUUCAGAUUCCAUUAAUAUAAAUAUGAUGCUCUCUCAUUGAAAUUGCAUUGUAUGUACUAAAUUGAUUUAAAUUGCUUAAUCUGAUGGGUUCAUGUGGGACUUAUAUGGAACUCACUAGAAUUAAAAGUCUAGAUUCUGCUUAAUAUAAAUCAACCUUGGCUCAUUUCCGAGUCUUCAUCAAAAGUGUAUUGUGGGUUCACGUGGGAUCUAUAUAGAACUCGUUGAAAUUAAAAGUCCAGAUUCCUAUUAAUAUAAAUAUGACACCACCUCAUUUCCGAGUUUUCAUCAAAAUUAUAAGUUAAUCUACGGGUUUGUUUUGUUAUUAUGACUUUUGAGAUUCCCUUUCAUGUAUUAGUUUGGUAAUGAAUAGAAAUUUCUUUUUGACCCAAAAAAAAAAUUAAUCUAAAUCGCUAAAUUCUAUGAGUUUACAUGGGACCCAUAUGAAACUAUGGAACUCACUAAAAUUAUAAGUCUAGAAUCCACUAGAUAUAAAUAUGACGCUAGCUCAUUUCCAAAUCUCCGUCAAAUGCUUUUUUCUCAUCACUUUGAAGCUUCCGAUCGCACCCCACUUUGUUGCACGUGAAUCGGGAAUGUUUUACGACGCCAAAGUCUUUGUUAAAUCUCAAAAAGAUUGAGUCAACGUGGAACAACAACUCAAUUGUAAGCAUCGGGGUUUUGCAAGAGAUGGGCUCCAAUGGCUUUCAACAUUCCCAUGGCCUUCUAUUUGCUAGCUUUGUUCUCGACCCCGUCCUUGGCGAAGUACUUGCUCGUGCUCGUGCUCGUGCUCUUGCACGUGCACCCUCUCUGUCUGGACUUGAUCUCGUUCGAGAUCUUCUCUAGCGCGUCGCCCUCGACGAUGGUGUAAGCGUGCGCGAGCUUUCCUUGUCCAGCUUGUGGACUGGUGCUUCACCGAGUUGAACCGUCUAGCCGUGACACACAGAAAACUGCAGUCAGCUCCCACGUUAGUCUUAUCAAAGAAUGUCAGGCCAAUGUCUUGACAUCACAUGUUGAUGCGACGUGACCAAAAUGAAUGAAAUUAGAAGACGCGCAAGUACUCGCCUCCACCGAAAACGAUGCGAUGGUGACGGGACAGCCAUCACCUUCAAGGGUGACAAAAUCCAGACUGGCUUGUGGGAGGAGCUUGGGGAUGAGAUUUUUAUCAAGAUCAAAGGCCUUGAACAUUCGUGCAGGUGGGAUGGAAUGCGUCUUCGCCUAAGAUUUCCGAGUCCCAGGGCAAGAUAUGUGAGAUUAUGUUGAAAUGCCCUUUAAAUGAUUCUCAAUCUCCUCGUUUAGCAAUCUAAAUCAGCAUCACAAUGUUCUUAAAUAAUACAACAAAAAAACAGGACAAAACGCAUGGAUCUCAAGCCCAAAUUAUACUUAUUAGCAUGCGAGAGAUCUUUGAAUGCAAACACCCUUGAGGGUGGGAAUUCACUAAAUUAUAACUUAAAUAUUCUAACGGCACCAACGGCUUGGACAAGCAAGCUUGAGUGCAUGCGGACAAUUCUUGCGCAAUGAAAUGCAUGGUAAGUCGCGAAUCGAGACUCGUCCACGUACACGCUAUUGCGACCAUGACCAUGAAGACCACUUCCUUGACCAGUUGGCUAGUCGGAGGAGGAAGAUGUGGGUCGAGCAUAUCCUAUAGUGGCACAUUUGAGUCUUUCAAUAAUGUCGACAUUUGUGUCAUUUGUAGGGAAGAGAGAAGAUUCCUGGAUGCUUCCCCAUCAUUCUCUAGCAUUGGUACUUUUACUGUUGACUCUGUUUCAUGAAAGAAGAAUGAAUCUAUGUUUUUAUUACAACCUCAAGUUGCCUACAAAUUCCAAAUUUUUGAGAUACUGUUAAUACAAACCACUUUUCAAAAUCUGUACUUGCUCUUCCUAAAAAGUCUUAUUAGAAGUAUUGGACGAAUCCAAAUUCAAUAUGUCAAUUAAAGCUAUUUGAUCAACCCGAGACCAUAGGUACAGGGGGAAUGUAUUGAUUAGAUUUGAUUACGUAGCUUACCAGAAACCAUGUAGUCAUAAGAUCUAGCCACAGGGAUCCAAUUCGAUGAAUCCAAAUUCAAGAGCCUCACCGUCCCAAAAACCAAAAGCCGAGGCUCGAAGUCCGACUCGAGCAAGAUGUUGUUCAACAUCAUGUCCUGAUGGACAAUAGGCAGUGAGCAAUCGUGAUGCAAGUAGGUGAUCGCGGGAGCCACGCAUUGAACAAUCUUCACUCUCUUGACACAAGUCCGAUUCAACUGCUCCUCUUCUUCCAUGCAAGACCUUUGCCAAAGUUCAGAAAAACAUUGGAUGAUGUCCCUGCGGUUAACCACCACUUUUUUUACCGUGACGAUGUGGCCGCUGGCCUAUUCGGCCUUGUAAACGCUUCUAAAUCCGCGUUUUCCGACGCAAUACUCUUCACUGAAGCCGUUGGUGGCCUUGGCAAUAUCGUUGAAUGCAAACUUCGUUCCCCUUUUCCAUAUGAUUUCACGUACUUCAUAAGAUUUCUUAUCUCUUCAUCGAGAUGCUUGUUUCACCGCCAAAGCACCGAAAUCAGAGCAAUAAGAGUCACGAGAAGUAGUAAGCAGCAAACGCAACAAUCACAUUAAUCAGAACCUUUCUCCGAUGGUCAGUCGAUUUACUGCUCGACCCGCAUGGAGACAUUCCGUCGCGUUUCCUCAUAAGCCCGGAUUUGCAAUAAAAGCACUUCCUAGUUAUUGUCGAAAGAGGCGACCACCAAGAACUGCGCCUGUCAGCUUGUUGUAUAAGAAGCCCAUGAAGCUUAAACUGCUCAUGCUGGUGAGAGCAGCUGGGAUCGUACCCGACAAAUCGUUAUGCGAAACAUUGAGAUUUUCCAAUUUAGUGAGCUUUGUUAAAUUGGAAGGAAUUGAUCCUACUAGUGAAUUGUGGCUCAGGUCUAGUGGUUCUGUAGCGUGAACGAGUUCCCCAGCUCUGGCGACAUGACACCCAACAUAUUGUUGUUGCUCAAGUUCAAGCUCAGUAAAUUCUCGCAAUUUGCUAACUCUUUUGGUACAAUAUAUAGAGAAGGGAUGUACUUGCCGUAUUGUGGUUUAUGAAAGAUUGUGCCACAUUGAUAACUUUAGAUGUUAAUCCAAAUUCAAAAUAUCAGGCCAAAGUUUGGUAUUUUAUUGGCCAUUUGGCAUUUCAUUUAUAACUCAUGAAUUCUCUCCUCGUAAAAAAAAUUACUAAAUUAGAGAAUUUCAUUCUACAAGCCUUGUAUAGUUUAUCAAAUUACACAAAACCACUGCACCAGAUUCCUAUCACACCUUUUAUUCUCUUAUUCUCGGCAAUGACAAGAACAACAACACUCACCAGCCCAACAUGCUUAGCUCCAAACAGAGUGACUUAAACUCUUCUUGUCUCCUUUUCAGUAUAGCAUAACCACACAUAUUUAACACAUUACGUAAACAAUACAAGAUAGCGAAGAGAUCGGCUCAGUAGGCAUCAGGGUUUUCCAAGAGAUAAGCCUCGAUGGCCUCGUACAUCGCGGACGCCUUCUCUUUCCGGGUGUUGAUCUCCUCCUCGGUGAUGUCCACCUCGCCAAUGGUGAAGUAACUGUUCGUGCACUUCAACAUCGAGCCUCCCAAAGGCAACGCGUUGAUCUUCACCUCAAAGGUGAUCUUCUCGAAGGUGGUGCCCAGCAUUUCGCCAUCGAUGAUUGAGUAGCAGUAGGUGAAGUUCUCCUUGUCCAGGGCCUCGACCUUGUGCUUUGCUGUCUUGUAUGGAUUGCCUAUCACUGUAACAAAAAGUCAUAUUCACAUUUAGAACUCGCAGGUUUCAAUAUCACGAGCACCAAUCUUCAUGGUGUCCAUCAGGCCAUUUAGGAAUUGACCCAAUUGUUCCGACCGCAAUCCAAUACAAUUGACUUAGACAUAGCCUGACUUUGCCUGAUCAAAAUUGAGUCACAUAUUCACUUGUGUAAAGUUAAACGGUUAGAAACAUCUUAAGUAACCGAGUCAUAUUUUUAUCUUUUUCCAUAUUCAUUAUAGUGUUUCAUAAGGUUGAACCUGCCUUGAUUCAGAGCAAUCCUAAGUUCCUAAUACGGAUGGACUAACCUUCAGCAAAAGUAAUCAACUUGAUGGUCCCGGGACCUCCAUCGCCCUCGAGGACUUCAACGCUCUUGACGGCUUGCGGGAGGACGAUGGGGAGGAGGUUACCGGCAUCGAGGACAACAGCCUUGAACAUCCUGGCCAGGGGAAUGACGGACGGGACAUCAAAGUGAAAAGUGAUGACACCCAUGACCGGAUCCUAACGGAGUUGCUGAAACUGAGAAGGGGGUGAUGAUCUGGAAAGACUUGAGUAGUAGUGACGAAGUUGGUCUCUGCGACUUGGGAGUGAAGAGAAGAGGCUGAAUUGAAGUUGACAUAUAUAGAGAGAGAGGGAGACUGAGUGUGAAGGGUUCUGAUCACUGCAUAUUUUCUUCUUACUAAGAUGCAUUAUAUUUUGCAGAAAAUAGAUAAUUUAGAAAAUGUUUUCCUAAAAAUAAUCACUAAAUUUAGAUAGUGUUCCGAGCAUAAGUUAUUUGGUGAGUGUGCUGCAUGUUCUAAAUUGAUCUAAAUUGCUAAAUUUAAUGGGCUCACUAGAAUUAAAAGUCUAGAUUCCCCUUAAUAUAAAUACGACACUACCUCAUUUUCAAGUCUUCGUCAAAAUUGUAUUGUAUAUAAAUAUGACCCUAGCUCAUCUCCGAGUCUUUAUCAAACGUGUGUUGUAUGUCCUAAAUUGAUCUAAAUUGCUAAAUCUAACAGGUUCACAUGGGAUCCAUGUGGAACUCACUCGAAUUAAAAGUCUAGAUUCUCCUUGAUAUAAAUACGAUGCUAUGUCAUUUCUAAGUUUUCGUCAAAAUUGUGUUGUAUAUAAAUAUGACCCUAGCUCAUUUCUGAGUCUUUAUCAAACGUGUGUUGUAUAUCCUAUAUUGAUCUAAAUCCCUAAAUCUAACAGGUUUACGUGGGAUCCAUGUGGAACUCACUCGAAUUAAAAGUCAAGAUUCUCCUUGAUAUAAAUACGAUGCUAUGUCAUUUUGAAGUUUUCGUCAAAAUUGUGUUGUAUACACUAAGUUAAUCUAAAUCGCUAAAUUUGACGGGUUCAUGUGGGAUCCAUAGGAAACUCACUAAAUUAAAAGUUCAAGUCAACUUAAUAUAAAUACAGUUUUCUUUCAUCAUAAUUACGCCGUAUGUACUAAAUUAACCCAAAUUGCUAAAUCUAACAGGUUCACAUGGGAUCCAUGUGGAACUCACUCGAAUUAAAAGUCAAGAUUCUCCUUGAUAUAAAUACGAUGCUAUGUCAUUUCUAAGUUUUCGUCAAAAUUGUGUUGUAUAUAAAUAUGACCCUAGCUCAUCUCCGAGUCUUUAUCAAACGUGUGUUGUAUGUCCUAAAUUGAUCUAAAUCGCUAAAUCUAACAGGUUCACAUGGGAUCCAUGUGGAACUCACUCAAAUUAAAAGUCUAGAUUCUCCUUGAUAUAUAUAUGAUGCUAUGUCAUUUCUAAGUUUUCAUCAAAAUUGUGUUGUAUAUACUAAGUUAAUCUAAAUCGCUAAAUUUGAUGGGUUCAUGUGGGAUCCAUAGGAAACUUACUAAAAUUAAAAGUUCAAAUCAGCUUAAUAUAAAUCUAGUGCUCUUUCAUCAAAAUUACGUCGUAUAAACUAAAUUAACCCAAAUCGCUAAAUCUGAUGGGUUCAUGUGGGACCUAUAUAAAACUCGCUGGAAUUAAAAGUCUAGAUUCUACUAAAUAAAAAUGAGGCCCUAACUCAUUUCCGAGUCUUUGUCAAAAGUGUGUUGUAUGUCCUAAAUUGAUCUAAAUUGCCAAAUCUGAUGAGUUCACAUAGGAUCCAUAUUGAAAUCACUAGAAUUAAAAGUCCAAAUUCCACUUAAUAUAAAUAUGACGCUAGCUCAUUUCUGUUUCUUCAUCAAAAUUGUGGUAUAUGUACUAAGUUAAUCUAAAUCGCUAUAUUUGAUAGGUUCAUGUGGAACCCAAAUGAACCUCACUAAAAUAAAACGCCCAAAAUCGAUUAAACGUAUAUACUACUUUAACUCAUUUCUAGGUCUCCAUCAAGCGCCUUUUUCUCAUCUCUUUGAAGCUUCCGAUCGCGUGCCAUUCCGUCACAUGUGAAUCGCGAAUGAUUUUCCACGCCAGAGUCUUUGUUAAAUCUCAAGACUUAAAAAUACGAAUGUGAAGUAACAAUUGCGUGUCAAAUGCAGAAAAUUCAUAUGUGAAAAAGUUGACCGUCCCUUCUUGAGUCAACUGUUCUCUUCCUCGAUAUGCUUUUCUGAUAUGGCCUCAAAGACAGAUGGGCAAAGCGGCGCAUUCAUAUCUAUAAUCUCGCGGCAGUUUCAACUCUGUUAAAAGAAUGCCGAGGUCUUUACAAGAUGUUUGACAAGCGUCUUUGAUGACAGCAUGCAGCAUAUCUACCGCUUCAAAACAUAGUUACGGUUCAGUCUCGAUUGUUAUUUUUCUUCAAAUUAUGGUGGGAGAUAGAAAGAUCCAGCCAACAUGUAACAACAACUCACUCGUAAGCAUCAGCGUUUUUGCAAGAGAUGGGCUUCUAUGGCUUUCAACAUUCCCAUGGCCUUCUCUUUGCUGGCCUUGUUCUCGACCCGGUCCAUGGCGAAGUACUUGCUCAUGCUCUUGGCCAUACACCCUCUCUGUCUAGAAAAGCAUAGAACUUGAUCUCGUUCGGGAUCUUCUCUGCGCGUUGCCCUGGACGAUGGCGUACGCAUGCGCGAGCUUUCCUUGUCCAGCUUCUCGACUGGUGCUCCACCGAGUUGAACUGUCUAGCUACGAGACACAGACAACUGCAGUCAGCUCCCACGUUAGCCUUAACAAAGAAUGUCGGCAAAUGUCCUCUUUGACAUCACGUGUUAAUGCGACGCAACCAAAAUAAAUGAAAAUAGAAGACAGCGCAAGCACUGGCCUUCGCCAAAGAUGGCGCCGGUGUUAGGGAAAUCCCUUAUGAUGUUUUGAAGAUGACAAAAUAAAUCAAAGGCUACUAACAUGUUUGAUGGUUGAGUAAUAGACCAUGCAGAUGAUAGAACAUGUAAAGGAUUUUAUCAAAGUCAGAAGACGGCCAGAAGACUGAACGUAACAUAUGUCCAGAGUAUAUUUUGAAGAUUUCCAGACUUCUGUGUCAAAGUCUGAAGACUGUCAGACUCAAGACUCAUAUUGUAAAGUCUACAGACCCAGAUUGUAAAGUCUCAAGACUCAUAUCGUAAAGUCUAAAGACUCAGACUUUACAUCCAGAUUACGAUGAAUCGUAACUCAAGCCCAAUCAUAUAACGGCUAGUGAUCUGGUUUGGAUUCCACAUCAAGAUUGAUUUGAUUGAAGACAAGAACUUUACAUACGAAGAAGCUUUACUUAUGGAAACCAAGAUUUCGUUUGUAUGGGCGAUCGGAAUCCAUUUGGGAUUCUACCUUUGUCACUCAACGGCUACUAAAUCUUCUAGAUACAGAGCUGUCCAAUGGGUAUAUUGGAAGACGAUUCUCCGGGAUAUUGUCCAACGGGUAGUUUGGAAAUGGAGGAGUAUUUAAGGAGAUGAAGGACCGAUGAGCAAGUAAGAGACGGAGCGUAGAAUUUAUAAUUCCAAAGUCUAAGCGACUUUAGAUCAUAUACUUGUCUCUUGAGAGCUUAAAUGUUUGUAAUCGUGAGAGAAAUACCAAGAGAGUGACUUAGUGAGAUAGUGUGAUCUACUAAGUGUAUGCACUCGAAGUUGUAAUCUCUUGUUGAUUGCAUAUUGGAAUCCAGCCAAGAAGGCUGUUAUCGUGGGAGAGUGGACGUAGGCUUGGAUUAAGCCGAACCACUAUAAAUCUUGUGUUCUUAUUUUCUUCCUUAACUCCUUUAUUUUGUUCAUACUAGCACUCUCAGCCGGGACCCCCAUCACCUUCAGGGAUGACAAAAUCCUUAAAGGCUUGUGGGAGGAGCUUGGGGAUGAGAUCGUCGUCAAGAACAAACGCCUUGAACGUUCUUGCAGGUGAGAUGGAAUCGUCUUCACCUAAGAGUUCCAAGUCCCACGGCAAGAGAUCUGGGAGAUUAUGUUGAAAAUGCCCUCUAAAUGAUUCUCAAUCGCCUCGUUUAGUAAUCUAACUCAACAUCACAUUGGUCUAAAUCAUAUAAUAAAGAAAGAGGACAAAAGGCAUGGAUCUCAAGCCCAAAUGAUACUUGUUAGCAUGCGAGAGAUCUUUGAAUGUAGACAACCUUGAGGGAGUCACUAAAUUAUUGUUAAAAUAUUCUAAUAGAACCCAAUGGCUUAGACAAACAAGCUUGAGUGCGUGCGGAUAAUUCCUGCUUGAUGAAAUGCAUGGUAGGUCGCGAAUCGAGACUCGUCCCCAUGCACAUCCACUUCCUCGGCUAGUUGACCGGUCGGAGGAGGAAGCCGUGGGUCGAGCACGUCCUUCAGUAGAACAUUUGAGUCUUUCAAUAAUGUCGACAUUUGUGUCAUUUGUAGGGAAGAAAGAACAUUCAAUGGAUGCUCCCCAUCAUUCUCUAGUGUUGCUGACUCUGUUUCUUGAAAGAACAACUAGUCAGGAUUUUGCUCACAUCGUCAAGUUGUCCACAAAUUCCAAAUUUCUGUUGUACUUUUACAACAAAGCACUUUUCAUAAUCUAUACUUACUCUUCCUAAAAGUAUUGUUAGAAUUAUUGAAUGAAUCCAAAUUUGAUUUGUCCAUUAACCACAGAGUUACUACUAAUUUUAUUUUUCAAGAAGAAGAAUGAAUCAAAAUCACGAUCAUAAUGUCAAGUUGUACCCAAAUUCCAAAUUUGAAACCGACUCUCUAAAACAAAUCACUUCUCAAAACCUAUAUUUGCAAGAAUCCUAAAAGUCCCGUUAGAAUUAUUUGAAUGCAAAUUAUCAAUCCGAGACCAUUUGUACCCGCGAAAUGUUCUAUUAGAUUCAAUCAUCUAACUUACCAGGAGCCAUGUAGCCAUAAGAUCCAGCCACAAAUAAGGCUGGAAACUCGCAUGAACCGGAAAGCAGCAACCUAGUCCGGUGAGCCUGAAAUAGGGCAUGGGCACAAAAAAGCGCGGUCGGCCGAGAGUCCCUACCCAGCUCGCGGCGUUGGACGGCGGACGAGCUCAAUAGAUCGGGCUACGUCCGUCCGCCUCGCUCGUCUCCUAGUCGGGAUCCUCGGGAAGCGGACCCCAAAUGGGGAAAAACCAAGACGGCCCGAACAGGGACCUACCAUGGCCUCGAAGUGGACAAGGAGCGGCGGCGGAUCAUCAGUUUUGGUUCGGAAGUGGAGGUCAACAGCGGCUCUCUCAGUCGCGUUCUCUCUCUCUCAACUCACGGUCUCUCUUUCACGGCCCUCUCUCCUCCGGAUCCGAAUCCCUCUCGCGUCGUACUUGACCCCCUUCGAUUUCUCCCUCCUCCCCAACCUCCGACCUUCUAUUUAUAGGCUAAGAAGGCCGGUCGGCGGAGGUGCUUCGGCCGCCAGUCCUUCAUGCGCCGACCGGCCCCCCUUCGCUGAACCAGCAUCACAUCACCCGUCGCCUCCACCGCCGCCUGCUCUGCUUUGCGCCUACUCUACUCCUUCUGCUACGGCCGCCCUCGCUGGCCUGACGAAGAAGCGGGGAAUGAGGAAGGAGGGGCCGGGCCAGGGUGAGAAGCACAAGCAGAGUGGGCCCUAGGCCCACUCGGGGAAGAAAGGUGAAAAGAGGGGGGCUAAGGCGAAGGCCCAGCCGCCGUGGGCCCUUUUUUUUAUAAAUACUAUUAAAUAGGGUUAAAUAAGAGAAAAUAAAACUUAAAAUGCAAAUAAUAUUAAUGCUUAUAUGAUGUGAAAAUCGUUUUUAUUAGGGUUAAAUUGAUUCCAAAUUUUUUUAUAUAAUUUUAAUUAUAGAUGUUUAGUCAAAAUUUAAGUAUCAAUAAAUGUAAAUCUCAAACUGUAAGAGUUAAAAUAAAAAAUAAAAGAAUUAAAGAAGAGACAAGUGCAGUUGCAGCUUUAUCCCAUCUUGUAACAAAAAUUGUUUACGAAAGUCAAAAAUUUAACGAACAUCACGUGCUCUAACUUUAAUUGAAUUAUUGUAAGCCCACGAAUCCCUCGUUGAAGUCAUCCUUUGAUGUUACAUAUAUAAAUGAAUCGAAAUUUGUCUAUAUGUUAUACGUAGUGACACGUGUAAUGCAGUGUGGCUUUUUUGAUAGGACAAAUAUCCCCACAUCACCAAUUACCUCUGAUUAGGGCAAGUUCUUUCAAGUAAGGACCCUGUCUUUUUUCUUCUUCUUUUUUGAUAAUAUCCCUAUUAUUGUUCAUGACAUGUUUCUUUUCCAAAUUAAUUGGAAUAUAUAAUUUUAAUGGAUCAGAUCGCUACUUUAAAUGGGAGUAUGAGUCUUUCAAAUGCCUAUGAUAUAUUAUUAUCAAUAGUCACACACGAAUAACAUGCCAGUUGAUGCUACGGUGUGACACAUAAUAAAUAAAGAUGAAAAGCUAGAUUUUAGUAAAACAAAUUCAAAAAUGAGUUUGAGUGUUGAGAUUAUUUAUUGACAUGGACAUCAACCUAUAGCAUCUCCUUUUACUAAUGAACAGGGCUUGGAUUAAAUAAUCAACCUAGUGAUAUUCUAAAAUAGCUCCUUUUUGCCUUGCUCUUCUAGCUUUGGACAUCACUUUAUUUAUUUUUUAAUUUUCUUGGAAUCUUAUUUGGUGAAAUCUAUACAUGUUCAUCGAAAGUGCACGAUCUAAAAGAUUUCAUCAGUGUCAUAGCCACAACCAAGAAGUAUGUAUGAUAUAUAUAUAUUAGAAUACCAAACUACAUUCUAGGCAACCGUGCAUUUAAGUACCACAAGAGUUGUAUUUAGAUCCCACAUCAACUAAAAGAACACUAACAUUCGGACCAAUAUCUAAUCACUUGUGGAUUGCCGACUAUGAAACCAUAAAGGAGUAACUAUAUAUAUUAAUCCUAGCUAGGAUUCCCUACAUUUCUACAUGGGUAGGCAUUUAAAUGAUCAAUGAGAGAGAGAGAGAGAGAGAGAGAGAGAGAGAGAGAGAGAGAGAGAGAGAGAGAGAGAGAGAGAGAGAGAGAGAGAGAGAGAGAGAGAGAGAGAGAGAGAGAGAGAGAUUAUAUAUAAAUCAUAAUUCAAAGUGACGAUCUACUCUCUUAAUAAUGAUGAUGACGAUGAUAAUUAUAUAAAAUUGAGAGGAUAAAAAAAAAAAAUUGGCCUGGUAGAGCCUGUAAAGAACUACACAAUACAUCGGGAUGAUCAUUAGAUGAAAGUGCAUGCUUACAACAUUGAAAAUCAUUUUGUAGGGUAUAGAUCUACCAAAUUGUUCAAACAUUGUUUUAAUGGUUUCCCUUGGAUGAAAGAUUCUUCGUCUAACACAUGAUUUACUUAAUUUAAUUAGUCCAAGAGAGAGAUACACCACCCACGUGCCCCAUAAGCAACGAGGAAUUUGUCUAAUAUGUUAUGAUGUACAAGACCAUACAAUCUCAUUCGCUCUUUUGAUAAAUAUAAAUUAACAUGCAAUCAAUGAAUUAAGAUCUAAUGUUAUUAAGAUUUUUUACGUGUGCACACGUGGUUUUGGUCUAAUAGAUCAAACCAACAUACAACGUCAACUCAGACGGACACAUUUUUGGUCAUUCACUCUUCUUGAUAAAAAUCCCCUUGAAGGCCAAAUGUCUGAUAACCCUCGAUACUUGACAUCUUAAAGUUUACUUAGCAAAGGUUCAAUAAGUCAGGUUUUGGAAGGGUCAUUUGGAGUAUUACAGGUCGGAACGGGUAAAACGAGGAUCUCUAUAAAGUUAACCACCUUGCUAGAGUUGCAUUUGAUGAAUGAAUUUUUCCCCAACUGAAAUUCUUUUAGAGCAUAAGUUAACAAGACAAUCGCAAAAUUGUCGUCAAAUAAAGCGCCCGGGCCAAAAGCGGAUUGAUCACGAUGAUUUUUGCAUUGAAGUGGUGAAAAAGCUUGGUCGAGAGCUAAUUGGGAGAAAGAGAGAGCUCAAACUUUAGGAUAAGCAAUUUUGUGGCUAAUCAUAGAAACUACAAAAGGUUUUGGCCUCCACUUCUGAACCAGGUCUGCUCUCACGUGCACGCGGACCCUGGUCUGUGUCUCGGCCUCUCAAGUCCCUCUCUCCUGUUCUUCAAUCUCCACUUUCCGUCACCCAUUAAUCCCAUCUUCCUCGUUGACAUGAAGUCAUUAACAUUCGAUUUGAUCCCCAGAAAGAGAAAUCAACACUUAUCCCAUGAAUCAAAAGCAAAUACUAUGGAAUCGGUGUCCCAUGAGGUUGAUCUUAUAUGAUAACGUCUUUGUAUCGGCUACAUACAUUAUGUGCAAAUAAAGUGUAAUUAUACUAUCAUAUUUUUUGUUAAUUCACCUCUUUGAUCCGAUAUUAUUUGUUGACAUUGCCCUUAAAGAAUCAAGACAUGACAUCCUCGUUAGUUGAUUGAUAUAUGACAAGGGUCGACAAAAAAGACAGCAUCUAAGUUAACAAUUUGAGAAGAUUAAUGUUUGUGAUGGAGGGUAUUGACUUAUUACGUGGCAAAAUCUUUCCGACAUCAUACAAUUAGCUGUCAAGCAAGCUUUUUUGCCUUUUGCUUUUCAAAAAACAAACAAUCACAAGUUUUUAAAGAUCAAAUGCCCAUUUAGUUGAUGGAAAACUGUUUAUGGAAAAGCUUUCCAUAUUCCAAUAUUUAGAUGAUAGAAAAUUAUUCAAUCUACCGAAAGUGUUUUAUGUGGAUUGAAGAUAAUAAAUUUAUAUUUGGAAAAAAAAAAACUUCUGUUUAUGGUAAGAAAUAAUAGAUAAUAAUUUUUUUGAUAAUUCUUAUAGAUUAAAUUAGCCUAAAUUAGACUUUAUUAACGCAUAUUAGCAGAUUCACUUGCUAUCAAACACCAUAAAAUUAAUUUUUCUCCAACAUGUUUUGGCACGAGCGAACACUAGAAAAUUAUUUACUUUCUCUGGAAUUAAAUUUUUUGAAAAUACUUUUGAGCGAUAAAUUUUCGCUAAAAUAAGCGCACCCAAGCGACAUAUUUGUUAACCUUGUUCUCCUUCUCUCCUUCUCUCUCUCUGCUACAGCUGCUCUUUCUUCUUCUUUUUUUUUUUUUUGGUCGAAAAAGGAUUACUAUGAAAUUACUUAGCCACGGUUUGAGACAAAACAUCAAAAGCAUUGGUGCAUAAUAAGUCUAGUAGAGCGGGCGGGGGAUGAAACAACUAAUUAGAGGGAAUGUAACUAAAUCGACAGGCCUUUGCGAGCCAAUCGGCGGGACCGAUUUGCUGUUCUAUUGCAGUGGGCCAGGGAGAUGUCACAGAAUUCCUGUAGUUUCGCUUGGGCCUGGUCCAGGAGCGGUUGAAGCUACCAGUUCACUUCCGUCGAAGCCGUAACCCCCUGCACGAGUGGAAGACAAUCUGACUAUACUUGCAGGGAGAGUUCCGCACGGUUAGAGAGUAGAUCUAGGGUUUCAAGCAGAGCCAAAGCUUCCGCAUGUGCUGUCGAAGCCGCAUCCACCAAUUUCGCGAAGCCAUCCACAAGACAUCCUCGGUAGUCCCUGCAGAUACAUGCUACUGCUGCUCUGUUUUGCGUUUCUCCUCCGGCAUCUGCUUCCAUGGCGUUGAGCUCGGCAAAUGAAGCAUCUAUAUUAAAUUUCAGCGUAUGAGGGGGCGGAGGUUGCCAACGAUCUGGUAUGGCUUUUAUCUUCCUUUCAUCUACUUGUUGUUGGCUCACAGAUUUGAGGUUAUCGCAGAGAGCUUGCGCCUGAAUUAAAACUUGCUGCGGGUGCAGGGGACAACUCUCGAAGAGGUACUGAUUUCAACCCUUCCAAAUACUCCAGAGGAAAGCCACGACUUGGUCAAACUUCUUAGUAUGGGUAGGGUUGGUUUUGAGAUUGUCUAACCAGUCAUCGAGGCGUGUUAACCCAUAUCUGGAUAUUUUGAUCUAUAGGGGCGCGGAACUCCAAAUCUGAUUUGUCCAUGGACAGAGUAGAAGAAUAUGUUCAGUGGUUUCAGCUUCUUUGCUGUAGAUAGAGCAUAUAGGAUCCGGUUACUAGCUUUCUUCUAUAUAAGUUUUCCCUUGUAGGAAGAGCAUUAUGACAUGCUUGCCAGAGAAAGAAUCUGAUUUUUGGAAGGGUUUUAGCUUGCCAAAUGUGUUUCCAGAGAUCUGGAUUUAUAUGAUGCGAUGAGGUUGCUGUUGGGUUUGUGCUUGUUGGGUUAUCUCUGACUGUGAAGUAGCCACUUUUCACUAAAUAGAUACCAGAGUUAUUAUGCAUCCAGACUAGCUUGUCUUUUGAAUCUGGCCUUCCAAUAGGAGUAGCAAGAAUUUCCUUCAUGAUUUUGUCAUCAAACAUCGACUCCACCCUAUGAACAUUCCAUUUGCUAGUCCCUUGUUCAAUUAGUUCUGCCACAUGUUCUGGUUCAUUUCUUGUUGCUGAGCCUCCAAUCAAACCACUUUUUAUCAAUUUAUCUGCUCUUAUCGAUAGUUUUUUCCCAUUCCCAACUAAGUACAUAGUGUGUGGACUUAUAGAAUCCCUACGCCGAGUUAUACUUUGCCAACCCCAUGAAGGUCGGGAGCCUUUUCUAGCUUUCCAGAAGUCUCCAUGCGGAUAGUAUAGGCCUUUCAUCACUCUGCUCAAUAAGAACUAGGAAUUUUGUGAGAUGCGCCAAGCUUGUUUCCCCAACAUAGCUGUAUUGAAUGCUAUUAAGUCUUUAAAGCCUAGGCCCCCCUCCUUCGUUCUAAGUUUCAAUGCUUCCCAAUUCUUCCAGUGUAUUCCAGCAUUUCUACUAUUCGUUUUCCACCAAAAGUUAGCAAUCCUCCUCUCAAUAGCUUUGCAUAUGGAAAUAGGGAUCUUGAAUAUGGACAUGGCAUAUUGAGGGAUAGCAUGUACAACUGAUUUUAUUAAAAUUUCCUUCCCUACUUUUGAUAACAGAUGUUUCUUCCAGCUUUCUAACUUUCUGUUUACCCUCGCAAGGAUCCAUGCGAACAUAUCUUUCUUUGAGCAGCCCAAAUCCGUCAGAAUCCCUAAAUAUUUCCCUGUUUUUUCAAUUUCUGGAACUCUCAAUUCAUUGGCCAUGUUCCUCCUCAAAGUAAUAGGACAACAUUUACUAAAAUAUAUACCAGAUUUGUUGAGAUUAAUAGCCUGACCAGAAGCAUAACAAUAUUCAUGUAGGAUAGCCACCAGGUUUUGGCAUUCUAGGAUUGUACCAUGAAGGAAGAAAAUUGAAUCAUCUGCAAAUAGCAAAUGCGAUAGAGUGGGGCAGCUAUUAUUUAGCUUAAUUCCUCUAAUAGUGCCAUCUUCUACUAUUUUUCCCAUCAUGUAGGAUAGAACAUUGGCAACUAAUAUGAAGAGAUAUGGGGACAGAGAGUCACCUUGUCGAAUUCCACGUGUUGGCUUGAAAAAAGGUAGAGACUCCCCAUUAAAAUUCACACUGAAAGUUACUGUUCAGACACGCUGCAUCACCCAAUGUACCCACUGUUCGCAGAAUCCCAUUUUAGUUAGGCAUGCACUAAGGAAAUCCUAUUCAAUCCUGUCAUACGCCUUCUGCAUAUCUAGCUUUAAGACUGCUUGGAACUUCUUUUUUCUCUCCCGAGUGCGUAAUCUGUCAAGAACUUCCUGUACCAGCAAUAUAUUAUCUUGUAUUAGCCUUUCCCCCACAAAAGCACUCUGCUCUUCUGCAAUUAGAGUUGGUAGCAGGGGUUUUAAUCUGCUAGUCAGCACUUUUGAAAUAAUUUUAUAAAUGAAAUUACAAAGGCUAAUGGGGCGAAACUGUUCCAGCUUUUGUGGAUUUGAAACUUUGGGAAUAAGAGUAAUGAGCAUUCUGUUCAUAGUCGGAUUGAGAUAGCCUGUAUUGAAAAAUCCCUGUAUCUCUGUAUAGAUAUCCUGACAGAUGUCUGGCCAAUGUUUCCUAAAAAAAAAAGGCCAUGCAUACCAUCUGGUCCUAGGGCUUUUCGUGGGCUCCUAAUUGUUGUAUGCCUUGCGUGAUCUCUUCCAUAGAAACAGGUUCUACUAGACGUUGGUUCAUUCUCACAUCCACCGAAGCUGGAAUUUGUUGUAGAAAGGGUUGAAAGUCACAAGGCCCUAUUGACUCGUAAAGCCUUUGAAAUAUGUGCUUGUCAUCUCUUUCAAUCGUUGUUCAUCACGCACCCACACAUCUUCUGGAUUUUCAACAAAGUAACAUGAUUUGUGGUUCUUCUUUGAAUGGUUGUAGCGUGAAAGAAUUUUGUAUUUUUAUCUCCCCAUGCUAACCAAUUAAUUUUGAAUCACAUUCCCCAAUACAUUUCUUCUUGUCGCCACAACUAUUCAAUUUCUUUUGUCAGUGCCUGUGCUGCCUUGCUUUCUUGAGAUACCCAUUGUUGGAGAAAUCCUCGUGAAGUGUUUUGAAGUUGACAAAACGUUUCCAUCAGUCUAGUCUGAAGGUCAGCAGACUCUGUUAGUUAAAGUCUGAAGACUUCCGGACAGCCAGACUCAAGACUCAAAGUCUAUCCUCAUUGACUGUCUCUAAUCCGUUGAAGAAAGGUUAUCCAGAACUGGAUGUUUUGUUCAGGAUUUAUCCUUAUCAUCUGGAGAAGAUCUCGUGGCUGGAGAAGACGUAUCAGAAUCCUUUGAUUGAUCAAGAUUGAUUCAAUGACUGAAGAUUCGAUGAUUGUCUAAAUAUUAUUGGAAGGUUCUACUUAUGGAAACCAAGAUCCUGAUUGUAUGGGCGAACAGGAUUGAUGGGCUAUCAACACAUUCCUUUAAUAGCUCGAACAAUCUUCCUAGAUGAUUCCGUCCAACGGGUAGAUUGGAGGAAUUCCUUUAGUAAGUGCCAACGGGUAUGAUGGCAUAAAGGAGUAUAUAAGGAAGACGUUCUUAGCUGUUCGAGGUGUGCGCGAUAGAAGAAUUCCAAAGUCUGAAGCUCCAAAUUGUUUAGACAAAUCCUUUGAGCGAAUACUUGUAUACAAAAGAGAGUCUAUAUUUGUGAGAGACCUUGAGGAGGUGUGGUAAAACAUCUACACUGUGGAAUCAAGGCAAAGCUGUGCUGUAACUUCUCUUUUGAUCAUAGUGAAAUCCAGCCGGUGGGCUGUCAGUGUGGAAGAGUGGACGUAGGCUUGGAAUAAGCCGAACCACUAUAAAUCUUGUGUUCAAUUUUCUUUUCCUUACUCUCUCUACCUCAAUCGUAUUUCAUUUCGUUAAUUAAGAGAGAAUUUACCUUCCAUCAUAUGUUAAGAAUCGCUUCCGUAUAUCGAUAAAGUAUUUAGGCACCUAUUCACCCCCCCUCUAGGUACUCAUACUAGCAAUAUCAAUUGGUAUCAGAGCUCGUGUACUCACUUUGUUUGAAGUGUUUUACUUCAGAGUUAAAGAUCCAUGGCUAGUAUGCUAGCACCAGGGCUGAUGGAAGGGCAAAGCAAUACCAGACCACCCUACUUUGAUGGAAAGGAUUACAACAUCUGGAAGAACAAGAUGAAAGCUUUCCUACGAUCAAAGGAUCCUCUGGAAUGGGACGUUGUAGAAAAAGGAAUUACUCCUACCACUGCAUCAGUCUCUGAAAGAGGAAAAGAAACUGAAGAAAUCAGCGGAAUGUCUCAGGAAGAAAUAAUCAAGAGACAGACUCUCGAUGCGAAAGCAAUUUACUCCUUAUAUUGUGCUUUAUCACCAACUGAAUAUAAUAGAAUAUCUUCUUAUGGUACAGCAAAAGAAGUUUGGGACAGAUUGCAUAUCACCUAUGAAGGAACAGAUCGAGUGAAGGAAACAAGAAUCAACAUUCUUCUCGGUCAAUACGAAGCCUUCAGAAUGAAACCAGGAGAAUCAAUAUCUGACAUGUUUAGUCGUUUUACAGAUAUUGUGAAUGGUCUUGAAAAUCAAGGUCAACCAACUUCUGACCCCAUGAAGGUAAACAAGCUACUGCAUGGACUCUCCAGGGAUUGGAAUCACAUAAAGACUUCGAUAAGAGAGACGCAGAGAAUCAUGCCACUAUCUGUCGAUGAGCUGAUUGGAACUCUUCAGUCCUAUGAAGUGGAAAGGAUCAAUGAAGAUGAAGAUCCAAAAGGUAAGAAAUCCAUAGCAUUAAAAUCAAAUGAUGAUUCUGAUGUUACAGAUUCUGAAGAUGAUAUGGACGAUGAGGAGCUUGCUCUCAUGAUAAGAAGAUUCAGAAAACUGAAUAGAAAAGGAAGAAGGUUCAACUCAAAGAAACAAAGCUUUCAAAGACAGCAGACCAAGUCUGUUGAUGAUGAGGAACCAAAUAAAGAUGUAGUCUGCUUCGAAUGCAAGAAAAAGGGACACAUCAGACCCAACUGUCCUCUUCUGAAGAAGAAGAGAGGAAAAUCUGAAAAAUUUCGAAAAGCUCUCAAAGCUGAAACCUGGAGUGAUACUGAGUGUGAAGAAAGUGAUAAUGAAUAUGCCAAUCUAUGUCUGAUGGCACAAUCAGACUCAGACUCUGGAUCAGACUCAGACAGUGAAUUUAAGGCAAGUGAUUUUAAAAUUCCUGUUAAAGUUUCUAAAUAUAUUAAUGAACUAUGCCUUAGUCUUAAGACUUCUCUCAAAAGAAUUUCCGAACUGAAAAAAGAAAACUCAGCUCUAAAUCAAAAGGAAAAUGUUUUAGCAGAAAGAGUUAAAAGUCUAGACCUGUCUAUUUCCAAUCUUAAAGAAAAUGAAGAUAAUCUUUUAAAAGAAAAUGCUUUUUUAAAAACAGACUUAUCAAAUAUAUCAAAGAAAUUUUCUAUAGGGUCUGAAAAACUUGAGAAAAUUCUUUCAGCACAAAGACCUUACUUCAAUAAGUCUGGUCUAGGUAUGACAGAAGAAACAAUUCCCUUGAUUGAUUUUCCUAAAGUAAAAGAAAGAAUUAAGAAAAGACUCUCGAGUGAGGUUUACAAAAAUCACUUCAAGAAAGUUUUUGUAAAACCUGUAGGUAGAAAUGCUCUCAGAUGUUCUAAGUGCAACAGCCCGGAUCACUUUGAAAAAAAGUGUCCUAUGGUAUGGAAACCUGUUAAGAAAGUAUGGGCUAAUACUGUUUAUCUUACUAACACCAAAGGACCCAAGAAAAUUUGGGUACCAAAGAAAGCUUGAGACUUUAUUUUAAAUGCAGGUCUCCGUCAAGAAACAGGUAAAGUGGUAUCUUGACAGUGGAUGUUCAAGACACAUGACAGGAGACUCAAAUUGCUUUAUAAAGCUUGCUCAAGUAAAUGGUGGAAAAGUUUCAUUUGGAGGAAACAACAAAGGAAGUAUUGUGGGUUUUGGAACCGUGAAAAUCGAAUCUCUCACAAUAAGUAAUGUUUCCUUAGUGGAAGGACUCAAUUACAAUCUUCUCAGCAUUCGUCAAUUGUGUGAUACUGGUUUCAAGAUCUUCUUUCAAGAAGGAACAUGUUCUGGAAUCAGUAAAGACUCUACUCAGUCUUUCAUGGGUCGAAGACAUGGUAAUAUCUAUCUUCUAGAUGUGAAACCAAAUGAAUCGCAAUGCCUUAUCUCAAUUCAAGACGAAGCAAGCUUAUGGCAUAAAAAGCUUGGUCAUGUCAACAUGAAGCAAUUAGCCAAAAUCUCUUCAAAACAGCUUGUUCGAGGUCUACCCAGAUUACCAUACCAAAAGACUGAUUCAUGUACUCCAUGUAUUCUGGGAAAGCAGGUAAGAAAUUCUUUUAAGCCAAUUAAUUAUGUCUCUACUAAUCAUGUACUACAGUUGCUGCAUAUGGAUCUCUUCGGACCAACCAGAACUCAAAGUAUUGGGGGUAAGAAGUAUUGCCUAGUAAUUGUUGAUGAUUACUCCCGUUUUACUUGGGUAUAUUUCCUUGCAAGUAAGUCCGAAACCUUUUAGUAUUUUGAAAAAUUUGCUAAAGUGAUUCAAAAUGAAAAAAGGAUGUGUUAUCUCUAGUAUAAGAACAGAUCAUGGAGGUGAAUUUGAAAAUCAAGAUUUUACAAAAUUCUGUGAUGAAUCUGACUGUAAGCAUAUGUUUUCCUCUCCAUAUACUCCUCAGCAAAAUGGAGUUGUGGAAAGAAAGAAUAGAUCUCUUCAAGAAAUGGCUAGAACUCUUUUAAUUGAAAGUAAAAUUUCUUCUCGAUUUUGGGCCGAAGCUGUUUCAACAGCUUGCUAUAUCAUCAAUAGAGUCUUCUUAAGAUCUAUUCUUCAUAAAACCACUUAUGAGUUAUUCAAAGAAAAGAAGCCUAUUGUUUCAUACUUUCAUGUAUUCGGUUGCAAAUGUUUUAUUUUGAAAAAUGCAAAAGAUCGAGUUGGUAAGUUUGAAGAAAGAUCAGAUGAAGGUAUCUUUCUUGGAUAUUCUACAUCAAGCAAAGCCUACAGAGUCUAUAACAAGAAGAGCCAGACUGUGGAGGAGUCAAUGAAUGUCAAAUUUCAAGACUCAACACAAGAUGAAUCAACUCAGACUCAUCAAGAAGAGUCUGAACCUGCUCCAGACCCUCCAAAGUCUACAACUCAAGAAGCAUCUAAGACUCUGGAAAACCAGCUUCAAGAUGUUCGUGAAGAUCCAAACAAAGAAAGAAAUCAUCAACCAGACAAAUCAACGAGUAACUGGAAGCAUAAGUCCAGUCAUCCCAAAGAUCUUAUAAUCGGCGAAAUUAAUGAAGGAAUUCGCACCAGAUCCAAAAGGCGAGAAGAGUCUAGUGCUGUGGCACUCGUUUCUGAAAUUGAACCAAAGAGCAUAGAAGAAGCUUUAUCUGAUGAAAGCUGGAUAGAAGCUAUGCAAGAAGAGCUCAGACAGUUCAGCAUAAAUGAUGUCUGGGAAUUGACAUCUAAACCAAAAGGUAAAACUGUUAUUGGAGCUAAAUGGGUGUUCAGAAACAAGAUGAAUGAGAAAGGAAAAGUCGUACGAAAUAAAGCAAGACUCGUGGCCAAGGGAUAUACGCAAGAAGAAGGAAUAGACUAUGAUGAGACUUACGCUCCAGUGGCAAGGUUAGAAGCUAUUCGACUAUUACUUGCGUUUGCCUGUUAUAAGAAUUUCAGGUUAUUCCAAAUGGACGUCAAAAGCGCCUUCCUAAAUGGAUUUAUCCAUGAGGAAGUUUAUGUGGAACAACCACCAGGGUUUGAAGACCCAAAGAAGCCAGACUCAGUCUUCAGACUGAAAAAGGCUUUGUAUGGUUUAAAGCAAGCACCCCGAGCUUGGUACGACAGAUUGAGUAAGUUUUUAAUUCAAAAUGGUUUUGUCAAAGGUAAAGUGGAUACAACCUUAUUUAUCAAAAAGGAAAACAAAAGUUUCUUACUUGUUCAAAUAUAUGUGGAUGACAUUAUUUUCGGAUCCUCUAAUGAGAAUCUGUGCAAGAAAUUUUCUAAGUCUAUGCAGGAUGAAUUUGAAAUGAGUAUGAUGGGAGAAUUAACAUUCUUUCUUGGUCUUCAAGUAAAACAAUUGGAGGUAGGAACUUUUAUUUAUCAAGAAAAAUAUGCUAAUGAUCUUGUCAAAAGGUUUGGACUGGAAAAUUGCAAAAAGGUCGACAUUCCAAUGUCAAGUUCUUUAAAGAUAGACAAAGAUGAAGAAGGGAAGAAAGUUGAUCAAAAGCUGUACAGGAGCAUUAUUGGAUCACUUCUUUAUCUUACUGCCUCUAGACCUGAUAUUUUGUUGAGUGUUUGCAUCUGUGCUAGGUUUCAAUUAGAUCCUAGAGAAUCUCAUCUCAGUGCUGCAAAACGCAUCAUUAAAUACGUCGCUUCAUCAUCAAGCAUUGGUCUUUGGUAUCCUAAGAAGGGAGACUUUAAUCUUCUGGGAUAUUCAGACGCAGAUCUGGCCGGUUGCAGAGUUGAUAGAAAGAGCACUUCAGGAACUUGCCAGUUGCUUGGAAGCAGGACAGUGUCUUGGUUUUCAAGGAAACAAAGCACUGUGUCUCUUUCAACAACAGAAGCAGAGUAUGUAGCUCUUGGAAGCUGUUGUUCGCAAAUUCUAUGGAUAAAACAACAGCUGAGAGACUUUGAAAUUGAAGACUCAUGCACGGAGAUUAAUUGUGACAACACCAGUGCUAUCAACCUCACCAAAAAUCCAAUUCUCCACUCAAGAGCAAAGCAUAUAGAGAUUCGACAUCACUUUAUAAGAGACCAUGUUCAAAAUGGAGAUGUUUCAAUUCAAUUUGUUGACUCAAAGAAUCAACUGGCGGAUAUAUUCACAAAGCCUUUGGAGAAAAUUCAAUUUGAGUCUAUACGCUCCAGACUCAACAUUUUGAGGUAUGAGGAUAUCAAAGUCUAAACACUUUCAGACUCAGGCUAGCAAGACUUUAUCUACUGUCUUGGCUCGACCUUCAGACUGUAAGUCUUUCUCUCUCCAAUAUUAUCUUGAAAAGGUACGAUCAUCAGACUGUGUUUAAAGUAUUGCAUCGAUUCAUUUUCAAAAAGGUAGUUAUUUUUGAAAUGGCUAUUUUUGCGGAAAAAGACAGUUAUUUUGAAAAGGCAUAUUUUUAUUUCCUUUGUGACGGUUCGUUUACUCUUCUUUUUAACCGAUUGUGCACUGUCGAUUUCUCUUCAUUUUUCUAUUCACUUUUCUCUCAAAAACCCUAGAAAGCAUCGAUCCUCAAUUCCCGUUUGUCUUCUUCGCUCAAUCUUCAAAAAGUUGUCAUCUUUUCUGGGAAAGUCAAGCAAUGAAUCUUCCAAACACUGAGAAAGAUGUCAUCUUCACGAAAGUCCUCAAGAAUCGCAAGCAGGGGACCACAGAGAAUGAGUGAGGGGCUUACGCACUUCGAUCUUACAGAGGAGGAAGAGAAUCCUGAACAGCAAGCGAGCCCACAACUUUCUCAGCAGCGUCAUUCUUCACCAUCUAGUCCUCAAGGAGAUGAUCAUCAGCAACAGGAAGAAAUCAUCGAGGAUGCAGACCCCGUAAGAGUUCAAAAGCCCGCUUUUAUUUACAAGCUUUAUCGUGCCUUAAAAGGAAUUCGUACUCCUUUGAACUAUGUUGAUGAGUUUCUUAGAGACAAAGGAUAUAGGAACGAAUAUAUCUUUCUGCGAAAAAUGGAAAGUAUGGGAAUCGCUCGUAAAGGGGUGGCUGAGGAAACCCUUGCAAAUAUCCCAAGUGAUCCUCGUGAUUGGGGACCGAAUCCUGUAGAUGGGAAUGACGAUGACAAUCUGUUCAGUCUAUUUCAACCGAAAAUGGGUAUUGCGACUGAAAUUCAAGGAAAAAGGGGAGAUUUGUUCAGAUCAAAGGAACAAAAGGAUUUGUACUCGAAACUGCUGAAGCGUGGGGUAAUAAACCCUAGAAGUGUGGACUUUGAUUUUCUGGAUGCUAUGAAAGUGAACUUGAGGGAAAAGUUCAGUUAUCUUCAACUUGAAAAGUUUUGCUCUGACUCAACUGAGGCCUAUGCUGGAUUAACUGCUUAUUUCUAUUCAAAUCUUAGCUUUUUGGAUGCGAAUAGAUUCUCUUUCAGCGUUAAAGAUCAAGACUAUGUUGUGGAUAUGGACAUGCUGGCAGAUGUGUUAGAAGUUGAGAGAGGCAGAUAUCAACCAAUCAAAGUUUCCAUUGCUGGGGCCACACUUGAACUGGUGAAGGACAGGAGAACAGAUGAGAAGAUCACCUACUCACGGAUGAAUGCAUUCAACAUCUUGCUCCACAAGAUUGUGAUCAAUUGCCUUCGGCCGAAAUCAACUUCCAAAACUGAUGUUUCAAGCUCUGAGGCAAAGUUGAUGUAUGCCAUCCUCUGUGGUAAGAAGUUUUCUCUCCCUCAUACUGUUAUGUUUCACAUGUAUAGAGCAGUGAUGAAGGACAGAGGUCAACUCCCUUACCCAAGCCUUGUUACAAAGUUAUUCAGACAUCUGAAUAUUUAGCCUCCGCAAAUCUUUUGUGUUCGAUCAUGCGAUCAUAUGGUGGUAGGACUGAAAAUGGUGACCAAAAUGCGUCUGAAGGAACUGAGCAAGGAAUUGGAGAAAUUCAAGGAGAAGACUCCUUCCAAAUCUCAUCAACUCUCUUCUGCUGCUAAGAGAAAAGGGAAGGAGCCCAUGGUUGCUUCAUCAAAGAGAAGAAGAGCUCUCCUUGUUGAGGAUGAAGAUGAUGACGAAGACAUCACUAUCUCUGCAUUGGCCUUGAAGAAUUUAGGUCGUCCUGUUCCACAGAAAGAAUCGGAACAAAAGACGAAAGAAGCAGAGGAGAAGGAAGAAGAAGAAAGAGAAGCAGAGGAGAAGGAAGAAGAAGAAACAGAAGCAGAGCAAGAAGCAGAGAAAGAAAGACCUGAAGAAGAAACAAGAAAAGAAGGAGAACCUGAGGAAAUCUUUUCUCCACCUGAAGGCAUGGAAACAGGGGGAGAUAAGGAGAAAGGAAUGACGUCUUCAUAUCCUGAUGCAAGUGAAGGAGUCAGUCGCUCGCCUGCAGACCCAGAAGAUGUUUAUGCAUCUCAAUUUCCAGAGGAAUGUCAUGAAGUGUCAUCGCCAAAUCUGCAAGACUAUGCUGAUCUACCAUCUUCUGCAGAUCGAGCCGAAGCAAGUACUCAGACUGAUAAUAGAGCAGAUUUUCGCAGAAUCAUGGAUAUUCUCUUGGAGAUGAAAGGUCAGAUUUAUGCCUUGGGAUGCGAAGUUCAAAGUUUGAAGACUGAAAGUCAAGCUUCUUCCUGUUCAUUGAAUGAUAAGAUGCAAGCCCUCUCUAUUCAGAAUCAGGCCAAUGCCAAGAGUGAGGAGGUUGUUUAGCUGAAGGAAGACUUUAAAAGGCUGGAAGGCAUCGUUCAGUCUAUGGAAGAUUUCCAGCUUGUCCGCAUUCCCAAGACUUCAUCUCAUCCUUUUUAAUGAUGACAAAAAGGAGGAGAGAUGCAUGAUUUGAUCAAAAACUUUCAAUCAUUUUUUUUUGAACUGUUUGUUGGAUUGUGUUGUUGUUUAACUAUUUUUAACAGACUUUGACUUUGUUUUGUGUCUAGAUAAGAUCUGAACUAGACUUGGACUUGACUGCUUCUAUUAACAAGUAUUGAUAUCUUAUGGAUGGUUUUAUUAUAUACAAGACUAACCUAUUUUCUGUGGUUGCAUAUUCUAGUGUUAAUCUUUUAGCCAUUCAUCUCUAUAAGAUAUGCAUAUGUGUUUGAGAAAUGUUUUGCAGGUCAAUGUUAUCCAAAUCUGCAGGAAGGUUUUGUCACCAUCAAAAAGGGGGAGAUUGUUGGAGAAAUCCUCGUGAAGUGUUUUGAAGUUGACAAAACGUUUCCAUCAAUUUAGUCUGAAGGUCAGCAGACUCUGUUAGUUAAAGUCUGAAGACUUCCGGACAGCCAGACUCAAGACUCAAAGUCUAUCCUCAUUGACUGUCUCUAAUCCGUUGAAGAAAGGUUAUCCAGAACUGGAUGUUUUGUUCAGGAUUUAUCCUUAUCAUCUGGAGAAGAUCUCGUGGCUGGAGAAGACGUAUCAGAAUCCUUUGAUUGAUCAAGAUUGAUUCAAUGACUGAAGAUUCGAUGAUUGUCUAAAUAUUAUUGGAAGGUUCUACUUAUGGAAACCAAGAUCCUGAUUGUAUGGGCGAACAGGAUUGAUGGGCUAUCAACACGUUCCUUUAAUAGCUCGAACAAACUUCCUAGAUGAUUCCGUCCAACGGGUAGAUUGGAGGAAUUCCUUUAGUAAGUGCCAACGGGUAUGAUGGCAUAAAUGAGUAUAUAAGGAAGACGUUCUUAGCUGUUUGAGGUGUGCGCGAUAGAAGAAUUCCAAAGUCUGAAGCUCCAAAUUGUUUAGACAAAUCCUUUGAGCGAAUACUUGUAUACAAAAGAGAGUCUAUAUUUGUGAGAGACCUUGAGGAGGUGUGGUAAAACAUCUACACUAUGGAAUCAAGGCAAAGCUGUGCUGUAACUUCUCUUUUGAUCAUAGUGAAAUCCAGCCGGUGGGCUGUCAGUGCGGAAGAGUGGACAUAGGCUUGGAAUAAGCCGAACCACUAUAAAUCCUAUGUUCAAUUUUCUCUUCCUUACUCUCUCUACCUCAAUCGUAUUUCAUUUCGUUAAUUAAGAGAGAAUUUACCUUCCAUCAUAUGUUAAGAAUCGCUUCCGUAUAUCGAUAAAGUAUUUAGGCACCUAUUCACCCCCUCUAGGUACUCAUACUAGCAAUAUCACCCAUGUGCUGUUCAUUAAUUGUUCACUAUUCAGCCAAAUAAUCCUCCUCUUUGCAUUGGUAAAUUUUCCCUGACUCCAUUUUAACAACUUUUUUUUCCACUAUCUGCAGUUUCUCAACCACAUUGAGCUGUUGGAAAUCGGAAGCAGCCCAAGUGUCCCUGACGAGGCUCACACAUUCCUCCUCCUCCGCCCAAAAGGCUUCAUACUUAAAGCUCUUCCUCUUCCUUUGUUUCGAUGGGCAAGUAGAUAGAAUAAUUGGAGUGUGGUCAGAGCCAAUGGCUGGUAUGGCUAUACAUUCUGCUAUAGGAUAUUUAAUACGCCAAUCUGAGUAACAUAAUACUCUAUCAAGACACUCCUUGACCAGAUUUUCUCCUUCUCUUUUGUUUGUCUAGGUGUAAGCACACCCUUUACAUUCCAUAUCCAGCAAAUAACAGUGGUUGAGGAAGUCCUUGAAGGCUGCAAGCCUCUAAUUUGCAGCUCUUUUCUUUCCCACUUUUUCCCAGUGAUAUAGGAUUUCAUUGAAGUCACCCAUACACAACCAUGGCAAGUGAUAACAUUGAGACUUUCUAUUAAUAUUCUCCCAUAAUAGAAUUUGCUCCUUAAAUUCAUUCAAAGCAUGUAUAAAUGAAAUGUGCAUACGUUGGUUGCUGGCUGGUAGAUGGCAUCGGGUGAUGAUAACAUGUUUCGUGAAAGAGUCUAUAGUUAAGAUUACCUCAUCAUCCCAAAAUAUUGCUAAACCCCGCUGUACCUUCUGGAUUCACUAUGAAACAAUGCUGAAAGUGGAGUCUCCGCCUCAAUCUUAACACCUUAUGCUCCUGAUUUUUAAUUUCCAUAAUAAAUAUAAUAUUGGGCCUUUCUUGAGUCGUUAAAACCCUUAAAGCUUGAACUGUCAAGGGAGUGCCCAGCCCUUGACAAUUCCAGCUUAAUAUCUUCAUGGAUGAGUUGGUGGCUUAUUAGGGCUAGCCACCAGAGCCCACUGAGCAGACUUGUUCGCCACACGAAUAGGGGUCUCAACCAGCUGAGUAGUGUCAACCAUUACUGUUUUUUUAUGAUUGUGCACCAUAUGUGCAGAAUCUUUUUUCUUUUUUUGAGGAAGACAAUUUAGCGCUUCUUGUUUUCUCCCUUGUUAGGCCUUUUUCCCUAGCUAUAUUCUCCGCCAUUUCUUCUUCAGCUUCUUUUAACUGUUCUUGAUAUAUCACCAUGACAGAUUCAUCAUCAAGGCAAUUGCUACCUCGCUUCUGGGGGCCCUUCUCUUUGAAGAGUACUAAUUCUUGUGAAGAAAAUGUGGGGUUACCUUCCUUUGAGUUUAGGUUUUCGACAUUGCUCAGUUCACCAAGUUGUUGGGUUUGCUGCAUUACAUUUUGCUGUUGUUCUAGUUUAGGGACCUACUGAAUGGGAGUUUCUGGCACACUUUCCUCCUCCUCUGGCUGUAGUUCUUAUUUGCCAUAGAAAAUUUUUCCAUAUGGACUAAGCUCCCGCGCCUCUGCUCGAAGCCAAUGUCCAAAACGACCUGGUAAGUUCUUUGCUAGCCUUGACUCCUCAUAUGGUAUUUCUUGACAAUAAGUUGCAUAGUGCCUAAUCCUACCACAUGAAUAACAAUAAUGUGGGAGCCUUUCGUACUUAAACUCUACCCACAAUCUUUUUCUGUCAAGAUUCACAAGUACACCGGUUUUGAGGGGGUUUUCCAAAUUCAACUUUACUCUAGCCCUGCCAAUCUUGUAGUUGAUGUUCCCUUUCGCUUCUAACUUUACAUCUACUACAUCUCCGAUUUUGGAUGCUAUUUCCCUGACUACUGCAUCUGUUACUCUCCCGAUGGGUAAGCCAAAGAAAUUUACCCAUAAGUCAUAGUGGUUAAAUUCAUAGCAAAUAUCAGGGGUGUCAGGGUCACAUUGCUUUAAGACUAGUAAAUUACUCCCAAAGGACCACGGCCCUGAAUCGAACACUCGCUGUUUUUCAGCCUCCAACUAGAAAGAAAACGAGAAGUAUCCAAGCUCAACGACAGCACAAGUAAAAGUUUCAUUUUGCCAGGCUUUUUUCAUUAUGCCGAUAAAUGCAUUAAAGUUUGUGGUAGGCUUAUUAAAAAAAACUUCCCAAACAGAGUUUUUCGGCAUGUUUGCAGGUUUUCCUCAAGAAUGUCACCUGUAAUAUCUACAACAUCUUCCUCUGACAAGAGAUUGCCCAAACUCUUACAGAGGGCAUCUUCUUGUAUACAGGAACAUAAUCGAAAUAGAGUAUUAAAGCUGGCCUGAUAGAUUGUGGAACCACUAAAUGCGGGAUGAUGAAAUCCUAUGUGAUUGAAGGGAGCUCUGGGUUUGCAGGUGAAGACAGAUGGAAAUUAGCACCAGCUGGUUGAUUAUGGUGGUCUUGGAAAUUUCUCGCUGAAGAACCGGACCGUACGCUCGAAAUAAGAGCUGUGAUGUGAUUUAGGGCACCGCUUGUGAGCUAAUAGAGGGCUUUGUUGGUAGAGAAGGAGGAAUGGGGUUAGGGUUUUCUACCCAUCCUUUUAAAUCAAAUCUGUGGUAUUGGGAAGGAAGAGGGUGGAAUGCAGUAGUGAUGGGUGGUGAGGAUGCAAUUCAACAGUGGGAAAACCUACCCGAAAGGUAGGAGAAGACUACUCAGGCGGUAGAGCAACAGCUCUUUCUUCGCCAGCUGUACAAAAGGCCAAAAAAUAUAAUUGGGUUUCACCAGCAAUGAUGCACCUAACGUAGCUUUAUUCUCUCUCUCUCUCUCUCUCUCUCUCUCUCUCUCUCUCUCUCUCUCUCUCUCUCUCUCUCUCUCUCUCUCUCUACUGCGGCUACUCUUUCUUUGCUAACUAUACAGAAGGUCAAAAAAUAUAAUUGAGUUUUACCAGCAAUUAUGCACCUAAGUAGCUUUGUCCUUCGGUUUGAUGAUAAGGAGCAACCCAUCUUUGUUGACCUCACUCCAAUCAGUGUCGGCGAAAUAGGUAUACUCACUCCAAGUCCUUCAUCUGUUGGACUUUCCAUUCCAGAGCAUCAGCGUUAGCAUCGUCCUCCGCUCCCAACUGUUAAGACUACAAUAAAUAGCAGUAGCUCAGCCACUAAUAAUGCCACCAAGAACAGGAGGAGAAAGCAUAUGAGGAAGAAGUAGAAUGUAUAAAUGCUGCCGAGAAGUGUACAGGAAGAAGAACCACUGUUAAAAACAAAGAAAGAAAAGAAGAUAAAGAUAAGGGUGAUGCUACGGAUUGUAUUAUUGCAUAUGAAUAAUCUGCGAAGCUUGUGAAGCCAAGAGUUCUCUCUCUCUCUCUCUCUCUCUCUCUCUCUCUCUCUCUCUCUCUCUCUCUCUCUCUCUCUCUAAGCUAGAGCUCUCUGUUUAGCACUCUAUUCUUGUACUUUGUUUCUUCUUUGUUUUUCCGGUAAUCAGUUAGUUUUUCUCUUCAAUUAGGUAGUUGUAUUUUCUUCAACUGUUCAAUACAUGUAGAACAGAUUCUUGAGAGAGAGCUAACGUAGAUAUAAAAGGAAAACUCUCCUGAUGUAGUUUUCGUGAAGUUGAAAUAACAGAAAAAGCAUUUUCAUCUCUGUUUUCUCUCAUUUUCUCUCCAUCACUUCCUGCUCAUAAACUUCUUCAUGGUAUCAGAGCCAUGCAUCCUGAAGAAGUCAUCUCGAUGCUACAUAAAAAUGGCUGAAUCUACAGCAGAUUGAAGUCAAAUUCAAAGCUUCAUUGAUCUAUGAGACAUCUAUAUCUUCCAACAAAUCUGUGAGUUGGUAUUUCUCAUCUACAUCUAAAUCUUCAUCAUCAGAAAUAUACUCGUAGCAACAUACUGCAAAACUAGUAGAGUUUGUGUUUGCAACUAAAGUUGUUCGAAGAUCUGGAAGAGUAGAAUGGCAACAAGAAGUUUGAGAUAUCCAUUUCCUAUUCAUGUCAAUAUCUCAAAUUUUGUUACCAUCAAAUUAACUGAGGAUAAUUUCCUUCUGUGGCAAGCCCAAUUUCAUAGGUUCUUAAGAAGUCAAGACCUAUUUGGUUUUGUUAAUGGAGAAGUUCCACCACCUGCUAAAACAUUGCAGGUCCGAGAAGGAGGUCACACUACUGAGGUUUCUAAUCCCGAUUAUAAUGAUUGGAUCAAGACAGAUUAGCUUGUAUCCUCUUGAAUUAUUGGUGCUGUUUCAGAAAACAUACUCAGUUUGAUAAUUGGCUUAAACACUACAUAUGAAGUUUGGCAGACUUUGCUCAAUCGGUUUACACAAAAAUCUAUGGCAAAGGAGUCUGAGUUAAGGGGAAAACUGCAAGCUUGUUAGAAGCGUGAUAGAACAUUAUCAACAUAUCUCAAAGAGUAUAAAUCAAUAUGUGAUCAAUUGAAUGCAAUAGGGAAACCAGUGGAUGAAAUAACAAGAUUGUUUGGUGUUUUGGAAGGUCUGGGGUAUGAGUAUGAGAGCUUUAAAACAACAAUUUACUGUUUAAAGCCUCAAUAGAAUAUGACAAAGUAAUCUCACAUUUAGAAAGAUUUGAAACAAGGCUACAAAACUAUUCUUCGAAUCAGUUCAGUCCAAAUCUAGCCUACUAUGGCCAGAGGAAGACUGAAGUUAUACACAAAGAAGAGUUUAACAGAGAUUUUGUACAACAGAAUAAUAGCCUUGGAAGUUCAAGAGAGAAUAGUCGUGGAGGAAGAAAUUAUGGAAGAGGAAGGUCAUUCAAUAACAGAUAUAGAAACUUUAGAUAUCCUAGAAGAAGUAUGAAUUACAGAAAUAAUAGUUUGAACUAUGAACAGGGAAGUCAGCAGCUUAAGUAGUUUAAUACCUCCUCUACUUUGGGUUUUGGUCAGGGAUUCAGACCAUAUAAUGGCUUAGCACAAAGGUAUUCAGAUACCAAGACCUAUCCAUCUUCAAAUUUAACUCUUCAUAAAAAUAUGCAGGUGGAGAAAACAACAGAAAACACUCGACUGGAGUGUCAAAUCUACAGAAGACCUGGUCAUGAUGCAUUACACUGUUGGUAUCGAUUUGAUAAUUCCUACCAAGCUGAGGAGAUACCAACAGCUUUAUCAACACUACAUAUUAAGAAGCAAAUGGUAAUGAAUGGUAUCUAGACACUGGAGCAACAACUCACAGUACUGCUAAUGCUGGUAUUCUUCAUAACUUUUCUAAGAAUGCUGGUACUGAUACAGUCAUGAUUGGCAAUGGUUCAUGCUUACUUGUUAAAUACAUUGGUAAUGCAUUGCUGAAUACUGCUACUGAUGUCUUACCUCUAAAUGAUGUGUUGAUUGUUCCAGAAAUUAAGAAAAACCUUCUUUCAGUUUCUAAACUAACAGAUGAUUAUCCAUGUUCAUUUGUCUUUGAAAAAACUGGGGUGUACAUAAAGGACAGCAUCACCAACACAACCAAGAUGCUAGGAAGGAAGGUUAAAGGACUUUACAGAGUAGAUCCUUAUGCUGCAGAGGUCUUCUUCACUCAAAGACAAAGGAUUGCUGGAGAGAAUGUCUAGCAUCAACGUCUAGCUCAUACAAAUCAAAAUAUCCUGAAGCAUAUGAAGAAUCAAAAGCUAAUUCAGUGCCAUAUAGAACCACAAUUUGUAUGUAGAAGUUGUCAACUAGCUAAGAGUACUGCUCUACCUUUCCCAUUGUCGAAUUCUACAACUACUAAACCCCUAGAACGAAUUCAUUGUGAUAUCUGGGGACCUUCUCCAAUUAACUCUUUUCAGAAUUUCAAGUACUAUGUCAUUUUUGUUGACAACUUCUCUCGGUUCAGUUGGAUCUAUCCAUUGAAGCUAAAAUCAGACUUUUAUGAUAUUUUUCUCAUGUUUCAGGGACUAGUAGAAAACCAACUCAACUGUAAGAUCAAGAUUUUCCAAUGUGAUGGUGGAGGAGAGUUUAUCAGUCACAAGUUCAGAACUCACUUACAAAACUGUGGCAUUCAACAGCAUGUCUCCUGUCCAUAUACACCUUAACAGAAUGGAAUAUCUAAAAGAAAACAUUGUCAUAUAGUUGAACUUGGUCUGGCUAUACUGUAUCAUGCAAAACUCCCAUUAAAAUUCCGGGUUGAUGCAUUUGUGACAUCUAAUUAUAUUGUCAAUAUUCUUCCCACUCCAAAGUUAAAGAUGCAGUCUUCCUUUAGCAAGUUAUAUCAGCAUAAGCCAAGAUAUGAUCAUCUCAGAGUUUUUGGGUGUGCUUGCUAUCCCUGCCUUCGACCCUAUGCACAACACAAGCUUGAUCCACGAUCCCUUACCUGUGUUUUUCUAGGAUACAAUACUCACCAUAAGGGAUAUCGAUGCCUUGUUCCUACCACUGGUCAUGUGUACAUCAGUCGACAUGUGGUAUUUGAUGAGACCUUCUUUCCUUUCUCUCAGAAAUUAGCAACAACUUAUUCAACUUACACACAUUUGUAUAAGCUAUGGACAGAAGAAGAGAAAUUUUUACAACCUUCCAGUACAAAUUACAUAAACACUUCAUUAUCUCAUCAUACAGGUUAUGUACAAGACCCUACAGUUGAGCAAACAGUUGAACAAAUAAUCUCUACUAGUUCUACAGAACCAGCAGUUCCUGUUUCUACAAAUAAAUUACCUAUGGAUCAAGCUUCUUCUACUUCUCAAAAUAUUUCACAACAAGUAGAAAUACAUGGUUCCACAACAGAGACAACAGCUGAACCAGAUAUGGAACAAGCUGUUCAAACAGCCUUACAAGGUACACUAUCUACUCAACCUAUGUAAACUAGAUCUAAAUCUAGCAUCAUCAAGAUCAAUCCUCGAUAUGCAUGCCUUACUGAAUAUCGAGUUCCCCCAGACCAAAGUCAAUAAAAUUUGCUCUAGCAAAUCCAAGAUGGCAUCAGGCAAUGCAAGAGGAAAUGGAUGCUUUACAUCAAAAUCAAACUUGGUUAUUAGUUCCCCGUACCAAUGACAUGAAUGUUGUAGGCUGUAAAUGGGUGUUCAAGACUAAAUUUACAUCAGAUGGCAGCCUCAAUCGAUUGAAGGCUCGACUAGUAGCUAAGGGGUUUCAUCAGGAAGAAGGAAUAGAUUUCACAGAAACCUUUAAUCCUGUUAUUAAGCAUGCCACUGUUCGAAUUAUACUCUCGGUGGCAAUAAUAAAACACUGGUCUAUACAUCAACUUGAUGUCAAGAAUGCCUUUUUGCAUGGCACCUUAAAUGAAACAGUUUACAUGGAGCAACCCCCUGGCUUUGUACAUCCACAGUACUCUCAGUAUGUUUGUCUUCUUCAAAAAUCACUUUAUGGACUACAGCAAGCACCGCGUGCUUGGUAUGACAAGUUCAGUAAUUUUUUACUUGAAGCUGGUUUUUUCUGCAGCUCAAUUGAUCCUUCUUUGUUCAUACUUCAUAAAGGUCAAGAGACAUUACUUCUAUUGCUAUAUGUUGACGAUAUAAUCCUGACUGGUAGCUCAGAUAAGUUGCUGCAGACAGACACUUAUUCACUCCCUCAGUAUUCAAUUCCAUAUGAAAGACCUUGGCCACCUCCAUUAUUUUCUUGGAAUUGAAGCUACACGAACAUCCACUAAGUUAUUUUUGUGUCAAACCAAAUAUGCUCUUGACUUACUCUCUCGUGCACAUAUGUCUGACUGCAAACCUAUUGCCACACCUCUUUCUCUUAAACCAGUCACACUAAAAACAAAUGCUGAUCUUCUUCCAAAUCCCAUAGACUACAGAAGCUUAGUAGGUGGUGUGACAUCCUGAAAUUCGACCCCGUUUCGAUAAAAUGAAAUGUGCAUAUCGUCGGCGCGCCUAUGGUCCUUUUUCUCUGAGCUGAUCACUCACGAGUUAGCCAACCUAUUGGGUGAAGCCGUUAAGGGAUAUAACCGUGGUAAAAUCCCUAAAAGCUACCUAAUUGGUUGGAUUGGACUAAAAUCGCGUCCGGUCGAUUUUAAUCAUGAAAUUUAAUUCGGUCUCGGGAAAUCGAAUAUUCGAGCGUGUCACAAUUCAUUUUUAGGACCGUCUCAUCGUCUGUCAAUUUAUUGACGAGUCCGAAAUUUCAAUAAAGAAAUUAUCGGGGGAUCAAUCGAAGAUCAAAAGAAAAUAGAAAGGAAAAGGAAAAGAGAAAAGGAAAAUUGAAAUAAAGAAUUAUGCAUUUCCUUUUUUCUUUUUCCUCUCUCUCCCUCUCUUUUCUUUUCUUUCUUUUUCUCUCUUUUCUUUCUCUCUCCUCUCCCCUCUCCCCUCCCCCUCGUGCAAAUUGCCCCCCACCGCUCACUUUCUCUCCCUCUUUUAUUGACCGGUCAACCCUUAUCUCUAUCUUCUCUCUCUCUUCUCUCUCCUCUCUCUCUUUCGCACUCUCUUCUCCCCCUUCUGUUCGAGCGAACCAUGAGCCGAAGGAAGACGAGAAACCAGAAGCUGCAGCCCCGUCGCCGCCCGUCCCGCCGCCGCACCGCCGCCCGCGCCGCACCCGUGCGCCCGCCGCUCACCGCCGUCCCGCCGUCCGCGCACGCCCAGGCCGCGCGAUCCAGCCGCGACCCAACUCUGUUCGCUCCUGUUCCAACCAUCUCCGGCCACCUCCGGCCACCGCCUAGCCCCGCCGGAGCUCCCCUGCGACCCCCUCACCCUCCGCCGGCUUCCCCUCGCCGCCCUAGCCGCCGAAGCAGCCUCGAUCGGCUCCGUUCAGCAGACCCACGAAGUGGGUUUCCAGCACUUCGGGCCCGCUUUUGGGCCGUUUCCUGGCCCCGAACCCGAGCCGUGCUUUGGAGUUUGUUGUUCCUCGUGCCGCCGCCGUCGGAUUGAUCCGAUUUGCGCGCGAUUUGGUGAGUAAUCUCACUAAUCCCUGAUUAGUUGGCUAAUUAUGCUUAGGGUUGGUUUAAAUUUAAUUAAUUAUGUUUAGGUUGUUAGAUUAGAAUUAAUUAGUAAUUAUUAGUCAAUUGUGAUGCGAUUUAGAUAAAUUGAUUGUGUAAUUAACAAGUAGACAUGGUCUACUAAUUAUUGGAAGUGCCUCGGGAUUUUUCCCGACCCUUAGUGGGCUCCAAUUAGGCUUUUCGGGCCUAAGUGGAAUUUUUAGUAUUUAAAUAUUAAUUUUCGGAAUUAAAUUAAAUAAUUAUUUAUUUUCCGAAAAUUCAACGGAGAUGGUCUGGAACCGGAAAAUUAUGCUAAUGACCGUGGUGAAGUCCGUUUAUUUGAUCGGGCUUUAUUUUGAGCUAAAUUGAAUUUUUAAUAUUAAUUAUUUAAUUUUCGAAAUUAAUAAAUUAAUUAAUUAUUUUUCGGAAAUUAAGAUUUUGAUGGCCGACGACCGAAAUCUCGUGCUGAUGGUCGUGGCGUAGUCCGUUUAUUUAUUUGAGCUCUACGUUGUAUGGAAUUGAAUAAAUUGUGAUAUUUUAGGGAUUUACCCUAAAUUGAUUGGAAUUGAUUGAGAUUGAAUUGUUGAUUGGUAAAUGGCCAAGUAUGUUAUUCAGCAUUUAUAUUGCUUUGUUGAGUUGAUUUAAUUAUUUGAUUGAGAAAUCGUUGGGCAUUGGUUGUCAGUAUUGAAAGUAGAUUGGUAAUCGCUUAAAAGAGGACACGUGGGCUCGGUGAAUUGGAAUGUCACCUGGAGAAUGCACGUGAGUUCAGUGGUUGAAUAUUUCACCUUGGCGAAAAGGUCGCCUGAGAGAAUGCACGUGGCUUGGAGACUUGAUAUGUCCUCCUUGAGAAUGCACGUGGCUUGGUGACAGAGUUUGGCAUCUAAAAGGGCACGUGGCUCGGUGAUCUGAUGCGUCACUUUGGUAAGCGAGUACCUUAGAGAAUGCACGUGGGCCCAACAUUCCGGAAUGGCAUCUAAAAGGGCACGUGGCUCGGUGACUUGAUGCAUCACUUUGGUGAGAUGCACCUAAGAGAAUGCACGUGGACCCAGGCAUCUAAAACGGCACGUGGGCUCGGUGACUUGAUGCAUCACUUUGGUGAAAUGCACCUAAGAGAAUGCACGUGAGCCCAGGCAUCUAAAAGGACACGUGGCUCGGUGGCUUGAUGUACCACCUUGGCGAAGAGGUCGCCUUAGAGAAUGCACGUGGGUCCGAGGUUCGAGGCACGUGAACUCGGAGACCUGGAAUGUCUUCCUAGAGAAUGCACGUGGCCUAGCUUGUAAAUAUCCCACAGUGGGGAUUGAUUAGUAUGACAUGUAAUCGACUAGUUCGAUUUAUUUGAAGUGAAUGGGUGUUUAUUGUGAAUUGUACUGACUUGCAGGUGGAAUCUGAGGCCAAGGUAAGUCAUCUGCCCUGUGCGUGUUUAGGCAGCCUUUAGUAUAAUGGUUUACUAAUCGGGCUUAGUGGGGUAGAACUCGCUGAGACAUAGUCUCAUCCCAGUUUGGGGAAAAACAUUUCAGGACCCCAUUGAGGAGCUGAGGAGGAAUCUAAGAAGGAGAACUCGGAGGUGAAACCUGAGUAGAAGGAUUUUUGGAAGAAGAAGAUAAUACCGAGAGAGAUUUUGAGUAUGACCUGAAGGGAUUGAGAUUUUAUCUUCUUUGAUAUCUCCAUUUUGAUGUGAAUAGAGUUUGGAAUAAAAAUUUGUGAAGUGUUUGGGUUUGUGUUUUGUAUAAAAGUUUGGUUAUAAGUUUCAAUAUGAAAAAUAUGGCCCUGCUUUUCUAUCCCAUUGUUUUAUUGUCUGGGGAUUUUAACUGCUUCCGCAUGUGCUUAAUAAAUGAAAGGGUCGGUGAUACAUUGUCCUGGGAUAUCACAUUAUAAAAUCGACCAAGAGUUGAAGGAUGUGCGCGUGCCCGAGGAUCGGGACGUGACAGGUGGCUUACAAUAUCUCACUAUCACUCGUCCUGAUCUUGCAUUUGCAACAAAUAUCUUGUGUCAGAAAAUGCAACAACCCACUGUUGGUGACUUCCUUAAACUGAAGAGAGUACUUCGUUAUGUAAAAGUAACAAUUCACCUUGGCAUCUAUCUUCACUCUCGAAGUUCUCUCAAUUUAUAUGGUUUUUCUGAUGUAGAUUGGGCUGGUUGUGUUCAAACUAGAUGAUCUACCACAGGUUUCUGUACUUAUCUCGGCUCUAAUCUCAUCUCAUGGGCAGCCAAGGAACAAACAACUAUUUUCGUUCUUCCACUGAAGUAGAAUAUAGAGCACUUGCUUCGGCAACAACUGAUCUUACUUCGAUCACUUUUGUUCUAAGAGAUAUUAGCCUUCCUCUACACUCUCCAACCUUACUAUUUUGUGAUAAUCAAUCUGCAAUAUCCCUCACAGCUAAUCCUAUACUUCAUGCUCGAACAAAACAUAUUGAGGUUGAUUUUCACUUUGUUCGAGAAAAAGUUGCCUCUAGAUCCUUGUGUGUUAGAUAUAUUCCCAGCAACAAUCAAAUUGUUGAUAUUUUACAAAGUCUUUAUCCAGACUAACACAUUCUUCUCUUUGUCUCAAAUUAGGAAUUGGCUGUUCACCCUUGCCCAAUUUGCGGGGGGAUGUUAAGACUACAGUAAAUAGCAGCAGCUCAGCCACUAAUAAUGCCAUCAAGAACAGGAGGAGGAAAGCAUAUGAGGAAGAAGCAUAAUUUAUAAAUGCUGCCGAGAAGUGUAUAGGAAGAAGAACCACUAUUAAAAACAGAGAAAGAUAAGAAGAUAAAGAUAAGGGUGAUGCUACGGAUUGUAUUGUUGCAUAUGAAUACUCUGCGAAGCUUGUAAAGCCAAGAGCUCUCUCUUUCUCUCUCUCUCUCUCUCUCUCUCUCUCUGAGCUGGAGCUCUCUGUUUAGCACUCUGUUCUUGUACUCUAUUUCUUCUUUGUUUUUUCGGUAAUCAGUUAGUUUUUCUCUUCAGUUAGGUAGUUGUAUCUUCUUCAACUGUUCAAUACCUGUAGAACAGAUUCUUGAGAGAGAGCUAAUGUAGAUAUAAAAGGAAAACUCUCAUGAUGUAGAUUUCGUGAAGUUGAAAUAACAGAAGAAGCAUUUUCAUCUCUAUUUUCUCUCAUUUUCUCUCCAUCACUUCCUGCUCAUAAACUUCUUCACCAACACCAUAUUUUUCUUCUCAAGUCCAACCUUUCUUUACUCUUCCGGUUUUCUUGCUUUGAUCUCUUGACUCAUGGCUUCUGUCCUAUGAUAUGCUUCAUGUGCUUCCAUGUUCUGUUAGAUCUGGGUUUUGGGUUUGGCGACGGUUUUCCUGUCUUAUGGGAUCGGACUCUUUUAAGGAUACUCGAACAUCAUAGUUUUGUUGCUUUCUGAACUAUGCAUGUACAUUCAAACAUCACAUGGCUUUUUGCAAUUGCAUUUAGCUUGAUAUAAGAAUGUUUAAUUCUUUGGAUUAGCUAACUUUGAUCUGCAUUUGGUUUCUGCUAAUUCUGCCUCACCCCCAGCUUCUAGAUUGCCCUGAGAAAUCUGGUCAUCUUUAGUUUGUUGUGAGCAUAAUUUGAAUUUGCAGCCCACCCAAAAGAGAAAACCUUACGUGUUCAGAGUGAAAAUUCUAAGUCAAUUAAAGUGAGAAUUUGCAGACUAUCAAGAAAAGUGCUAUUAAGUUAUAAAUAAGUCAUAUGGAAAUCAGGUAAUACUUUUUUUUUUUUUAUCAAUAACUUUUUAACACUUACCAAUUCUUUCAGGAAUUUAUCCGCAUGAAAAAUAUCCGUUUGUUUUAAAAUGGAGUAAGUAAAGUCGUCCCUGUGACGUAUGAGAGUUAAUGCAUUUUUAACAAUUUGCGUCUGGAUGGCCUCUUCACUAAACAAGAGGUCUUCUUGUAAAUGGCGUAAUUAUGACUUUUUGGGUGUUGAAUUGUCGUGAUCAUAAUUAUUAUUACUUUUUUGACCAAGAUCAUGUGUUCUCCGUUAGUCCAAUUCUAAGGAAAUUUGUUACCCUCGUAACAGUGGGGUGAAUUUUAUUUUAUUUUUUUGGAUAUCCAGGAUCUGCCAGAGCCUGUGGGGUGAAUUGAUUUUUCAAGAUAUUAAAAAUCAAUUUUGUAAAACCUACCCCUAUAAAAAUUGUGCUUCUACUACCAAGUAUACUAGCAAUUUAAACAGGACAAAACUAAAAAGUUUAGAAAAAGAAAAAUUGCAAAAUGAGAAUUAUGAAAGUUCAAUUCGGGUAUACAUACUCCUCUUUCUAGCUCUAAUAGCCCAAAUAGACUGAACUCUACUAGCUAUGCCAAGAGUACAAAUACCAUCUUGUUUAGAAAAGUACUCAAUCGGUCUUAAACUUUUCAAUUUUGCCAAUUUAAUCUUAAAUAUUUGUAUAAAAUUCCAAUAUAUUCCUUUCAGUUAUUUUUCGCUGGAAAUUUCUAACGUGACAUCAUCGUUGGCCGUCCUCUGUAGCAUACCACUAUGCCCACGAUUUUCAGCUAAAAUUGGCGAAAAUAUUAGAUUGAAAUUUCACACGAAAGUCUAGUUGAUAACCAAAUUAGUAUCCAUGCAAUAAGUCUAGGAUUGAUUAGACAAUUACUUGUUACAAGUGUAGAAUUUGCUGCCACGGAGAACUUGACUUCCUUCUACAGCAAUCCCGCUAUACACUGAGUAACUUUUGGACCCUCCAAUAGCCAUUCUCACAUCUUGUUCACACGAUAUAAAGGUCCUUUUCUAAAUUAUAAACCACACCUCCGACUGUUUACAAAGAGUCCAUUAUACAUUUUAUCUCUUGCCUAGAUACAUAGUGUUCACUCUAAGUAUGUAAAACCACCCUUUUCAUAUGUUUACGAAUGGGUUUGUCCCUCUUGCUAAUAAUUAGACACAACACUAAAAUGGGUAUUACAAGUUUACGAAAGACACGAACUCAAAAGUCCCCCAAUAAUACUUAAAUUCUCUUGUAGUAGUUAUAUCUAUCUAAUCUUCAAUUAAAAAAGAAAAAUCUCAGCAAAAUUCCUUAAAAACACAUGUAUAAAACCUUGUUACAAUCUAGGCCAUCAAUCUGAUCUUCUAUUAAUGCAGGUUUUAAUCAUAUUGUUUCGCCAACCUUCUGAGCGAAUUAGUUCCUUUUUUUUUUUUUGCAUAACUACUCUUGGGAUGUCACAUUUUAUUGCUAUGACUUGGGGCUUUGAUUUAGGAACUCCAAUAGUCAUUAAAUUUAUCCAUGGAGAGCGCCUGCUAAAAAAAUCUGACUGCUUUGCAUAACCUAGUUUGGUUCUACACCUUUCCUCCAGCAGCUUUCCUAACAUAGUAAAACCUUACUUAUGUACUUGUAAAAUCCGAACCAAGCUUCUGUAUGGUUUAAACAUGAACAUUUGCACACUUAAAUGAAUUCUUUAAAUCCUUGGGUUAAAUUUUGAUAUUAUCAUAAUCUUUUUAGUAUAUUUUCCAAGCAGUUUCACCAUUUUCAACAAUGACAAACCUAUACCAUUCCUUCAAUAAGAGUGAGUUAUGCACAUAAGCAUGCAUAUUCUGCAAAACUAUCUGACUGUAAAACCAGAGAUGAUUCAUGCAUGCUUCCACAUGCGACAUUUUAAUAGACCAUAUAAAUAUGUCUGCAAAACAUAAUAAACUCCCCUUAAUAUGUACACAUAGUGCGAUUCUCCCCCUGAGUAUGUGCUUCUCCCCCUUCUUGUUUCUUAAAAAAGCAUUAACAUCAGAUGCCCAGGGAUGAAAACCAUAUAAGCAAAAGCAUUCAUUUAUUUAUAUAUAAGAGUGUUCUACAAAGCAUAUUCCGGAAAAAUUAAUAUAAAGGAAAGUGAACACUAACCAAAAGGAUCACAAACACCGAUUUCAUCCAUCAAGCUAGAAACGUAUUGUUAUCAAGAGGUCUAUUCAGAAUAUGAGAGAAUUGCAAAUCGAUGCUAACAAAUCCUUUUCAUUGAUUCAUGUUGUGCUGUGGCUGCCAUAAUUAAAUAAAUAAAUAAAUAAAAGAAUCAUAUGAAAGAGUCUCUCUUCUUGAAGUUUGACCUAGUUCAGAGUUCCUCGAAAUGGAAGCCACCCCCGUUAAUUAGCACAAUUAAAUAUUUUAUUAGAAAUCCAAAAUUUAGGCAGUUGAAUACUUGGCCAAUUUUUAAGACAGUGUGACUCUAAAAAUUGUGCUCGUAUUCAACUGAAACACAAUUACUAAAGAAAGACUUACCGAUUGCUUAACAAUGUUGCAAUUACACUUUUUUUCAAAUCCUUACAUUAAGGAUGACACGUCCUUAUAUCUCAAUAAGGGCCAUUGACUUAACUAAGACAUUUUAUCUGUUCCCUUUUUGCUGAUCAAUAUGUCAUGAGGUUUGGUACACAACUAACUAUACUAUUAUAAAUAAUUUGAUUCUGUUGAAUACUCAAAACACAUAAAUCUGACUAAUUGGAGUUUGAAUUACUGAAACUGCGACAACAAUUGAGUAGAAAUGUAAAAGAGACUUAGGGUUGAUGCCUGAUUAUAUAUCGAAAUACCAUGGGUUUGACAUAUAGACCUCCUUUUCAAAGCCCCGUAUGCUAUUGGAAAUAUGUAUACGUAUUAGGAGCAUUUUGUGGGCUACUACAUGGUGCACUUGUUUUAUAUUUAAAGUUUCAAUGGGUCAGUUUUGUCUACUAGUAACAUUCUCCUCCAAUCAUACUUUCAGUUAACAGGUCAAAGAUUAUGGACAUUAUCAAUAUGAAAAUUUAAUCAAAAUCAAAUACGAGUGAUGUUAAUAUUUGUGUGAUCCAUCAAUGAAAGUUAUGGCUAAAAAGAGUUCAUCCAGCUAGAGCGUUACAUGUGCAAAUAGAGAUAAAAUAAAUUUAGAAUUCUAUCUGUGAGCUUUUACAUCAUUGACUAUGGUUGCUAACAAGCAUUUUCAUUGCAAAAUUUGACAACAUUUUUGGAUGGCUUUUGGAUUAUUGAUGUUGAUUACAUAAUUCUGUCGUAAUUCAGUUUUAUCACGUUCAGAUUUAGUUUUCUUACAUUUAUUUGAAUCUAAGUUACUAUUAUUGCACAUGAUUGUUGACAUCUGAAUUUCGCUAUUUUACUUAAGACUUAAUAGCAUUAAAAUUUAGGAAUAAGUCGCUAAAAAAAAUUGAUUUUUUUUAAAAAAAAAAAAAAAGAAGAGAGAAGAAGAAAAAACCUUAGGGGUCGGGCCGGAUCCGACCUUUGCCCAGCCCGCCGCCUUCCUCUUCUUUUCCCCCCGCGCGGCCCAAUCUCUUUUCCUUUCGGCACGCCCGCACCCCAGCUGUCUUCCUUGUCCUGUCUUCGCGCGCAAACCUGCAGAGGAGGACAGACAGCACGCGACCAGGCGGGACCGGCAGAAAGAAAAGACAGGGUAAAGCAGAGAGUAGGAGGAGGGGCAGAAAGAAAGUGGAGCAACCAGAGAAAGAAAAACAGAGGGAGAGAGCUCGAGAGGGAGGAAGAGAACCGGAGAGGAGGAGGGGAGUCUCCGGCACUGUCGCCACCGCUGCCGAUGCGUCUCCUAGCCGCCGACAUUUAUGAACAUUGAUCAAAUCCAACAAUUUUCUAAAAUUUAUUUGAAAGGCAAUUGCAUAAAAAUCGACAAGAAGUAAAAUGUCAAAAGGGUACUGACCUUCUUAUGACUCGUGCUCCUUUCUCAAGUUAUAAUUUUAUGCUCUUUUGCCUGGUGAUCUCGUCCUAUCCAUUCUAAAAAGGAAAAGAAACAACAAAUUUAUUGAGAUGUGUGAAAAUAUAAUAACAAAAAUGAAACAAAUUAUGCAGAUUCAUAAUAUUCAUGCCGAGAUAGCAAAAAAUUCACAAUCACAUCUAGAAAAAAGCAAGUUCGUUCAAUAAUUCAUAUGCUUCAUAAUUGUGAUCGAGGAAAGCGAACAUUAAAAUUAAGCCAAAUUUAUUCAAGACCACAUCCCGGAGGAAACAACCAACAACUACAUGCCACAUUUGACAUUUUCCUUUAAAAAUAAUGACAGCAAACUCCCAAAAAAUGAUGAGAAAUGAAUAGAAUAUCUAUGAACUAUUUUAGCAACCAAUAUGCCCUCAAACAAUGUCAUGACCCAACUAAAUCACAUCUAACCCAGAAUAUCCAGCAACUACCAUUGCAAAUGACCUAUGGUAAGGUGUUAGUCUUUAUUUACUUUUAUCUGUUUCUAUUUGCUAAAAAACGUUUGGUUUUGCUAAACGUUGGAGCACCACUACUGUUGACAUCUCCUUCUAUAAUUGCAGUUGGUACCUUUGGAUAUUUGUGGUCAUCUUCUUAUUGCUCAAUGUCCAAGGUGAGAAACCACAUUAAUCACAUAUUGCAAUUUCCAAAUUUACGCGUCAUGAAUACAACAAGGUUUACUUUUCAUUAUUGUAGUUUUUACCCCAGCAAAACAUGGCUGAACACAAUUUAGGCAUGGUUUGGCAUGGCGAUUCUAGUCCUCAUAUUGAGAAGGAAUUUGCACGGAGUUCAAUGGUCCUUUCCGGAGAAACACCUAGGCUGUUGAUGCUUCUGAGCAUACGAGAGUCAAGAGCAGUUAAUAUCAAGUUACCCACAACAUAAUUCCCAUCAAAACCCCUAAAGUAACGCUUAAAGGCCAAUCCUAUAAACGGGGGAUUUAACUAUAACUGAUGAGGGGCUGCAAUCAAUUAUGCAGGCUGGCAUGCAUACUUUUGGAUAUCUUUCAUGCAUACUUUUGGAUAUCUUUUGUUCUCUUUUUGGUGAGUAGAACCGUGUCCCGGCAUUGGGCUGCUUAAGCCACAUUGUACAUCUCUUGAGAAAUGAGUCAUAGUGGGAUUCAGUUUAUUAGUUAUUCUAUUUCCUUUUCUAGCUCUUGCUGUCGGAACAAAGCUGGAGCACGUGAUAAAUCAAUUAGCGCAAGAUGUGAGAGUGCUAGUAUGAACAAAAUAAAGGAGUUAAGGAAGAGAAUAAGAACACAGAAAUUAUAGUGGUUCGGCUUAAUCCAAGCCUACGUCCACUCUCCCACGAUAACAGCCUUCUUGGCUGGAUUCCACUAUGCAAUCAACAAGAGAUUACAACUCCGAGUGCAAACACUUAGUAGUAGAUCACACUAUCUCACUAAGUCACUCUCUUGGUAUUUCUCUCACGAUUACAAACGUUUAAGCUCUCAAGAGACAAGUAUAUGAUCUAAAGUCGCUUAGACUUUGGAAUUAUAAAUUCUACGCUCCGUCUCUUACUUGCUCAUCGGUCCAUGAUCUUCUUAAAUACUCCUCCACUUCCAAACUACCGUUGGACAGCAUCCCGGAGAAUCGUCUUCCAAUAUACCCAUUGGACAGCUCUGUAUCUUAGAAGAUUUGGUAGCCGUUGAGUGACAAAGGUAAAAUCCCAAAUUGAUUCCGAUCGCCCAUACAAACGAAAUCUUGGUUUCCAUAAGUAAAGCUUCUUCGUAUAGAAAGAUCUUGUCUUCAAUCAAAUCAAUCUUGAUGUGGAAUCCAAACCAGAUCACUAGCCGUUGUAUGAUUGGGCUUGAGUUACGAUUCAUCGAAUCUGGAUGUAAAGUCUGAGUCUUGAGACUUUACGAUAUGAGUCUUGAGACUUUACAACCUGGGUCUUUAGACUUUACAAUCUGAGUCUGUACCCAGUUCAGCUUCAGCAUAGAGUCUGUCUUCAGACUUUGAGUCUUGAGUCUGACAGUCUUCAGACUUUGAGUCUCGAGUCUGGCAGUCUUCAGACUUUGAUAAUAUCCUCUACAUGUUCUAUUAUCUGCAUGGUCUAUUACUCAACCAUCAAACAUGUUAGUAGCCUUUGAUUUAUUUUGUCAUCUUCAAAACAUCAUAAGGGAUUUCCCUAACAAGAUGUCGCGGAGAAGCAUGCAGCCGUGGAAGGGGACUUGGUGGUUCAACCUUCUGUUGAUCAUUUCUGGUUCCAUAGACCUCGCAUUGUCCUGCUGCUCAUUCAUAUCCUCCUCUUCCAAAAAGCUUUUGAGCUCGCUUUCUUCUUCUUCAUUUGUGCAAGGGAUAAAAAUAGCUGAAUUGCCAAAAGAAAAUAAGUGCUUACGAUUACUUACUGGAGCUUCCAUGGGGAAAAAACCUGGCAGGUUCAAUAUAGUUUUGACUCGUGCAUAAUGGGACAAGUCGGUUUCAUAAUCCCAAGACUCGUGAUAGGGUAAAAGCCUUCUUCCUUCUCCUCAUAUGUGGAUUUAUCCUUACCAAUAUCACAUGUAUCUGAAUGGCUAGCUACAGGCAAUGUUGUCAGGGUGUUGGUUCACUUCAUGUGCAGCUACAGCACCUUGCCACUCUAUGCGAUAGUUACCCAGGUGACCAAUCUAGGCACAUCGUUUUCACGGUUCAUGACUAUUUACUGCAACAUGAUAUUGAAACUGAUGGCAUACGUACUUGCGUGUUUGCGCUUGGUUGUUAAAGAUGGGAAGCUCAUUCAAGAAGGCUAUAUUUGAGGAACACAUACAUGAGGGGCUCAGCGUCUGGACCCAGCAUGCAAAAAUGAAGAAGAAUGCAAGAAUGACGGCGACUGGCACACGAUUGACCACCCUCCCCGUGGACCCCAAAGUGACUUAACAAUCCCUUGGCGAGCCAACGAAAGAAGCUGAGAUCCAAUAUGAUCCUUCCUUCCAGGGACCAAAAGAGAUGUAGCAACCAUUCGAAACAUUCCCUUCCAAUUUCCAUGUUUCAUCAUCUUUAGACCUCUUAAAUGGGAAAGUCGGCCUGCUUUCUCUACCCCGAUGUUGAUUAUAUUUCAUAACCAGACACCAAACAACAGUCAACAAAAAUGAACCUUCCAUCAAGCUCUAUUUUCUCCGAGACGGUCAUUUCUCAUUCUACAAGGUUACAUGUGAUCAUUUAGAUUUCUAGUUAGGAGAAGAUUAGAGGAUAUAAAAAUUUUGCUAAAUUCUAUCAAUUGUUCGUCGCAGAGAUAAAAUCGAAUAUAUCCACAUCAUAUUAUAUAUAUUGUAUGGUAUAAACAACAUGUCAAUACAAAAUGAAUCUAAAAUUUGCGCAAUAGAUAUGAUAAAAAUCUCUCAUAACUCUCUAACUUCAUUUUUUAUUUGCUAAUUUUUUUUAUAAAAAAAAAAUUCCUAUAUUUUUUUUAAAUUUUUUUCCCCCUUCCAUCAUUCUCUAAUAAAAUUUUAUUAUAUAGUAAACUAUAGUAAUAUAUCUAAAAUACUAAAGUCCUAAAAUAUGUAAUAUUCAUAAUGAAUAUAUGUUUAUAUAUUGAUUAAUAUUAUAAGAUAGAAAUAAAUAAAAAGAGGAUUAAAUAAAAAUGAAAUUUUUGCUUUUUUGUUAUUUUGAAUUUUUUUAUCAGAAUUAAACUAUUAUUUAUCUUCCAAUAUUAUUUUAAUUUUAUAAUAAGAAUUUUUUUUUUUGAGAAAAAAUCUUUUAUAUUAUAGAUAUUAGAAAUCUUAUUUACCUUUAUCUCACCUCUCCAUAAAAUAAUUAUAUCCAUGCUAUAGCCCUCUUAAAUAUUGAACGAACACCAAACAUAAAAUAAAUAUUAUAUCCUAAAUUUUAUUCCGAUUGUCAAAUUAUUCCACACAUUUGGACUUUUAAUACUUAAAAUCUGAUUCUAGGAAAUGAGUCAAUAGUAAAAAGUGAAAUUUUCUUGGUGCGCAAUGUUGCAAUCUUGCAGAUCAUGGAGUAGGAUAUUUUAUGUACCAAGACAGUAAACUCAAGAGAGCAAUUGCCUUAUAUGUAUCUUCUUCGGCAUAAUUUAUUACAAAUACAAAAGGAGAUACAAGAUCAAUAAAUCGUGAUUCAAUGCUUCAAAUUAUUCCCGCCCAAGCUAUUUUUGCUGUCAUAGUGGAGCUGCAAAACCAAGUUAUUUUGCAGACAUUAACUAUAAAAAUGGUUUCAAUAACAAAAAGUAGUGCAUAAUUCAACAAUCAUUACCCAUUAAUUUAAACCUUUCAUGAUUAAUCAAGAAAGUGGUUUGAGACAACAGCUCAAACAUAAACAUCAUGACGGUAACUGACUAUUACACAUAUUCUGCAGCAAAAUAGCCGCCUAUCUAUACUUCCAAUACGCAAAAUUCUCCUUUAUCAAACCGGACCCGGCCGUACCGACCGGUCUAAACCCGGGUCGGGUCAGACCGGACCCGACUCAUUUCGCCCUUUUUUAAAAUUAAAAUUAUUUUUAAAAAAUUUUAAUUAAAAAAUUAAAAAUUAAAAAUUUCGAAAAUUAAAAAAUAUAGAGUUUGGUUAGGAAUUGUCAUAUCUUGCAUUUUUACAGUAAUAUUAGGCUUUUAUUUUCUUACACCUUGAUUAUAUUGCAUGUUUGAUUCGCAUAUUUGAUUAUGUUUGUAGAUGUUCAAUUGCACGUACUCAAUUUUACUAUAAUUAAGAUCUUCAUAACUACGAUUGUUAUUUUAAUGAUUGUGUAUUCAUAUGAUCAACUCAUAUGUUAGUGGAUAUGUAUAAAAUUAAUCUAAACUGUCGAACAAAAAUCAUUAAAUUUUUAAAUGAAUAAAGAUUAUGUACAAAAAUGGCACUAAUUGGUUGCGUAGUAAGUGUGGCAUACUUCCAUGCCUCACUUGAUUUUUUUUUUUCUUUUUGCAAAAUUCUUAAGAAUAUCUAAUGUCAUGCGAGAUAUAGACUUGGAAGAGCUUGUGCUUAAUCAUGGGCCUUUUGUCCGUCAUUUAAUCUAUCCCCUCCCCUUGAGGGAAGUUUGCGACAAUGAUCUAAGCUCCAACAAUAUUCUUACAUGACAUUUUUUGCUUGUUAAUCAUGUGACUUUAACGAUGUUGUAAGUUAAAUCGAUUACACGUAAAAAGUUCCUAUCAAUAAUUGACACAAAUAGUAGUAGUGGACCGACCACAUAACAUUAGAUUGGCAGUAAAAAAUCUAAUUUCAAGAGAUCAAUAGCCUAACUGUAGCAAAUAUCGAACUUUGGCACCGUGAAUGAAAUUUCUCAGUGUUAAAAAAUAAUUUUCCUUCUCUUGUCGCGGCCACAGAGAAAAUCUUUUGACACCGCCACUACAAAAAAGGAUCGUGUUUUCUUCCAUCACAAAUUUGAUUGGCAAGUUAUCAAAAUCUGAAGAAUCAUCCUAGAGACCGAUUCAAGGACAGCAAUUGAUCUACUAGUUGGCAAGAUUACAGAGUUGUCGAGGCCAGAUUGGGUGGUGAAAACCAACACAGCCCGUGAAGGCAAAACGUGCGACGAUUGAUAAGCCAAUGCAGCGUUCUUUUAGAGACCAUAUUUAGUUAUUCACUUAGGUUUAUCUACGGGGCUUCAAUUUGUACUUUUUAGGAGAUAAAAGUGGGUGUUAGGAGGCCGGGACUUGCAUAUGAGAUGUGUUAGAAAUUAAACCAAAUUAAUAAAUGUCCUCAAUUGACUACGAGUUGCUGAUGUUAUGGAGAAGUUACCGAUAUUAAUGGUUGUCAAUGCCGAUAUUCCAGAAUUUGGUACCGAUGAUUUUGUUUGGUAAAUUUUUUUUUUUUUUGUCAGUCUUACUCUAUGCCUACUUUACACUCACUCUCAGACUUCUGCCCUGCCUCUUGUAGGGCUUGGGAGUCGAAACCCACUCCUGAAACUUACGCGUCCCCACCCCAUCCCCCUAAGAAGGUGGGGAUUUGAACCCCACAUCUCCCCCUUCCAUGUUGGAAGGAUGGCUACUGGGAUGAAUCCCACUGGGGUGAAUUGAUACGGAUGACUAUCCGAUGCUCGAGUUAAUUAGAUUCUUUAUUGUAGCGUUGUUUUUUAGAAGUCUAUUCGUAUUUUUAUUUCAUGAUUGUUCAUGUUUCUAAGUGUAAUCAAUGUUUUGCAAGUUCUUAAGAUUUUAUCACCUCAGAACAUUAGCUAUAUUUAUGAGUCAUUUAGUUUAAGAGUUAUGUGUGAAGCGUAUAAAAUUCGAGUCUUGUAAUUGUUUUCGAUAAGGUGAAAAAAAGGUGAAAUAAACAAAAAGGAUAGCUGUCUCCUUCUCUUUUUUGUGUUGUGUUAGUGAGUGUUUCAGCUUUAAAUUAUCUCAUCAAGAUCUAGCUUGUAUUUGUCUUUUACAAAAACUCAAAAUUUUCUAGUUUUGAUGCCAUAUGAAAUUAUGAAGGAGCAUUAUUAGCUAUUAUAGAAGUUUAGAUAAUUAGAUGGAUGCAUUAUUCAAUACUUAAUUGAUAUGACGCCUCUUUCACGACCUGUGUUACCUUUCAACAACUAGAUUACUUGCACAGCUUGGGCUCAAUGGACGGAGAGCUGUCUAUAAAAGUGGAGGAUGGUGGGAUGAACAACUCGAUCGCGGAGGAGGUAAAGAAGGAUGAAAGAGGACAUUUAACGGAAGUGUCAAAGGAUGAAAGGGAUUCUGAAGAAGAAAUCUGGGGAGGUCGACGGGAGAUAAUGAAUAAUGCAUUGGCGGCUUCCGCGGGGGGACAAGAUCCGGCAAAAGCUUACGAAUAUGCUCGAAAACUGGCGGGUGUCAUCAAAGGCGGCAAGGUUGACGAGUUCCUUUCCACGAUCAAUGUAAAUGAUCCAUCGUUGCGGGACAUCGAUUGGUCUGCCGUUUUAAAUUCCCGAUUGGAUUGGAACGAAUCACUGCUCCACGUGGCAGCAGAAACCGAGAAGGACGACAUCCUAAGGCUUCUGGUUGAUUAUGUUGGUGACCACCUCAUAACCGCCCAAGAUGAUUGGGGAAAUACCCCACUCCACCGGGUCACCCAGUUUGGGGGAUCUACUGGAGCUGCAGAGAUGUUGAUUCACCGGGCAAGAGACCUCCCCAACGUCGAGGACAAGAACCUCCUCUUGAGGAUGAAGAACAAACGUGAAAACACCGCUGUGCACUUCGCCGUGCGCUCUCAACAUGCCAACUUGGUGCGCUAUUUGGUGUACUGGAAGAACGCGAGUGAGAAAUCUCCCCUGUACCGAGUCCUCUACAUUAACGACUCCACAAUACAUGAGGUUUUAUUUUCACUCUCGUUGGAACCAUCAAGGAUAGAAGGCUUGCCGCCCAUUCAUGGUGCCAUUGUACUUCUACGACACGGUACGUACCUAAAUCUGCUUAUGUGGAAAUAUAUUUAUCUUUUACUGGACCGACUCGUCCCAAAUCUGUGCAAUAACUUUUUGCUGUUACAAGAACCCCUUACCAGUUUUUACUUAAAAUUCCCUACCCUGCUUGUUAAAGUAGUUGGAUACCCAUCGGUUUAGUCGCAUAAUAAACAAAAUAUUCACAUUAGAGCAUAAUAGAUGGCUUAAAUAUUACAAAUACAACCAUUUCACUAGAAACUCAUGUGUUGUCGAUCUUUGAUUAGAAAAGCUAUAAAGUGCAAAUAUUUAAGAUUGAUGACCAUGACAAUCUGGAAUCUAACAAUGACGCCAUUUUGUUGGUUGCGCAGGCGUGAUUUUUUCAUUGGAAAAAGAGGAGGUGAAGGUUCCGUCACUCUCAGCAAAUUGAUGGAAUAUCGUAAACCGUUAAUUUUUUUGUGACCAACAUUCAAUAGGUUUUUAAGAAAUUAACAAAAGUGGAUCUAAAUAAAGAAAGAAAUUUUUGACUUUUUUUUUUAAAUGAAUACAAGUUAUCAUAAUCUUUGCAGAAAAAGCCGAUACCGUAGUCUAGCCUAAAUUACCUUGACCAUUAAAAAUAUUGAGAUAAAAUUCAUCAGACACGCAAUAAUCAAUUAUGUUGAAUUUUUUGGCUGCUAAUGCCAUGUAUCCCAAGUUUACUACUUGAAAAGCGCAACUAAUGUUCAUUGAUCAUCAGAUUGGUAGAUGGCAUUCAUCUGUUACAGUCAUAUCAAAUAGAGAGAAUUGUCCAAAAAGUUCUAAAUUUAUUGUACGAUUAUCAAUUCAGUUAUAAACAUGUCAAUUGUGUCAAUUUAACCUCCAUUUUAGUCCUAAACUUUUUAAAGAUUUAAUAAUUUAGUCCUUCUAAUUAAUUUCUACUGGAAAUCAAUUUCUUCUGGAAAUCGCUGACAUGGCGGUCUAGUCAAAGCUAGCCAUCCUACGCGAUGUUGAUUGCCUUUGUGGUUUUUUUACAAUAUAUUUUUUAAUUUUUUGCAUUUUUUUCCUUUUCUUUUUUUAUCCUUUUUUCCCUCUACCAGCCUUAGACGAGGGCCGCCCUUCGACCCUUGCGUAGAGCAACCCUUGCCCUUGCUUGACUUCCACUAGGCGUCAACCGUUGAUGGUUAGAGAAGGGAAAAAGGAAAAAAAAAUUAUAAAACUAAAAAAAUUGCAAAAAUUAUCCGCAUUAGCGUUGGCUGUGCCAUGUAGAACAAUCAGUACUACUAGACCACCAUGCUUAUGAUUUCCAACAAAAUUGGCUAGAAUGAUUAAAAUGACAAAUUGUUAAAAGAUUUAUCACUAAAUUGGCAAGUUAUUAAAAUUGUUAUGACUAAAUUGGCACAAUUGAAAGAUUUAGACUGAAUUAAUCAUCAUACAAUAAAUUCAAAACUUUUUGGACAAUUUUCCCUAUCAAGUAUAAUUCCAACCCUAGAUGCAGUAACUUUAUUUUUAUCAUGUCCCAAUUUAUUAAUCCAACCACAUGUUAUUAUUUACAUUGCACGACAUAACAUGUUUGAGGCUUUCUAUUUGAAUUGAACAUGCAAAACAAUUUCAAAUGGACAUAAAGUGAAAAUGCGUAACAAUGUAUUGUGUGAUGCAAAUAAUAAAUUAGCAUACCCAAUAAAUGUAUGUGUCUAAACUUAGGUUGCACUCGUUGAAUAGAUUAUAGAAGUCGACCUGCACACAUAACGUUCAUAAUCCAUUAUAAAUGGCUUAACUUAUUUGCGAUAAUACAAUUAAACCUAAUUCUACCAUAUUUAACCACGUUUCAUGUAGUGAACAUGUAUGUAGAAGGGCUGUUUUAUAGUUUGUCAGCUCAUAAUUCUAACAAGCACUUUAGAAACUAUACAAAAGAUCCCAUUGAAAUUGGAUUUACUGUAUAUUUCUUAUUCUUACUGUCCAAUAUAUAAAAAUCCUUUUAUGAAGUACUACUGAUUGAAAUCUCGUAAUAAUAGUUCAAUUUAUUCUUCAUUGAAUGCAAAAGUAGAUGACAUUGUGGAAUGAAUCGAGCGUUGCCAUGGGCUUUUGUAGAUAGGCACUUUAAUUAGGUUAUCAUGAUAGGCACUUUUUUUAAGGUUCAUAUCAAUUAAAUAAGGUAAGGUUAUUUCUUUAAAUCUAGUAAUGUUCUUUCACUUGGGAAAAUUAUCAAAAAAGUCCUAAGUAUAUUGCACUUUUGCCAAUUCAAUUUUAAAUUAUUCAAUUUUGUCAAUUCAGUGCUAAACCUUUUUCACUUCUUACCAAUUGAGUGUAUUCGACUAAUUUUGAUCAGAAUUCAUUGAUGUUGAUAAUUUUUAUUAAUAUUUUAAUCCUUUUUAAAAAAAAUUAUAUUUUUUUCGAUUUUCUUUCUUUCUUCCCCCCAUUCUUCUUCCUUUUAUCAGUGGCCGGCUACCAAUCACCAGUGAUGGCCAGCUACUAGCCAUGGCUGGGUGAGUUGACCUUGCCGUAAGUGAUGCCUAGCCAGGCAAGGCCAAGCCUCAACAAGGGUCGACCUCACCUAGGUUAGGCAAGACCAACCCUUGCCCAAACUAGGCGAGAUCGCCUGGACGAGGGUGAGCCCCCUUGUUCGGCCACAUCUUACUGAGGCAUGCGAGGCUAGCUAGCUUGGCCAUAGUCGGUGGCUAGCACAAAGGAAGAAGAAAGGGAAAAAAAAUUAGAAAAAAAAUCAAAAAAUAUUUUUAAAAAUUGUUUACAUUAGUGCCGACUAUCCUACAUGACACCGCUAAUGUCCACGUCAGCAAAUUCCUAUCAAAAUUGGCCAGAUAGACUCAAUUAGCAAGAAGUAAAAAGGUUUAUAACUGAAUUGACAAAAUUAAAAAGUUUAUGACAGAAUUGGUAUAAGUGCAAUAGAUUUAGAACUUUUUGGACAAUUUUCACUAUUUCACUAAUGUAUCUAGAAUGUAACCGGUUACCCAUAUUGAAAUUUGUGGCCUGAAUUGCUCCGUCAAUUUCAAGGAUGAUGGCAUCCGUCAUGCGAGCACCUUUUUUUGUAUUUGUGUAAAAUUGAAGUAUGUUUUUUAUUAUAAAUUAUUGGUGAAAUAUUAUUCUAUUUCAUAAAAAAAUUCUUCUUUUGAAUAGACUAAAUGCAAAAUUCUUAAUUCGUGUUAUAUAUUAAUGUAAAUAUAGGGGGGUCAACGACAAUUAGAAAAUUCCUAAUUAUCGCUGUUAUAUGACUGAUGAAAUUUGUAUAUGUACGUAACAAUAUUAUUAGAGUAUAUUUUAUAGGAAGUAUUAUAGAAAUGUAAGAAUUUUCAAUAAUUGCUCAUUUGCGGUUUUUGAAACUCAUUAGAACUAAUUUCAAUAAAACUAAUGCCUCUUUUGUUGAACAAAAUUCAUGGUAUAAGAGGCAAACAUAGAUCCUAAUUUGAAGCAAAAUAAAUGGAAAGUGGAAGAAAAACACUCUUUGUGAGGAAAAUAAUUAAUCCCUUACAAAUUAGAGCCCUAUAAAUCACUUUUAGAGACAAUUCUUAAAGAAAAAAAUCAUUAUAUAUCUAUGUAGAUGUUACAACAGUCUAGAUUAAUUUGCAAAGUUCAUUGAACUUUUAGUAUUAUGGAUGUAAUUUUUUUGGCGAUGAAAUGAGGCUUGUUUUAUUUUGUGUUGUGUCAUCACAGCUUAAAUAUGUGGUCGUUAUAGCUAGGAUAUAUAUGACUCCAUGCAAUGCACAUACCAUAUAAUGUGAUUUAUUGAGUAAAAAUAUCUUUCCCAGAAUCACUAAAAUUUCACAAAAUAUAUUUGGUCCAUUCACAAGAUAUAAUGGGAUUGAGUAGCACAAUCCCCAAGGAUGAGGUUAUCUCUAAAUCACUCUCGCCUGUCUUUGAAGUCCAAUGGCCACCCACAAUCCUCAAACACCGUUGGAAUAUUCUCAAACAAUCGAAACACCUCUUUCACAUUAUUGAACCUCUUUACUAGCACCUCCAAAUUUUCAUAGUUGGGGCCAAAAAAAAAUUUCUUUUGGUGGAGCCUUUUCCCUUCUGUAAUUUGUGAUUUAUAAGCUCUACUAUCUUCGAAAUAGAUUCUAGUCACAAAUUUUACUUAGAUUUUACUCAAAAUUUUUGGUAAAUAUAUAAUCUCUUAAUUGAGCUGAAUAAGUGCCGUAUACCUUUACGAAGAAGAUGACGUUUAAUCUAGAGAGGGUGGAACAAUUUUAAGGGGGAUUUCGGUAUGGUGCUGUGGAGGCUAUUGCAAUGUUCUCAACAAUUAAAUAAGGCCCCGUUUGGUUGGACUUUCCCAAGGGGCUUUUGGGCCCGAAAGCCCCUUGGGGAAAAAUUUUUGUGUUUGGCAAUCAUUUUCAAAUGCUACUUGGCCAAAUGUCAGCAUCCCCAAUCCUGAAAGCCCAAUGCUGGGAGGACCAGCUUUGAGCAUUGGGCAUUUCAGAAAUGCCAGUCCACUGUUCAUCUUCUUCCCCCUUUCUUCUUCGUUCGUCUUCUUCGUCUUCGUCUUCCUCGCUGACUGAGAGUGCGGCUUCUCCGGCAGCCGCCACCGCCGCGUGGGGGUCCCGCGUCCCUGGUGACCACCGCCUGGGGUGGCGAGACCCGCGACCCAGGCGGCGUCGCCUGGCGGGCGCGAGCUAGGCGACGCCACCUGAGGUCGCGCGGACCUCAAGUCGCUAGAUCUAGCCGUCCGGCGGCCAGAUCUAGCGGUCUUGAGGCCAAAUCUUACUGCCGGACGGCCAGAUCUGGCCUCCGCGACCUCAGGCCGCCAGAUCUGGUGGUCCGGCGGCCAGAUCUGGUUGGCCGGCGGUUGGCCGGCCGCCGGAAUUCGAUUUUCUGACUUAAAUAAAAAAUAAAAAAUACCAAAAGUCAAUUACAAAGCUGAAUUUUACCAAACGGUGUUUAUACUAAGUUGCCUUUCAAUGCUACAAUUUACCAAACGGUAUAACAUUCCCAUAAACCCCUUUACCUCAAAGAUAUUUGUAUUCUCCAAAUGGCAUUUCCCCAAAGUUGAACCAAACGGGCCCUAAGUCUGCUUGAUACUUGCUAAAAUUCGAUGGACAUAAUAUGAAAAGAUCAUUUUCCUUUUCUUGAUCUUGCCCUAGCUUGCAUUACGUCUGCCGACUCUAUAGAUACUUCAUGUCGUGGACAUGCCAUAUAAAUUGCUAUGUCAUUUAGUAAGAUUUUUAUAGUGAAAUCUUAAGUACCUGUCGAUGUCAUUAACUAGUUUUGGUAUUGCAAUCUAAUCUGUUAUUGUCGACUAUCAAUACUAGUAGUGAUUAAGGCACGUCAAAGAUGUCCUUACUCCAAAAAGGGUUUAGAUAUAUAGAGACCAAUCAAGCUCUAACCAUCCUAAUUUGGAGCUCUUGAUCCCAGGUUUAUUCGACCUGAUGCUCAAGAAAAACAUGAAGCUAUUUGCAAUGACCGACUCAACGGGGGCAAUGUGUUCCAUUUAGCAGCUCACUUGAAUAUCGCCUGGGUAUUCGAAUUCUUACGACCAGAAACUGAAUAUUUGACCCGAGUAAGGGACAAGAAUGGAGAUCUCCCCAUUCAUAUUGCGAGCAAGAUGGGUUAUGUUGAACAUAUCGAGAAGCUGAGGGAAGUAUCACUUUUGCCAAAUGGGCAAGGGCAAACCGUUCUUCAUAUUGCCGCAAAAUAUGGGAGAGUCUCUGUAGUGAGAUAUAUACUCAGCAAUCCAGAUCUAAGGAGGAUGCUGUUGAAUAAACAAGAUAAUGAUGGAAAUGCUUGUUGGCUGUUGACAUUGCUCGACGACACAAGCCAGAGGGGUAUAAGAUUCGGCAUGUAGGUAACAUGAACAGUCACUAUUUUAUUUAUUAACUUACUGGAGAUUUCAUAGACUAAUGCAUUGGUUAAGGCAGAUCUGGUAUUCAAAUCAUUAUGUCUCCCAGCCAACUAGAUAGUAGAAGUAUUGAUCAAAUUUCUAGAACAGCCGAGACUCCUCUCGGAUAAAUGUUUCGCAAGUCCCUAAUUUAGUCUUGAUAGGAGGUAAUUAAAAUUUGUGAUCAUGAAUUUCUCUGCAGUUAGAAACAAGUAACGUGUCUUUCAUAACACGGAGAUUAAAAUUUAUAUAUUUCGUUUAAUUGAGCCUCUGAAUACGGUCAUGAAUAAAAAGGCAGGGUUUGUCAAGGUUGCAUUCUGUUUUUCAUAAAAAGCCAGGGGUCAAUGUGGCAAAUUUGACCUCUCCAAAUGUAGCACAAUCUCAUGACAUUAUCAUUUUGUCGACCUAUGAAAUGAUUGCCCACAUAGAUUCCAUUCAUGCCUCUUUUUUCGUCUAAAACGAACUUGGUAAUUUUGUGCUAAUUCUUCAAAAAGAUCAGAAACUGCGUCUUUAGAAGCGAACGUUUCCAGAGUUCAUUCCCGUUAUAAAUAUGGUAUAAGUUUGUUCUUAUUUUCCUUUUUACAUGCUUCCGAUCUCAGCACUUGGCAUUCCUGGUGUUGCUUUGCUCGCUCGCGGGAAAAGGUCCACUUAAAAACCCGGAGUUAUUCCUAGUUAGAGCGGAAGCUCGAGAUGAAGAGUUAUCAGUAGUCCGCUCGCGCAAAAGCGUGCCGAGCAGGAAAAUCGUCAAGGAUUACAUCAAUUCCCGUAUGGUGGUGGCAACGCUUGUGGCCACAGUGACUUUCGCAGCUGGUUUUGCAGUUCCUGGAGGAUUUAACGGCUCGGACACAGCCUCCAAAGAUGACCGGGGCAUGGCUACGAUGUUGGACAAUAGAAUGUUCCAGGCUUUCGCGAUUUGCAACACCAUCGCGAUGUUCUGCUCAAUGACUGUGGUCGUCAACCUCAUCUGGGCGCAGAUAGUUGAUGUCGACGUUGCAGUCGCUGCAUUCCAGCGCACAACGCUACCACUACAAAUUGCACUCCCGGCGAUGUCCACCGCUUUCUUAACUGGUGUCACCUUGACCAUUGGCAAACUCCCGUGGCUUGCUAACACCAUAUUUUAUAUGGGACUCGUUUUCCUCCUCAUUAUCUCAUUUGCUAAAUUGUUAGAGAAGCCUCUCCUCUUUAAAAUCCUCGGUCGUCCUCUCCUUCGACUAACAUUCUGGCUUAUUCUCGCUUACGUUUAUGUGUGGAGAGUUGAGACGUACAUUUAUGUUGACAAUGACGCGAAAGAUAACAGAAGGAAGAGCAAGACCUUCGCUAGUCCGCCUGUGGAUGGUGCUGGUGAAUCGGGGACCGAUGACUCGGCGAAAGCAAAAUGUGAGACAUCCUCCAAGUCACUGAUUUGAAUUUGAUCAUUCCAUAUUAUCUGUAAUAUGUAGUAAUAAUAUAUGUUUUCCUUGGUGAGUGCGACUCACGAUACGGUUGAUUUCCUUUAUGUCAGACCAAAGGUGAUUGUUAAUAUAUGUAAGCUAAACCAUGUGUUUCUCUAAUAACUUAACUUAUUAGAAUUGUUGGAUAUAAUUCCAUCAAAUUUCAUAUGUUAUUAAAGCAGAGGUUCUAAGUUCAAACAUUUUCAGGUCAUAUUUGCUUCAUCUAUUAUAUGUUCUCAUGUUUCAAUCUUAGAUCAAUUCAAGUUUAUGAGUAAAGAUGAGUAUAAAAGUAUUUGUAUUAAAGUAUUUGAAUUAAACAUUGCAUCCAUCUAAUAAUUUAAAUUUUUAGAAUAAUUAAUUGUAGUUCCCGAAAUUUCAAAGUGAUACACACUUCAUGUAAAUUAAAUGGAUGAAUGGCUCAUUUCAUCCGUUUCAUUGCCCUGGAAUCUAAUUGUUAACUUUGAACAUGUGGAAGCUCGUGGGUUUAUGAAAUCGCUCGUCUGGAGUGGCCACGUUCGAUUCACUUUGAACCAGUCCAAUUUGCGGCACUCUCGAGUCAUGAAAUCCUAAGCACUCACUUAGUCACUUACCUGUCUAGUGUGCAAAGAAAAUAAUUCUCAUCGCCUACUCUCUGAGUCAAGACUUGGGUGAAGAAAACCGGAACAAAAUAAUUCUCUUCAUUGCUCACAAAAAAAUAGAACCAAACACCGAACUCAUUUCCAUUUACACCCGUUUCAUUUCCCCACUUCUCCCUCCUAGGCGCCCAAUUUCUGUGCACGCAAAUGAGUUUUGGUGUUUGAUUCAUGGCGGGGUAUAAUCUAGUGAGCAGCGGGCGCAGAAGUCUAGUCAAGGGACGAGAUAAAAAGGAAUUGCAACACGCAACUCAAGGAGAAUUGUGGAAAAGUCUGGAUAUGCGAUUUUCCUCCUCCGAUCUCGGAUUUUUAUUUCAAAGCUGGUUGGUAUUGACACGUAGAAUAUAACUCUAAAGUGAUUCUGGACCUAUUUAUUCGACAGUGAACGUAGAUAAUUACAAAAAAUAAAAAGGAUCUCAUUGUACAAAUGUCUAUUGAGUUAUAAACUUUCUAAAUUAGUCGAUUUAAUUUUAAACAUCUUGACGAUUUGCCAAUAUAAUUAUGCUAACCAAUUUUGACCAAAAAUCGUUGACGUUGACGCUAGCCAUCCUAUGGCACAUGACCAGUAUUGAGGUGAAUAACUUUUGUAAUUUAAAAAAAAUUCUCAAUUUUUUUCUUUUUUUCAUGUUUUCAUUUUCUUCAUUUUCCUUUCUUAUAUUUUCCUUUUUUUCUUUUACUUAUUCCCCUUCGCCAUCCAUUGGCCAGUCCAUGGCUUCGGUGAUUGAUAGUAAGGCCCCAAUGCCCUCGCCAGCGAUUGCAAGGGCUGAUGGAUUUGCUGGGGCCACAGACUAAUGGAGGGACAAAGGAAGAAAAAAAAUGAAUGAAAACUUAAAAAAGGACAAAAAAAAAAAGAGUUUUGAAAUAAUUGUAAAAAUUAUCCACAUUAACAUCCGCACCCAGAUCUGGGCGAGUCCAAUCUUGUCAUGGCCUGGCCUAAAUCUGGGUGAAGCCGCCUUGUGCACAGCCCCGAGGCCUCAUUUGUGCCCAACAAGGCUCGUCAAAGAAGCAAAAGAAUGAAGAAGAGAAAAAAAUAAAAGGAAAAGUAAAAAAAAAAUUAUUAAAAAUUGCCACGUCAGCGUUGAGCGAAUGGCCAGCGUCGACAUCAGCGCUAGCCGACCAAAAUUAGUCGAAUAGAUUGAAUUGACACAAUCACAAAAAAAUUAGAACUGAAUUGGCACAUUUAUAAUGGAUUUAGGACUUUUUUGAUAAUUCUCCCGAUCUAUCUAUUAUCUCCAUUUUUAGAUUGCGACAUGUGUCCAUCCAAUUUUAGUCCUCACUGCAUCUUAUCUAAAUACCAUCAAACCUUGGAUGGUACUUGGAGAUCUAUGCAAAUAUUUAUAUAUAAAAAUUAUAUUGAGAUAGUAAAGUGUGCUCACCAUCAUCAUAUAAAAAUUAUCCUGGGGGAUUAAAUGUUUCAAUUAAUUACGGUAGGAUGAGAAGUAUUUUUCAUAAAGAACGGACAUUCAAGAAGUCUUGCUAGAUUGAUAGAUUGAUGUUGCAAAUGGUUCUCUUCUCAAGUAGCAUGAAAAAUUACGCUACUCAAAUGUAGAGCCUCCUUUUUUUCUAUUUUUUCGGCAGAUCUUUCAAAUCAAAUUACAGGGUUACGACUAUGAAACCUCACAGUACAAGUACAAAAAAUACCAAAUCAAUCAUCUAUUAACUUCUCGAUGCUCAUUAAAUCUGAUUCACAAAAUAGGUUGGGACCCAUUUUGCUAGCCCUACUAAAAUCUAAACAUUUUAAUAAAUUAAGGAUUUAUAUGGCGUCCUAGUUCACAAAGAUGUGCCGUUGUUGUUGACAAAUCAACAGUGAUUGAUUUUCAUGAACUCGUCGUCAUAUUGUCGACAUUCCCAUUAUAUAUGAGCAUAAUAGCGAACUUUGAUUUUCGAGCAUCAAGAUAUAAGAUUGGCUUAAAUAGAAUGCCAAAUAGCCCAAGUGUCACAAUUAGAUAAGUCCAAACCCCAAACACGUUCAACUACGGUUUUUUUUUUCUUUUAACUUUAUUCACAUAUUAUUAGACCAUACUUUAUGGUUAAUGAUCAUAUAUAUCGCGGUUUAUGAAAGACUGUGCCACAUCGAUAGUUUUAGAUGUUAGUCCAAAUUCGAAAUACUGGGCCAACGUUUGAGAUUUUAUUGGCCAUUCGACAUUUCAUUUAUUACUCAUGAAGUCUAUCAGUGCAUGAAAUUUACUGAAAAUUAGAGAAUCUCACAAUACCAACAAAAUAUCAAGUUUUUUUUCAACUUUUUUACCCUUGAUACACUCCACAUACAGCCCAAUUUACAAAAUUCUACAAAAACCACUGCUCAGCAAAGACGAACAACAGCACCCAUCGGCCCAACAUGCUUAACUCCAAGCAUAGAGUGACUCGAACUCUUCUUGUCUCCUUUUCAGUUUACCACAACCAGACAUAUUUAAUACAGUACCGUGAACAAGACAAGAUAGCGAUGAGAUCGGCUCAAUAGGCAUCAGGGUUUGCCAAGCGAUAAGCCUCGAUGGCCUUGAACAUCCCGGACGCCUUCUCUUUCCCAGCCUUGAUCUUCUCCUCAGUUAUGUCCGCCUCGCCAAUGGUGAAGUACUUGCUCGUGCUCUUGCACACCGAGCCUCCCUCGGGCGAAGUGGUGAUCUUCAUCUCGUAGCUGAUCUUCUCAAGGGUGGUGCCCAGCGAGUCGCCCUCAAUGAUGGAGUAGCUGUAGGUGAAGUUCUCCUUGUCCAGGGCCUCGACCUUAUGCUUCAUUGUCUUGUACUGACUGCCUAUCAAGGUAACAAAAAGUAAUAUUCACGUUUAGAACUCGCUGGUUUCAACAUCACGAGCAAUGAUCUUGAUGGUGUCGAUUGGGCCAUUUAGGAUGUUCCAACUGCAAUCUGAUACGAUUGGCUUAGACAUGGCCUGAUUUCCCUCGAUUAGAGUCAAGUCACGUGAUCACUUGUGUAAAUCAUCGAGAUGCUUGUUUCACCGUCGAAGCACCAAAAUCAGAGCAAUAAGAGUCACGAGAAGUAGUAAGCAGCAAACGCAACAAUCACAUUAAUCAGAACCUUUCUCUGAGGGUCAGUCAAUUCACUGCUCGACCCACAUGGAGACAUUCCGUCGCGUUUCCUCACAAGCCCGGAUUUGCGAUAAAAGCCCUUCCCACUGAUUGUUGGAAAAGGCGACCACUAGGAACUGCGCCUGUCAGCUUGUUUUACAAGAAGCCAAUGAAGCUUAAACGGCUCAUGCUGGUGAUAGCAGCUGGGAUUGUACCCAACAAAUCGUUAUGCGAAACAUUGAGAUUUUCCAAUUCAGUGAGCUUUGCUAAAUUGGAAGAAAUUGAUCCUGCUAGUGAAUUGUGGCUCAAGUCUAGGUGGUUAUGUAGCGUGAACGAGUUCCCCAGCUCUGGCGACAUGACGCCCAACAGAUUGUUGUUGCUCAAGUUCAGGCUCAGUAAAUUCUCACAAUUUGCUAGCUCUUUUGGUAUGCUACCGCUCAAUGCCUUCUCACCAAAAAACAAGAUCACCUGGCUUCGAUAAGUUUUCUAACGAGGAGGUAAUAUCUCCGGCCAAAUGGUUGUUGCUCAAGUUCAGCCUUAUCAACUCCCCUAGAUUUCCCAUCUCGUCGAGAAUUUUCCUGGCCAGUUCAUUGCCGUAGGAAGUCAGAACAUGCAACUGGGACAAUUUCCUGAGCUCCGACGAGAUGCGGCUGGCAAUUUUGUUACCAUCUAUCAGCAAAUUCGAUUCAUACACUCUCCCCAUUCUGCAGAGAGAUUCCCGACAAAUCGGCUGUUGCUGAGGCUUAUAAAGUCCAGAUUCGGUCUGAACGCACUCAUGAUACCUGUAGUGAACCGAUUGCUGUCCAGACGGACUCUCGUUAGCCCCGGAAAAUUUCUCAAGCAGUCAGGCGGCAGCUCAGUGAAGUUAUUCCCAUCGACUGCGAGAUAUCCAACAGCAAAGUCGCUGCAUAUAUCUUGCAGCAUUUCUCCGAUGAAGCUGUUGUUCGAAAAGGUAACGAUCCCCAGAGAAGGGCUGUACUUGCCGAAAUCACGUGUUAUGCCUCCUGAGAAAUUGUUCUUGAACAAAGAGAUGGACCGUAAGUUAGCAAGCCGAGAGAUGGUCUCACAAGAAAAUAUUGUGUACACAAGUGAUGCUACGUCAUGGCUUUUCCUUCCCAGCCUAGAUCUCCUCUUCUUCAACUUGAAGCGCCUUCUUGCUGUUGUACUUGCUCGUCAUCUUGCAGACCGACCCUCCAUCGCUGAUGGCCUCAAACUUGACCUUGUAAUCGAUCGACUGGAGCUUGUCGCCCAGCGUGUCGCCCUCGAUCAUCGUGUUCCUACACAUGAAGUUCUCCUUGUUGAGCUCGUCGAUCUGGUGCUUCACAUACUUGAAAGGACUAGCUGCAAUUACAUUAUGGAACUCCCUGCUCGAUGAGUGUUGAGUGUACAUACCUUCGGUGAAAUUUAACUUGCUCAAUGCUCCCGGCUCCACCGUCGCCAUGCACCAGCUCCACGCUCUUUAUGAACUGAGGCAGAAGCUUCGGGAUCAGGGUAUUCGACUUGACAAUCAAGGCCUUGAACAUGCGAGCCGGAUCAAUCGGGCAUGUGAGCUCUUGUGUGAAGCUGGUUGCACCCAUGGCUAUUGGCAAUGAGAAAGAAAUAACCCCAGAGAAGAGUGCUUCUGAGUCCUGUCAAUGCCUCCUAAUUAUGGUUGGAAUUAUGUCAAUGGGUAGGGUUGGUUUGGCAAGAGUCACGCUCGAGGAAAAUAGGAGAGUCAAGGAUUUGCAGCCUAAAGGAAUGGAAAAGAGGAAUUAAGGUGGUCUCUUUUGUUCUUUCGGUCAUGAAAAUGAUUUCGGUCCCUUUCAGAUUCAUGUUGAAAUGUCAAAGUUUAUGUUCCAAAAGAUGAACAUUCUCGUGCUCACACGGGCGGCCAUCCCUUUGAAAUGAUUGUUUUUUUUUUUUUUAAUACCCAGGGAACCCCGUCAGCCGUUCGUCGCCUUACGGCGGUACAUAGCCGCCAAGUAAACCCUAAAGCGAUGCUAGCGGAGGACCCACCACCCCGACGUCACGCUUAAAUCGCCGAUGCUUCCCCUGGGGUUUGAUCCCCUCACCUUUCCCCCAAGGCAAGGGGUUCUUAUCCAGCGGAGCCACCAAGGCUAGUGGUACCUUUGAAAUGAUUGUUGUGGAGUUCAAUCUAACAAUUUGCUGAUUAGACAUUAUAACGAAAUGCCCUUGUUUGAAGAAAAGUGUAUUAAUCAAAUUUUGUCUCGUUUAAUAUGUAGCAAACAAGAAUACUUCAUUAGUUGGUGAUAUCAUGUUAACUUGUCGCGUAAUAUAAACAUCACAUAAUAUAUUUUUUCAUUUGUAAUGCCCUAAUGUCACGGUGGAUCUGAUUCAAAUGUAUGAAGUAAGGCCUUUUGAAAUCAUUUUCAUGGGUUGUCGCGACCUCUUUUUUCUCGGCACCCGCAAUCGGGUACGAGCGCCUAAGGAGGCUAAUGGCUCGGCUGAAUUUAUUAAGCCCGGACUCUCCCAAGUCCGCCAAUUCACGACUUAAUAGUUUGAGUUUUUAACCUGUAAAUUAAUUUUAAAACGGAGUCGCCACUAAUUGGUUUGGGGUGGGUCGAUUAGAAACCCUAAGCGAAGUAUCGGGAGAAAUACUCGCUCCUGCGCAACCAGAGAAAUUAGGAUCGGGGACUUGAUUACACUAGUUAAUCACUAAUGCCCUUUCGGUACCUAAUCUUGUUUAAACCCUAAGGCUUUUUGGAUUUUUGAGGGAUUUUUCCAUACAUUUUUUGGAGGAAAAACAUUUUUUGAGUCUUUUUCUCAUUUUUGGACAUAAAAGGGAUUUUUUGGAUUUUUUUUUGGAAAAAUACAAGUCUUUUUGGCUUUUUCUGAAUUUUUUGGCUUUUUCAUGAAAUUUUGGAUUUUUUUUGGAUUUUUGGCAUUUUUUGGAAAAUAUGGAAUAUUUUUGAUUUUUUGAUUUUUCGGAAAAUAAAAUAUUUUUAAUAUUUUUUUAAUAUUUUUGGAAAAUAAAUUAUUUUUUUGAUUUUUCUCGAUUUUUUAGAAAAUAAAACAUUUUUCGACAUUUUUUAAUAUUUUUUCGAUUUUUUGGAAAUUAAAACAUUUUUUAAUAUUUUUUUGAAAAUAAAACACUUUUUGAUUUUUUUUUUUUUGAAAAUAAAAUAUUUAUCAUUUUAUAUUAAAAUAGUAAAAUAAAGCCGACCCGGGUCGGAUCCGCGGGUUGGGUCCGACCCGAGCCAGCGACCCAAACGCGGACGGGCCCGCGUUGCGGGCCCGACUCGGAUUUUUCAUCUCCUUUUUUAUUUUUUUAUUUUUUUACUUACUAAAACGACGCCGUGGCCGGGCGUUUGGGGACGCCCGGCCCGGCCCGACGACCCGGGUCCACGACCCGUUCCGCGACCCGGCUCGCUGCGAACCCUACCCGACCCGGAUCCGAAUCGCAACCCGGUCUUCCGCCGCGCCCGCAAUUCGUGGAAUCCCUACCCGGUUCCCGAUCCGGGUCCGACCCGACAACCCGGGGUCGUGACCCGGAAAAUCGGGAACCCUAGGGUUCCCGAAUCGCGACGCCGAGGCACGACAGCGGGGACGACGGCGAUGGCGACGGCGGCGGCAACGGCGACGGUGGCGACAGCGACGGUAGCAACGAGGGUUGGACUUCGGAGGGGGGAAACUAUGGCGACGACAACGGCGGCGGUGGCGGUAACACUACCUGUUCGUGGCGAUGGCGUCUGGAUAGUGGUGGCUGGGCAACUCGGUUUCCCGAUCUGGCGCGGCGUCGCCGGAUCGAUCACGGCAACGGCUUCGCAGGUGGGGCACGGCAACAAGCCGUCAAAGCAACGGCGUCGGGACUGAGGCGAACAGCUGCAACACGGCGUCCGGCGGCAACAACAGCAGCAAAAAAAAAGAUCUACCCAGCCGGACCCUCCUCGGCCUUGAUUUCUCCUCACUCAGGCCAGAUCCGAGCCUCCACCGGCCGGAUCUGACCUUCUCGAAGUCACUCGCUGCCGGCCUUCCCCGAAGUCUCUCGGUGGAAGGCGGGCUGAGCUUGCAACUCGAGCUCUCUCCUGCGCUCGCCCUUCAACCCUUCCCGAUGUCUCUCAGUGAAGGAUCUCCGAGCUCGCCACGCCCUCCGACGAUGCUUGCGGCCACCUAUUUAUAGGCGAAGGAACUCCGGUCGACGGAGGGGCUCGGUCGCCGGCCUCCGGCUUGCCCACCGGUUCCGCUCGGCUGAACCGGUGUCCCAUCGAGCUUUCCAGCGAAGCUCGCUCAGCAUUAAAGGCGCCUGCGAUCUUAUCCCCUCCGGCCGACGUCGCCCUACACUCCUCGGCCGUAGGCCAUCCUUCGCGCGCGUCGCCGGCCACCGCGCGUGAGAUGCAAGCGACUGAGGAAGAAGAAGACAGGAGGAAGAAGAAGAGAGAAAAGGGGCCGGGCCAAGGGUGAAGGAAAAUGGGCCACAUGGGCCACACGGAGGGGGAAGAGAAAGGGAAAGAAAAAAGGGCUGGGCUUUUGUUUUUGUUUUUUUUUUGGCGUGUUUAUUAAUUAUCUUAUUUAUCCGAAAUAAAAUAAAAACUUAACAAAAUAAAAUUAACCUAAUUAAAAAUGAGGUGUCAACAGCUGCCCCUCUUUGAAAGUGAGCUCGCAGAGGUUGCAUUCAAAGACAAACUGAUGCCUCAAUUUUAUCCAUACAUGCGUAGCAGAUUAUAUUUUACUUGGGAUCUAUUAUUCUAUGUAGGAAAAGAGCAAUAUAACUUUUCAUAUACUAAGACAGAUAAGAAGAUACCUGUAGUUACUUACCGGGAGUGAGUGAGAUAGGGUGUGAACCCCGAGUUUUGGCAAGUAUCAAGGCGUCAUCUUACCUGGUGAUAUGAGGAGGUUGCUUUUCCAGGGCUCGAACCAUUCUUCGGUCGCCUGUUAAAACAAUCAAUGAUUUGUCUAGGACCCGAACCUUUCUUCGGUUGCCUUGACGGAAGACUGCUCUUCUAGGACCCGAACCAUUCUUCGGUCGCCUGUUGGAGUAAUCAGUGGUUUGUCUCGGACCCGAACCAUUCUUCGGUCGCCGUGACGGGAGACUGCUCUUCCAGGACCCGAACCAUUCUUCAGUCGCCUGUUGGAGUAAUCAGUGGUUUGUCUCGGACCCGAACCAUUCUUCGGUCGCCAUGACGGGAGACUGCUCUUCCAGGACCCGAACCAUUCUUCGGUCGCCUGUUAAAACAAUCCAUGAUUUGUCUAGGACUCGAACCUUUCUUCGGUCGCCUUGACAGGAGAUGCACCGACCUUUCUCAGGGCAUCUCAUUUGUGGGUGCCUGAUUUGUAUCGAGGACACCAGUUGGUACCCGACCUUUCUCGGGAGAUGCGCCGACCUUUCUCAGAGCAUCUAUUUUGUUGGGGUGUCUGACUUCUGUCAAAGACACUGGUUGGAACCCGACUUUUCUCGGGAGGAUGCGCCGACCUUUCUCAGGGCAUCGAUUUGUGGGGUGUCUAACUUCUGUCGAAGACACCAGUUGGAACCCGACCUUUCUCGGGAGGAUGCGCUGACCUUUUUCAGGGCAUCAAUUCUGGAAGAUACCUGGACAUUCACAAGCAUAUCAAAGAGUACCUGGAUAUUCACAAGUACUAACAUGAAGGAUAUUUGGGCCUUUGCAAGCGUCGAAAUGUGUAUUUGGCUGACCAUAGGCACUGAAAGGGUACUUGGAUGAUCACAAGUAUGAAUUCUUGGGGGAUACCUGGAUGAUCACAAGUAUCAAAGGGUACUUGAUAAUUGGAAAUAUUGAGAACAUACCUUGGAUAUUUGUUAAGGUCUCUCACCUCUUGGUAAUGGGAAAUAUCGAGGACGUACCUGAGAUAUUCGUGAAGAUCUCUCACCUCCUGGUAAUUGGGAAUAUUGAGGACGUGCCUCGCAUAUUCGUGAAGGUCUCUCACCUCCUGGUAAAGGGGAUUUGAAUGUAGCAUGAGGCUUACCUGGAUUGCCACAGGCACUUAAAAGGGGUGGAACACCUGGAUAGCCACAGGUGUACAAAGUACUGGGAUACUUGGAUGAACACAAGUAUUUAAUGAUACGACCUGGGACCACUCUGUUGGUCCAAGUGUAAGAAAGCAUACCUGGGUAGGCGCAGGUACACAAAGCAGUGGAAUGCUUGAACAGCUGCUAUUAUUUGGGGACAACUCGGGCAAGUUAAGUGUCAUGAAAAGGGAGUACCUAGACAAGGGUGGGUACUUGAUGAUAUGGGGAUACCUAGACAGCAGUAGGUAUUCCAAGAGAUACUUGGUCAGUCACAAGUAUCAAUACUCUUGGGACAACUCGAACAUGUCGAGUGUCAGGAAAAGGGAGUAUCCGAACGGUGACCGGUACUCAAAGACAAUAGGGAUACCUAGACAGCAGUAGGUAUUCAACGAUAAAUGGAUACUUGGUCAGUCACAAGUAUCAAUACUCUUUGGACAACUCGAAUAGGUCGAGUGUCAGGAAAAGGGAGUAUCUGGACGAUGACCGGUACUCAAAGACAAUAGGGAUACCUAGACAGCAGUAGGCAUCGAAACUCAAGGGACAACUUGAAUAGGUUGAGUGUCAAGAAGAGAGUACCUAGACAGUGAUAGGUACCUUAAGACAAAUGGGGAUAGAGAUAUGCUUACUUGGCAAUAUCUCUGAUCUCUAUGAGUAUGUCAGCUAUUUGCAUAAUAUGCACAUAUGAUUGUAUAUGCUAUAAAUUCAUGAGUUCAAAUGAGAUUCAUGCAUGAUAAUUUUGUCAGUUCUGCAUCUUUUGAUUUCCACUGGGGAAGAUUUUGAAAGACAACCUUCAUUUAGAAUGUAGAUGUCUUGAGCGUGCCAGAUGAGGGACUUUCAGUCUGAAAGGACUUUCCGCUCACUCUCAUGGAAAAGGCUAUCCUGACCAUUGAUGCAGGAUUCAUAAGGACCACACUAUCUCACCGUCAUCAUGUCAGCAGGGGUCUGAGUAUUCUCGCAAAUGGUACGACUUUACCAAUGUGAGAGGUCUUUGUUAAAACUGUGAUGAAGUCUUGGUCAGCGGCUCAUCAAAGGGGACCAUCAAGGUUGAAGCUGAUGGACGAAAAUGUUGCACGAUCAUCUCUGGGUUUACAAGUCAAGAACCCUGCGAAAAGAGAUAGAGUAAUCUUGCUCGUACUUCUUCGAGCGAUGUUUAUAGACAUAUGAAAUCCUACAUUAAUUGAAGUGCCCCUAGUCUGAAGAGACUUUUACAAUGGGAAUGUAACGGAGAUUUUGCUCACAUGUGAGAGGGUGAGAGUUCGUGACUGUCUUGGCAUUUGUCACUAGUCUUUCUUGUCAGAUGGAGGUUCUAUGGACCACAACAGCAACAUUUUCUUGGCUGCAUUUUUGACUGGGGGGCAUUGGCCUUGCUUUUACCAGGCACACUGCUUUUUUCAUGCCCCUAUUUUUAUUCCAGUUCUUCUUUUAUGGGCAUUGACCUUGCUUUUACCAGGUACACUGCUUUUUUAUGCCCAUAUUUUUUCAUUCUUGUCGUUGGAGGAACUGGCCUAGGCAAGUUCAAUCGAAGCACCGUUAUUAGACUUUUGAGUCUUCAUCUUCAGUAGGUGCUCUGGGCUAUGCUGCUUAAAUGGCAGUAACUUCUGUUUUUUCUCAAUGUGAGGGUAAAAUUACAGACUCACUUGGGUUGUACAAUGAAUACAAGUGCAUAGAGAAAGAAUUGCUCUUCAUCAUUCUAGGGCACUUAAAUUAAUGUGAGUGUUCAUAUGCAAUAAAGACACCCAAAGAUUGAUGCAAGUGCGAGCAAGAAAAUUUCUAUCUCUCUUCUCACCUUGUGAUGCUGCUUUGCUUCUAAUCUGCCCCAGUGUAGGGGUUGUUCUUGACAGAGGUAUGAGAGAAGCUUCACCAAUGUAUGGGGCUCAAUGGGGUGAGCAAUGGAAUGCCUCUCACUAUUUUGGUUAUCGUACCAUUCGCGAGAGAACUCUUUACCCUGCAGCCAUGGAAUCUUCUGCACUCAUCUCACAAGUGUAUAGAUGGGGGACUGUGUGUAGGAUAUGGCUUGCCUGUCAUCAUUCUGACACGCCUCAUCUAGCAUGCUCAAUUAAUCUUGUAUUCUCCACUUAGCUGUCUAUUCUGAUAAUCCUCAGUGGAAUCAGUGGCUUAGACAGACGAAAUCAUCAUGCAGAAUUCAUUUGGAAAUGACAUGCAACAUUUUGAAUAUGAUGGAGUUUGAACUUUUCAAAACAAGUGAAUGGUUUUGACUCGCAAAAGACCCUAUUGACAACUUUAUGGGCUAACAUAAUGGUGUUUCCAAAUAUGUUAGAUUUUGAACAUCAAAAGGGUUAUUCGCAAAUGGACGUCGAUGAUUGUCCCUAUUGAUUAUGAAUAUGACACAUGAAUGAUCAGUCGGGGUUGGGAAUCUGAUCGGGCAUCUCUGCUUUUGCCCCUGCAGAAGAGAAGAUGUACAAGUAGAUCAAUUAGUUUGGCCAAAAUUAAAUGUGAGUUGAGGCCUGAAGGUUUUCUGUCAUUUGCUUUGGCAAUACUUGAGAUGCCAUUUUGCUUGGGAGAGUUUGUCAUGCCUCUCAUUGAUUUGUUAUCUUUGCUUUUGACAGUCAGUUAAUCCUGCAACAAACAAGAGGGAAUGUGUUAGUCAUGAACUCUUUCAAGAGUCGAAUAACUGGAAGCAAUACAACUUUACCCUUCACUGGUUUACAGAUGAUUGGGUGAACCUAAAGUGAGAGGGGGACUCGAAGUCAUAUGUCCCUUGCUUCAUUAGGUCAAUUAUUCUCUGAAUUAGCUCCUGGAUGACAUGUCUUUUUACACGAAACCAGGUGAAUUUAAUGUGGGUCAUUUCCACGUACUAGCUUGGCCAAUAUUGAUUUGCCUAACCAUUGAGUUUGGUUCUUGAGUUGUGAUGCUCCCUGUCAAUAGGGGGAAUAUGUCAAAAGUGAAUUCAAAGAAGGGGGAGUAUUGGAAACGAUACCAAAUUACUCUUCUCCAAAGUUUGUAUUUGCUGACUCCUGAUGAUGUUUGAAUGUCGAUGACAGCCUUUUCGUCUUAGCAUAGUUUGACAUUUCUUUCGAUUGGCCUUCCUCACUUGUGACCAUGUAUGCAUGAUUGCUGGUUGUUGAUUUAUCUUCAACGCAUUCCUUCUGUGGAAUUUUUCUUUCUGCCUUUGAUCAGGCAAAGUCAUGUACCUCAAGCUUCUAUGGAAUCUGAGAUGGACAAUCAAAACCUCAAAUUCUCUAAUGGCAAUUACUUCUUGCAAGAGCAUGUGUCUGGAACAAGAAGUGAGGCUUCCAGAUUCUAAGAUUGUUGACUGGGACAGAAGGUUUCUUUUAACCAGACUGGUUCCUGAAUGACGCAUCCUUUACACCGAGCUGGACAAAAUUGACAGGGAUUACUCUUAUGCGUUUGCCUGGGUAAUGUUGAUUUGUUCAAGUUAUGCCAUCGAGUUUGCUUCUUGAUUUAUGACACUUCCUUAAAGACUGGUCAUCACCAUUCAUUUUUCUCCAUUGAGUCAAAUACACAUUUUUUAUGAUGGUGUAAAUACAUCACUCAUAUAUAAAGGUGCAUAAGCAUUUUCAUUCUGAUAGAGAAGUGCUUGGCAAUGCCAGACAAUAAACAUCUUUCAAGGGUAGUACUUUUUUACAGCAUCGGAAUUAACUGGUUUGGAGAAUUCCCGCCCGUCCAUUUCAGUCAGAAUCAAGGCUCCUCCAGGGAGUAUCUUCUUUAUUACGUAAGGACCCUUGUAAUUAGGGGCGAACUUGCCUCCGGGCUCUGGGAAGAUUGGCAGCGUCUUCCUCAAGACUAGCUCAUUUACCUCGAAGUGCUUGGGUCGCACCUUUUGAUUGAACGAUCGAGCUACCCUUUGUUGGUAACACUGACCAUGACAGAGGGCUUUCAGUCGUUUUUCGUCGAUCAUAUUUAGUUGCUCAAGCCUUUGUUGUGUCCAUUCUUCCUUGGACAAUCCUGCUUGGGAUAAAAUUCGCAAGGAAGGGAUUUCUACUUCUACAGGUAAAACCGCCUCCAUGCCGUAAACCAAGGAAAAAGGCGUUGCCCCAGUGGAAGUUCGAAUCGAAGUUCGAUACGCUGUUAGUGCGAAGGGUAGCCUCUCAUGCCAGUCGCGGUAGUUUUCAGCUGUCUUGGAUAGGAUUCUCUUGAUGUUCUUGUUGGCGGCUUCCACAGCUCCAUUCAUUUGUGGACGAUAAGGGGACGAGUUCAGAUGUUGGAUUUUGAACUCAGAAAACAAUUGAUCAAUCAACUUGUUGUUUAGGUUUGACCCAUUGUCAGUGACGAUAGCUUCUGGUACGCCAUAACGGGCGAUUAUGUCACGUCUGAUGAAUUUCAUAACGUUUCGUGCAGUUACGCUUGCAUAGGAUGCAGCCUCAAUCCAUUUUGAGAAAUAGUCGAUUGCGACCAAAAUGAACCGGUGCCCAUUUGAUGCCUUUGGAUUGAUUGGGCCAAUCACAUCAAUGCCCCACAUUGAAAAUGGCCACGGCUCAGAUAACUGAUGUAAUUUAGUUGGAGGGACAUUUAUCUUGUCCCCGUGGAUCUGACAACGAUGACAGUUUCGCACAUGGUGAGCACAAUCGCUCUCUAAGGGGAACCAGUAAUAACCCAAUCUCAUUAUUUUCUUGGCCAACAUAUGUCCAUUCAUGUGAGGACCACAUACUCCCCCAUGUAUUUCUUGCAUUAUUUGUGUGGCUUCGUUUGCAUCCACACACCUUAGCAGGACUGAGUUAUAUGAUCUUUUGUACAAAUUUUCACCGCUGACGAAGAACCUCGAAGCCAUUUUCAUAAGGUAUUUUCAAUCAGAGGGAGUGCUUUCUUUAGGGAAUUCCUGCUUUUGGAUGUAUUUCAUGAUGUCGUAAUACCAGGGUUUCCCAUCGGGUUCUUCAGUUAUAGUCAUGCAGUGGGCCUGUCUUGUCAAGACUUCAAUUUUCAAAGGCUCUACUUCUAACCCCUUCGCUACUUGUAACAUGGAUGAUAGUGUUGCUAGUGCAUCAACAAACUGGUUACGGAUUCUAGGUAGGUAUUCAAAUGAGAUGUCCUGGAAUUCUUCUACCAAUUCUUCCAAGUAGUCAUGAUAAGGCACUAGUUUGGCGUCUCUUGUCUCCCACUCGCCCACAGUCUGGAGGAUAAUUAAGGCGGAGUCACCGAACACUUUUAGGUUUGACACUUCCAUUCCAAUAGCCGCUUGUAGGCCGAGGAUGCAUGCUUCAUAUUCGGCUAUAUUGUUGGUGCAUGGAAACAUCAGUUUUGCAGCCACGGGAUAAUGUUGCCCAUUUGGGGAUAUCAAGACCGCCCCAGUGCCUGAACCUGACAAAUUUACAGCUCCAUCAAAAAACAUAGUCCACGUGUCCUCUUCUACUGCUGAGAUUCGGUCAUCUGGGGAAUGAUCAUCGCCUACUUCUUUAGGGCAAUCUGCUAACAUAUCAGCAAUCACUCGACCUUUAACUGAUUUUUGCGACAUCACCUGGAUGUCGAAUUCUGAGAUUAGGAUUUGCCAUUUGGCCAAUUUUCCCACCAAGGCCGGGCAACCAAGCAAAUACUUGAUUGGGUCACUCUCAGUUACAAGGAAUGUCUGGUAAUGCAAGGUGUACUGCCGGAGUCUGUGCAACACCCAUACCAAUGCAGCACAGGUCUUUUCUGAUUUGGAGUAGUUUUGUUCUGAUGUGGUGAAUUUUUUACUCAAAUAGUAAAUGGCUCGUUCCUUCCCAUCAUGGGGUCCUUUCUGUGCCAACAUUGCACCUAGGGAUUCACUGUUGAUGGUAAGGUAGAGGGUCAAAGGGUGUCCUGGAGUAGGGGGUACUAAAACCGAGGGUUUCAUCAGGUACCGCUUCAAAUUUUCAAAUGCCAGUCGGCAGUCAUCAUCCCAUUCGAUUUGUGCAUCUUUCUUGAGAAGUUUAAAGAAAGGUUUUGCAGUUUCAGAAAGCUAGGAAAUGAAUCGCGCAAUGUAAUUUAAUCUUCCCAGGAGGCUCCGGACUUCUUUCACAGUCGAGGGAGGAGGUAUCUCAAAUAUCGCUUUAGUUUUUGACGGGUCCACUUCUAUCCCUUUACAGCUCACAAUGAAUCCAAGUAAUUUGCCAGAGGUUGCCCCGAACACACAUUUUGCUGGGUUCAAGCGCAACUUGAACUGGCGAAGUCGAUCGAAUAAUUUUUCCAGGGUCUUCACAUGGUCUUCUCCAUGUCUGGUUUUGGCGAUCAUGUCAUCGACAUAUACUUCAAUUUCUUUAUGCAUCAUGUCAUGGAAAAGGGUGACCAUGGCACGUUGGUAAGUUGCUCCAGCGUUUUUCAGGCCAAAAGGCAUGACCUUAUAGUGAAAAGUCCCCCAUGGAGUAAUGAAUGCCGUCUUUUCCUUGUCUUCCUCCUUCAUUUUUAUUUGGUUGUAUCCUGAGAACCCAUCCAUGAAAGAGAAAAGUUUGAAUCCAGCAGUACUAUCCACAAGAACGUCUAUGUGAGGUAGUGGGAAAUCAUCCUUUGGGCUUGCUUUGUUCAAAUCGCGGUAGUCGACACAAAUCCGGAUUUGACCAUCUUUCUUCUUUACUGGUACAAUGUUUGCCACCCAACUAGGAUAUUGCGAGACUUCGAGGAAGCCUACUACCAGGAGCUUCAUUACUUCUUCUUCAAUCUUUUUUGACAAUUCAGGCUUAGCUCUUCUUAGCCGCUGCUUCUUAGGAGCCACAUUAGGGUUGGUUGGCAAGCCAUGCUCCACGAUCAUUGGAUCAAGGCCUGGCAUAUCGGCAUAAGACCAUACGAAUACAUCUUGAUAUCUCUUUAGGAGGGCAAUUAAGCUUGCAGCUUCUUCUUCAGGAAGGUUCGCGCCAAUCUUUAUCUCCCUUGGAUCUUCUGUGCUGCCUAAAUUGACAAUGAUGGUGUCUUCAGUAGUAGGGGGCCUUGCUUCUUCGUGGCGCUUCCAAUUCCAUUGAAUUUCGUCGGAAUCAUCAAAAUCAUCAUCUGAGUCAUCAGAAUUGCUAUCAUGGCUACUUACGGUGCUGGUUUGGACCGUUCCCAUACCCUCGCCUGCCGCUAUAUUAUUCCUGUGUCAUAGAGUAGAUAGGCUAAGGGAACAAAUAAGGUUAGUAGCAUGCAUGCUUCUUUCUUUUGAAAAUGUGAUAAAUUGCUUUUAAAGAUUAAAGACAAUUAAACAUGAGGAGACCCGGGCCUCAGAUUUCUUCUUUCAUUUGACGGCUGGCUAUCAUCAACGGCCGGUUUGGUGUGUCUCCUCAUGCCCUCAAAUGUUUUCAACUUUAAUUGACAUCGUAGUCCAAAUUUACCACUUGGUUGGCCCAAAGUGUCUAUGAUUGCCUCUCCUAUACGCGCCUCCUUAGCAUGCUCAGGGAACAUGGUACGGGUGCUAGGUACCACGAGGAGGUGAUCAUUGCCGAAACACAGCCAUGGAGAGCGGAACGUGAAUACCCCAGCAUCCAAAAGAUCUUGAACCUUGUCUCUCAGGAUGGUGCAGUCAUCUAGCGAGUGUCCUAAUUCCCCUGAAUGGUAAUCACAUUGCUUGGAUGGAUCAUAAUCAAGGAAGUACUUAGGGGUAGGAUGGUUCAAUUCUCUGCCGAUUAGCCCUUGCUCGAGGAGGAUGGGGAAAAUAAUGGACAUUGAUUUAGGAAGGGGCGAAUAUGGCCGAGUGCUUCUUGGGGAUAAGGGUAGCCGUGCCCCUCGCCAGGUCGUGUCAAUAGGGUCCUCUUCAUUUACCACCAGCUCCUCAUUGUGAUGAGAACGGAAUGCACGGGUAGCUUGAGCGAAGUUUUCUGUCAAAUGGUGUACAGUCUCACGUAAUUCUUCGACUUGAUGUCGAAGCUGGAUGAACGAGAAGUUAUCGCAUGUCUCUUCUAAUUGCUCUUCCUCAAUGGCGCCUAUGAAAAUGUCCCCGAACAUGGAGGUCACAUCGUCUGGCCUUUCUUUCUCAAGUGAGGGCCAAAUUGUGUCUUCCUGGAUUAUGGGCAAUUUCACGCUUUCGGGGUUGAACCAUUCUGGAGUAUCCACUUCCUCUUCCUCAUGCAUCAUCUUGGCUGGGCCCGGGAAAGUUUCCUCGAGACGGGGAUAUACAAGGCCGGUUUUUUUCUUUACUUUUCUAUCUGGGGAAUAUCCCAAACCGACAGUAUAGGGUCUUCUCCGAGCUUCAAUAGGCUGACGAAUGCCCUGGCCUCUCCUACCAAGCCCUUGUCCCGAAAGGAAACCGUGUCCUACCAUGAUUUUUCCUACCAUGAUUGCAGCACUUGAUAUCUCAGGGACGAGGGGCAAAGUCCCUCGAGUUUCGUGUAUAGUGGACACGAGCUCGAACGAUUGAUAGCUAGCUUCAUUCUUGUCACUAGGUUCAACAUAAGGAAUGGCCGUCUCGUGGUAGAUGCGGUGAUCUUCUUCUCCUCGGACCGUGAUAAGUUUUCCUCCAACCACGAACUUCACACUUUGGUGGAGGCUGGAAGGUACUGCUCCUGCGACGUGUAUCCAUGGGCGCCCUAAGAGGAAAUUGAAUGCAGUGGGGAUAUCCAUCACCUGGAACAAAAUUUUGAAUACGGUUGGGCCAAUUUGAAUAUCGAGCUCGAUCUCUCCUACUGUUUCCUUCUUUGUUCCAUCAAAUGCUCGAACAGAAGUCUUGGGUACCUGGAUCCAUGAUCUCUCUAUUUUAAGGCGACAGAGUGUCGCUAAUGGACAUAUGUUAAGAGCAGAUCCAUUGUCAAUCAACACUCGAGCGACGUGAGAUGCGUUGCACUUGACUGAUAUGUAAAGGCCCUUGGUGUGUCCUCUACCCUCCUCGGGAAUCUCUUCAUCAGAAAACGCCAUUUGAUCCUUUAGAAGGAUGGUACUGACAAAUUCCUCGAGUUUGUCAUGCUCAAUAGUUUCAGGGACAUGUACUUCACUUAAUACUUUCAUGAGAGAUUUUUGGUGCUUGACAGAUGUCUGGAGCAAUUCCAGUAGAGAGAUCUGUGCCGGUGAUUUUCGUAACUGUUCCACCACAUUAUAUUCGCUGGCCUUAACUACGGCCAAAAACUCCUUGGCUUCUUCGUCAGUGACGGGCUUAGCAGACUGAGUAUUUGCUUGAGCAUAGGUUCGCCCAGAUCUCGUGACCAAACCAACAUCAAGGUCAUAAGACCAUGGUACCGCAUUGUUGCAUUUGUAUUUGUAAGGUUGGGGAAUCUCAAUGACUAUAGCUGUUUCUGUUGUUGAUGCUUGAACAAUGGCUUCCUUCCUUUCAAAGACGCUCUCAGGUGAGGUUGAGUCAUUCUUCUCCUUUUUCGCAUUUAGCGCGGCAAAUUCUUCUUCCCAGUUGAUGAGGACUUGCGAUAUGGUAGAAACUAUGCUGGUGUGGCCGGCGUACACGAUUAUUCCGGCCUCUAUCAUUCUUAAUACCCUUUCCUCCAUUAUUGCAAAGGGUAGUAUUUCAUCAUCCGGAUAAUAUCCAGUUUCUACUAGCCCUCGAUAGACGUCAGCCAUAUGUGCAUUGACAUUUCUGAUCUGAUUGGUUUCGAAACUGAAUAUCAUGUUUACUUUGUCAGCAUGAUCAGGGAGCGGAUUGCUUUGGACAUUCGGCUUCGCGGUUUGGAAUGAGAAAGCCUUAGUAUCUAGCAGGUUCUGGAUUCGAUGUUUAAGGACGAAACACUCAUCAGGUGAAUGGCCUACUUCUCCCAUGUGAUAGUCACAUUUUUUGGACGGGUCAUAGCUGGAGAAGUUUUCAGCAUUGGGUCGUCUCGGCUCAGUUGAAAGGAGGCUCUUGUUUCGGAGGAUUGCCAAAACCUGGGAGGGAGAUCCAGGAAGCGGAGUGAAUUGUCUUCGGUUGUUGUAGCGCUGGGGUGGACGGCUAUUAGUCUGUUGCUGGCCUGUGUUUGUCUGAACAGUCGGGAGAUGACCGGUGUUUGCAGUGUACGUGGCAUUGACAUCAAUCAAGGAUUCUUUAUCUUUUUUCAUGUUGAGCCUUCUGCUGACAGGUGCAGGCUCAGUGAACCAGCCGUCCCUUAAACCCGUCUCAAUCUGCUCUCCCACUGGAAUGAGUUGAUUGAAUGAUUCAGCGAUUGUAGUCACCAUCCGAUUGCGGUAUUCAAAAGGGAGGGUUUUAAUGAACAUUUUUCUCAAUUCAAAGUCAGUUGGCUCAGGACUGAUCUGGGCGGCGAGAUUCCUCCACCUAAUAGCAUAUUCUUUGAAAGAUUCUUGCUUUUUCUUCUCCGUGCGAUCAAGAUCCUCACGAGAAGGGGUAAUGUCCAUUAUGAAUUUGUACUGCUUGAGGAAUGCUUCACUUGCUUCGCUCCAUGUCUCGAUGAGGUUUAUGUUCUUUUUUAUGUACCACCUCAGGGCGGGACCUAUCAGGCUUGACUGGAACAACUGGAUCAUUAAAGGUUCAUUAUUAACGUACUGGGUCAUUCGAACCAAGUACAUCUGCAAGUGAGCUCUUGGGCAGGUCGUGCCAUCGUACUUCUCGAACUCAGGCAUUUUGAAUUUUUCCGGCAUUUUGACCUUGGAGUAGAUGGAGAGGUCUGUUGGAGUAGGAUCUUGAAGGCCUUGCAAUUGCUUUAGCCUCUCUUCAAGCUUCUCAAGGCGUUUGUCAUGUUCAGUCUUAGACAAACUGUUGGGCUUUGCUUUCUCGACUAUGAUUUGGUGCAUAUCAUCUUCUAAUUCGGGCAUGUUAUCAUCAGUAUCUCUUCCUUGAUCACCUCGAGUAGACGAUUGCGGUAACAAUACUUCGAUUGAGGCAGGGGCGGGAGCUAAUUUGCCUUGGAUGGAAUCUAUUUGCUUUGAGAGUUGCUGAAGCACAUUGAAGACUUGCUUCAUUUCACUUUCCAUAAUCUCGACACGGCUUGGUACAUUUUCUUCGGCCAUUCUAUCUUUUGGCGAAUACGACUGUGAUUGUGAUUACCUGCAUAAAGAAAAUGGAGAGAAUGUAAGCCAGGAAACGUAUGGAACACUGGCCCAUGGCAAGGGUCACGUCAUUUUUAUUUAUUAACAGGAGAUUUAUACAAUGCCAAAAGGGCUUUUUACACAAGUCAAAACGACCCUAGAUAUUAACAUUAGGAAUAUUCACAUCAAAAGUCCCGCUGCCCAUUUUAUAUGCGAUGGGAAGCUCCAGUCUUGUGAAGCCGCUUGCUUCUUCGUACUAACUUCGAUACGUGUCUCUUGCUAGUCUCCAAGCUCUUUUCAAGAGAUUCGAUUCGCCCUUGCAGGGUAAGUUUAUCAACUACAUCAGGGAUUACUGGUUGCAGCUCCUUGGGAAUUAUAUGGUUGAGGAUGUAGAAUGUUGAUGCAUGAUGAACUUUUUCUUGUUCCUUUAACCUUCUGGGCACGACGAUCUUUUCAGUGUGGCAUCUACUCCAUGCGUUCUGAAUUAUGCAGAUCUCCUCCAAGUAGUUGUAGUUCGUACGGGUGAAAAAGAUUCGAAACAAUCCUGAUUUGAGCGGUGGCGGGACUUCUUGAAGGACCCUGUACUGACGAGCCACCCUAUAUGGAUAAUAUGAGGUAGCUCUGGAGAGGCCCAGCAACGGGAUGGGGUUGUAAUAAUCAAGCGCAAAGCGCGCCUCUCCUGCAAUGAACCAUUUAGCUCGCCAUAGGAAUGUCUCAGGGACCGGGUUUUUUAGCAAGUUAAUCCACCGAGAAUAUUCUUCAUUGGGAGAAUAUUUUUCCAAGAUUUGAAACUUUUGCAAUGGGUGUUUAAACUCGUUGAUUUCAAAUAUUUGCAUGAGGUGCCCAAAUCUUUUGAUAUGGGAAAAGAACCACAUUUGUAAAAUUUCUGGAGCGGCCCUCAUGAUUUUCUCUUUUUGGUCCUUGAAAUGAUUAAGGGAUAAAAACGUUUCGGCUAAAACCAUAUUCACAUAUCCUGCUCCAAAAAUGACUUGAUUUACCACCCAUGUGAUUGAAGGAUCUAUAGCAUUCUUUCGAUGGGGAAAGAUAAUAAAACCAAAGAAUGCUAAGAGGAAGAUCUUGGCUUUUUGGGUCAUUGAUUGUUUUUCAAAGCAUUCAGUUAAAGAUGAUAGUGGAAAAGCAUUAUUGUUGGCUUGAACAAUUUCUCUUACCGAAUGAUUUUUUAGAAACCGUGAUAGACUAACCACAGGGUCAAUGCCGAUUGGCUUGACAAGCUCGCUUCCCAGGGGCAUUCCUAUGGCGAGACCGUACUCUUCUAAAGUCGGAGUCAGUUCAAAUUUGCCGAAUAUGAAGGUGGAUGUUUCAGGGCACCAGAAAUGUGGUAGUGCUUGCAUGACCCCAAAGUGGAUAUUGAUUUGGAGCAAUGGGAGGAGAUGACCGAUUCUUGAUUUGACGUACUCUUGGCCGAGUUGAUCUAACUGCUUCCACCAUCUGAGAAGCUCUCCCUUUGGGGUGGGAAUGAACUGGAUAUCAAAUCUUCCCAUCGCAUAUAAGGAAGGGAAAUACACAACCUGACCCUAUUUCGCCAUGAGCCAGAAAAGACUAAGUAAAAAUAAAGAAAUUACUUGGCAAGCACAAAGACAUGCAGAUGGGAUGUGCGGCUCGAUUUCUAACUCAGAAGGAUUGGUGAGAUUAAAAGGAUAUCCGCCCGUCGCAGUCUCGCGUUAGCAGCAUACCCUCUUAACCUCGGCUAAGAAAUUCGGGGAAAAGAAAGGCGACCUCUACAUCGCAGUCUCGCGUUCGAGGUCGUAUCUUUCUUAACACCAUCCUAGAAAUCCUAUGGCGGCCAAGGUCCGGCGGCCGGGUUGUGUGUGCCAUGUGUAGUGUUUAAAACAGUAAAGCAUGCAUAACAAUUUAUAAUCACAAGAUAAUCUAUUAAAAUAAAUUUCUAAGCUUUUGACCUGCAUAAAAAAAACCUAAGUCAGUAAAGAUAUUAAACAAGACAUAAAGGCCUAAGUCCUCAAAGUCCCCAGCGGAGUCGCCAAGCUGUCGCGACCUCUUUUUUCUCGGCGCCCGCAAUCGGGUACGAGCGCCUAAGGAGGCUAAUGGCUCGGCUGAAUUUAUUAAGCCCGGACUCUCCCAAGUCCGCCAAUUCACGACUUUAAUAGUUUGAGUUUUUAACCUAUAAAUCAAUUUUUAAAAUGGAGUCGCCACUAAUCGAUUUGGAGUGGGUUGAUUAGAAACCCAAGCGAAAUAUCGGGAGAAAUACUCGCUCCUGCGCAACCAGAGAAAUUAGGAUCGGGGACUUGAUUACACUAGUUAAUCACUAAUGCCCUUUCGGUACCUAAUCUUGUUUAAACCCUAAGGCUUUUUGGAUUUUUGAGGGAUUUUUCCAUACAUUUUUUGGAGGAAAAACAUUUUUUGAGUCUUUUUCUCAUUUUUGGACAUAAAAGGGAUUUUUUGGAUUUUUUUUUGGAAAAAUACAAGUCUUUUUGGCUUUUUCUGAAUUUUUUGGCUUUUUCAUGAAAUUUUGGAUUUUUUUGGAUUUUUGGCAUUUUUUGGAAAAUAUGGAAUAUUUUUGAUUUUUUUAUUUUUCGGAAAAUAAAAUAUUUUUUAAUAUUUUUUUAAUAUUUUUGGAAAAUAAAUUAUUUUUUUGAUUUUUCUCGAUUUUUUAGAAAAUAAAACAUUUUUCGACAUUUUUUAAUAUUUUUUCGAUUUUUUGGAAAUUAAAACAUUUUUUAAUAUUUUUUUGACAAUAAAACACUUUUUGAUUUUUUUUUUUGAAAAUAAAAUAUUUAUCAUUUUAUAUUAAAAUAAUAAAAUAAAGCCGACCCGGGUCGGAUCCGCGGGUUGGGUCCGACCCGGGCCAGCGACCCAAACGCGGGCCCGACUCGGAUUUUUCAUCUCCUUUUUUAUUUUUUUAUUUUUUACUUACUAAAACGACGCCGUGGCCGGGCGUUUGGGGACGCCCGGCCCGGCCCGACGACCCGGGUCCACGACCCGUUCCGCGACCCGGCUCGCUGCGAACCCUACCCGACCCGGAUCCGAAUCGCAACCCGGUCUUCCGCCGCGCCCGCAAUUCGUGGAAUCCCUACCCGGUUCCCGAUCCGGGUCCGACCCGACAACCCGGGGUCGUGACCUGGAAAAUCAGGAACCCUAGGGUUCCCGAAUCGCGGCGCCGAGGCACGACAGCGGGGACGACGGCGACGGCGACGGCGGCGGCAACGGCGACGAUGGCGACAGCGACGGUAGCAACGAGGGUUGGACUUCGGAGGGGGGAAACUAUGGCGACGACAACGGCGGCGGUGGCGGUAACACUACCUGUUCGUGGCGAUGGCGUCUGGAUAGUGGUGGCUGGGCAACUCGGUUUCCCGAUCUGGCGCGGCGUCGCCGGAUCGAUCACGGCAACGGCUUCGCAGGUGGGGCACGGCAACAAGCCGUCAAAGCAACGGCGUCGGGACUGAGGCGAACGGCUGCAGCACGGCGUCCGGCGGCAACAACAGCAGCAAAAAAAAAGAUCUACCCAGCCGGACCCUCCUCGGCCUUGAUUUCUCCUCACUCAGGCCAGAUCCGAGCCUCCACCGGCCGAAUCUGACCUUCUCGAAGUCACUCGCUGCCGGCCUUCCCCGAAGUCUCUCGGUGGAAGGCGGGCUGAGCUUGCAACUCGAGCUCUCUCUUGCGCUCGCCCUUCAACCCUUCCCGAUGUCUCUCAGUGAAGGAUCUCCGAGCUCGCCACGCCCUCCGACGAUGCUUGCGGCCACCUAUUUAUAGGCGAAGGAACUCCGGUCGACGGAGGGGCUCGGUCGCCGGCCUCCGGCUUGCCCACCGGUUCCGCUCGGCUGAACCGGUGUCCCAUCGAGCUUUCCAGCGAAGCUCGCUCAGCAUUAAAGGCGCCUGCGAUCUUAUCCCCUCCGGCCGACGUCGCCCUACACUCCUCGGCCGUAGGCCGUCCUUCGCGCGCGUCGCCGGCCACCGCGCGUGAGAUGCAAGCGACUGAGGAAGAAGAAGACAGGAGGAAGAAGAAGAGAGAAAAGGGGCCGGGCCAAGGGUGAAGGAAAAUGGGCCACACGGAGGGGGAAGAGAAAGGGAAAGAAAAAAGGGCUGGGCUUUUGUUUUUGUUUUUUUUUUGGUGUGUUUAUUAAUUAUCUUAUUUAUCCGAAAUAAAAUAAAAACUUAACAAAAUAAAAUUAACCUAAUUAAAAAUGAGGUGUCAACAUGGGUUGAUUCAAACUUCACUAGCACCGACAGUUUGACUCGGUCAAAAUUGGGUCCGCAAUCGGGGUGUCCCAAGAUCAGCUCGUCCUCUAAGUUUUGGGGGAGGUGGAGGUUCCUGCUUUUCCGUUAUAUUUUGCUUCUCGUUUUAUUUUUUAUCAUUAUCAGUGUUGAAGCAUUUGAUCUCUAAUCCAAUGUCCUCGUCAAAGAUGUCCCCAUCAAAGAGAUAAGAUAGGAUUAGCUUAUUCAAAUAGCCCAAGCUUUACAAUAAGAUAAGUCCAAAACCUAAACACAUUAACUUUAUUUUUCGAUAGCUUUCUUGACAUAUAAUGAGAAUGUACUUUUCAUCAAUGAUCAUACGCGUAACAAUUUGUGAAAGAUUCUAUCACAUCGAUAGUUUUAAAUGUUAAUCCAAAUUCGAAAUAUAAGUUCGGAUCUAUUCAUUUGUUACUCAUGAAUUCUAUUCUUUUAUGGAAUUUAUUGAAAAUUAGAGAAUCUCGUGAUACCAACAAAAUAUCAAGCUUAUUCAACUUUUAUUCCCUUGAUACGCUAUUUAUGUAGCACAAUUUACAAAAUUCCACAAAAACCACUUCACCAGAUUCCUGCCACACCUUUCAUUCUCUUAUUCUCAGCAAAUACAAGAACAGCUACGCUCACCAGCCCCACAAACUUUACUCCAAACACAGAGUGACCCAAAAAAAAAAAAAAAACCACCGAUGACGUGCUAAUUCGAUGUUGUUGAUUUUGUGCGUACAAAGUCCAAAUCAACAUUAAUGACGUCAUAUAUGGCGUGCUAAAAGUUGUUCAUGAGUUGAAUUUUUGCAAUUACGUGCCCAAUGAAUUUUGACGCUCUUGAGUGGGAAAUCACUAAAUUGUUAACUUUUUUCCAAAUGCCUGACGGGUUUCAUAGGAUUGGUUUGGCGAGUAGAGAUAAAAAGUUAGCACGCAAGUAAUUUAAAAGCACGGUGUAAAUUUGAUUCUCCCAAUCAAUGAGCGUAAACGAAACAUGGGGGCGAAAAAGGUUGUUACCAGCAUUGAAAAAGUGGACUUUUGAGAAGCUCCAAUCACUGAAAUGUUGCGUAUUCGGCAAAAUGCAAGUAAGUCUAGUCAUCGAGAGUUAGUAUUUAGAGAAAUGCAUAAACAGAUAUUUAAUCAAUAGAUACGUUUAGAAAAAUGUCAUACAUAGCUUUUUUAGCUCAGUUAUAUAGAGCUUACUUUAGUAAGCAAGAGGUCUUGACUUUGAUUCUCAACGAGAUCCUUUGUCUUUUGACUUGUAAUAUUUCCUUUUUUCACAUUCAAUCUUCUUCCUAACAAUUUUUUUGAAAAAUUCAAUCGAGCCAAAAAAUGAAUUGCUUAAUAAAUGAUAGAGCCAACAUAUAUACAUACUAUAUAUGUGUUUUUUCUCAGUACAAAUGGUUAUACGAGGACCCAAUUAGUAAGAGGGAGGUCUUGAAUUUGACUCUCAACAAGAGCAUUUGUCAUUCAAACUUUUUCAUAACAAUUUUUUUACUAAAGAAAAAAAUCGAUUGAGCCAAAGAAAUUGUCACUUAAUACAUCAUAAAGCCAGCAUACACAUAUAAUUCAUUUUUCUCAGUACAAAUGGGUAUACAAGCACCCAUUUAGUAAGUGGGAGGUUUUAAGUUCGACUUUCAAUGAGAGCAUUUAUCUUCUUACUUAUAAUUUUUCCUUUUUGUAAAUUCAAACUUCUUCAUAAUAAUUUUUUUAAGAUAAAAAACCACCAAAAACCUCAAACUUUGCCCAAAGUGACAAAUUUACCCCAAUCUUUGUAUUAUGAUAUGAAAAAUCCCAAAUUUUGCCAACUGUGACAUAUUUACCCCAAACUUUUUUUCAUGACACAAAAAAUUCUGAACUUGUAUUCAUGUGACACAUUUACCCUAAACUAUAAGGCAUUUUGUCUUUUACUUUUUAAAAUCUUUUCUUUUUCUUUUUUUCUUCUUCUUCUCUCUUCCCUCCGCCAGCCAUGGCAGAGCCGGUGGAGGAAGCCAUAGUUAGGCGAGGGCUACCUUCACCGCCGUUAGGCGAGGGUUGCCCUCGGUUAGGCUAGCUAGGGCUGCCCGACGCCAACGAGGGAGGUCCUCGCCCGACCCAACCGAGGGCAGCCCUCGCUUGAUGCCACCGAGUGCAACCCUCACCUAACUCCAACUUCCCUCCGCCAUGGCUGGCGAAGGGAAGAGAGAAGAAGAAAAAAAAAAAGAAAAAAAAAAAGAAUAAGACGAAAAUGCUAUUGGUGGGGUAAAUGUGUUACGGUUUUCAAAAUUUAUGGUUUUUUAUGUCACAAAAGAAUGUGUAGGAUAAAUUUGUCACUUUAGGCAAAGUUAGGGUUUUUGGUGGUCUUUUUCCUUUCGAUCGAGACAUAAAAAAAGUCACUUAAUACAACAUAGAGCCAACAUAUAUAAUAUAUUUUGUUCCUUUUUCUUGGUAUAAAUGAGAUACCAGCACUCGUUUAGCAAAGCCAAAGUCUUGAUUCCGACUCUCGAUGAGAGCACUUGUCUCGUGACUUAUAAUCUUUCUUUCUUCUACAUUCGAACUUUUCCGUAACAAAUUUCUUGACAAACAUUCAAAUUUAUGUCUUCUUGAUGCCGUUAUAAUAAGGGAUACGGAACUCUAGUGUGAAUGGAACUCAUUGCUGUGAUGCUAAAGGGAAGGCGAUGCUGACGAAUCCUACAGGAAUAUGCGGGGGACGGAAAAUCUUAGAGCUGGCGGUUAGAUCUGGCUGAGGUUACCAAGGGUUGAUUCUUGCUUAUCGCCCCGGAACUGACUUACCCAGGUCAUGCUCAGCCCUCACCCUUAGAAAAAGGAACUCAAGAAAAAAAAUUCAGUCACUGCUCCAUAAUGAUUAAUGUCCAUCAUAGUUCAAGUAAGGAGAUAUAAGCAAACGUUCAAACAAUAAAAUAAAUAGAUCGACAAAAUAAAUUGGAUACCAGACUUAUAUAAUUCAAUCGCAGUGACCUACCUCUAUAAGAAAAGUAAUAACGAAUUUUAUUGUAGAUCAAACAAUAUAACGGAAAUUAUAACCACAGUCGAGUUACUUUAAUACUUUUAGUGUUUUCUAAUUCCUAAUUACAUUCAAUAACUCAAGUAAUAUAUAACCUCACAAUUUCUGACUAAAUAAUCCUUUAAUCUCAAGAAGAAAUUAACAAAUCACGAAUUAAACCCUAAUUUCGCUAUAUGUAAUUCACGGAGAAUAUCCAAUGUCAAGCACGCCAACGGCACUACUUGCGGCUGAAAAACCCGUGAUAAAGUCACCUCUCCGCACUAACAAGAGAGAGAGAGAGAGAGAGAGAAUGUGUGCAUCUGUCUUUUUCCUUCGGCAUUUUUGGCGGCUUCUUGCGUGGCAGUCAUCUAAGUGACCGGUGAGAAGUUUCUGAAAGACCGAUAAAAAAAAGGGAGAAGAAGAAGAAUAAUACUUUCUAAAAGAGAGAGAACAAUCAAUAUUGACAGUGCGCUGUUCGGGGUACAAAGCAAUGAUUUCAUCAUUCUUGAUUAGGGUUUUGAAAAUAUGGCUUUUCAAUCCGUUUCAUAUAUUCUCCCGUUCCCUUUUGGGAGUAGUCGUGCACUACUCCCCGCUCCCUUCUCUCUCUCAACUGUCGUCUAGUUGAACAAUUUUGAAAAGUCCCGACGCGUGCUUUUGCUGUCUGUCCCUCCUUCCUGCCUCAGAAUCUUGAAACGGUGCCGAUGCGGACCUCUUCCUCCUGCCUCAGUUUCUUUGAAUAUAAUUAGCCCGUUUCACUGUGUUUGCAAGUGGGGAUUGGAGUGCGUUCCCCUUGUAUAUGCGCGCGCCCAUCAACCAACCCCCCCUCCAACCAAUCCAAUCAAAUCUCACUCCAAUCCACUAUUGUCCUUUGGAUUAAUCACCACGGAAAGCGCCGAUUUCACAAGACCGUCGCACCGAAUUCCCGCCCUACCCUUCGGCACCUUCUCAGUAAAAAGACGAGGAGAAAAGCUCACCAUCGGACUUUAUUUGAGCCCGUAUACAGGGCCCGACUUAAUUUGAGGACGUGCAUCAGUUUGUUGAACCCGAUCUAUUAGGGAAAAAAAAAAUACCAAUAUCACACUUUCAUAUUUAAAUUAGAAUUUAUCUUGAACAGAAUAUUUACAUGAGGAGUUUUGUAAGCAUAGCAGUUUUUAAGUUAUUAUGAAAAUAAUAUCAACUGCAAAUUCUUGAAAAAGUGGGUUUCAUAACAAUAUAUAAUUAUUUAUUUUUAUGUAUCAUAGUAUACUGUUAUUCUCAUAUUAAAUUAAAAACGGUCGUUCAAUUAUUUAUCUUCACAUGAGGCGAGUAUUUGGUCUUUGGAGAAAUCUCUGGUGGUCAUGAAAAGUGCGAAUCCAUUAUACUCAGAUUCUUUUUCUUCUCUCUUUUUUAUCUGGCCAAUUGAAAAGUUGGACAAAGCCGCGUCUCAGUGGGUUCUGUUUGUUACUCCAGCCGCGCACAGCCAAGGGAUUUCACGUGCCGCACAGUAGGUUUCGUUUCGUGGGAGCAACACCGUGUGAUUUUCACGCGCCGCUCAGUGUUUACGCUGUAGGAAUCUGGGUCGAACGAAUUAUACUGAAGUGAUUUGAAAAAAUUAAGAUGCCGCGAUUUUUAUAAGAUGUUUCACAAGCAUCUUUAAUUACAGCAUUCAGAAUUUCUACCACCUCGACAGUUGUCUCACCCACUUCGAAGGCGUCGCAUCUAUUACUGCAGACGAAAAUUAUAACACUUUACCUCAAAACGGAUUCAUAGUUCAUUCACGAUUAUUAUUCAUCUUCAAGAGACGUGAGAAUGUAGACAUAAACAUGGUGGGAGACAGAAAGAUUGAGCCGACACGCAACAUCAACAACUCAAUUGUGAGCAUCGGGGUUUCGCAAGAGAUGGGCGUCGAUGGCCUUGAACAUUUCCAUGGCCCUUCUGUCUUUGCCGGCCGUGAUCUGCUCCUCCGUGAUCUCGGCCCCGUCCUUGGCAUAGUACUUGCUCGAGCUCUUGCACACGCGCCCUCCUUCUGGACCUCACCUCGAACUUGAUCUCGUACGAGAUCUUCUCGAGCCCAUCGCCCUCAACAGUGGUGCACACGAACGUGAGCGAGCUUCCCCUUGUUCAGUUCGUCGACCCGGUGCUUCGCCGAGUUGAGCUGGCUAGCUGCAAGACACAGAAAACCACAAUCAACUCCUAAACUUCGGUGAAUGUCUUGAGACCCAUGUUAAUGCGGUGCGAUAAAAAUGUGCAAAGUGGGUGAAGUUAAAAGAUGCACGAGGACUCGCCUUCCCCGAAAGCAACUUGCUUGAUGAUUGAAAUGCCCUCUAAAUGAUUCUCAGUCGCCUGUUUAGUAAUCUAAAUCGCCAUCACAAUAGUCUAAAUCGUAUAAUAGAGAAAGAGUACUAAAGACAUGGAUCUCAAGCCCAAAUGAUACUUAUUAGCAUGCGAGUGAUCAUCUGAAUUUCGAUGCUCUUGAGGGUGGGAAGUCACUAAAUUAUUAACUUUUUUCCAACACCAGUCGAGUUCCAUGGGAUUGUUUCCGCUAUUAGAGAUAAAAAGUUAGCAUGCAAGUAAUUUAAAAGCACAGUAUAAAUUCGGUUCUCCCAAUCAACGAGUAUAAACGAGAAUAUGGGGGCGAAAAAAUUGUUGCAAGAACUAAAACGUGGACUUUUCGAGAAGCUCCAAUAACAGAAAUGUCGCAUAUUCGGCAAGAUGCAAGUACGUCCAUCCAUCGAGACUUAGUUUUUGGAGAAAUGCACAAACAUAUAUUGAAUGAAUAAAAACGUUUAGAAAAAUGUCAUAAAAACGUAAGCGAGAGGUCUUGACUUUGAAUCUCAACGAGAUCCUUUGUAUUAUGACUCGUAAUAUUUAUUUAUUUUUUACACCCAAUCUACUUCGUAACAAUUUUUUUGAUAAACAAAACUUCAACCGAGCCAAAAAAAUUAGUCACUUCAUAUAUAUGUGCACCCGUGUGUAUGUGUUCUUUUGUUGGUACAAAUGGUUAUGCAGGCACUCAAUUAGUAAGCGGGAGGUCUUGAGUUUGACGCUCAACGAGAGCAUUUGUCUUAUGACAUUCAAACUUUUUCAUAACAAUUUUUUUCAUAAACAAAAAAUUCAAUUGAACCAAAAAGUUUGUCACUUAAUACAUCAUAAAACCAACAUAAACAUAUAAUUCACUUUUCUAAGUACAAAUGGGUAUACGAGCACCUGUUUAGUAAGAGGGAGGUUUUGAACUCGACUCUCAACGAGAGUAUUUGUCUCCUAACUUAUAAUCUUUCUUUUCUUUCUUUUCUUUUUUUCUACAUUCAAAUUUCUUCAUAACAAAUUCUUUUAUGAAAAAAAAAAUCGAUCAAGCCAAAAAAUUUGUCACUUGAAACGUCAUAGAGACAACAUAUACAUAUAAUAUAUUACGUUCCUUUUUCUCGAUACAAAUGGGAUAGGAGCACCUGUUUAGCAAUCCGGAGUCUUAAGUCCAACUCUCAACGACAACAUUUGUCUCGUGACUUAUAAUUUUUCUUCUUUCUACAUUCAAACUCUUUCGUAACUAAUUUUUUGAUAAGAAUUCAAACUUCUGUCUUCUUGCUGCUGUUAUAAUCAGGGAUAAGGAACUCUAGUGUGAAUGGAACUCAUUGCGGUGAUGCUAAAGGGAAGUUGAUGUGACGAAUCUUACUGGAAUGUGCGGAGGAAGGAAAAUCUUAAAGCUGGUGGUUAGAUCUGGCUGAGUUACCAAGGGUUGAUUCUUGGUUAUUGCUCCGGAACUGACUAACCCGGGCCAUACUCAGUCCUCACCCUUAGAAAAGGGAACUCUAGAAAAAAAUUUAGUCAAUGCUCCAUAAUAACUAAUGUUCUUCAUUGUUCAAGCAAAGAUACAUUUUUAUGCUUCUCACGUUCUAUAAUUUUAAGGAAGGGCCAAGGUGGAAAUCUUAUUUUGUAAUUAACAGUCUGCUAUCGAGUUCUUUUAAUUCUGUACUGUUCUUCUUUUAGCAUCAAGGUACCUGGAGAUAUUAACUUGCCUGAUUUCCUCCCUUGUUUCAUUCCAUUGUCAGUGUUUUUUAUGAUUUCGAUUGGCUUUUUUAAGCUUUACAAGUAGAUAAGGGAGUUAAUUAUUUGUCUAGGGCCUACUUAAACAGGCUUACCACGUAAGAAGCAAUAUCCCUCGUUUUGUUUUUGCUCUAAAAGGUUCCGAUGAGGAGCAUUCGGUUGUCGUUAGGGUUCGGCUUGGAAGUCCCUUGAGAAAGCAAUGGGGAGUUUUCGCAAAGACCAGUCAAUCGAGGAUGUAUAGCUCUAUGAUGAUGAAGGCCCCGGCAAAGGACCACCAGGGGGUGCUGGAGGUAGUGGUGGCAGCGGUGGUGGUCCUGGUGGAACUGUCGAUGAAGGUUUUGCCUGGAUCAUGGAUGAAACGCCGCAAGAAGUUUUGGCAACACUUGGCUUUAUAGUUCUGGCAUAGUAUCUCCUUGGAUAUCGUUAAAUUUUAGCUGUCAAAGUACGAAAUUUAUGCUCCUUUUCUUCUUCUUUUUUUUCGGUAAUGAAUUACUGGGACAUUCUAUAAGAAGUGUUAGUAUAUAUCGCGCUUAAUGACAUCCUGCAAGAAGCAACUCAGUUAAUUAAACUAAGCUUAAGAUAAUCCAAUCCUGUAAGCGUAAGCCUGCUUGAUGUACUCAAACAAACAUCUUACGUAACAAAUAAUGAGGGGGUAGUUAAGGGGGACAAAUGUUGGUACAUCUACGGAUUGGCAGCUGCAGCAAUAGUUGGGGUAUAUGAGGGGUACUCAUGGUAAUGCUGCUAGCAGGUGAUGUAAUGGUAACGGCGGUCAUGAAGAAAUUGUGCCAGAGGAGGAUGUUAUCUACUUGGAAUUUCAGUCUUGCUUAAGUACUAAGGUGGUGGUCGCAGCGGGGUAGGAGUCAAAGGAAAUGCUAGCGAGUACCGAUGAAGUAGGUAGAAUCGGUCGUUAGUGGUUUGUUUAGUAGAGUGAGAGUGCAUGUGGCCCUGUCGGAUCUGGUGGUUGUAGUGUCAAUUUAGAGGUGGUGCGGGUAAUGAUGGUAGACAGAGGGAAUCGUGUCUACACAAAAAUGUGUGCUUUGACAUGUUGAUAUUGAUAAAUCUCAUUUUUUCGAAGGUCUCUAUUCACCAUCUCAUUAAUGCUUUAGCGACAGUCCAAAUUUACUUUUCAAAUAAUAUCAGAUAUAUUGAGAUUCGUUUCUUCAGUGGAAGAAAAAGAAACCCCUCAAUUACAUUGACCCUUGAUUAAAUUGAUAUAAGUGAAGUUGUAGAUUGUAAUUGGAUCUUGAAUAUGGACCACCUGUUGGAAAGGUCUAUUUGCAGUCGACUAUGUCAGUUAUUAUACCAAAUUUAAUAGAUCGUUUUAGUGUAGCAUUACUAUUUACAUUUCAGAUGAUAAACCACAAAUCCUCUAACGGGUGUCUAUAGUCUGUACACUACGUUUUUCUAAUGCUGCAUCAUGGUGCCUGCAUAAGUUCAUGUGAUAUCAUUACUGUCGUACACAUAAUGGUUGGUUUAUAUUUCUAUGCUUUUGUUCUAUCCGAUGUCAUUUCUUAUCACACAAUUGUCAACAACCUGAUUUGACCAUUCAAUGCAGUAUAUCUAUAUAAUAUCUGGAGAGGAGCUAUUUCGGCUUGCUAAGGAUUACAGCACGUAUCUUCUCGAAGGAAGUCAGAGCGUUAGGUUAACACGUCUGAUGCAUCAGGAGGGAGGAUUUUAUAAGAAGCUAACAGAGAAGAAAGAGAUUGAUCAGUGUUGGUUAGAGAAGGCGAUAAUUAAUACCCCGACCUGGUGGGACAGUCCUGAGAAGUAGAGGCGCAUCGUGAGACCAUCUGAAGAAGUUUCUUACCCUUCUUCCAGCUAUGACGAUGAACUCUGAACAAUUUAUCUCCGUCUUGCCAAGUCACUUUAGAUGGAAAGGUGAUAUCAUUCCAUGCUUCUAGAUUUGCAGUGAUCCGAAGCUCGAUCUUGGUAGAUGAUGAGAAAGCCAUCUUCUGUAGUUGCUACACCACCUGCCAUGGAGAUUUUUGUGCAAAAUUUCACAAGAACAAGGUCAGAUGCAUGAAGGAUUGAAGUCUAUGUCAUUCUGUUUUGUUGCAAUAUAAAUGACAUGAGUUCAAGUUGAUUCAAAGCGUUAAGAGCAAUUGGGACUUGAUAGGCUGCUUCAUGAGGACUUCUUCAUUCCAACUUUUUCUCCCCCUUUUGAUUCGUUUUCAUUUCUGCUAUUGAUUUUGUCAUUAUCAGCUUGGGUUGCUACCUAAUAGGCUGAAGUUUUGUAACAUUUGAUAUGAUAUGCAGAUACACAUUGCUUGUGUAUAUCUCGAAAAUUCCUACCCUCGGACACUGCUUUGGCUAGCUUCUAAAAAAUGCCGUUCUGUUUGCCCUUCUCUGUCCCUUCUUUUGCCCAGAUGAACAACAACCCUCAGGCCGCCACAUGACCAGCAUAUACGCUAGUGAAAUGCACAAUUUUUUUUAUUUUCUAAUUUGUGGGAAGAAGACCCUUUCUUGUGACAAAAGCCCGGUGGAUGAUGAGAAAGUCAUUUUAUUUUUAUUUUUCCUCUUCUCGAUCGCCCGAAGCAUGAGAAAAGAUACAAGGAGAGAGCACAUGAAAUGAUAACACCAUGCAUAGAAAAAAAAAAAUAGGAAUAAGAAGUAGGGGCCAAAUCAUUGCAGGUCACGAAUCGGGGUACCUAAGUAGGGAGAGGGCAGUUGUGGCAGGCUCUCUCAGAUGGUUUCAGAGGUGACUUUCUUUUGGGGUUUUUGGAUCUUGGUUUUUGGUGGGGGCACUCUUUCAUGUGCUCUCUAUCUAUCUCCCCCAAACUCCCCAAACCCCCCCUAGAAAAAAAAAAAUUACCAAUUAUUGACACCUAAAUUUUGGCAACUUAUUUAGAUAUUUAUCGUAUUAAAAAAUUAAAAAUUAAUUUUAUCCCUGAAAAAAUAAAAUCACAUGGCAUAUAGUUUAGGAACAUUUUUGUUUAUUUUAUUGGACUGACGGUGAGUACAAAAUUUUUCACAUAUUCCGUUGAGAUUUUCAUAUAUUUAGACAAUAUACAGUAAGUGAUGUAUUUUUUAUGAAAAUGAAAUUUUCGAAUGAAAUAUUGAAAAAAAAAUACAAAAAAUAUUGUGCCUGGUGGGAUGAUAAGCAAAGUUGACAAUAAAAUAUAUCACGGAGAUAUAAUUUUUCGGUGUAUAAAAGGAGUCGGGUACGGUGGGGAGCAAAGGAGGCCACACAAUUGACUACACGGCCGCAUAGAGACUUCUCCUAGGGUUUCAAGAGGAGAGAGAAAAAAAAAGAGAAAAAGCUUCGGGGUUUCUCCAUUCGUUCCGUAAAAAAAUGGAGGAGGAGAAAAGCUUAUUGGGAAAGGGGAAAAGUCAACAGAAGCUUUUUGCUUCUGCAGAUACAGAGAACAGAACAACACAGCAGGGAGAUUGAGAUUGACGUGAGGGACGUCGAUCAACAGGAAAAAAUAAGAAGAAAAAAGGGUGCUCCUGUUCCUGUUCAUCUUCCCCACCACGCUUUCCCUGAUUCUCGCCGGCGCAGCAGCAGCCGGGUCAACGCUUCCGCCGGCUUUUCUCCCGCUCGCGCCACCGUCGUGGCGCCUCAGCCGAUCUCCCUCGCUGCACGAAGCCCGCCGUCGUUAUCGUCACUCCGAGCAUCCCUCCGCGACGCCCGAGCCGCUCCGCCGCUUCCUCAUCAGCUCUGUACUCAAUCGCUCCACCCACGACGCUCCUGCUCCGACGCCCAGCGAAUCUGCCCCGGACCCACGAAGCUGUCGCUGUCCCAUCUCGCCGGGAUUCCCGCCUGCGAGCCCGCAUCCCUGCACCGCGCCGCACCACCACCCGCGCCUUGCUCCGCUUCUGCAGUAGAUCCCGCAUCCUGCAGCAAAGUCCGAGUCGCCCUGCUACACCUUCAACCCGCCGGUCCGCGACUCCCCUGUUGUCGAGCUUUCCUUCACCAGCCCUCCGAGUGACGCUCGUAGCAACCCGACGUCGCAGCUCCUGCUCCGCCCUCUUCCCGAGCCCGAGCAAAGACGCCUCUGCUCCGACGCCGCAAACACCUGACGUCGUCGCUGCUCCUGUUCGCCUCAGUAGCACUGCUCAACGAUCAGAGUAGACCACCGCCACCAGCGACGACGGCUGCUUCGAACCGCUGCUUCGCCGGCCACGAGCACCGCCACUUGACUCCUCGUGACAACCCGACGCCCGCGCCUUCCCCACCGUGCUGCUCUGCUGUAUCCGACCCGAUGCACGCCCGAGCGACGAACCAGCUGCGGCUUGCUCCCAAACGCCGAACAGCAGCCCCCCUGCCCGCUGGUUAAUGUUGCUGCCGCCGGUCCGCCCGUCGCCCUCGCCGGAGCUCCGAACGGCAACCCAUCUAGCCGCUGGCUGACUUUAGUUUAGGAGGCAAUUAAGGUAGAUUUCUUAUUUUAUUUGAUUUUUAUUCAUUUAUUUAUUUAGUUUUUAUUGUUCAUUUUUUUUCUUUAUUUGAUGAUGAGAUGUUUGAUAUAAAACAGCCUGUGAAAGAUAGUCCGAUUUUCGCGUCCGAAAUCCGACUCGCAAUCACAAUCGCUUGAAAAAUCGUCAAUCCGAUCUCCCGCCCAAGAUUUGAUUCGUGAUUUAUUUAAAAAUUGGCCAACCCGAUCUCAUACGCGAGAUAUGGUUCGCCGGUUUGUAGAUAUCGAUCAUAUCUUAUCUCAUUUGUCGUCAUGUUAAUUGAAUCAAUUUUAUUUUGUUAAAUAAAAAAAUCAAAAAAAGAAAUAUCUGAGUUAGGAUUAGAUCUGUUUUAGAAUAUUCCUUGUUAUCUUACAUAUUUAGAAUAGAGAUUUUAUUUCGAAUUUCAAAAAUAAAAAAUCAAAUCAAUCAAUUCAAGUUGCUAGUGUUUUUUUUACUUAGGUUGCAUGUUUAAUAAUUUGACAAUUCUUAAUUUCGAAUUUCACAAAGAAAAACACAAAAGAAUCAUCAUGCAUAUAUCAUGUAGAGUUAGGGCAUAUUUUUGUACGUCAUUGCAUAUUAUGGUAAAAUUGCACUUAGUUUAAUUUUAGAUAAUAUUUUUCUUAAUUUAUUAUAAGUUUAAAUAUUAGAUAGAUUGCAUUCUAGGAUUAUUUGGGUUAAGAUAAUAUUUUAGUUUAAAUUAGGAUUUGGUUCAACCUAAUUCUUGAUACAAAUUGAAUAGAAUCUUAAUCUAGUUAGAUAAUUUUCACAUUUUAUUUAAUCCCGAAUUUUAUAAAAAAUACACAAAAUGUCAUAAGUCGAACUAGUUUUAGGAUAAAAUGCAUUCUUUAGGAAAAAUGAAAAAAAAUGCCAUACGCACGUCAUUAGGGUUAGAUUCAUUGAGAUGCAUGUCAUUUAGUAUUUUUGCUAGGCCCAUUUAAUUAGAAAUUACAUGUCAUUAGAAUUAGGUCAUUUAGUUAAUAUUGCAUUGCAUAUUGCAUGAUUUUCAUUAAAAAAGUGAAAACAAAAAAAGAAAUUGCGUGUUAAUUAGAAAUCAUAUUUAGAAUUAUUGAUAUGGAUUUUAAAUUAAUAUUGCAGAUACUUUCGUUGCUUUGAGGUAACUUUUUGCAAUUUAUUUAUUUUUUAUUUGGGUGUUAAAUUGGUGGAUUGUGCACCCAUAUGACCACCUCACAUAUUAGAGAAAUAAAUUUAAAAUUAAUCCAAACUGCUUGCCAAACAUUUUUCAAAAAAAAAAAAAAAAAAGGUACCGAAAGGGCGUUAGAGAAUUCUAACAUAACCAAGUCCCCGUACGCAUAGUCUCUGGUUCGUAGGAGUAAAAUAAUUCUCCCGUUAUUUUAUUUGGGUUUCUAAGUGGCGACUCCUAAUUGAAAAUCAAUUGCAUGUUAAGAACUUGAAUCUAAGUCGCGAAUUGAUAUGGGCUUGGGAGAACCCGAGUUAAAUCUAGGCUUAACAAUCCAUUAAUCAAACCCUAGGUGGUUCACACCCGAAAAAUUGGUCGCGAUACCAAUACUCAAUUUCUAGAGAGAGAUAGAUGGGUUAUAUAUAUAUAUAUAUAUAUAUAUAUAUAUGGGGGAAUUAUGAUGGAAAUGGGGUUUUGGGGUAGAGAGAGAGAGAGGGAAAGAAUGAGAUGCGAUGGUGGGUUGUUCACAAUUUUUCCCAAAAUAAGGGACUGUGCCUGUGAGAGCAUGGAGAAGAGGUGCUUCCAAUUUUGCCCAGAGAAGGGCUGUACUCGCCGAAAUCACGUGGUAUGCCCGGCGGUCUACUGUAAGACAGCAAGGCGAGAGAUGGUCUCACGAGAAAAUAGUGUACACAAGUGAUGCUACGUCACGGCCUUUUCCUUCCCAGCCUUGAUCUCCUCUUCUUCAAUUUGAAGUGCCCCCUUGCUGUUGUACUUGCUGUCAUCUUGAAAAGCGACACUCCGUCGCUGGCAGCCUCAAACUUGACCUCUUAAUCGACCGAUUCGAGCUUGUCACCCAGCACGUCGCCCUUGAUCAUUGUGUACCUACACACGAAUUUCUCCUUGUUGAGCUCAUCGUUCCAGUGCCUCACAUACUUGAAAUGACUAGCUGCAUUUGUUACCGAGCGAGAAAUAAUUUCACUAAACUCAUCACUAGACAGAGGACCCAAAAAAUGGUGUAUACUGAGUGUACAAACCUUCAGUGAAAUUAUCUUACCUCGAUGCUCCCGCCUCCUCUGUCGCCUUGCAUGAGCUCCAUGAUCUUUUUGAACUGAGGCAGGAGCUUCGGGAUCAGGGUAUUCGACUCGAUGAUCAGGCCUUGAACAUGCGAGUUAGAGCGAUCAGGCAUGUGGGCUCUUGUGUGAUGAUGGUUGCACCCAUGGCUAUUAGCAAUGAUAAGGAAAUAAACCCAGAGGAAGUGAUAUGCUUCUGAGUCCUGUCAAUGCCUCCCAUUCAUGAUUAGAAUUAUGCGAAUAGGUAGGGUUGGUUUGGCAAGAGUCAAGGAUUUGCAGCCUAAAGGAAUGUCAAAGGGGGAUUAAGUCUCUCUUUUGUUCUUUUGGUCAUGAAAAUGAUUUCGGUCCCUUUUAAAUUCAAGUUGAAAUGUCAAAGAUUAUGGUCCAAAAGAUGGACAACAGAGAGAGCACAUUCUCAUGCUCACAUGGGCGGCCAUCCUUUUGAAUUGAUCGUUGCAGCAUUGGAUCUAACAACAAUUUGGUGGUACUACAUGACAAUGUGCCAAUUAGAUAUUAUGAUAAAAUGCCAUUGUUUGGAGAAAAGUGUAUUAAUCAAAUUUUAUCUCAUUAUUAUGCAACAAACAAGAAUACUUGAUUGGUUAAUGAUAUCAUAUGAUAUAAGCAUCAUAUAAUAUAUUUCUCCAUAAGCAACGCUCUAAUGUCACGGUAGAUCUGUUCAAAUGUAUGAAGUGAGGCAUUUUGAAAAUUUUCAUGAAAAACAAGUUUGGUUAAGGUUGAUACAAACUUCACUAGCACCAACAGUUUGACUCGGUCAAAAGUGGGUCGGCAAUGGGUUGUCCCACUAUCAGCUCAUCGUCUAAGUUUGGGGGAGGUGGAGGUUGCUGUUUUUCGUUAUAUUUUGCUUCUCUUUUUCUUUUUUUGUCAUUAUCAGUGCUAAAGCAUUUGAUCUCUAAUCCAAUGCCACUAUCAAGAGAUAAGAUCGGAUUCGCUUAGAUAGAAUUUCAAAUAGUCCAAGUGUUAUAGAAGGAAAAAUUACCAAAAAUGUCAUAAACAUAUUACAAUUAUACCAAUUUAAUCAUAAACUUUUUUUUGAUCAAUUGAAUUAUAAAAAUUUCUAAUUAUGUUACUUACAAAAAAAAAACAUUUCUAACUAUGUCAGUUUAGUCCAUCCGAUCAAAAUUGACCGAUCGGUGCAAAUGUGGCCGCCGGCCAACGCCCCCAACCAAUUUUUAAUAAUAUUUUAUAUUUCAAAUUUUUUAUUAAUUUUUUUCUUUUUUCUUUCUCUUUUUUUUUUUCCCUUCUCCCUUCUCCUCCCUCCUUCUCCCUUUUGGCUCCAGCGACUGGCCAGAGGGGAGGGCUAGUGGGUCGUUGGACUCAGGCUACCAAGCAAGCUCGCCUCACCAAACCAAGCAACAAUGAAGCCCCCCUCACCGAAUCUAGCGUGGGCUCGCCUCCCAAAUCCGAGGAGGGGGGGGGGGGGGGGCACUCGCCUCGCCAAUUGUGACAUCCCGAUUUUCCAAUUCUGGUUUCAAUUAAAUAAGUCGGGCAUUUCAUCUUCGCGUCUAUAGCUUUCUUCUCUGAGCUGAUCACUCACGAGAUAACUAGUCUAUCAGGUGAAGCCGUUAAAGAAUCUAAACGCAAUAGACUUGAGAAUUCGACCAAGAAACGACUACUCGACCGUACUAAUCUGCAAGGGUCAUUACGGCACAGACCGAUUAGAGACCGGAGAUAGGUCGAUUCUACAGAACCAUGUAAUUCGGUAUGGGUAAUUCCACCUAAUUGCACAAUUCUUGUUGAUCGGCACUAGACCGAUUUCUCUAUCGUUUUGGUACCCUGUGUCCGUAUUUGAAACCUCGAGAUUUCUACGACAAUCAAGAGUCGCAAAUGUGUCGAAGAUGCACUUUAUGGCUUGAAAAUAAUCAACCACAGGUCAAUUGCACAGAAAAUUCCUAAAAGCUACCCAGUAGAUUAGGACGCGCUAAAGUCGCACCAGAUUAAAUUUAACCGUGAAAUUGAACCCGAUUAUAGAAAUUAGAAGUUCUGUCAAGUCACAAUUCAUUUUAGGAAUGUCGACUCAUCUCCAGAAGAUUUUUCUACAAACCGAGAUUUUUGGCAGAAAAGCAAAGUAAGGCCGUUUUUGUUCGAGAUUGUCAGAGGGCCGUUUUUAAUCGAAUCUUCGGGAUGCAAGUUGGAUCAUUUGACGGGGAAAUGUCAUGAGAAGGCCGAGGACACAUGGGUUGGUUUAAUUGAGCUUCAAUUGGAUGGAAUUGAGAGAGAAUUGAAUGGAUUGAAUGGGGGAAUGUCCAAAAUUCGUAGCUCCCAUGGCACACCACAUUUUGCACCUAUUGCCAAGCUUGUAGAGGAAGCUUGGAGGAGAGAGAGUGGCUGAGGUCAUGUGGUGUCAUGGUGGGGGCAAAGCCAAUGAGAAGAUGGCAAGUGUUGAGCUCUAGAGAGCCCAAGGAGACCCCCCACUCUUUAGCAGCUUCUCCUCCCUUAAUCCAAGGCUUUCUCCAUUGUUGUUGAAGGAGAGAAGCUCAGUAAAAACCAGAGGAACCGAGCUCACCAGCCCCUCCAUCGUCGCACGCCCGGAAGGCCAUCGUCGGCCAGGAAGGCCAUCGUCGGCCAUUUUCCUCCCCUGUUUUCUCCUCGUUCCAGUUUCUGCUCCAGCCGACCUUUCGCCAAAGAUUCGAGUUAAAAGUCGACUUCCCGGAUGAAUCAGCGAACGCUCCACCCAUGUCCGUGACGAGGACAUCCAGACCGUUCCGGAGCACCUCGCCGCUCGCCGGAAAGAUUCUCCGGCUGUCCCGAAAUCCUGAGAGAAGCUGCCGCUCGCCGGACCGUCUGGACUCGCCCUGUUCCGCCUGUUUCGGGUUUUCUUGCUGUUUCGCCCCAUUCCGACCCUUCCUUUGCCCAUCCCAACCUCCUAUAAGAUCCCCAAGACCCCCGGGAGCCAUUGGUUGCCAACCACCCGCUCGCCGGAGCUCCGAUCAGCCCGUUUUCGCCGUUGAAGUUGCUGGUUUCUUCUCUGCAGUUCAGUCCAGAUCAGAAGCAGAAGACAGCAAGGUUUUGGAGACUUUGUGGCCCGUUUUCAAGCCCUUCCCGGCCUCCGUUGGUGUCGCCGCUUUGGGGGUUUAUCGACCGCCUUGGCGUCGUGGUCGCCGUGAACUCACCGGAGCGCAAAACCGGUGAGUUUAUCCUCUAAUUCUUGCUUAGUGAGUUAAUGACGCUUAAGGGGUGUUUAGAUUAGUCUAAUUAGGUUUAGGUAGUUAGAUUAGAUUAUUUUAAUAUAAAUUAGAUUAGUUGUAUGAUUAGCUUAAUGGAUGUUUAAUUAGGGCUAAUUAUAUGAUUAAUUUAGUGUAAUCUUGUUUAAGCCCUAAUUAAUUAUUUUUAAUUAAUUAAUUAUUUCGAAUUUAUAAAUAUUAUUUUAUUAAAUUAUAUUAUUAAAAUAUAAUAUUUAAUUAUUUAAUUUUCGGAAUUAAAUUUAAUUAUUUAAUAAUUUCGAAAAUUAUGCCGAGAUGGCCGGUAGUUAGAAUUUCGCACUGAUCGCAGCAGUGCGGUCGGUUUGUGCUAAUUGUAUGCUUAAAUUGAGAAAUUGAGUGAUUGAUGAUUAUGGUUAAUAAUUCCAAAAGUGUGGAAUUGAGUAAUAUUGAUGAAGUUGUGGUAUUUAACUUGAAAAUACCCGGUGUUGGCUUUUAGCACCAUAAUUGGUUUGUAUGACCAGUUUGUAUCGAUUGAUUGAAUGGAUGUUUAUGUGGGGAUUCAUCCCAAAUCUGUUUAGUGUUGGUAUUCGAUUAGAUUUUUAAUCGUGAAAGGUUGUGAUGGAUCUAGAAAAUCAUCGAAGCUCGGCUGUGCCCUGUUGGAUCGUGAUAUACCACCGAAUUGGGAAUCGGUCGUGCCCACUGGGGCCGUAAACUGCCACCUGAUAGAGGUCACGCCCGUUGGGCCGUAAAUUGCCAUCUGAUAAAGGUCGCGCCCGUUGGACCGUAAAUUGCCACCCGAUAAGGGUCGCGCCUGAUAAGGCCGUAACCUGCCACCUAUUAAAGGUCGCGCCCAUUGGGCCGUAAUUUGCCACUUAAAGAUAGAUCGUGUCCUUUGGACCGUGGUUUAUAUCGGAGGAUUGAUUAAGUUCGGCUCGUUGAGCCGGGAGUGAAAUUGGAAUUGGAACGCUUGAGAUGAUCAGAGGGUGGUUUUGAUGACAUGUAAUCGACUGAGUCGAUUGAUCGCUGAAUCGAUAUGAGUAAUUGAAUUGUUUGGAUGAUGUGGUUGUCAAUAUUUAUUGAUUAAACUGACGUGUAGGAAGGAACUGAGGCGAGGUAAGUCCUCUAUCCUAUUUGUGUGGCUAGAGCGCCCUGAGGCGUAUUUUCUUCCUAAUUGAGUUUUAGAGGGUAGGACUUGCUGAGACGUAGUCUCAUCCCGGUUGUGGGAUAAUAUUUCAGGUCCUUAGAUGAUGGUCGUGGAGGACCGGAAGUCCUGGAGUUCGGAAGAUGGAGGCUGAAGAAUCGGCGAACGUGUCUGACAAGUUGGUCAUAGGACAGUUCCCUUUUUGUUGAGCCUGUCUAUUUUGUAGACAUCCAGUGUUGUAUAUAAACCUAUGUGUUUAUAGAAAGCUUGUUUGGUUGUGAUUGAUUGCCUGCUUUUCUAUCUCAAGUUAAAUGUUGUCAGGGGAUUUGUUUCGCUUCCGCAUGUGCAAUAAAAAUGAAUGGGUCGGCGACGUGUCCUGGGAAGUCGCAUUUGUAUCGACCAGAGUGGGAUGUUUGCGCGCUCGGAGGAUCGGGGCGUGACACCAAUGGUUGGGCGAGCUCUCCUGGCCACCUUAGUCCUGCGAUGGGCUAGCCCUCCCCUCUAGCCGAUCGCCGAAGCCAAAGGAGGAGGAGGGAGGAAGGAGAAGAAAAAAAAAAGGAAAAAAAGAUAAAUAAUUUAUAAAAAUAAAAUAUUAUUAAAAAAAGGUCCCCAGUGGCCACGUCAACGACCUUUUUUUUAAUAAUAUUUUAGUAAAAAUAAGCUUAUGACUAAAUUUGCACAAUUACAAUAGAUUUAGAACUUUUUGGUAAUUUUCCUAUUACAAUAAGAUAGUGUUGGUAUGAUGCGCGGGUUCCUUGAGCCACCAAAAAAAAGAAAAAAAAAAAAAGAUAAGUCCAAACCCUAAACACAUUAACUAUAUUUUUUUAUAGAUUUCUAGACAGAUAAUAGGAAUGUACUUUUCAUUAAUGAUCAUACGCAUUACUAUUUAUGAAAGUUUAUACCACAUCGAUAGUUUUAAAUGUUAGCCCAAAUUUGAUAUAUCGAGCUGAAGUUUGGGAUUUAUUCAUUUGCUACUUAGGAAUUCUCUUCUUGCAUGAAAUUUGCCGAAAAUUAGAGAAUCUCAUGAUACCAACAAAAUAUCAUGUAUUCAACUUUUUUUCAACUUGAUACACUACAUAUAUAGCAAAAUUUACAAAAUUCCACAAAAACACUGCACCAGAUUCCUACCGCACCUUUCAUUCUCUUAUUCUGAGCAAAGACGAACAAACAGCACUCACCAGCUGCUACAUAUGUAGUGUAUCAAGUUGAAAAAAAGUUGAAUACACUUUUCCGAUGACGAAAGUCNNNNNNNNNNNNNNNNNNNNNNNNNNNNNNNNNNNNNNNNNNNNNNNNNNNNNNNNNNNNNNNNNNNNNNNNNNNNNNNNNNNNNNNNNNNNNNNNNNNNAUGCGGACCCCACGUUUUUUGUUGGUAUCAUGAGAUUCUCUAAUUUUCGGCAAAUUUCAUGCAAGAAGAGAAUUCAUAAGUAGCAAAUGAAUAAAUCUCGAACUUCAGCUCGAUAUAUCAAAUUUGGGCUAACAUUUAAAACAAUCAAUGUGGUAUAAACUUUCAUAAAUAGUAAUGCGUAUGAUCAUUAAUGAAAAGUACAUUCCUAUUAUAUGUCAAGAAAUCUAUAUAUAUAUAUGUAUAGUUAAUGUGUUUAGGGUUCGGACUUAUCUUAUUGUAAUAGGGAAGUUACCAAAAAGUUCUAAAUAUAUUGUAAUUGUGCCAAUUUAUAAGCUUAUCACUAAAUUAAUGUGUUUAGGGUUCAGUCUCGAUUGUUAUUGUUCUUGAAAGAGACACGAGAAUGAAGAAAUAAACCAUGGUGGGAGAUAGAUUGAGCCAACGUGCAACAAGAACUCAAUUGUAAGCAUCAGGGUUUUUGCAAGAGAUGGGCUUCAAUGGCUUUCAACAUUCCCAUGGCCUUCUCUUUGCUGGCCUUGUUCUCUUCCCGUCCAUGGCGAAGUACUUGCUCGUGCUCUUGCCCAUGCACCCUCCCCGUCUGGCCCCGCCUCGGCCUUGAUCUCAUUUGAGAUCUUCUCUAGCGCAUCGCCCUCAACGAUGGCAUAUGUGUGCGUGAGCUUUCCUUGUCCAGCUUGUCGACUGAUGUUUCACCGAGUUGAACUGUCUAGCUGCGAGACACAAAAAACAGCAGUCAGCUCCCACGUUAGCCUUAUCAAAUAAUGUCAGCAAACAUCUUCUUGACAUCACAUGUUAAUGCGACACGAUCAAAAUGACGGAAAUUGGAAGACAGCGCAAGCACUCGUCUUUGCCGAAAACAACGUGAUGGUGCCGGGACCGCCAUCACCUGCAAGGGUGACAAAAUCCUCAGUGGCUUGUGGAAGGAGCUUGGGGAUGAGAUUGUCAUCAAGAACAAAGGCCUUGAACAUUCUUGCAGGUGGAAUUGAGUGCAUCUUCGCCUAACAGUUCCAAGUCCCUCGGCAAGAGAUGUGUGAGAUUAUGUUAAAAUGCCCUCUAAAUGAUUCUUAAUUGCCUCGUUUAGUAAUCUAGAUCAACAUCACAGUGGUCUAAAUCAUAUAAUAAAGAAAGAGGACAAAAGGCAUGGAUCUCAAGCCCAAAAUUAUACUUAUUAGCAUGCAAGAGAUCUUUGAAUGCAUAUACCCUUGAGGGUGGGAAUUCAUUAAAUUCUCAUUUAAAUAUUCUAACAGAGCCCAGCGGCUCGGAGAAUUAAGCUUGAGUGCAUGUAGAUAAUUCUUGCACGAUAAACGCGUGGUGGGUUGUGAAUUGAGACUCAUCCGCGUGCACACUGGUGCCACCAUCACCAUGAAUACCACUUCCUCGACCAGUUGGACGGUCGAAAAAGGAAGACAUGGGUCGAGCACAUCCUUCAUUAGCACAUUUGAGUCUUCCAAUAAUGUCGACGUUUGUGUCAUUCAUAGGGAAGAGGGAAGAUUUCCUGGAUGCUUCCCCGUCAUAAUCUAGCUUCAUUACUUUUACUGCUGACUCUGUUUUAUGAAAGAAGAAUGAGUCAAUGUUUUGAUCACAAUGCCAAGUUGCCCACAAGUUCCAAAUUUCUGCGAUACUUCUAAAAGAAGCCACUUUUCAAAAUCUAUAUUCCAAAAGUCUUGUUAGAAUUAUUGGACGAAUCCAAAUUCAAUUUGUCUAUCAACCAUAUGGUUACUGCCAACAUUGUUUUUCAAGAAAAAAAAAUGAAUCAAAGUCAAGGUCAUAAUGUCAAGUUGUACCCAAACUCCAAAUUUGUGUGACACUCUGACACAUACCACUUUUCAAAACCUUUACUUGCAGAGUCCUAAAUGUCCUGUUGGACUUAUUCAAAUGCAAAUUCGAGAUGUUAAUUAGAGCUAUUUAAUCAAUCCAAGACCAUUUGUACCUACAAAAUGUUUGUUUAGAUUCGAUCAUCUAACUUACCAGGAGCCAUGUAGCCAUAAGAUCCAGCCACUAUGGUCCAAUCCGACGAGUCCAAAUUCAAGAGUCUCGUUGUCCUGAAGUCCGAAAGCGAGUGCUCGAAGUCCCACUCGAGCAAGAUGUUGUUCAGCAUUAUGUCCCGAUGGACGAUAGGCAGGGAGCAAUUGCAAUGCAAGUAGGCAAUUGCGUAAGCCACGCCUUGGACAAUCUUCACUCUUGUACCCCAGUCCAGUUCCGUUCCUCCUUUUCAUCCAUACAAGACCCUUGCCAAACUGUCUCUCUCCACAGAUUCAUAGGCCAAGUAAAUGCAACCCCUCUUGAAACAGAACCCGCGGAGCUUAAUCACAUUGUGGUGCCAGACCUUCGUGGACAUGCGGAUCUCGUUCUUGAAACUCUGGUGGUCGACUGCAAGGACAUCGCCGGAUUCUAAUGUUUUGAGCUUUUUGACAGCAGCGAUGACUUGGCCGUUGGCCAGUUCAGCCUUGUAAACGUUCCCAAACCUGCCCUUUCCGAUGCAGUACUUUUCGCUGAAGUCGUUGAUAGCCUUGGCGAUGUCAUUGAAUGUGAACCUUCCUUCCCUUUCCCAUACGAUCGACUCAGAUUUCUCAUACUUCAUUGACUUCCUUGUUUCGCAAUUGAAGCACCAGAAUCACAGCAAUUAAAGUCACCGGAAAUAGCUCGCAUCAAUAAGAACUUUUUCGCUCUGGUCAAUUGAUUUACUACUCAUCCUACAAGGAGAUAAUCCUGUCGGAUUUUCACACGAGCCCGGAUUUGCAAUAAAAGCACUUCACGGUGCUUGUUGGAAGAGGCAACCACUAGAAACCGCACCUGUCAGCUCGUUGUACGAUAAGUCUAUGGAGCUUAAACAAGUUAUAUUUCUAUCUUUUUCAAUGUUCAUUAUAAUGUUCCGUAAGGUUGAAACCGCCUUGAUCUAGAGCAAUCCUAAGUUCCUAAUACAGACGGACUAACCUUCGUCAAAAGUGAUCAACUUGGUGGUCUCGGGACCUUCUUCACCCUCGAGGACUUCGAAGCUCUUGAUGGCUUGCGGGAAGACCCUGGGGAUGAGGUUAUUGGCGUCGAGGACAAUGGCCUUGAACAUCUUGGCCGGAGGGAUCUGGACGUGAUCUCGGAAUCGUAAGUGAUGAUACCCAUGAUUGGAUCCGAAUUGAGCUGCUGAAACUGAGAAGGGAGUGAUGAUCAGGAAAGACUGAGUAGCAGUGAUGAAGUUGGUCUCUAGGACUUGGGAGUGAAGAGAAGGGGCUGAAGCGGAGCUGACAUAUAUAGAGAGAGAGACUAAGUGUGAAGGGUUUUGAUCAGUGAAUAUUUUCUUGUUAUUAAGGUGCUUUGUUCAAUAGAAAUAAAUGAUUUGGAAUAUGUAAAUAAUCAUUAAUAUCAUUUGAAACAAUCAAUUAAUGAGAAAUAUUUUUAGUAUCAACAAUAACUCACGUCUAAAUAUUUUCGUAAAUGAUGAAAAUAUUUCUUAUUCAUUUAUUUUUGCAAGCUAUACAAGCGUUUUAGGAAAAUGUUUUCCAAAUCAUUCAUUUUUUGCAAAACAAUCAAGACUUAAAGAACAAAAAAAGAAAAAAAAAACCUUAAUUACUCCUUGGUUUGUUCAGAUCAUGACAUGGCCCUUGUUCCUAAAAUAAAAAUGUCUAUAUGAUAAUAGAGUAUUAGUCAAAGAAGGUAGGCACCAUAUCCUAGAAUGAUACCAAACGUUAUUGCAUUUCCCUUUUAUGUAUGGACUUGAUUCCAUCCAAGAUGGCUGAGAUUUACUGAUUUCUUACGGUCUUAUUAUCGUAGAAAAUAUUGAUCACGAUCCAUCGAGAUUCUGUCCUAAGUCAUUUUGAUUUGUUCGCAGAAGUAGCAAUCUUAAAAGUCGGCAGAGGCCACGAGAAGAGUUUGAUGCAUAUAGUAGAAAACUUGAAAAACCAAGUCACAAUUUUUCAAAUUGGGUGAUUUUUUAUUUUUAUUUUUGGGUGAUUUGGGUACUACAUGUUUGCAUAGAGCUUCCAUCAAUAAGAAAAGUGUCGAGUAUUCUCAAUGUUGUACCAACAUAAUAGAGCAGAAAGAGAAAGGAGGGGUAGUUUUGUAAGUACACUUUAUUAGUUUGCUGAAGCCGGAGUCCUAUGAAUAAAAAUAUAAAUAUAUACGUAUAUAAAUGAGUAGGUUUCAAGGUUUUAUACAUUUAGUCAACAAAGGCCGUUCUGAAAGUCAAGAUGGACGUCUAAAAAUUUUGAUUUUUCCUCUUUCUUGCAUAUGUCCAGUCCUUCUAGAUAAUAUUAUUACAAAUCCUUUUCUGCAAAUUAUAUGGUGGAGGUGUGGUGGAUCAGGGGACAUUGGCACUCCGGUCACGUGCUAAAUAAACAUUUUUUUUAAUGUUUCCUAUGUAUAAUUCUUAUCUAAAUUAUAGACCAUAGUGCGGCCCCGUUAAAUGCGCAUCGUGAUUGAUUUCCCACACCUAAGUCUUUGUUCAAAUUUCAGACUUAGAAAUAUGAAUAAAGUAACGAUUGUGUGUCAAGUACAAGCAUAUCAUUUGACGAAGAAGCUUCUGGUCAACCUUCGAGCUAUGAUGAUGAAGUCUGAACAAUUUUUCUUCACCUUGCUGAGUCAUUUUAAAUGGGGAAAAGUACCAAAAAAAAACUAUAGACUUAUUGCUUUAAUAUCAAUUCAGUCUUAAAUACUUCAAUUGAACCAAUUUAGUCAUAAAUCUUUUUAUAUUAGUAUCAAUUGAGUCCAUCUGACCAAUUUAGGCUAAAAACUACUGACGUGGACAUCGAUGGUCCUACAUAGUACGACCAACAUUAACAUAGACAUAUUUUAUGAUUUUUAAUAUUUUUUUCAGAAUUAUUUUUCCUCUUUUCUUUUUUUUUUUUCCCCUUACCCUUUGGCCGGCGCCAACUGUCGAUGGUCAUGGUCUAGGCAAGGGCCUCUAUGCCCUCGAAUAUAUAUAGUCCACGUCAAAAUUAAGAUAUAUGUAGGAGUAAGCAAUUCUAAGUUCCUUACAAAUUUCGCCUAAAACCUAGAAUCUAUCAUCGGGUACAAAUUCUUCAUUUUUUAGAACCUAAAACCUAUUUGUUGGAACUUAGAAUUUUGAAAUCUACCCCGUCACAAGUUCCACGUUGGUUUCAGAGUCCAACAUGUUCUUUUUUUUUUUUUUCAUUUUUAAUAUGAACGCAAUAAUAUUAAACAAGCUUAUCAUUCAUCAAAGAGAAUACAAAAUGAAUAAAAUUAUCAACAAAAGAAAAAGAAUUCUUAGUAAGGAAUUCAACUAAAUAAAAAUAAAGGUGAGCGGUUCCAAAUUCCGUAUAGGUUUCACCUAAAACUUAAAACUUACCUAUUAGAACAAGUUCUUCAUUUUUUGAAACCUAAAUCCUACUUUGCAUACCCUAGAACUUCAAACCUAUCCUAUCAUAGGUUCCAAGAUCUACCUAAGUCUCAUUUAUAUUAUUAUUUAAAUAAUUACGAUUCACUAAUCAUAAUUUAUAUUUAGAUAUACGCAAAAAUAUAAACAUUAAUAAAGUAAAAAUAUUAGUUAUAAAAUGAAAAUUCAAACUAGUACUUCUAGAUUAUACACUCAUCAUCGAAUAGUAUCGAACAGUAUGGAAUAUCGAAGAAUCGCACAAAGACAUAAAUCAAGAAAACUAUUCAAACUCAUUCUAGAUUCUAUGUUCUAUGUUCCAAGUUCCUCAAACUAAGAAUCUAGAACCUUCCUAUUGCAAGAGAUUUCUCAUUUUUUGGAAUUUGAAACUUAUCCUGCAUUUGGAAACCAUACCUUGGAAUUUGGAACCUACCUAGAAUCAUGCUUACUCCUAAUAUAUAGCCCUUGAAUAUAUAUAGUCCACGGGCUGGUCUAGUAUGGUCUGGGCAAGGGCCUGACGUGCCGGCCCAGUCCGGGCUUCAUUCUCCCUAAUAAAGGCCCAACCGAGAAAGGGGGAAAAGAGAAACCCAGCCCAAAGCCUACUCAUCCGAACAAACCAAAUUAAGCCCCGAAUUCAAUAUUCUUUUAGUGAAAACAAAGCCCAAAAUUACCAAUUUAGCAAUUCAAGCCCACCCAAUGACCUAAUUUUUCCUUUUGCUUUCUCUUCAAACGUGCCUACUCACAACCUCGUGGCUUCACAGAAGCAUCCCCACCCGCUUCUCUCUUCCCCAAGGACCGAAGACGUUGCUGGUUCGAGCAACCAGGUUUAGCCAAAAAAAUUCAGGCACCAUUUAAACCAUGCCCGGCCAUUACGCGGCUGUCAUUCAUGGCAAUAACCACCACCGUCUUUCCUCUUCCCUCCUCGCCGGCCAAGUACCGGUUGCCCAGAAACACGACUCGCACAGAAAGAACGUCGAAACAAGAACGUGCAAAGUGAAGCAUAGCAACGAGGAUUUACCAAGAUUCGUUUGACAAGCGACGAGCACCCACGACGGACGGAGAACUAAGAAUCAACAGCACGAAUCUUACUUGAACAUUUCGUCGAACACGUGGAAGGCAUCGGCUAAAAGGGAGCUCUAGACUUGCCCGACACGGACCCAAAAUCAACAAACAACGGACCAGCAAAACUUGACCCCAACAUGGGGACGUCUCAUGUGUGCUUAGUGUAGGCGUGAAUGGAAAGCAGCAAACCGCAACCAUGAAGAACACAAGUGGGCAUCUAACUUUAGGCAUUUUGUCGAGCAUGUGGUAUACACAAAUUGGGAGUGAGGAACGGGGACGACCGCGCCCGGGCUCGAGCCGGGAUUCAAAGAAAUCGAUACACUAGGCCUCAAGACAUUAGUACGCACACAAAUAAGGCCGGAAACUCGCAUGAACCGGAAAGCAGCAGCCCAGUCCGGCGAGCCCGAAACAGGGCAUGGGCACAAAAAAGGGCGGUCGGCAGAGAGUCCCUACCCAGCUCGCGGCGUCGGACGCCGGACGAGCUCGAUAGAUCGGGCUACGUCCGUCCGCCUCGCUCGUCUCCUAGCCGGGAUCCUCGGGAAGCCGACCCCGAAUCGGGAAAAGCGAAGACGGCCCGAACGGGGACCUACCAUGGCCUCGAAGUGGACAAGGAGCGGCGGCGGAUCAUCAGUUUUGGUUCGGAAGUGGAGGCCAACAGCGGCUCUCUCAGUCGCGUUCUCUCUCUCUCUCAACUCACGGGUCUCUCUUUCGCGGCCCUCUCUCCUCGGAUCCGAAUCCCUCUCGCCUCGUACUUGACCCCCUCCGAUUUCUCCCUCCUCCCCGACCUCUGGCCUUCUGAGAAAGCCGGUCGGCGGAGGCGCUUCGGCCGCCGGUCCUUCGCGCCGACCGGCCCCCCUUGGCUGAACCAGCAUCACAUCACCCGUCGCCUCCAGCGCCGCCUGCUCUGCUCCUUCUGCUGCGGCCGCCCCCGCUGGCGUGAGGAAGAAGCGGGAGGGAGGAAGGAGGGGCCGGGCCGGGGUGAGAAGCACAAGCAGAGUAGGCCCUGGGCCCACUCGGGGAAGAAAGGAGAAAAGAGGGGGGGGGGGCUAAGGCGAAGGCCCAGCUCCCGUGGGCCCUUUUUUUUAUAUAAAUAAUAUUAAAUAGGGUUAAAUAAGAGAGAAUAAAACUAAAAUAAAACUUAAAAUGCAAAUAAUAUUAAUGCUUAUAUGAUGUGAAAAUCGUUUUUGUUAGGGUCAAAUUGAUUUCAAAUUUUUUAUAUUAUUUUAAUUUUAGAUGUUUAGUCAAAAUUUAAGUAUCAAUAAAUAUAAAUGUCAAACUGCAAGAGUAAAAAUAAAAAAGAAAGGGUUAAUACCCUAGAAAACCCCAAACUGGUACACUUGUGACAAAUUUACCCCAAACUAUUUUUUUGACCAUGAAAAACCCCAAACUGGUAAACCUGUGACAAAUUUACCCUGACUAACUAUAAAAAACCCUAAACUGGUACACUUAUGACAAAUUUACCCCAAACUAAUUUAUUUGACUGCAAAAAACCAUAAACUGGUAAAUUUGUGACAAAUAUACCCUCUGCUAAAUUGGAUUAAUACCACAAAAAAAUCAAAAAAAUUAUAAACUGUGACAAACGGAGCGUAAAAUCCUAAAUUGGUAUACCGAUUAACUGUCACGUGCCAUUAACUUAAUAAUUUGAGAAUAAAAUUUAACGAAAACUAACAUAGGGUAAAUUUGUCACAAGUGUACCAGUUUGGGGUAAAUUUGUCAAAUGUAUACCAGUUUGGGGUUUUUGGUGGUCAAAAAAAUAGUUCAGGGUAAAUUUGUCACAAGUGUACCAGUUUGGGGUUUUUUAGGGUAUUUGCCCAAAAAGAAAAGAAUUAAAGAAGAGACAAGUGUGGUUGCACCUUUAUCCCACCAUGUGACUGAAAUUGUUUACGAAAGUAAAAAAUUCAACGAACAUCACUUGCUCUAGUUUUAAUUGAAUUAUUGUGAACCUUAUUUCUCCACCACGCAUCCUCGUUAAAGUCAUCCUUUGAUGAAUCAAAAUUUGUCUAUAUGUUAUACGUAGUGACACGUGUAAUUCAGUGUGGCUCUUUUGAUGGGACAAAUUUCUCACAUCACCAAUUACCUCUUAUUAGGAUAAGUUCUUUCAAGGAAGGAUCCUAUAUUCUUUUUUUUUUUAAUAAUAUCGUUGUUGUUGUCGGUGACGUGUUCCUUUUCCAAAUUAAUUGGAAUAUAUCAUUUUAAAUAGAUAAGAUCUCUACCUUAAAUGGGAGUAUGAGUUUCAAACGCCUAUGAUAUAUUAUUAUUGAUAGUCACACAAAAAUAACAUGACAGUUGAUGCUACGGUAUGACACAUAAUAAAUAAAGGCGAAAAGCCAUAUUUUAGUAAAACAAAUUCAAAACCGAGUGUUGAGAUUAUUUAUCAACAUGGACAUCAACUUAUAGCAUCUCCUUUUACUAAUGAAUAGGGCUUGGAUUAAAUAAUCAACCUAGUGAUAGUCUAAAAUAGCUCUUUUUGCCUUGCUCCUUUAGCUUUGGACAUCAACUUUAUAUAUUUUUUAAUUUACUUGUAAUCUUAUUUGGUAAAAUCUAUACAUGUGCAUCGAAAGUGCACGAUCUAAAAGAGUUCAUCAAUGUCGUAGCCACAACCAAGAAGUAUGUGUGAUUUGUUUUUAGAUCCCACAUAAACUGAAAGCACGCUAACAUUUGGAUCAAUAUCAAAUUACUUGUGGAUUGCCGACUAUGAAAGCAUAAAGGAGUAACUAUAUAAAUUAAUCCUAGCUAGGAUCUUCCUACAUUUCUACAUGGGUAGGCAUUUAAAUGAUCAAUGGGAGAGAGAUUAUAUAUAAAUCAUAAUUCAAAGUGACGAUUUACUCUCUUAAUAAUGAUGACGACGAUGAUAAUUAUAUAAAAUUGAGAGGACAAAUUUUUUUUUGGCCUGGUAGAGUCUAUAAAGAACUACACAAUACAUCGGGAUGAUCAUUAGAUGAAAGUGCAUGCUUACAACAUUGAAAAUCAUUUUGUAGGGUAUAGAUCUACCAAAUUGUUCAAACAUUGUUUUAAUGGUUUCCCUUGGAUGAAAGACUCUUCCUCUAACACAUGAUUUACUUAAUUUAAUCAGUCCAAGAGAGAGAUACACCACCCACGUGCCCCAUAAGCAACGGGGAAUUUGUCUAAUAUGUUAUGAUGUACAAGACCGUACAAUUCCAUUCGCUCUUUUGAUAAAUAUAAAUUAUCAUGCAAUCGGUGAAUUCAAAUCUAAUGUUAUUAAGAUAUUUCACGUGUGCACGUGUGGUUUUGGGUCUAAUAGAUCAAACCAACAUACAACGUCAACUUCAGACAAACACAUUUUUGGUCGUUCACUCUUCCUUUAUAAAAAUCCCUUUGAAGGCCAAAUGUCUGAUAGUCCUUGAUACUUGACACCCUAAAGUUUACUUAGCAAAGGUUCAAUAAAGUCAGGUUUUGGAAGGGUCAUCAGGAGUAUUACAAGUCGGAACGAGUAAAACAAGGAUCUCUGUAAAGUUAACCACCUUGUUGAAGUUGCAUUUGAUGAAUGAAUUAAUCCCAACUGAAAUUCUUUUAGAGCAUAUGUUAACAAGACAAUCGCAAAAUUGUCGUCAAAUAAAGCACCCAGGCCAAAAGCGGAAUUCAUCACGAUGAUUUUUGGAUUGAAGUGGUGAAAAAGCUUGGUCGAGAGUUAAUUGGGAGAUAGAGAAAGCUCAAACUUUAGGAUAAGCAAUUUUGUGGCUAAUAAUAGAAGCUACAAAAGGUUUUGGCCACUCACGCACGUGCCAGGUCUGCUCUCACGUGCACGCGGACCCUGGUCUGUGUCUCGGCCUCUCAAAUCUCUCUCUCCUGUUCUUCAAUCUCCACUUUCCGUCACCCAUUAAUCCCAUCUUCCUCGCUGACAUGAAGUCAUUAACAUUCGAUUUGAUCCCCAAAAAGAGAAAUCAACACUUAUCGCAUGAAUCAAAAGCAAAUACUAUGGAAUCGGUGUCCCAUGAGGUUGAUCUUAUAUGAUAACGUCUUUGUAUCGGCUACAUACAUUAUGUACAAAAAAAGUGUAAUUAUACUAUCAUAUUUUCGUUAAUUCACCUCUUUGAUCCAAUAUUAUUUGUUGACGUUGCCCUUAAAAAAAUCAGGACAUGACAUCCUCCUUAGUUGAUUGAUAUAUGACAAGGGUCGACAAAAAAGACAGCAUCUAAGUUAACAAUUUGGGAAGAUUAAUGUUUGUGAUGGAGGAUAUUAACUUAUUACGUGGCAGAAUCUUUCUGACAUCGUACAAUUAGCUAUCAAGCAAACUUUUUCGCCUUUUGUUUUUCAAGAAACAAACAAUCACAAGUUUUUAAAAACCAAAUGCCCAUUUAGUUGAUGGAAAAUUGAUUACAGAAAAGUUUUCCAUAUUUCAAUAUUUAGAUGAUAGAAAAUUAUUCAAUUUACCAAAAGUUUUUUUUUCUGUGGAUUGAAAAUAAUAAAUUUAUAUUUGGAAAAAAAAAACUUCUGUUUACGGUAAGAAAUCAUUUAUCCUAAUUUUUUGCUAAUUCUUAUAGAUUAAAUUAGCCUAAAUUAGACUUUAUUAACGCAUAUUAGUGGAUUCACUUGCUAUCAAACACCAUAAAAUUAAUUUUUCUCCAGCAUGUUUUGGCACGAAAGAACACCAGAAAAUUAUUUAAUUUCUCUGGAAUUUAAUUUUUUUGAAAAUACUUUUCAGUGAUAAAUUUUCGCUAAAAAGGCGCAUCCAAGCUACAUUUUUGUUAACCCUGUUCUCCCUCUCUCCUUCUCUCGCUCUCUGCCUGCUGCAGUUCUCUGCUCUCUCUGAGCUACUCUUUCUUCGCCAACUGUACAAAAGGCCAAAAAAUAUAAUUGAGUUUCACCAGCAAUUAUGCACCUCUCUCUCUCUCUCUCUGCUGCAGCUCUUUUUUCGUCAGCUGUACCAAAGGUCAAAAAAUGUAGUUGAGUUUCACCGGGAAUUAUGCGAGAGAAUAUUGGCUACGUCUGCUACUCCAGGCAAAUAAGAAGGUACUCAAAUUACGCCACAUGUCCAACGUGGCCCACGUUGUCAGGCCAAUUUCCUUUGAAGUGAAGAGAAGUCCGCGUUGUCAGGCCAAUUUUGAAAUAUGUUUGGCUCUUCCUCUUGAGGGAGAGGGAACCGCGUUCUCCCCUGUUCUCCCGGCUCCCUCUCUCUUUUGCGCCCGACUCUCUCUCCCUCCGACCCCUCGUCCGACGCCCCCGACUGACGCACCAUCGCGCCCGAUCGACGGACCACUGUGCAGCCUUUCUUUACUCUUCAGGUUUUGUUGCUUUGAUUUCUUGACUCAUGGCUUCUGUCCUAUGAUAUGCUUCAUGUGCUACCAUGUUCUGUUAGAUCUGGGUUUUGGCGACGGUUUUCCUGUCUUAUGGGAUCUGACUCUUUUAAGGAUACUCGAACAUCAUAGUUUUGUUGCUUUCUGAGCUAUGCAUGCACAUUCAAACAUCACAUGGCUUUUUGUAAUUGCAUUUAGCUUGAUAUAAGAAUGUUUAAUUCUUUGGAUUAGCUAACUUUGAUCUGCAUUUCGUUACUGCUAAUUCUGCCUCACCCCAGCUUCUAGAUUGCCCUGAGAAAUCUGGUCAUCUUUAGUUUGUUGUGAGCAUAAUUUGAAUUUGCAGCCCCACCCAAAAGAGAAAACCCUACAUGUUCACAGCGAAAAUUCUAAGUCAAUUAAAGUGAGAAUUUGCAGACUAUCAAGAAAAAGUUGGUUUUUCACAAAAGUGCUAUUAAGUUAUAAAUAAGUCAUAUGGAAAUCAGGUAACACUUUUUUUUAAUCAAUAAUUUUUUAACACUUACCAAUUCCUUCAGGAAUUUAUCCGCAUGAAAAAUAUCCGUUUGUUUUAAAAUGGAGUAGUAAAGUCGUCCCUGUGACGUAUGAGAGUUAAUUGCCUUUUUAACAAUUUGCGUCUGGAUGGCCUCUUCACUAAACAAGAGGUCUUCUUGUAAAUGGCAUAAUUAUGAUUUUUUGGGUGUCGAAUUGUCGUGAUCAUAAUUAUUAUUACUUUUUUUACCAAGAUCAUGUGUUCUACGUUGGUCCAAUUCUAAGGAAAUUUGUUUCCCCCGUAACAGGGGGGUGAAUUGAUUUUUCAAGAUAUUGAAAAUCAAUUUUGUAAAACCUACCCCUAUAAAAAUUGUGCUUCUACUACAAGUAUACUAGCAAUUUAAACAGGACAAACUAAAAAGUUUAGAGAAAGAAAAAUUGCAAAAUGAGAAUUAUGAAAGUUCGAUUCGGGUAUACAUACUCCUCUUUCUAGCUCUAAUAGCCCAAAUAGACUGAACUCUACUAGCUAUGCCAAGAGUACAAAUACAUCUUGUUUUGAAAAUUACUCGAUCGGUCUUAAACUUUUCAAUUUUGCAAAUUUAGUUUUAAACAUUUGUGUGAAAUUUCAAUAUAUUCAUUUCAGUCAUUUUUCGCCGGAAAUUUCUGACGUGACAUUAUCGUUGGCCAUCCUAUGUAGCAAACCACUAUGCCCACGAUUUUCAGCUAAAAUUGACGAAAAGACUAAAUUGAAAUUUCACACAAAAAGUCUAGUUGAUGACCGAAUUAAUAUCCGUGCAAUAAGUCUAGGAUUGAUUAGACAAUUACUUGUUACAAGAGUAGAACUUGCUGCCACAAAGAACUUGACUUCCUUCUACAGCAAUCCCGCUGUACACUGAGUAACUUUUGGACCCUCCAAUAGCCGUUCUCACACCUUGUUCACACGAUACAAAGGUCCUUUUCUAAAUUAUAAACCACACCUCCGACUGUUUACAAAGAGUCCAUUAUACAUUUUAUCUCUUGCCUAGACAAAUAGUGUUCACUCUAAGUAUGUAAAACCACCCUUUUUCAUAUGUUUACGAAUGGGUUUGUCCCUCUUGCUAAUAAUCACUAAAAUGGGUAUUACAAAUUUAUGAAAGACACGAACUCAACAGUCUCCCAAUAAUACUUAAAUUCUCUUGUAGUAGUUAUAUCUAUCUAAUCUUCAAUUAAAAAGGAAAAAUCUCAGCAAAAUUCCUUAAAAACACAGGUAUAAAACCUUGUUACAAUGUAGGCCAUCAAUCUGAUCUUCUAUUAAUGCAGGUUUUAAUCAUAUUGUUUCACCAACCUUCUGAGCGAAUUAGUCCUUUUUCUUUGCAUAACUAAUCUUGGGAUGUCACAUUUUAUUGCUAUGACUUGGGGCGUUGAUUUAGGAACUCCAAUAGUCAUUAAAUCUAUCCAUGGAGAGCGCCCGCUAAAAAAAUCUGACUGCUUUGCAUAACCUAGUUUGGUUCUACACCUUUCCUCCAGUAGAUUUCCUGACAUAGUAAAAUCUUACUUAUGUACUUGUAAAAUCCGAACCAAGUUUCUGUAUGGUUUAAACAUAAACAUUUGCACACUUAAAUGAAUUCUUUAAAUCCAUGGGUUAAAUUUUGAUAUUAUCAUAAUCCUUUUAGUAUAAUUUCCAAGCAGUUUCUCCAUUUUCGACAAUGACAAACCUAUACCAUUCCUUCAAUAAGAGUGAGUUAUGCACAUAAGUAUGCAAAUUCUGCAGAACUAUUUGACUGUAAAACCAGAGAUGAUUCAUGCAUGCUUCUACAUGCGACAUUUUAAUAGACCAUACAAAUAUGUCUGCAAAACAUAAUAAACUCCCCUUAAUAUGUACACAUAGUGUGAUACUCCCCCUGAGUAUGUGCUUCUCCCGCUUCUUGUUUCUUAAAAAUGCAAUAACAUCAGAUGCCCAGGGAUGAAAACCAUAUAAGCAAAAGCAUUCAUUUAUUUAUAUACAGAAUUGUUCUACAAAGCAUAUUCCGGAAAAAUUAAUAUAAAGGAAAGUGAACAUUAACCAAAAGGAUCACAAACACCGAUUUCAUCCAUCAAGCUAGAACGUAUUGUUAUCAAGAGGUUUAUUCAGAAUUUGAGCGAAUUGCAAAUCGAUGCUAACAAAUCCUUUUCAUUGAUUCAUGUUGUGCUGUGGCUGCCAUAAUUAAAUAAAUAAAUAAAAGAAUCAUAUGAAAGAGUCUCUCUUCUUGAAGUUUGACCUAGUUCAGAGCUCCUCGAAAUGGAAGCCACCCCCGUUAAUUAGAACAACUCAUUGUUGAAAGACUUACCGAUUGCUUAACAAUAUUGCAAUUACAUUUAUUUUCAAAUCCUUACAUUAAGGAUGACACGUCCUUAUAUCUCAAUAAGGGCCAUUGACUUAAAUAAGAAAUUUUAUCCGUUGAAUACUGGAAACACAGAAAUCUGACUAAUAGGAGUCUGAAUUACUGAAACUGCAACAACAAUUGAGUGGAAAUGUAAAAGAGACUUAGGGUUGAUGCCUGAUUAUAUAUCGAAAUACCAUGGGUUUGACAUAUAGACCUCGUUGUCAAAGCCCUGUAUGCUAAUGGAAAUAUGUAUAGGUAUUAGGCGCAUUUUGUGGGCUACUACAUGGUGCACUUGUUUUAUAUUUAAGUUUCAAUGGGUCAGUUUUGUCUAUUGGUAAUAUUUUCCUCCAAUCAUACUUUCAAUUAACAGGUCAAAGAUUAUGGAAAUUAUCAAUAUGCAAAUUUAAUCAAAAUCAAAUACGAGUGACGUUAAUAUUUGUGUGAUCCAUCAAUGAAAGUUAUGGCUAAAAAGAGUUCAUCCAGCUAGAGCAUUUCAUGUGCAAAUAGAGAUAAAAUAAAUUUAGAAUUCUAUCCCUGAACUUUUACAUCAUUGACUACGGUUGCUAACAAGCAUUUUCAUUGCAAAAUUUGACAACAUUUUGGGAUGGCUUUUGGAUUAUCAAUGUUGAUUACAUAAUUAUGUCGUGAUUCAGUUUUAUCAUGUUCAGAUUUAGUUUUCUUACAUUUAUUUGAAUCUAAGUUACUAUUAUUGCACAUGAUCUAAGCUCCAACAAUAUUCUUACAUGACAUUUUUUGCUUGUCAAUCAUGUGACCUUAACGAUGUUGUAAAUUAAAUCGAUUACACGUAAAAUGUUUCAGUCAAUAAUUGACACAGAUAGUAGUAGUGGACCAACUACAUAACAUUAGAUUGGCAGUGCAAAAUCUAAUUUCAAGAGAUCAAUAGCAUAACUGCAGCAAAUAUCAAACUUUAGGACCGUAAAUGAAAUUUCUCGGUGUUAAAAAAUAAUUUUCCUUCUCUUGUCGCCGCCACGGAGAAAAUCUUUGAGCACCGCCACUGGAAAAAAGGAUCGUGGUUUUCUUCCAUCACAAAUUUGAUUGGCGAGUUAUCAAAAUCUGAAGAAUCAUCCUAGAGACCGAUUCAAGGACAGCAGUUGAUCUACUAGUUGGCAAGAUUACAGAGUCGUCGAGGCCAGAUUGGGUGGUGAAAACCAACACAGCCCGUGAAGGCAAAAUGUGCGACGAUUGAUAAGCCAAUGCAGCGUUCUUUUAGAGACCAGAUUUAGUUAUUCACUUAAGUUUAUCUACGGGGCUUCAAUUUGUACUUUUUAGGAGAUAAAAGUGGGUGUUAGGAGGCCGGGACUUGCAUAUGAGAUGUGUUAGAAAUUAAACCAAAUUAACAAAUGUCCUCAAUCGACUACGAGUUGCUGAUGUCAGUGGAGAAGUUACUGAUAUUAAUGGUUGUCAAUGCCGAUAUUCCAGAAUUUGAUACCGAUGAUUUUGUUUGGUGAAUUGAUACAGAUGAUUGUCCGAUGCUAGAGUUAAUUAGAUUAUUUAUUGUAGUGUUGUUUUUGAGAAGUCUGUUCAUAUUUUUAUUUCAUGACUGUUCAUGUUUUUAAGUGUAAUUGAUGUUUUGUAAGUUCUUAGGAUUUUAUCACCUCUGAACAUUAGCUAUAUUUAUAAGUCAUUUAGUUUUUUUUUUUUUUUGUCGGUCCUACUCUAUUCCUACUCUAUCACUCGCUCUCAAACUUUUGUCCUGCCUUCUUAUAGGGCAUAGGAGUUGAAACUCACUCCUGAAACUUAAUCGUCCCUACCCCAACUCUCUUAAGAAGGUGGAGAUUCGAACCCCCCACAUCCCUCUUCCAUGUUGAAAGGAUGGCUACUGGGACAAACUCCAGUAGUUUAUAAGUCAUUUAGUUUAAGAGUUAUGUGUGAAGCGUAUAAAAGUUGAGUCUUGUAAUUGUUUUUGAUAAGGUGAAAAAAAAGGUGAAAUAAACAAAAAGGAUAUCUGUCUCCUUCUCUUUUUUGUGUUGUGUUAGUGAGUGUUUCAGCUUUAAAUUAUCCCAUCAAGAUGUAGCCUGUAUUUGUCUUUUACAAAAACUCGAAAUUUUCUAGUUUUGAUGCCAUAUGAAAUUAUGAAGGAGCACUAUUAGCUAUUAUAGAAGUUUAGAUAAUUAGAUGGAUGCAUUAUUCAAUACUUAAUUGAUAUAACGUCUCUUUCACUACCCAUGCUCCUUUUCAACAGCUAGAUUACUUGCACAGCUUGGGCUCAAUGGAAGGAGAGCCGUCCAUAGAAGUGGAGGAUGGUGGAAUGAACAACUCGAUCGCGGAGGAGGUAAAGAAGGAUGAAAGAGGACCUUUAAUGGAAGUGUCAAAGGAUGAAAGGGAUUCUGUUCAAAAAAAAAAAAAAAAAGGAUGAAAGGGAUUCUGAAGAAGAAAUCUGGAGAGGUCGACGGGAGAUAAUGAAUAAUUUAUUGGCGGCUUCCGCGGGGGCACAAGAUCCGGCAAAAGCUUACGAAUAUGCUCGAAAACUGGUGCGUGUCAUCAAAGGCGGCAAGGUUGACGAGUUCCUUUCCAUGAUCAAAGUAAAUGAUCCAUUGUUGCGAGACAUUGAUUGGUCUGCCGUUUUAAAUUCCCGAUUGGAUUGGAACGACUCACUGCUCCACGUGGCAGCAGCAACCCGGAAGGACGACCUCCUAAGGCUUCUGCUUGAGUAUGUUGGUGACCACCUCAUAACCGCCCAAAAUGAUUGGGGAAAUACCCCACUCCACCGGGUCGCUCUGUCGGCGGGAUCUACUGGAGCUGCAAAGAUGUUGAUUCACCGGGCAAGAGGCCUCCCCAACGUCGAGGACAAGAACCUCUUGCGGAUGAAGAACAAACGUGGAGACACCGCUUUGCACUUGGCCGUGUGGCAUGAACAAGCCGACUUGGUGCGCUAUUUGUUGAGCGAAGAUUUAGAACCCGUGUACUGGAAGAACGCGGGUGAGAAAUCUCCCCUGUACCUAGCCCUCGAGACUGACGACUCCGCAAUACAUGAGGCUUUAUUUUCACUCUCGUUGGAACCAUCAAGGAUAGAAGGCUUGCCGCUCAUUCAUGGUGCCAUUGUACUUGGACGACGCGGUACGUACCUAAAUCUGCUUAUGUGGAAAUAUAUUUAUCUAUUUCUGGACUGACUCGUCCCAAAUCUGUGCAAUAACUUUUUGCUCUUACCAAAACCCCUUACCGGUUUUUACUUAAAAUUCCCUACCCUGCUUGUUAAAGUAGUUGGAUACCCAUCGGUUUAGCCGCAUAAUAAACAAAUUAUUCACAUUAGAGCAUAAUAGAUUGGCUUAAAUAUUACAAAUAAAACCAUUUCACUAGAAACUCAUGUGCUGUCGAUCUUUGAUUAGAGAAGCUAUAAAGUGCAAAUAUUUAAGAUUGAUGACCAUGAAAAUCUGGAAUCUAACAAUGACGCCAUUUUUGAAGCAACGGAGAGCCAUGAACCAAAAUGAACAAAUGAGAGUUUAGGGCAUAAAUUAUAAACUGGUAGCAAACCUAGGCGUGAUUUUUUCAUUGGAAAAAGAGGAGGUGACGGUUCCGUCACUCUUAGCAAAUUGAUGGAACAUCAUAAACCGUUAAUUUGUUUGUGACCAACAAUCAAUAGGUUUUUAAGAAAUUAAAAAAAGUGGAUCUAAAUAAAGAAAGAAAUUUUUGAUUUUUUUUAAAUGAAUACAAUUAUCAUAAUCUUUGUAGAAAAAGCCGAUACCGUAGUCUAGCCUAAAUUACCUUGACCAUUAAAAAUAUUGAGAUAAAAUUCAUCAAGCACGCGAUAAUCAAUUAUGUGGAAUUUUUUGGCUGCUAGCGCCAUGUAUCCCAAGUUUACUACUUGAAAAGCGCAGCUAAUGUUCAUUGAUCAUCAGAUUGGUAGAUGGCAUUCAGGUGUUAUAGUCAUAUCAAGUAGGGAGAAUUGUCCAAAAAGUUUUAAACUUAUUGUACGAUUGUUGAUUCAAUUAUAAACGUGUCAAUUGUGUCAAUUUAAUCUCUAUUUUAGUCCUAAACUUUUUAAAGAUUUGCCAACUUAGUCCUUCUAAUCAAUUUCUACUGGAAAUCGCUGACAUGGCGGUCUAGUCAAAGCUCGCCAUCCUACAUGAUGUUGAUCGCUUAUGUGGCUUUUUUUUACAAUAUAUUUUUUAAUUUUUUGCAUUUUUUUCCUUUUCUUUUUUUUUUAUCAUUUUUUCCCUCUACCAACCUCAGGGGAGAGCCGCCCUCCGAUCCUUGCGUAAAGCAACCCUUGCCCUUGCUCGACCUCCACUAGGCGUCAACUGUUGAUGGUUAGAGAAGGGAAAAAGGAAAAAAUGAAAUUAGAAAAAGAAAAGGAAAAGACAAAGACAAGGGAAAGGAAAGGAAAAAGGAAAAAAAUUAGAAAACUAAAAAAAUUGCAAAAAUUAUCCGCAUUAGCGUUGACUGUGCCGUGUAGGACAGUCAGUACUACUAGACCGCCAUGCCAAUGAUUUCCAACAAAAUUGGCCAGAAUGACUAAAAUGACAAAUUGUUAAAAGAUUUAUAACUAAAUUGGCAAGUUAUUAAAAUUGUUAUGACUAAAUUGGCAUAAUUGAAAUAUUUAAGACUGAAUUAAUCAUCAUACAAUAGAUUCAAGACUAUUUUGACAAUUUUCCCUAUCAACUAUAAUUCCAAUCCUAGAUGCAAUAACUUUAUUUUUAUCCUGUCCCAAUUUAUUAAUCCGAGCACAUGUUAUUAUUUACAUUGCACGACGUAACAUGUUUGAGGCUCUCUAUUUAAACUGAACAUGCAAAACAAUUUCAAAUGGACAUAAAGUGAAAAUGCGUAACAAUGUAUUGUGUGAUGCAAAUAAUAAAUUAGCAUACCCAAUAAAUGUAUGUGUCUAAACUUACGUUGCACUCGUUGAAUAGUUAUAGAAGUCGACCUGCACACAUAACGUUCAUAAUCCAUUUAUAAAUGGCUUAACUUAUUUGUGAUAAUACAAUUAAACCUAAUUCUACCAUAUUUAACCACGUUUCAUGUAGAAGGGCUGUUUCAUAGUUUGUCAGCUCAUAAUUCUAACAAGCACUUUAGAAACUAUACAAAAGAUCCCAUUGAAAUUGGAUUUACUAUAUAUUUCUUAUUCUUAUUGUCCAAUAUAUAAAAAUCCUUUUAUGAAGUACUACUGAUUGAAAUCUCGUAAUAAUAGUUCAGUUUUUUUUCACUGAAUGUAAAAGUAGAUGACAUUGUGGAAUGAAUCGAGCGUUGCCAUGGGCUUUUGUAGAUAGGCACUUUAAUUAGGUUAUCAUGAUAGGCACUUUUUUUAAGGUUCAUAUCAAUUAAAUAAGGUAAGGUUAUUUCUUUAAAUCUAGUAAUAUUCUUUCACUUGGGAAAAUUAUCCAAAAAGUCCUAAACCUAUCGCACUUUUGCCAAUUCAAUCCUAAAUCAUUCAAUUUUGUCAAUUUAGUGCUAAAUUGGAUAUGACUAAACGACAAUUAGAAAAUUCCUAAUUAUCGUUGUUAUAUGACUCAUGAAAUUUGUAUAUGUACUUAACAAUAUUAUUAGAGUAUAUUUUAUAGGAAGUAUUAUAGAAAUGUAAGAAUUUUCAAUAAUUGCUCAUUUGCAGUUUUUGAAACUCAUUAGAACUAAUUUCAAUAAAACUAAUGCCUCUUUUGUUGAACAAAAUUCAUGGUAUAAGAGGCAAACAUAAAUCCUAAUUUGAAGCAAAAUAAACGGAAAGUGGAAGAAAAACACUUUUUGUGAGGAAAAUAAUCAAUCCCUUACAAAUUAGAGCCCUAUAAUUUAGAGACAAUUCUUAAAGAAAAAAUCAUUAUAUAUUUAUGUAGAUGUUCAACAGUCUAGAUUAAUUUGCAAAGUUCACUGAACUUUUAGUAUUAUGGAUGUAAUUUUUAUGGCGGUGAAUUAAGACUCGUUUUGUUUUGUGUUGUGUCAUCACAGCUUAAAUAUGUGGUCGUUAUAGCUACGAUAUAUAUGACUCCAUGCAAUGCAUAUACAAGAUAGAACAUAUAAUGUGAUUUAUUGAGUAAAAAUAUCUUUCCCAGAAUCACUAAAAUUUCACAAAAUAUAUUUGGUCCAUUCACAAGAUAUAAUGGGAUUGAGUAGCACAAUCCCCAAGGAUGAGGUUAUCUCUAAAUCACUCUCGCCUGUCUUUGAAGUCCAAUGGCCACCCACAAUCCUCAAACACCGUUGGAAUAUUCUCAAAACAAUUGAAGCACCUCUCUCACAUUAUUGAACCUCUUUACUAGCACCUCCAAAUUUUCGUAGUUGGGGCCAAUUUUUUUUUGUUUUGGUGGAGCCUUUUCCUUUCUGUAAUUUGUGAUUUAUAAGCUCUACUAUCUUAGAAAUAGAUUCUGGUCACAAAUUUUACUUAGAUUUUACUCACAAGUUUUGGUAAAUACAUAAUCUCUUAAUUGAGCUGAAUAAGUGCCGUAUACCUUUACGAAGAAGAUGACGUUCAAUCUAGAGAGGGUGGAACAAUUUUAAGGGGGAUUUCAGUACGGCGUUGUGUAGGCUAUUGCAAUGUUCUCGACAAUAAGUCUGCUUGAUACUUGCUAGAAUUCGACGGACAUAAUAUGAAAAGAUCAUUUUCCUUUUCUUGAUCUUGACCUAGCUUGCAUUAGUCUGCCGACUCUAUAGAUACUUCAUGUCGUGGAAAUGCCAUAUAAAUUGCUAUGUCAUUUAGUAAGAUUUUCAUAGUGAAAUCUUAAGUUCCUGUCAAUGUCAUUAACUAGUUUUGGUAUUGCAAUCUAAUCUGUUAUUGUCGACUAUCAAUACUAGUAGUGAUUAAGGCACGUCAAAGAUGUCCUUACUCCAAAAUGGGUUUAACUAUAUCGAGACCAACCAAGCUCCAACCAUCCUAAUUUGGAGCUCCUGAUCCCAGAUUUAUUCGACCUGAUACUCACGAAAAACAUGAACCUAUUUGCAAUGACCGACUCCAGCGGGGGCAAUGUAUUCCAUUUAGCAGCUCACCUGAAUCAGGCCUGGGUAUUCGAAUUCUUACGACUAGAAACUAUAUAUUUGACCCGAGCAAGGGACAUGAAUGGAGAUAUCCCUGUUCAUAUUGCGAGCAAGAUGGGUCAUGUUGAACAUAUCAAGAAGCUGAGGAUAGUAUCACUUUCGCUAAAUGGGCAAGGGCAAACCGUUCUUCAUAUCGCCGCAAAAUAUGGGAGAGUCUCUGUAGUGAGAUACAUACUCAGCGAUCCAGAUCUAAAGAUACUGUUAAAUGCACAAGAUAAUGAUGGAAAUACAGCUUUGCACUUGGCUGCGAUGCAUUCGCAGCCCGCUGCUUUGAUUCAUCUUGUGCAGACUAACGGAAUUCAACUCAGCGUUUUCAACAACAAAUGCUUGUUCGCUGUUGACAUUGCUCGACGACGCAAGGCAAAGGGGCAUAAGAUUCGGCAUGUAGGUAACAUGAACAGUCACUAUUUUCUUUAUUAACUUACUGGAGAUUUCGUAGACUAAUGCAUUACUUAAGGCAGACCUUGUAUUCAAAUCAUUAUGUCUCCCAACCAACUAGAUAGUACAAGUAUUGAUCAAAUUUCUAGAAUAGCCGAGACUCCUCUCGGAUAAAUGUUCUGCAAGUCCCUAAUUUAGUCUUGAUAGGAGGUAAUUAAAAUUUGUGAUCAUGAAUUUCUCUGCAGUUAGAAACAAGUAACGUGUCUUUCAUAACACGGUGAUAACAAUUUAUAUAUUUCGUUUAAUUGAGCCUCUGAAUACGGUCAUGAAUAAAAAGGCAGGGUUUGUCAAGGUUGCAUUCUGUUUUUCAUAAAAAGCCAGGGGUCAAUGUGGCAAAUUUGACCGCUCCAAAUGUAACACAAUCUUAUAACAUUAUCAUUUUGUCGACCUAUGAAAUGAUUGCCCGCAUAAAUUCCAUUCAUGCCUCUUUUUUCGUCUAAAACGAACGUGGUAAUUUUGUGCUAAUUCUUCAAAAAGAGCAGAAACUGCAUCUUUAGAAGCAAACGUUUCCAGAGUUCAUUCCGUUAUCAAUAUGGUAUAAGUUUGUUCUUAUUUUCCUUUUUACAUGCUUCCGAUCUCAGCAAUUGGCAUACCUGGCGUUGGCUUGCUCGCUCGCGGGAAAAGAUCCACUUGGAAGCCUAGAGUCAUUCCUAGUUAGAGCGGAAGCUCGAGAUGAAGAGUUAUCAGUAGUCCGCUCGGGCAAAAGCAUGCCGAGCAGGGACAUCAUCAAGGAUUACAUCAAUUCCCGUCUGGUGGUGGCAACGCUUGUGGCCACAGUGACUUUCGCAGCUGGUUUUGCAGUUCCUGGAGGAUUUAACAGCUCGGACACAGCCUCCAAAGAUGACCGGGGCAUGGCUACGAUGCUGGACAAUAGAAUGUUCCAGGCUUUCGCGAUUUGCAACACCAUCGCGAUGUUCUGCUCAGUGAUUGUGGUCGUCAACCUCAUCUGGGCGCAGAUAGUUGAUGUCGACGUGGCAGUCGCUGCAUUCGAGCGCACAACGCUACCACUACAAAUUGCACUCCCGGCGAUGUCCACCGCUUUCUUAACUGGUGUCACCUUGACCAUUGGCAAACUCCCGUGGCUUGCUAACACCAUAUUUUAUUUGGGACUCGUUUUCCUCCUCAUUAUCUCAUUUGCUAAAUUGUUAGAGAAGCCUCUCCUCUUUAAAAUCUGCGGUCGUCCUCUCCCUCAACUAACAUUCUGGCUUAUUCUCGCUUUCAUUUAUUUGUGGAGAGUUGAGACGUACAUUUAUGAUGACAAUGACGCGAAAGAUGACGGAAGGGAGAAGAAGACCUUCGCUAGUCCGCCUGUGGAUGUUGCCGGUGAAUCGAGGACCGAUGACUCGGCGAAAGCAAAAUGUGAGGAUGCUACAUCCUCCAAGUCACUGAUUUGAAUUGAUCAUUCCAUAUUAUCUGUAACAUGUAGUAAUAAUAUAUGUUUUCCUUGGUGAGUGUGACUCACUCUACGGUUGCUUUCCUUUAUGUCAGAUCAAAGGUGAUUGUCAAUGUAUGUAAGCUAAAACCAUGUGUUUCUCUAAUAACUUAUUAGAAUUGUUGGAUAUAAUUCCAUCAAAUUUCAUAUGUUAUUAAAGCAGAGGUUCUAAGUUCAAACAUUUUCAGGUCCUAUUUGCAUCAUCUAUUAUAUGUUCUCAUGUUUCAAUCUUAGAUCAAGUCAAGUUUACGAGUGAAGAUGAGUAUAAAAGUAUUUGAAUUAAACAUCGCAUUCGUCUAAUAAUUUAAAUUUUUAGAAUGAUUAAUUGUACUUUCCCGAAAUUUCAAAGUAAUACACACUUUAUGUAAAUUAAAUGGAUGAAUGGCUCAUUUCAUCCGUUUAUCGCCCUGGAAUCAAAUUGUUAACUUUGAACAUGUGGAAGCUCGUGGGUUUAUGAAAUCACUCGUCUGGAGUGGCCAUGUCCGAUUUACUUCAAACCAGUCCAAUUUGCGGCACUCUCGAGUCACGAAAUCCUAAGCACUCACUUACCUGUCUGGUGUGCAAAGAAAAUAAUUCUCAAAUUCUCAUCGCCUACUCUCUGAGUCAAGAGUUGGGUGAAGAAAACUGGAACAAAAUAAUUCUCUUCACUACUCACAAAAAAAUAGAAUCAAACACCGAACUCAUUUCCAUUUACACCCCUUUCAUUUCCCCACUUCUCCCUCCUAGGCGCCCAAUUUCUGUGCAUGCAAAUGAGUUUUGGUGUUUGAUUCGUGGCGGGGUAUAAUCUUAGUGAGCAGCGGGCGCAGAAGUCUAGUCAAGCGACGUGAUAAAAAGGAAUUGCAAUACGCAACUCACGGAGAAUUGUGGAAAAGUCUGGAUACGUGAUUUUCCUCCUCCGAUCUCUGAUUUUUAUUUCAAAGCUGGUUGGUAUUGACACGUAGAAUAUAACUCCAAAGUGAUUCUGGACCUAUUUAUUCGACAAUGAACGUAGAUAACUACAAAAAUAAGAAGGAUCCCAUUGUACGAAUGUCUAUUGAGUUAUGAACUUUUUAAAUUAGUUGAUUUAAUUUUAAACAUCUUGACAAUUUGUCAAUAUAAUCAUUCCGACCAAUUUUGACCAAAAAUCGUUGAUGUAAACGCCAGCCAUCCUAUGGCACAUGACCAAUAUUGAGGUGGACAAUUUUUGCAAUCUUUAAAAGAAUUUUUCAUUUUUUUCUUUUUUUUUUCAUGUUUUCAUUUUCUUCAUUUUCUUUUCUUAUAUUUUCCUUUUUUCUUUUUCUUAUUCCCCUUCGCCAGCCAUUGGCCGAUCCAUGGCUUCGGUGAUUGAUAGCAAGGGCCCAGAUGCCCUUGCCAGCGAUUAGCAAGGGCUGAUGGAUUUGCUGGGCCACAGACUAAUGGAGGGACAAAGGAAAAAAAAAAAAAAGGAAAGAAAAGAAACUAAAAAGAGGAAAAAAAAAGGUUUUGAAAAAAUUGUAAAAAUUAUCCACAUUAACAUCGGCACCUAGAUCUGGGCGAGGCCAAUCUCGUCAUGGCCUAGCCUAGAUCUGGGUGAAGCCGCCUCGCGCACGGCCCCAGGCCUCCCUCGUGGCCGACGAGGCUCGUCAAAGAAGCAAAAGAAUGAAGAAGAGAAAAAAUUAAAAGGAAAAAUAAAAAAUAUAUAUUCAAAAUUGCCACGUCAACGUACAUCAAUGCUAGCCGACCAAAAUUGUCCAAAUAGAUUGAAUUGGCACAAUCACGAAAAGUUUAGAACUGAAUUGGCAAAAAAAAAAAAGUUUAAAACUGAAUUAACAUAAUUAUAAUAGAUUCAGAACUUUUUCGGUAAUUCAUGUUCCUACACAUGAAGUUCUCCUUGUCGAGCUUGUCGAUCUGGUGCUUCACAUACUUGAAAUGACUAGCUGCAAUUACAUUAUGAAACUCCCUGCUCGAUGAGUAUUGAGUGUACAUACCUUCGGUGAAAUUUAACUUGCUCAAUGCCCCCGGCUCCACCGUCGCCUUGCACCAGCUCCACGCUCUUUAUGAACUGAGGCAGGAGCUUCGGGAUCAGGGUAUUUGACUCGACAAUUAAAGCCUUAAGAAUGCGAGCCGGAGCAAUCGGGCAUGUGAGCUCUUGUGUGAAGCUGGUUGCACCCAUGGCUAUUGGCAAUGAGAAAGAAAUAACCCCAGAGAAGAGUGCUUCUGAGUCCUGUCAAUGCCUCCUAAUUAUGGUUGGAAUUAUGUCAAUAGGUAGGGUUGGUGUGGCAAGAGUCACGCUCGAGGAAAAUAGGAGAGUCAAGGAUUUGCAGCCUAAAGGAAUGGAAAAGAGGAAAUUGAGGUGGUCUCUUUUGUUCUUUUGGUCAUGAAAACGAUUUCGGUCCCUUUCAGAUUCGUGUUGAAAUGUCAAAGUUAUGUUCCAAAAGAUGAACAUUCUCGUGCUCACAUGGGCGGCCAUCCCUUUGAAAUGAUUGUUGUGGAGUUCGAUCUAACAAUUUGCCGAUUAGAUAUUAUAACGAAAUGUCCUUGUUUGGAGAAAAGUGUAUUAAUCAAAUUUUAUCCCGUUUAAUAUGUAGCAAACGAGAAUACUUUAUUAGUUGGUGAUAUCAUGUUAACUUGUCGCGUAAUAUAAACAUCACAUCAUAUACUUCUUCAUUUGUAAUGCCCUAAUGUCACGGUGGAUCUGAUUCAAAUGUAUGGAGUAAGGCCUUUUGAAAUCAUUUUCAUGGGUUGAUUCAAACUUCACUAGCACCGACAGUUUGACUCGGUCAAAAUUGGGUCCGCAAUCGGGGUGUCCCAAGAUCAGCUCGUCGUCUAAGUUUUGGGGGAGGUGGAGGCUGCUGCUUUUCCGUUAUAUCUUGCUUCUCUUUUUCUUUUUUAUCAUUGUCAGUGUUGAAGCAUUUGAUCUCUAAUCCAAUGUCCCCAUCAAAGAGAUAAGAUAGGAUUAGCUUACAUAGAAUUUCAAAUAGCCCAAGCGUUACAAUAAGAUAAGUCCAAAACCUAAACACAUUAACUUUAUUUUCCCAUAGCUUUCUUGACAUAUAAUAAGAAUGUGCUUUUCUUUAAUGAUCAUAUGCAUAACAAUCUCUGAAAGAUUCUACCACAUCCAUAGUUUUAAGUGUUAAUCCAAAUUCGAAACAUAAGUUUGGAUUUAUUCAUUUGUUACUCAUGAAUUCUAUUCUUUUAUGGAAUUUAUUGAAAAUUAGAGAAUCUCAUGAUACCAACAAAAUAUCAAGCUUAUUCAACUUUUAUUUCCUUGAUACGCUAUUUAUGUAGCACAAUUUACAAAAUUCCACAAAAACCAUUUCACCAGAUUCCUGCCACACCUUUUCAUUCUCUUAUUCUCAGCAAAGACAAGAACAGCUACGCUCACCAGCCCCACAAGCUUUACUCCAAACACAGAGGGACCCAAACUCUUCUUCUCUCCUUGUGAAUUUAGCACAACCAGACAUAUUUCACACAGUACCGUGAGCAAUCCAAGAUAGCGAUGAGAUCUACUCAAUAGGCAUCAGGGUUUGCCAAGAGAUGAGCCUCGAUGGCCUUGAACAUCUCGGACGCCUUCUCUUUCCCGGCCUUGAUCUUCUCCUCAGUGAUCUCCACCUCGCCGAUGGUGAAGUACUUGCUCGUGUUCUUGCACACCGAGCCUCCCUCGGGCGAUGCUAUGAUCUUCACCUCGUUGCUGAUCUUCUCGAAGGUGGUGCCCAGCAUGUCGCCCUCGAUGAUCGAGUAGCAGUAGGUGAGGUUCUCCUUGUCCAGGGACUCGACCUUUUGCUUCAUUGUCUUGUAGUGACUGCCUAUCAAAGUAAGAAAAAAUAAUAUUCACGUUUAGAAUUCGCCGGUUUCAACAUCACGAGCAACGAUCUUGAUGGUGUCGAUCGGGGCCAUUUAGGUUGUUCCAACUGCAAUCUGAUACGAUUGACUGAGUAGACAUGGCCUGAUUUCCCUCAAUUGGAGUCAAGUCACGUGAUCACUUGUGUAAAUCAAUGGUUAGAAACAUCUUUAAUUAACCAAGUUGCAUAUCUAUCUUUUUAAUGUUCAUCAUGAUGUUCCAUAAGGUUGAAACAGCCUUGAUCCAGAGCGAUCCUAACACGGACGGACUAACCUUCGCCGAAAGUGAUCAACUUGACGGUCCCGGGACCUCCGUCGCCCUCGAGGACUUCGACGCUCUUGAUGGCUUGCGGGAGCACCUUGGGGAUGAGGUUAUC